AUUCAUUGAAUCCCUUUCUCCUUCGAAAUCAAUCGAUCAGCUCUCUUUUCCUUAAAUUUUAAUCCAAUUUAUUAUUUAAUUGAUGCUAUGAAGUUUUUUUUAUUAAUUUUAAUUCCUUUUUCAUUGAUUUCAAUACGGUGUCAUAUAGUUGUUCAGGGUUUCAAUUUUGUUUAGAUUAAUUAUUUGUUAUGUUAUAUAAUGUCUUUUUUUAUGGAUAAAGAAAAAGGGGAAACAAUUUUCUUUCUUUAAAAAAAAAAUCUUUUAAAUGUUGAAAGAUAGAAUAUUGCAGUUUUAAAGAAUGUUAGACUCGGUUGAUUAUUCCUGGAUGAACUAAAUGAGCUAAUUGUUGAAUUUUGUUUAUACAACUAAUAAGAUCAUAAUUUUAAUUGAUUGAUUUUUAUCUGCAAAUCCAAGACUAACCAUUUGUAACAACUAAAAAUUGAUAAAACUAUGACAUAACAAUAGAAAUUAACUACAUUGCAUUCUUUUUUUUUUUUUGGUUUUUCCUAGAGCAAUAUGUAUUUGGAGAAGAGAUGGAAGAACAUAGCGAAUAUGAGGAAACCUCAUUCACUGGUAGACUUUUGUGUUAGGACGGGGAUAGAUAACGUAAGAUACCUUGGGGAUGUCGGUGAGACAGAUUCACAUCUUCUUGAGCGUAUUCUACCCCAUUGUACAGUGGAUCAAUUAUUGCACGUGGAAAAGAGUACAAAAGUAAGUUGAUUUGCAUAGUUUGUGCAAGAAUUGGCAUUUGGCUCUGAUUAUAUGUAUAAUUUUAAAAGGGAUUGAUUGAUUGUUCUAGGGAAGGGAUCUUACUCCAGUAACUGAUAAACUUUGGAAGAAUUUCUAUGAGCUACAGUUUGGUCAUCAGAAUAUGACUCUUGUAAUUGAGAGGAUGAAGCUCAAGAAAGUUUCAUUUAGAUGGAGACAGUUGUAUGAGGUAGGUAAUCUUUUAACUUUCUUUACUUUCAUGCCGUCCUCUUACCUAAUAGCUAGGUUGUUAGUGGAAUGUUGAGGAACCAGCAAUGUACCUUUACUUAAGGUGUGCACAGUUUUAUGGAUUUCCUUACUAAAGUUGGAUGAUUUAUUGUAGGCAAAAUUGAAGGAUUUUCAGGAGGCUGAGAACAAAGCAAGUGAUCGGCUUAAGCAGCUAUACAAGAAAGAAGAUGCUCGUAUGCUCCUUGUUCUUUGAAUUCUUAAUGACAUAAGCCAUGAUUUUGACUUGUUGCUUGCUUGCUACAUGUAUGCUUCUGUCUCUUGAACUUUUUUAUCACUGGUUUGAUUUGCAUUUAUAGUUACCAGUGCAAUAUUGCCCCAAGCUUUCUCUUGCAAGCACAAAAGUCUUGCUGAAAAGGCCAUUUCAUUCAAAAAGUGCUGAAAAUUGGAACUAUUUCUUAAUUACCAUUGCCACAACCUAAAUCAGGCCAAACUUGCACUGAGAAGCAGCCUUUAAUUGCAUGUCUAUGUACUUGGAUUAAUAUAUUGAAGAGAACUAGAGAGUGCUUUGUGGUAGUUGCCAGUAUAUUUGUUGUAAAAUAUUAAAGUAUUUACUGACUUAUGUACCCUUUACCCUAAGACUGAUUGGAGAGGACUAAAGAGUUUUUCUUGUGGUACUCUCAUAUGUAUUUAGAGUAAAAUAUUAUAGUGAUGCAUAUACCCUUUAACUUAAUUACUAAAGAGAAAUGUUCUUUUAUGAUCAUAAUUUCGUACCAUUAUUUCUAUUUUAUUAGGAAAACAAAGUCGGCAGGUUCAGCUUUGCACUAAGGUUCCACCUUCAACCAAAAGAAGCUUUUAUGCUGGUAACAUUCUUUGUACCUCAAAAGCUUGGUUGUUUGAUCUAGUCCAUUGGUCUCGUAUAUUGGAAUAUUUGCAACUUUGGUCUUUGUGCUUGAUAAUUAAAGAGGGCAUUUCAUGAAUUGUUGGCUUUAUUUAUAAAGUCUUAAUAAUCCUUUUUAGAAAUAAUCCUUUUUAGAAUCUUAUAUCUGUAUAUUAUCUCUUUUAUGAACUUGCAUACCACCGAUUGGGUCAUGCUAGCAUAAGAUGCAACUUUUACCUAUUUUGUGAAAUAAUCAAUUAUCACAAAGAUAAAUCUAUGCCCAUUUGAAGCUUUCGGGGUAAUGGGACCGAUGACAUCCAUGCCUUACAUAGAAAAUAGCCAUAGAGGUGCUAAAACUUACAAAGCUGAUGGAAGAGCAUAAAUCUUGUCAGCAUAAAUCUGACACUUAUGACAUCUUCUGACAUAAUCAAUAUAGUCAUUUUUCAUUGUCAACUAAUAAUAGCCAGCACCCAUAAUUUAUCUAGCCAUUAUGUGACCAUUCGCAUGUGCCCCCCAAACCCCAUCAUGUAUUUUUCAAUAAUUUUUUUUGCUUCAACUACAUUUACACAUCUUAAAAGUACCUUAUCUUGGCUUCUUUGUAAAAAACAUCUCCAUCAAGAAAGAAACUCAUAGCCAAACUUCUAAUGAUCCUUUUAUCAUUUUUUAUUGCAUGCUCUUGGUAUUGUUGACUUUUGAUAUAUUGAAGAAUAUCAUGAUACCAUGGUUUCCCAUCAACUUCUUCUUCGACACCUGAGUAAUGUGCUAGUACAUCUUUUAUGUCCAGCUUGAUGGGUUGGAUCUUGAUAUUUGCAUCUAUUUUAAUCAUUGCAGCCAAAAUGACCAGUGCAUCAGUAAUUUGGUUCUCCUCUUUAAGUAGAUACUCAAAUUAAAUUUCUUCAAACUGCUUGACUAACUCAGAGAUGUAUUUAUGGUAGCAGAUCAACUUUGAAUCUCUUGUUUCUCAUUCACCUCGUAAGUUAUAAACAACUAGUGCUAAAUCUCCAAACAUAUCCAACAUUUUGAUCUUUCUUUCAAUUGUUUCUUGUAAACCUAUAACAAAAAUCUCGUAUUCAGCCAUAUUAUUUGAGUAGUUGAAAUUCAAUCUAGUUAUGAUGGGAUAAUAAUGUCCAUUAGGAAAUAUUAAAAUUACCCUAAUACCAUGACCUAAAGCAUUAGCAGCUCUAUCAAAAUACAUCCUCAAAAACUUCUUAACAAUUUCAUUUUCUUCAAUGACUAUCACAUCUUCAUCAAAAAAUCAAGCUUUAUUGGUUCAUAAUCUUUAGCCACAUGAUCGGCAAUGAACUCAGUUAUUGCACUCUUUUUAAUAACCUUUUGAGUUACAUAGACAAUAUCAUAUUUUGAAAGCAUAACUUGCCAUCGUACUAUUCUUCCUAUCAAUGAAAGUUUUUCGAAGAUAUACUUGAUAAGGUCUAACUUUGCUAUAAGCUAAAUAGUGUGAUAAACAUAUAUUGCCUAAGCCUUCAAGCUAUCUAAGCUAGUGCACAACAUAUCUUUUCUAAUGGAAAAUACUUGGAUUCAUAAUUAGUGAAUUUUUUACUCAAGUAGUAGAUUGCUUGCUCAUUUUUGUUGGUUUCAUCUCUUUGCCCCAACACACAUCCAUUGAAUUUUCAUGCAUGGUUAACUAUAAAAUCAAAGGUUUUCUUGGAACUGAUGGCACCAACAUGAGUGGAUUUGACAAGUAUUCUUUGACUUUGUCAAAAGCUUUUUGGCAUUCAUCGUUUCAUUCUCCUAGAUCAUGUUUUCUAAGAAGCUUGAAAAUCUGAUUGCACUUGUAAGUAAGUUGUGAGAUGAAACAAGCAAUAUAGUUCAAUCUUCCCAUAAAGCCUCGCAUUUUUUUUAGGUAUGAAGAGGGGAUAAGUUUUGAAUAGCACAUAUUUUGUUCGGAUCCACUUCUAUUUCUUUUCACUAACCAUAAAGCCCAAUAGGUUUUUGAUUUAGCAUCAAAUGUACAUUUGGUAGGAUUUAACUUCAGUUGGAAUCUCCUCAACCUAUCAAACAACUUUCUGAGAUUGACUACAUGAUCUUCUCCUUCAUGAGAUUUUGCAAUCAUAUCAUUCAUAUACAUUUCUAUUGCUUUAUGCGUCAGUGAUGAAAGAGAGUCACCAUCACUCUUUGAUAAGUAGCACCGAUAUUUUUCAAUCCAAAAGGCAUGACUUUGUAACAAAAUAUCCCUCACACGGUCAUAAACAUUAUUUUUUUCCAUAUCUUCUCCAACCAUCUUAAUCUGAUUAUAGCUUGAUAAGCCAUCCAUAAAGGAAAAUAUGAAAUAUCUAGCAGUAUUAUCCAUUAGGGUAUCGAUAUGGGGUAGAGGAAAAUUAUCAUUAGGAUUUGCCCUAUUCAGAUUUCGAUAAUCGAUAUAUAUUCUCACCUUUUCAUCUUUCUUGAAAAUAGGCACUAUAUUGGCUACCAUUCAAGAUAUUUUGCCACCUCUAAAAUUCAAUGUCAAAUUGCUUUUUCACCUCUUCUUUAAUUUUCAGUAGCAUCUCUAGCUUCAUGCACCUUAGCUUUUCUUGUACUGACUUGCAAUCUAAUUUACAGGUAAUUUAUGUUCUGUAAUAUCAGUAUUGAGUUUAGGCAUAUCCUGGCAAGACCAUGUGAACACAUCUACGUAUUUUUAGAGUAGUUUUCUAGCCUUUACCUAUCAACUAAUGAAAUAAACAUACCAAUUUUAACCUAUUUUUUAUUUUUAUCAUCCCUUAAAUUCACUAAUUUGGUAAUUUCUUGGUAGGGCUCAAUUAGCUUAUCUUCAUGUUCUAUUAAUUUCAACAAAUCAAAAGGUUAUGUGUAAUUAUCUAAAUCUUUUCAUUAUCAAGUUUGUCAACAUGAAAUGUGUGUUUAAAAUCAAAUUUGAGAUUAUUAUCAUAGUUAUCUUCGUAUUCAUUAAUUUGAGGCCCUACAAAAGAUGAGAUGAAGAGAAUAUUGGUACUCAAAAGUGGAAUGGCAAGAAAAUGAUUAGGGCAUAAUGAAAAAAAAAUGGAUUGUAUAAAUGAAAAUGAAAAUAAAUAGAAAUGCAGACGCAUCUUCUAAGUCUUUUAUUAUAACGACAAACAUAAAUACACCACAAAAGAUUUUUUAAUGCUUAUAGAGAGCAAUUAAGAAUUUAAAGUUUCACAAUAAAUUAUUUUUUAAAAGUUUUAAAGAUAACAUGCAGCUUUAUGACUUUCUAAUUAUCUAGCUCAAAAUUUGAAGGGUAAGCACGCAUUAACAGCUCUUCAUCCUAACUUUUCUUUUUUUUCCUAUAUAUAAUCUGAAUGGCUAGCUCAAAAAAGUUUCAAUCAACUUUGCAUUUAGGGCUUCAAAUGAAUCUAGGUAAAUAUAACCUCAUAAAUGAAAAGAAUCAUAGAGAUAAUGACCAUCAACUCAAAUUCUGGCUCAUAUCCCCCAAGAUUAGCCAUUCUUUUUUCUUUUUUCUUAUUCAUGAUUUUCAUUAUGUUUCCUUUUGUUGGUUUAUAACCCAAGCUGAAUCUAUUUUUUUAUCAUAUGGUGUUGGAGGCAUCGUGAUUCCUUACAAAUUCUUUCUAAGUCUAGCUCCAGGUUGCCAUCCCAUUUUGAUAAGUUGCUUAACAAUCAUUUUAAUAGUUGUAGAUAGGUGCGAUGAAUAUAAUUUAGAUCUUUCAGCCAUAUAUAUUACAUUGGCAAUCUCGAAAGAUCUAAAAAAGUACUUCGAGGCUUCAUCUAGCACUUUUACAUAAGAAGUAUUUAUCGAUUGGGUUACCAGUAAAUCUUAUUUUUUUGCCACACAUGUAAGCUUUCCAUUAAUAAUGACUUUGCCUUUCUAGUGUAAUGAAGAUGGAACAGCACCUGUCAUAUGAAUCCAUGGCCUACCCACCAAGCAACUGUAUGAAAGGGAGAUAUCCAUAACUUGAAAUUUCAUAUUGAAAGUGCAAAGGCCAAUUUGUAAUGGAAUUUUUAUAUCUUUUAGCACUAUUUUCGGUCUAUUAAAGGCUUGAAACUACAUAUGAUGAGGUUUUAUGUAAGAUCCAUCAACAGGUAGUUUUGCCAAAGUAGAUUAUGGGCAUAACUUUGAUUGAUAAGCCAUUGUCAAUCAGAACCUUAGCCAUUAUGUGACUUUUACAUUUUACAGUAAUAUGGAGAGCCUUGGUACUUCUUUCGACCUUCAAGAGGAAUCUCUUCAUCACUCAAAGAGAUAUAGUUUGAAAAUUACUAGAUUGCCAACAAGCUAUUUCACGUACUCAACAAAUAUAUUGUAGGACACAUAUAUUUGAUUGAACACCUUUAAUAGAGUGUUACAAUGCAACUUUGAGCUUAGUAACAAUGACAAUAGCAAAAUUCUAGCUAGCAUCUUGUUCAACUGUUCUACUAUGUUAUACUCGCUAUAUUUUAGUAGUUUUAAAAAUUCACAAGCUUCAUUCCUAAAGAUUGGCUUUUGACAUUCUUUAUUAAGGACUGUCAUAAGAUUACUCUAAUUUCCCUUUUCUUCCUUGACCUUUGCUUUUUUUCUUAGCUUUUUCUAGCAUUUCUAGAGUGUAACAUCGCCCACUUCGGGUCAUACCUCCUAUACCUAUUAUGUUUGUAGCAUCUAGAUUGACUACGAUGUCAUAAUUGUACUUUCAUAGCACUGCUUUGUCAUUUUGGUAUGAAAAAAGGCUAGAGACUUUAAUUGUCACUACUAAUCGAGAGAUAGGCUUUUUUGGUCUUGAGGUCGGUUUCUUAUCAUAAUAUAUAGUUAUCAAUUUAUGCACAAACUUAUUCUUUGAAUUAAUGGUAGACACUUCAGCUUUCAUCAAUUUUUCUCUUUCUUUGUAAAGCUUUAUCUAACCUAUAUCCAUCAACUUUUGGACACCUUGAUGAAAUUGGUCACAAUUCUUAAAAGAAUACCUUGAAACAUUUUUUUGAUAAUUGUAGCUCUCGGUUGAGAUAAUUUUUUUGAAGUAGUUUUGAAGCUCUAUUAACUUCAACACAUCAGCCUUGACUAAGGCUUCAAACACCUUAGUCAUUGAAGUUUUGGCUUCAUCUAUCCCCUUUUUUACAUAACUUGCUUGCCCAUUAAUCAAAGCAUUUAUUGAUAGUCUAGUAUGAUUUGGUAGAGGGUUUCCAUUAAUAUUUGGAGUCCCUCGUUUGCUAGUAUCAAAGUUUAACACCCUCUCAUUGAUUAACCCUUACACUUUACGCUUCAAAGUAGUGUAAUUUUUCAUAGAAUGACCUGGGUUUUCAUAAUGAUAAUCAUAAUGCACAUUGGAUCAUACCAUUUUCAAAGGUUCAACAAUAACAAGGGCUAGUAAAUGUUUUUCAACAAGUUGAGGGUACAAAUUUGUAUAUAUCAUAAAGAUAGGGUCAAAAAUGGUUUUUUUUUAGGUAUUUCUUGGGGUUCUCAGACUACUACUUGGAUUGGGUCUUCAUUAUGAUCUAGUAGGUAUAGCAAGAUGAUUAUAUAAAUAGGUGGGUAUUUGAAAAGAUGGUUGAAAAUAAGGUGAAUAAGUUGGUUGUUGUAGUAGCUGACACAAUUGAUACGGAUGAGGGAUGGAUGUAACAUUGUUUAUAGGAGGGUAAUGGAUUUGGCACAUUGGUGUAGGGUAUGACGUGAAACCUUUGAACUAUUGACCUACAUAGUUCACUGUUUAGCUUCAUUUUCUUUUUUCUUGAGAGAUCUGCCUUUCUUUACUUCGCUUAUCUAUCCUAUAUUGAGCUUGUUAUUUUUUAUGACAUUUUCAAUAAUCUCACUUGAUAUCACCAUAUCUGUAAAGUUUUUAGUUGCAUUACCUAUCAUUCUUUUAUAGUAAGGUGCUUUCAAGGUGUUUACAAAUAGGAUAGUUGUCUCUUUCUUAGUGAUGGGAGGUUGUGCUUGUAUGACCAUAUCUCUCCAUCUUUGUGAGUACUCUUAAAAUUUUUCUAUUAUAUUCUUUUCCAUGCUCUGGAGAGAUAGAUCAUCUAAAGCUAGAUAUAUAACAUGCUGGUAUUGUGUAAAGAAUGCCCUUGUAAGUUUUAUCAUAAAUGAAUAUGAGUCCUAUCUAGUUAAAUAUACUAUCUGACUAUAGAACUUAUAAGGCUAUCCUAAUAUACGUGCAAUAAUAUCUUCUAGUCAUGAGUAUAUGCCCCUAUCUUAUGAUAAUAAAUGGUGACAUAAAUCAUUAAAAAUUUUGUACCAUCAUAUUUUUCAAAUUUAGAAACCUUGAAUUUAGGUGAAAUGACCACGUCUAGGACUAACCAAAGCUCAGCUGCAUCUGUAGAGCCAUAAAAAUUCAUUCCUUCUACAACCUUAAGUUUUUUUUUUAAUAAUUUUAUUUUCUGCAGGAUACUAGUAUGUUUCACUUUCUUAGAUGUCUUCAUCUCUAGCUUUUCUCUCUUAUUGGGAUCAUCCAAGUUAGGAAUCAAGAUUGGCUCAGUGGUUUUUAUACCAUGAUGGGAUUAGCAAAAUUUUAGGACUAUUUUAGAGUGAAUAUAAAUGUCAAUCCUGGAUAAGAAUAAGAAUAUCCUCCGAGAGUAGGGAUUUGCACUCUAGCUCCUUGAGAAGGUUGGGUUGGUCGUGGCUCAAACCUUGGAGGGUAUACAGGAUUUAUCAUGUAUGGCAAUUGCUUUUGGAAACUGGGAUUUCUUUCCAUCAUUUUUUUUUUGUCAAGAUUCUUAAGUAUGUCCAUUAUCUUACUAAGAUCCCCUUUUAGUUCUUCUUGAGCCUUCUCAAUUCUUUCAAAUCAACUGGACUAUUCUUGUUCUAUGAUUCUUAUUUGAACCUUGGUGUUGUAUGAAUGACAAGUAGGUUUAGUCAAAAUUUUUAGUGGAUAAGCUAUUAUUGAACCUUUAUUAUCACAAAUUUUCAAAAAUCAAAAUGUCAUGUGUUGAAAAUUUUAUUUUUCACUUUUUUUUUGUGAUUUUGUUAAAAGAAUAUGGUUAUUAAAACAAAAAAUGGUGCACAUGAUGCAUGAACUGCAAAUGAGAGAUAUUUGCUCUUAGACAAAUUUCAACACUAGAAAUUUUCAUUAAUUUCAUACAAUUUUUGUUACAUGAGAUUUAUCAUCCUAAAAUUAUAUUUAUAAAAGCAUUUGACUUGUUCAUAAUGAUCAUUGGCUUCGCUUAGAAAGUUCAUUAGGCAUUGUCCAUAUUCUCCUACUAGAUUGACUUCUCUUCUUAAUGCCUAUACCUUUUAAACCAUCUCCGAUGCCUUUUUCACUGCCUUGCAAACUUGACUGGUCAGGUGCUGUAUGUACUAUUGCCUCCUUGAGCUUUCUGCUUUUUAUCUCAUACUGGCAUCUCUUUCUAAUUCACUUAUGCAGAUCUAAUCUUUUUCUCUUUUUUGUCACUAAUUUAUUAUUGCUGAAAUAUGGUUCUUGUGAUCUUGCAGUUGUAGCUUUAACCCUUGGAUCACCUGGUGAAAUGAUUCCUUUAUGUUUAGUAUUUCAAAGUGCUUUCUUCUCUCUAUUGCAAGCAUAACUUUCAACCUUUCCUUUUCUUUUUGGCAUUCAACCAAUUUUACUAAAGCUGUAGAGUAUAAUCUCUCCCAAUUUUAACAUUCUUGAAAAUUUUUGGUGACCUCUUUUUUCUUUUCUUGAAUUGUGCCUUUUCAUUGGUUCAUUUUCUCUCAGAGCUCAUCUAUUUCAUGUUACCAACUAAAGUAAGACUUGAUGACAUUUUCAGACUUGAAUUAGACUCGUAAUCUUUUGUUUUCUUAGUGCAGAUUUUUCAAAUCAUUAUUAGCCAUAUCCCGUUCCUUUAUGACCUUAUCUAGUUGCUCCCUUCUACUUCUACUUCGUAUUUCAAUUGUCCCAUCUUUUCAUGAAGUCUCAAAAUUUCUUUUCUUAUUUUUUCUUUUUCAACUUUUAAUUCUUUCUUGACAAGCUCGACUUUUGAUAAUUGCACUUCUAUCUAAAUAUUAGCUGAUUGAUGUGAGCCAUUAUCAGGAAGGAGUACUAUGUCUCUCAAUUGCUUCACUUUCCAAAUCUGGUAAUCAAGAGUGACUUUGUUGAUGAGAGGCCCUAAUCUUAUUUUUUGCAUUUUCUUCCAUGCUUGGAUUAACCAUUUUGAUGUUCUUAGUGAAUUGGACUCUCUAUAGGUGAAUUCUACUUGAACCAAGUAAUGAAUGGCAAGAACGAAUUGCUUUGCAUUGAAUUACCUCAAUAACAUCAACAAAGCAUAACUUACCACAUCCUAUAGUCCUAACAAUGGUAUCUAUGGUUCAUUUUCUCCUCGAUACAACAUGGGCACUUGUGGCAUUCAUGGUGCCAUUCAUUUUAUUUCAUCCUAAAUAAGCCUUUGCAAGAAUAGAACCUAUUCUUCUUUAGCCUUCAAUGUCAGGCAUUGGCUUUUAUAGAAUUCUUCAAUUAGUGCCUUGUUUCAAGGAUAUGCCUUUGAGAAUGCACUAUUUUCACACUUAAAAUGACUUUUAACCCACACAUGUAACAGUGAUGCACACCUUAUAAACAGUCAUUUUUCAUUCUGUCAAUAGAAAUUCAAUGACUUAAUGGUUUUGGUUAGAAAUGCUAGUGUAGGAUUAUUUGUUUGGGUUUCAAUUUGCUCAAAAAAGUCCACCACCACUAUCUCGAUGUAGCCUAAGGUCUUUGAGAAGAUCACCAUGCUAUACAAUGCUGAGGCAAACAUAGCCAUGCCUUGAUCAUCAUCUAGAUGACUUUAAACCAAAUUAUAGAAGAAAUCCCAACGGAUACCAAGAUGUUCACCUUUAGGCUUUGUGAAAGUAUCUAUGGUUUUUACUUUAACCUUUAUAAGCUUGGCCAACUUGUUGCAAUAACCUAAUUUUGGCUUUUGAGUAAAUGCUUUAUCCAGACAUUAUAGUUCUAUCCCAAGCAAAAUUGAGUAUUCCUCAAUGGUUAGCACCAAAUUUUUUUGAUUAAAAAUGAAGCAUCUGUAGGAAGGGUCCCAAAUUUGUAUAGUUGUCUCGACCAACUGUUCAUUGAUCACUACUAAAAUGAGGGAUGUAAUCUGUAUAUACUUCUUGUAAAAGCUUUUUUUUCUUUCUUCACAUAACUGACCUCAGAUGAUGGAUAAGUCUUCUACAUUAUUCUGUGUGAGAUCCAAAUGCAUCUUUUCAUGUAAGUAAGACACAUAACCAGUGGGCAAACAAUCUCCAUUAUGUUACUGGGCUUCCUUUGACCAGACAUGUACUUCAUUAUAUGAUUCACAUUGGACAAUGAUAGAGAGUAAGCAAAUCUGUAAUUCUACAAUAUCCAUGAAGAACUUCUCGAGAGAAAGAUGUCCUAGAGUAAAUACCUCGAUAUAGAACUAUAUGAUAUGAUUUAAAUUUCAAAUUAUCUCAGGAGAAAGAUGUCUUAGGAAUCCCAAACUUUUUUAGAUUUAAAUUUUAAAUUUUCAAUCGGUCUAGCAAACUUUAGUGGCUAAAAUCCAUGCUGCCAAGUUAGACAAAGGUGUCAGGCAGCUGUGGCGCUGGUGCUUUUGGUGUAUUUAAUGCACAAUGACUUUUGGCCGAAAUGACCUGAAAAGGGAAUAAAGAAAGAAAGAAAAAUAAUAAUAAUAACAAAUAAGAAAAAUUGAAUCUUUACAGGCCAUGGCAUGUAGAAGGUUAGCCAAACCUCUAAACGUUACAUCAAUGGUGGAUUUUGUUAUGGCUUGAUCUCUAUUGCUCCAAAACACAACUAUUGACUAGUUGGUUGAAUUUUUUUAUCAAACUUGGUGUUAAAGAGGCAAACAACUUUGGAGGAAGCUAUUUUCUCUUGAAAAAUAUUACUUAAAAUUCAAACAAUAAGGAAACAUGGCAAGAAAAUUCAUGGAAAUGAUGAUGGAAAUGUAUGGAGGAUAAGGUAGAAAUAUACCUCCCAAAAGCUUCUCAAAAUUUUUCUUUUUUUUUUCCUCUUUUUACUUCUCUUUUUCACACUACUUCUUUGGCUACCUCCCCUUCUUUUCUUAGCCCUAAAUGAUGAACAUAAAGGCCAUGCAAAUGCAUGAUAGCUGUUGAUAAAAAAUGCAUCCAAAGACCACUAGCUCUCUUCCAAGUUUCCAAACAAUCACCUUUCACCCUUAGAUCAAGGUUUUUGAAAAAUCAAUGGUUUAUGAUGAAUCCAACAUGAAAUAAGGUUUUUGGUAUAACUAGCACAAUGUAAAAAGACCAUUUUACCUUUUUUAAAAGUUUUCACCUUUUUAUGAGAUUUUCUUGGAAAAACAUGAUCCCUUCUUUAUUUUUGUGAUUUCAAUGUGCCAAAAGAUCAUCAAAUAAUAUGAAAACAUGAUCUAAAAGUUUUCGUGAAAAAAUCGACCUCGAGAAAGUGAAAUCAUAAAAAUACCCCUAAAAGACAUUUUAAUAAUUUCACACCCCAUGAAGUACGAACAAGGUUUUUAAUGCACCAAUAAUCAUCCAAUAAUGUUUAAACAUAAUCUGAAAGUUUUCACUAAAAAUUAACUAUGAGAAGAUCAAAUUACAAAAAUACCUUUAGAGGACAUUUUGGUUAUUUUACCCUUCUUGAAGCGAUCAGAGUUUUUAAUGCAUUAAAAUCAUAAAUUUCAACCAAAAGCCUUGUUAAUCCCAUUUAUUUGUGAAUUUUGAAGAAUGACCCGAUUUUGAUCUAGUUCGAUGGAUUUUGAUCGAGUUUGACCAAAUUUAACAAAAUUUGAUCAAAUUUGUUUAAGUUUGACUUUAAGGCAUUUGGGUCAAAUUGGUUUCAAAUUUGACUUUGAAAACUCAUCGAUAUUAAAGAAAUGUUGGAUUGGAAUUGAGUUGAAUUUUAAAAACCUCACAACUAGCUAAAUUUUGAUUGAACAAAAUUAAAUAUCUAUAAAAGUCAAAAGGAUACUUGUUUUCUGGAAAUAGACGGGAUGGCUUUAUCAUCCAUUUCAACAUAAAGCACAUUUUGAUGAAUGAACUUAAAUUAUGGACCAACUCUGUGUAAUGCAAAAAGUAAUGUAUGCAUGAAUGAACAUUUUAUACUCAUUUAUAACAAAAUUGAAUACUAUAUUAAAUGAUAUAAUUUAAAUACCCUAAUUUAGAAGUGGUUUAAGACUUUCAAUUUUAUAUUUCAUGUAGUUGUGAUACUUGCUAAGUGUGAUAUUAUUUAAACAUUAAAAAAUGAUAAUUUCAUCUAAUAUUAUUUUUUAUAUAUAUAUAUUUGAAUGAGUUCAGAUUCUUGUUAAUGUAAUUAAUUAAUUAAUUUCUAGAAUUCUUUGCAACCAAAUAUAUUAUUAUUGUGUACUUAAUUGAAUAUGAAUAUUCUGUUAAUUACCAAUGCUUAUUAAUUGUCUUUGGGACUCGUAUUUGUGAAUAAUUCAAAUAUUAGUAAGUUUACUAUAAUGCAUCUUUCUACGUUUUUCUUAAUGUAUUUUUAUCAUAAUUAUAUCUUAUAUGUCAAUGAAAGAUUGGUUUAGGAAGAGAUUUUACAACCUUGAAGUUCUAAAUUCAAGUGUCACUGUAUGCAUUUGAUUCAAUUUUAUAUUCUAAUUUAUUUUAGUUAUACUAUAAUUUUUUUUAUUGAUUAUUCAAUAUUUCUUAUUUAUGACUAUUGAACUUGAUUAUGAUUGUAAUUUUAAUUUCUUAAAAAAAGUCAUAUAUUUCAUUUGAUUGAUUUUUUUUUUUUUAAGGAGAUAAUUUGAAAAUGACUUUUAAUCCAUGUAAUAGUAGUGUACACCCUAUGAAUCAUCCUUUUUUAUUCUAUCAAUAGAAAUUCAAUGACCUGAUGGUUUCAACUAGGACUACUAGCACAGGAUUAAUUGCUUGGGUUUUACUUUGCUUGAAAAAAUCUACCACCAUUAUCUCGAUGUAGCCCAAGAUCUUUUGGAAGAUCACCAUGCCAUACAAUGCCAAAGCAAACACAGCCAUGCCUUGAUCAUCAUCUAAAUGCUCUUAAACAAAAUUAUGAAGAAGUUCCAACGAAUACCGAGAUGUUCACCUUUAGGCUUUACGAAAGAAUCUAUAAGCUUGGCUAACUUUUUGUCAUAACUUGAUUUCAGCUUUCGGUAAACACUUUAUCCAGACACUGUAGUUCUAUCCCAAGCAAAAUUGAGUAUUCCUUAAUGGUUGGUGUAGACAUGAAUUUUGUUUGAGACUUUUUUUUCAACAUGAUUGACACAGGGCUCAUUUACAAACAUGGGCCAAGACCAUUUAGGAAGACCAUUUAUAACCCAUAAAGAGCUCACAAAUUCAACUAUUCAGAAACCCAAAGUCAACUUGGAUCAAAUCUAAUCAAACAAAGUCAAAAUUGCACAAAAUUUGAUCAAAAUGGAUGAGAGCUCAAUCAAUUCUAAAAAUUCAAAAUCUAAUUGAAAUCAACAUGGUUUAAAAUUGAAUUUGAGAUUUUUUUCAAAACACUAAAAUUUUCAUAGUGUCUAAAAAGGGCAAAAUUACCAAAAUACCCUUAUAGGUGUAUUUUCAUAAUUUGACCUUCUCGAGCUUGAAUUUUUGUGCCAAGUUGCAUCACAUUAUAAGAAAUGAUCUUUUGGUUUGAACUUUUUAAACAUAUGUUUUGAGCCAAUUUUAUCCAUUUCUUUUAUGAUUCCUUAUUAUAUCCUAUACUACAAUACUUAAAAGUCUAUUUUGAUCAAAUAUGAAUGCUCGAAUUAAAUGAUCAUGUGUUUGACUAUGGCAUGUUUCUGAUGAAGUAAUGGAAUCGUGUUAUGUUCUUGUAUUUUAAAGAUUGAUAUGUGAGAGAUAUCAAUAGUGGAUGAAGAAAAAAUUAAAAAUUAAAAAAUUAAAAAAAUGAAAAAUGAAAAUGAAAAAAAAGUGAAAAAGGUGAAAAAAUGAAAAAUGAAAAAUGUGAAAAAAAUGAAGAAAAAGGAAAGAAAAGAAAGACUCAAAUUGAAAACCUGAAAAGGUAAUUUAGGUAAAAAAAAGUCUAAGCUGAGAGUUGGAUAAAUAGUUCAACACAUGGAAGAUGACAUCUAAAGAUUCUCCAAAGCUGGGGCAAAGUUUGAUGAGCUCUAAAAUUAUUUUGAAAGUCAAUGGAAUAAGUUUUUGAAAAAGAAUUCUAGAUUAAUGUUAAGAAUUGUCUAAAUAUUCAUUGUUUGGACAAUUGCAUCCCUAGUGAUAUGCUUUGAAUUUGUUCCUUCGCCUAUUUAUUUUUGUACUUGACUCAUUUUUAUAUUGACUACCUUUUUUCCAAUUCACAUUGUACUUUUUUAUUUUUUCAUCCCCAAAAUAAAUUGAUAAAAUGUAUGAUUGCAUUAUAUUUUUCAUUAUUUGAAAUAAUAAUUAAUGAAUGAUAAUGUUCAUAAAAGAUUCCUACAUUCUUUUAAAAUGAAAUCGAGGAUGAUAGGGGUAAAAAAAAAGAAAAGAUGGAAAAAGGCUUGAAAAGAUGAUUUGAAAGGACACAUGGGGUGACCAAGUGAUGAAUAUGGUGAUGGAUCUAUGAUCAAAUUAUGAAAAUAAUGGGGAUUAGUGGACAAAAUUUGUUAUGAAAUUGUUAGUGCUGAGAAACUAAAAAUGAAAAAUGUGAGAUGGUGGAGUCAUUAAGAACCAUAUUACCACAAUUAAUUAGAAUUUCAUGUUAGUGACAUUUGCAUUACAUGCAUUAUGUUUUGCAUUACAUGCAUUACAUUUGCAUUGUAGUUUGAACAAUACAUGUAUAUAAUUUGAUGAAUAUUUAAAACUUUGGUUUGGCUAUGCACUUGCAUCAUGCAGUGAACAUUUGAAUCAUGGUUUAAAGUAUGGCAUCUGCAUUAUUAUGAGUAUCUAGAUUGUUGCAUUUGCAUUAUUAAGAAAGUAUUUGCAUCAUGAUCAUGACAUUCAUUACAUACAAAAUUUUGACUUUGAUGAAAAAUUGAGAAUUUUUAUGACAAAAAAUUUUAAACUUUUUGAGGAAAGCUUUUUAAGAUAAGGUUGGGAAUCCUCGAAUGAAAAAAUGUUUUAUAAGGAAAACAUUUAGAAUUCUAAAGUUGUGGAGCCUUUUAAAGGAGCAUUUUUAAUGUUAAAAAUGAUAAGAAUUUUUGUCUUUAAGUUUAAAUAAGAAUCUUUAAGAAAUUUUAAAUGAGAAUCUUUGUCUUUGAGUUUUAAAUGAGAAUCUUUGAAUGAGAAUCUUUAUCUUUGACUUUUAAAUAGGAAUAUUGAGAAUUUAUGUGAAUCUCCAAAGUUUUUUGAAUCUGAAUCUUUGAAGAAUCAAAUGUGAAUCUUUGAAUUCGAAUGAGAAACUUUGAUAUUUUAGAAGUGAAUCCUAAAGUUUUUCAAAUAAAAAUCUUUAACUUUUUGGUGUGAAUCUCUAGAAUUUUAGAGUGUAAAUCUUUAAAUGUUGGAUGUGAGCCUUGCAAUUGUGAUAUGAAUCCCUAAAUUAAAAUUUUGGAUGUGAAUCUUUCAAAUGGAGUCUGAAUUCUUGCAAAAUUGAAACUUUGAUAACCGUAAAUCCUUGCGAACGUUAAAUUCUCAUGAAUCUAAAAGCUUACAAACCUUAAACUCUUGUGAAUUUGAAAAAUCUUGUGAAUCUUAAAAUCAUAUGAAUCUAAGUUCUUGCAAAUAUAAAAUUUUGUGAAUCUUUGUGUCUACAAAUCUUAAAAUUCUUGCAAAUCUGAAUUUUAUGAAUCUUUGUGUGUUGCGAACCUAAAAAAUCUUAUGAAUUGAAAUCUUGCAAAUCUAAAAGUCUUACGAAUAUUCGAAUUGCAAACCUUUGAUUUUUGAAAUAGUGAUUUUUUAAACUCAAAUUGUGAAUCUUUGAGCUGCAACUUGCAUUACUAAUUGACAAAUUACAAUGUUUUUGAAUAUUUCAAAUUGUGAAUCUUUGGAGUUUUGAAAUUUUGUAAUUGUUGUUAAGCUAUAUCCGGACGUAAUGGAUAUUUAUAUCUUUGCAUAAUUCCUGUUUCAUAGAAAAUGCGUAAAAAGGGGUAGUUGUAAACACUCCAUUUUGUCAUGGGUUUAUAUUUUAUUUAUCUUUUCAAUUUAAUAAUAAUAAUAAUAAUAAUAAUAAUAAUAAGUUUUUUCAUGAAUCAAUGUGAGCAAGAGUUAGAAUUGGACUUGAUUUGUAAAAGGCUAAAUUUUAGUUUUAUGAUAAUACAACAAUCUUAUUAAAGUUGAAUCACAAUCAAGCAAAAUUUCCUUUGAUUGUUUCUUAUAAAUAAACUUGUUAUCAACAGAGAAAGGGGGGAUAUAGAGCAAGCAUAGUUUUUAAGAGAAAAAAAUAAAAAAGAAUUCAGUGAGCAAAUAAUUUUUUUGAAAGAAAAUAAGGCUUCUGUCAAGGAUUUUUAAGUUGAUUGUGAGUUUAAUCAGGUUGAAAAGUGGUUUAGAAAGAUUCUUGAAGAUUAACGGGUUAAAAUCAUAGAAAUUUUUCUAAAAUUUUUUUGGAAAAUUUUAGGAAUUCCAGAAUUUGUUUGAAUUUUUUAGUAAAAUUCAAGUUUUCCGACAAGAUUCCAGUGAGAAACCCAUUUUUUAAUGACUAACCCAAAUUCUGAUGAUCCAACCAGAAUCUGGUUGAAGUCUUUCUAGCAUAUUCCCAGUUCUUGAUGUUGUUUCCUAGAAUUUAAUGAAGGAUUCAAUUGGUGUUCAUAUGUUUUAGAGAGAGAGAGAAAAAAAGAAAAGGCUAAAGAGAAAGAAAGGGAAAAAGAAAUCUAAAAAAAAUAUUUUUUAGGCUUUUAUAUUACAAACAAAUGAUGCCAUUUUGAUCAUAAAACCUUUAGGAUUCGUGUGCUGCCCCAAACACUCGACCUGAUCCGCAACACUUUGACCUAAGAUCCUUCCUUUUUAAGCUACUGUGGAGUUGAGCUGUUAGUCAGCCAAGCCACAUCUCUAAAGUUAUCUUUUGUGUCUGGAGCCAAGUCAGUGUGAUAACCAAGCCGAGUUAGUCCUUUUGUUUUGGUUUUUUUAUGGUUUUUAUUUAUUUUUAUUUUAUGUUAUUAUUUCCUUUAUUCAUUUUUUGUGAAAUAUUUUUGCAUGAUUAAAAUUUUAGGAAAACUAUAAAAAAAAUAUUAAAAUUAAACAUAAUAAAAUUUGAAAAAUAAAUGAUAAUUAUCUAAUGAUGGAAUUUUUAGAAAUUACAAAUGAAUAAUUUUUAUAAAAUUUCUAGGUGAGAAUUUUUCUUCUAAAUUUAACCUAAAUGGUGGAAGAAAUGAGAUGAAAAUUAAAAAAUAGUUAUCAUAUUAUUUUCUUAAGGAUUAAGAAGUAAGUGAUGAAUAAAUAGAAUAAAGAUAUUUCUAAAUAGACCUAAAUGGUGAAAAAUUUAGAAAUAAAACUUGUAAAAUAAAAAUAAAUUUCGAUGAUGAAAUUAUUAGUAAUCACAAAUGGAUGAUUAUCUAAGAAAUUUUUAGGCAAGAAGAUAUUUCUAAUUUUGACCCAAAUGGUGGAAGAAUUAGAUAUAUUUUCAAUAAAAACAAAAAUAAAAAAUGAUUAAAUCAUUUUUCGAUAAUGAAGCCUCUUCAAGAAAACAAAUGGGAUUCAUAUAUACUUUCGAUGUGAGAAAGUAUUUUUAAGAAUUUUACUAGAUUGAUGGAGAAUCUUAAAAGUUAUUUCCAAUAUUUAAAUGUUAAUAGAAGACCAUUAGUAUCAAAUCUUAGGAUAAUUUAAAAUAAAAUUGUAUCAGCAUUUCGAUGGGUAUGUAGGGGUGUUAUAACAUUCCCUAUAUGUAAUCAAAAUCUUGAACCUUAUUCUGAUUAGUAGACCAAAACUUAAUCUUUAAAGAUCUUUAGUCAAGCUUAGGAGCUUCUUAAAAGAAUAGAUUUACUAGAUGACCAAUCACACCUAGAAAAAAGAUUGGUGAUGGCUCUUUAAAGUCGAGUCCAGCUAUAGGUUAAUGGAUUUAUAUGUUAUGACAAUAAGUUUUAAGCCUAAUUUAGCUGGCAUCUAAGUUUUAAACCCAGCUUAGCUAGCAUCAAUCAAAAUUUAAGCCCAAAUUAGCUGGCACAUAAGCUUAGUUUAGCUAGCAUGUAAGCCCAGAUUAGUUGAAAAAGUACACACCUUUUUUUCCCUUUAAGUGGUGAGAUCUUUUUGAAUCAAUAGAAAUAUCUGUAUACAAAAUCAUUCAAUCCAUUAAGAGAAAUAAUUUUGACUUCUUUCAUUUCUAAUAAGGAUUGUCAAUUCUCCUAAAAAUUUAAGUUUAUCCAGGUUUUAAGCCUGGUUUAGUUGACACCUAAUGAAAAUUUAAGCCUAGUGUAGCUGGCACUCAAUCAAAAUAUAAGCCCAAUUUAGUUAGCAUCAAUGAAGUUUUAAGCCUAGUUUAUCUAGCACUAAUGAAAAUUUAAGCCUAGCUUAGUUGCCACUUUGUGAAAAUUUAAGCCUAGCAUAGCUGGCACCUAGGUUUUAAGCCCACCUUAGCUGGCACCUAUGUUUUAAGCCCACUUUAGCUGGUACCCAAUGAAGAUUUAAGCCUAGCUUAGCUAGCAUUCAAUGAAAUUUAAGCCUAGAUUAUUAGACACUCAAUGAAGUUUUAAGCCUAGUUAGUUGGCACCUAAUGAAGUUUUAAACCCAAUUUAGCUGGCACUAAUCAACAAAGUUUUAAGCCCAACUUAGCUGACACCCAAUGAAAUUUAAGCCCAGUUUAACUGAUCUCUAAUGAAAAUUUAAGCCUAAUGUAGUUGGCACCAAUAAAGUUUUAAGCCCGGUUUAUUUGGCAUCAAUGAAAAAUUUAAGCCAAACUUAGUUGGCACCCAGUAAAAAUUUAAGCCUAAUUUAGCUGACACCUAGGUUUUAAGCCAAGCUUAACUAGCACCCAAUGAAGAUUUAGACCUAGCUUAGUCGGCACUUAAUGAAAUUUAAACCAAGAUUAUCUGGCACUUAAUGAAGUUUUAAGCCUAAUUUAGUUGGCACCCAAUGAAAUUUAAACCUAGUUUUGUUGACAUCCAAUUAAAAUUUAAGCCUAGUAUAGUUGGUACCAAUAAAAAUUUAAGCUUAGUUUAGUUAGCAUAAUAGUCCAGUUUAGCUAGAAUAUAAACCUAAAUCAGUGGUCACCCAUAUUCGACUUGCAGUUUAAUCCUGGUCAUCCUUAUCAUUUGACCCGUAAUUUAAUCUCGGUCACUUCACUCGACUUACAGUUUAAUCCCAAUCAUCCUUACCUUUCAACUCAUGAUUUAAUCCCAAUCAUUAUAAAAAAUAAAAAAUAAAAAAAUGAAAAAAAACAAAGAAUAAUAAUCUUCAAAGCCCACUAAUGGCCUAUUGCUAACCAUUAAACAAAAAAUAAAUAAUAAAAAUAUAAAAAUCAUUAAAUAAAAAAUAUAUAAUAAUAAAUAAGUAAUAUAAAUAUAAAAAAAUAAAAACAAAUUAAAAUGUUAUACAAAUUCAAAUAUAUAUACAAAUAAAAUAUAAAAAAUAUAAAAAAUAUUAAAAGAUAUAUAUCAAAAUUAUAAAGGGAGUUUGACCCAUAAUAAAGUCCUAAGAGCCCAUAAAAUAUGGCUUUAACCUAAAGAUUAAAGAAGCCCAUUUGGCUAAAAAAAGAAAAAUUGUAUGAAAAGCCAAAAUACAUGCAUGAAAUUGGGUGGCCAACAUGGGAAGCUGCUGGAAAAAAAAAUACAAAGAGAAGAAAACUACAAAGGGUAACAUGAACAUCAGAGCAAAAAGGCAUGAACAUGAGAAAGGGGUAUGGUUUGAAGGCUUCGCAUUGUAAAAACUGAAGAAAACUAAAAAAAAAACUAGCACUGGAAUUGAAAAAAUUAUAGAGAAAACCAAAAAAAAAGAAAACCAAAAAAGCAAAAAAACCUGAAAAGAAAAUGUGGUGGAGGCAAAAAAGGGAUGUUUUUCAAAAGAGGCAUCCAAGGCAUGAGGAAAAACUAAAAGUGCAAACUUGAAGAAAGGAAAAGGGAAAGGAGGAACAUUCAAGCAAGAAGAAAACCAAGGGAGAAUUUUUGGCAAAAAAUAGGAGAAUAAGCCAAGAGAAAAAGUAGCAUUUGGGUGGAGGAAAUAAAAAAAAAAAAAAAAAGAAAUAGGGAAAAGAAAGAGAGGAGAAAAACCAAUGAAGGAAGAGGUAAAAAAGGCAUAAAAAUGGCAGAAAAGCCAGUUGCAAGAAGUGGCAAGCAAACAGAAAAAGAAAGAGGCGGGCAUUUGGACAAAAGAAUAAAAAAAAAUUGAGCAAACCAGUAGCAAAUAGAAAGGAGGAAAAAGAAAAAAAAACACUAGCAAGUAGGCGACAAGGCCAGUAGAAAAAGCAAAAAAAAUAAGGAAGCUACAAAAAAAACUGGUAGCAGAAUUAAAAAAAAGGGGUAACACAAAUAGUAGCAACAUGAGAAACCAAUUGCCAAAAGAAACAAGAAAAAAAAAUGAAGAACUGGGGUACUCAUUUUUUGCAUGAAGUGGUUUGGUAUGAACUUAAAGCUCCAUUAGGUUCUGUUUGCAUGAAAUUCAUGCUUUGCAUUGAACUUGUCUUGGUUUUCCUUUUCAUUUCCUUUGCAUUUGUUUAAUAUAUCAAGGUUGCAUGGAGUCAAGGUUCAUUUGUUUCUAUUUGUUUUUUUAUCAUUUUUCAUUUUUCUGGUUCGACAUACUUUGUUUGCAGGAGCAUAAGCCUUCAUUUCGUGCACUGCAUGGGGUAUACUUUCUCUUGUAGCUUAUAUUCAUUUGGGAAUUAAUUGAAAAAAAGCUUUGAUUCAAAAGAAAAUGCAUUUAGGAAACCAUAUGAGGAGUAAACCAUUUUUUUUUUUGUUAUAUAUACAUUUCAUUAUUAUUUUGUUAAUAAACAAAGACUUAAAACAUGAGGCUGAUAAUUUAUUUUUAAAGAUUAUUUUCAUUUAUAUUUCAUAUUAUUCAUAUUCAUGCACAUUUUUUAUGUUGGUUAAGCCUGGUUAUUAUUUAAGUUUCAUGAAUUUCAUUUUCCUUGUUGAUCACAUUUCAAUGUAUAUUUUAAUUUUUAUGCAAUUUAAUUCUUCAUGCUUAAAUUCCAUACUUUGAAUAUAAUUUACUUCCUAUAUAUUUUUAGAUUUAUGCAAAAACUAAUAAUGAUAAUUUUUUUAAAAAUAUAUAAAACAAAAUUAUGAAAUCCUAGCCUACAUGUUGGAAGGAAUAAAAACGUUUUUUAAAAAUAAUAAUAAUAGUUCUGCUUAGAUGUAGGAAAAUUAUUAAAUAAAAAAUUAAAUAAUAAAAAAUUAAAUAAUAAUAAUAAUAUUUUAAUAAAAAAAUAUAAAAUAUAAAAAUUCAUUUUUUAGAGAAAUCGAAAAAACAAACUUUAUCUAAAAGUUUACCUAGAAGUUGGAGAUUUCUAAAGAGGUGUGUAAAGUUUUGAAAUAUUAAAACAAAACUCUAAAUGGAAUCUUAAAUGAAACCCUAAACCUUAGGUAAACCCAAGAACCCUAAAAUCCUAGGUGAAUCCUUGAACCCUAAAUGAAACCCUAAAUCAUAAGCAAACCCUAAAACCCUAAGGUGAAACCUUAAAUUCAUUCCAAACCUUAAAAUCAUCCCAAGAUUCAAGAGUUGAUAUGAAAACUUUUUAUGAAAUAAUCUAUUCCUGAAUGUUGCAUAGAUGAUAAGGUAUUUAAGAAAAUUUAUGUCAUUAAGAAUUUUUAUACAUUUUUUGCAACUUAAAAUAAAUUUGUUUUGUUAAAAUAAAAAAUAUAUAAAUAUAAAAUAAUAAAGAAUAGAAUGAGAUUUUAAAUAUAAAUAGUUAUACCUAAACUCUAUCUAGAGAUUGGAAAGUCUAAGUGAUCUUUUUAUAUUUGAAAAUCUGAUUCCUAAAUUCGCAUUUUAUCAUCAUUUGCAUGCAUCUCCUUUUUUUAUAUUAAUGUGUACAUGUAUAAUGCUUAUAUAUGUUUAUUCUAAUUAUUGAUGUUUAAAAUUAAUUCUAUUAUAUUUCUUUUUUUUUAUUGCAUAAAAAGUUCUUAAAAAAAUUUAGUUUCAAACGAAGAAAACUAAAAUAGCUUUUCAUGAAAUAUAAGUGUUGGCAUUCUAUCUCGAUGUUGGAGAGUUACCAAUAAUUAUCAUUUACAAAGAAUGUUAUUUUAUUAUUUUAUAAGGAAUGUUGCGAUAAAUUUUAGAUGAAAAGAUUAUUUUUGAAUUAUGCUUUUAUGUUAAAGAAUUUGAAGGUAUUCUUCAAUCUAAAAUUUUCAUAAUAUUUUUUAAUAAAGAUUUUUUAAAAUUAAUUUUCUUUCUAAAAGAUGAAAAAAAUUAUAAGUAAAUUUUAUAUAGAAACCAUUUUUGUCCAAAGUUAUAAAUACCACAUGAUUAAUUAAUAUUAAUUUUAUUGGUUUUGUGGGGAUGUUGAUCUUUCUUUACGCAUAACCGACUCCUGAACUUAAUCUUAUUUCAUAGAUCAAAAUUAUCUUUAUAAUAAAUUUUAAACCCGUUUUAUUAUUUUAUUAAAAAGAUAAAAUUUUUGGAUAACUAAUCACACCAUAAAAAAGAUAUUGGGGGUAACUCCCUGUAUUUUUUCACGAAUUUUAAUUUUUACAUCCAGCAAUCGCGUUUUCAAACUGAUACAUUAUGACAAGUAUAUUCUAAUUACUUUGAAAUUUCAGUUGUAUCCUCUGACAAUAUAUGUUUUUAUUUUUUUCCUUCUAUUUUCUUAAUUUUAACCAAUCUCUUUUAAUAGUAGUACGUAGUUGUUCAAAUUACAAAUUAGAACCUUAUUAGAAAAAAAAACAAUUAUUAUUGGGAUAAAAAAUCAAGAUACCAGAGUUUCUAUCUAGAGAGAAAAGAAGGUUGCUUUGCCUGAAGCUAGGUGGUGACCAGGUAUUCAUCCACGUCAACAUAGUUGUUGUUAAUUAGAAGCAUUCGCAACAAGCUUAUCACGUUCAGACUCUUGUAUUGAAAUUUUGUUGAAUUUAGCAGUUGGAGAAUAAUGUAAUCAAUAGAUGGAAUUGGAGAAUUGCUAUUGAAAGCUCCUAGUGUAAGAAUCUUAAAAAGUUUGAAUUCAUACGAAAUGUGAAAUUUGUUACUUUUACUUUGUUCUCAAUGUAAUAUCUUAAUGCCUAUUUUACAUUGUGUUCUAAUCCUACUUUGCUUGUUACUUUAUACUAUAACUAAAUUAUAAUCCAUGCGGUGCAUAUGAAUAUAUACAUAUAUAUAUAUAAACUAAUUUCUUUUAAAAAUUAUAUUCAAAUCUUUAAAGCUCAUAGCAUAUAUAAAAUUUAUAAAUAUUGACUUGUCAUUAAAAAAUAAACUUUCUAAAAAUAGUAAAAAAAAUUAUGUUUUUCUUUUGGAUAUUUUUGUUUACAAUAAUAUUUAUACACCUAUAAAAUUUUAUCAAAUAAAAUAAAUUAUAUCUUUUUUUAAAAAAUAAAAAUAUAUAUUAUUGAAUGAUAAAUUAAAUAAUAAAAGAAUUAUUAACACAUUUUCACUUUAGUAAUCUUAACUAAAUUAUUAUACAAAAUAUGAAAAAAGUUAAAAAAUAUGUGAAAAGAGAAAAAAAAUUAAUUUUUAUAAGAAUAAAACUAUAAUAAUAAUAAAAUAUAUUGUAGAAAAAAUAUAUAAAUAAAAAAAACAAAUUGCAAUAGUAACAGAAUAUACCUUAAAAAAGUUACUGAAAAAAUAAAAAAAUUGAUGUAUAACACAUUACAUUUGUAAUCUUAAAUUUGUAGAAAAAUAUUUUAGUGACAAUUAGGAUUAAAUAGAUAAUUUUUAAAACUUAAAAUGGAUAUAAUAAGUGAUAAAGAUAAUAUUAAAAUUUUUGCAUUUAUUUGAAAUAUAAAUUUCAUAAUUAGAGUUCAAAUAGAUAUAAUCAUUUUGAUAAUCUUAUUAUUUAAAAAUUAAAAUAAAAUUUUUUUGAAUUUUCAAAAUCUUACAUCAAAUUGCUUGAAUUUUUAAUGUCUUACGUAAAUUUGUUAAAUCAAGAUAAAAAAUUUGUUGAAAUAUUUCAAUAAACUUAAUCUUUAUAAUUUUUAAACAUGUUUGAAAGAUUUUGAUAAUUAAAUAAUUUUUUAAAUUAAAGUUAUUUGCUAAAAGAUUAAAAUUAUUUAUUAAAAACUAAAGCCCAUAUUUCAUAUUUUUAAUUUUAGAAUAUAUAUAUAUCUCUAAAUUGAUUUGAUUUUCAAUUCUAAUUUAAAUAAUUUUAAAAUUUACAAUUUUUUAAUUUGUAAUUAAAAGAAACUAUUUUAUUUUUUAAAAAACUAUCUUACGUAUCAUUUAAGAGAGUUGUUCACAUAGAUGCUUGUGUGAUAAAUUUAUUUAUGUAUUUUGUUACAUAAUAUAUAUAUAUAUAUAUAAGAUAAAAGUAAUUUUUAAACUUUAGAAAUUAGAUAAUACUUUUGGGAGUUUUAGAAGGAAAGACCUUCUAAUUUUAUUGCACUUUUGAGUAGCCAUCAAAAAUAUUUUAUUGUACUUGAAAUUUUUUAAUAGUAGAACAAUUAUUUAAUCCGUAAAUGUAGAUAAGUGGCCGCGCCAUGUAAAUUAUAGUGCAUUUUGGUUUGGUUGAUUUAUCUGUGUGUUUUUCCGUUGUUUCUUGGACAAAUUUUCAACCGAAGAGCAAAAGUCUAGGCUUAGGCAAAGCUUCAGAGCAAAGGAAGUUAAACUAUUAACGAACAGCUUUCCUUAAUUGUCACAUGACUGAAACGGCACGAUGACACCAAUUUUGUUCGGCUUAAUAUAUAUGAGGUUAGCUAUUUUGAAUACAAAAUCCAACUCCUUCCAAACCACUAUCACUAACGAUAAAACUGUCUAUAAACUAUACCUGUACAUGGAUUUAAGUUUGAACAUUAACUCCAUUCAUUCUACCAUAUUUAUCAGACCAAUUCUGAUAAUAGUCUUCAUCAGAAUAUCUUCAAGGGCACGAAGAUAAGCAAGAAGUGAUCUCAAAGUUCCUAAAACAAGUAUGUUAUUCAGGAAAUUUUUUACUAUAUAAGUGAAAGGAUUCAUCAAAUUUUAGUGUGCCUUAUCAAUUUUCAACUCUUCAAUCCUAGCAGCUACCCCGCCAUGGCAUACAAAAGCCAGUACCAAUGCAUUUGUUUGGCCUUAAUCUUCACAGUUGGUGCUUUAGUUUGUCAAGCCACAUCACGCUCUCUUCAAGAUGCAUCGAUGUAUGAAAGGCAUGAGCAAUGGAUGGCCCGUUAUGGACGAGUGUACCAGGACAACAAUGAGAGGGAGGGACGUUUCAAUAUUUUCAAACAAAAUGUGGCUCGCAUAGAAUCUUUCAAUAGUGCCAAUGACAAACCUUACAAGCUCGGUGUCAAUCAAUUUGCAGAUCUUACAAACGAAGAGUUCAUUGCUUCUCGAAAUAGGUUCAAGGGCCAUAUGUGUUCCAACAAGGCUACGACUUUCAAAUAUGAAAAUUUCACUGCAUUACCUUCUACCGUGGACUGGAGAAAUAAAGGAGCUGUAACACCUAUUAAGGACCAAGGCCAAUGUGGUAUGUUCAAAGUUUUUAUAAGAAAUAAUGGUUUUUGGUUCUUCUAGCUAAUUAUUAGUUCUAACUGUCGAUGUAUGAUUGAAAUACAGGAAGUUGUUGGGCAUUUUCGGCUGUGGCAGCCAUGGAAGGGGUUACUAAACUAGCAACAGGUAAGCUAGUUUCCUUGUCUGAGCAGGAGUUGGUUGACUGUGAUACCAAAGGUGAAGAUCAAGGCUGUCAGGGUGGUUUGAUGGACGAUGCUUUCCAAUUCAUCCAGAAAAACAAAGGCCUCACAACUGAAUCGAAUUACCCUUACAAGGGAGUUGAUGGCACAUGCAAUACCAACAGGGAAGCCAACCAUGCAGCCAAUAUUAAUGGACAUGAAGACGUGCCAGCCAAUAAUGAAGAGGCAUUACAGAAGGCAGUUGCAAACCAGCCGGUUUCUGUUGCUAUUGAUGCUGGGGGGUUUGAAUUCCAGUUCUACUCAAGUGGUGUAUUUACAGGAGAUUGUGGCACUGACCUAGAUCACGGUGUUGCUGCUGUUGGUUAUGGAGUGGAUGCUGAUGGGACUAAGUAUUGGUUAGUAAAGAACUCUUGGGGCACUAGCUGGGGUGAAGAAGGGUACAUUAGGAUGCAGAGAGAUGUUGGCGCAAAGGAAGGCCUUUGUGGCAUAGCAAUGCAAGCUUCUUACCCUACUGCUUGAACUUCAUUACCAUAGCCUAUAUAUAUAUUCUGCUCUCGAUGUAAUAUAAACAUAUUUAAAACAAACAUGAGACCAAUAGGAACUAUGAUGUCUGCUUUCAAUAUCCUAUAUGUGCUUGUAUUUUCUAAGAAAAAGGAAUUACUGAAGGAAUGACUUGUGUAUUAUAUAUUACACAUUAAAUUAUUUAUCUACUAUCGUCUCACUUGCACAUCUCAGCUCUUUUAUUUUUUAAACCACAAUUUUAUGACUAUUCCAGUGCCUAUAUAUGGAAUACUAGUGCCAUUUUUUAAAAUAGAAGGACCAUUAAUUCAUCUUGAUUCUGUGUGCUAACGGAAGUUCCUUUUGUGAGUUUAAGAGGGAGAGUGCGAAGGAAGUAUCAAUAUUUGAGAGAGUUGAGAAAACCGCCAUAACUAAUAAAAAUAGUGAUGAGCACAUCAUGUGGAAAAAAAAAAUGAUGACUUGCAGCAGCAUCAGCUUGAAUUCUUGACAAAUGAACAGUAGAAAUGGAGUACUUGAUAAUUAGACUAAAAGGUCUGAAGAGUGAGUAUAAUCAUCUAUUUUCUUACGAAUAUCAAGCAAGAAAAAUGAUCCGCCAACUAUUCUUCUUCCCGAGUAAUCCUAAAAUUUUUUAUUCUUUGUUAAAUAAUUAUUUAUUUAUGUAUAUCGAAAAAAUAUAUAUUCAAUAAUAUUAAUAAUGAUAUAAUUAUAUUUUUUUCUUUAGACACGACGAUAAUUGUAAUAAUAUAGAAUUAUAUUAUUUCAAAUUUUUAUUUACAAAUUUUUACAUAUAUUAUAAAUUGACACCCUAAAAAUAAUUUGGGUCCGUUGUUGGUCUCACGUGAGCCAAAUUCCCAUUGUUGAGGAAUCACUCAACUCCAACUCCUUUAUGGCUCCACCAGAUCAUAUUGGACCUCAAACAAAAGUUAGAACACAACACAUUGCGACAUUUUAGCUUCAAUAUUUAAGGUUGCUAGAUAGGGCUUUGUAAUCACUGGCGGGUUUGGGAACCCAAUAGUUGAACGUAGGGAAAAAGGCAGAUAAAAAGUAUUUUUCAUAAACUCAAAAUUGGAGAAUCAUCAUCAAUUUUUUUUUAAUAUGAUUGGUUAUCCAAAAAUUUUUAUUUUUUUAAUAAAACAUUUAAAACAAGUUUAGAGUUUAUUAAAAAAAAUUUAUUAUAUGCGAAAUCAAAAUUAAGUUCAAGAGUCAAUUACGCUUUGGGGAAAUAUUAGUAUUCCCACAUUGCCCGUUGAAAAUAAUACAAUUGAUUACAUGUUAUUCUUAAUUUUGAUAAAUAAUCCCAUCAUGUGCACCUCCUAAACUCUAUGGACUUGCAAUCACUUGAAUUACCAUUUUGACCUUCUUAUAGCCGAAAGUUACCAACUUAAAUGUUGACUGAAUUUCUUUUAUUUUUCUUCCAAUAUUACACAUUCUAACUUCCACUUGAACUUCACAAACCAAAUCUUGAACUUCUUUUCAUUCUUUAACUUCAAGAUUUCCAAGAAAUUAAUAACUUCUAAGAACAUCAACAGCUUCCCUUCUUAUGCACAAAAAAUAUCAAGAUUGAUCAAGAAUCAUCAGAAAUCUUCCAGAUUUAACUUUUUUCCUCAAGAAAACCUACAAAAUAAAAAAUUAUACCAUUUAGCUAUAAAAAGAACAUUAUUUUGUUAAGAAAUCAAGUAAAAAAUUAAUCAUUUAAGCACUAAAAAUAAGCCCAAACAACUUUAUUUAUAGAGUUAUCAACCCCCCAACUUAAACUUUUAUAUGUCCUCAAGCAAAAAUAAAACCAAACUAGAUGGCAUGUUAGACAUCAUCACACACUCCCAAUAUUAGAUUCUUAUGAUUCCUCAAAAAUGGCAUAAUGACUAUAUCUUAAAAGAAAAUCAUAAGCAUAGAUCCAACACAAAGUUCAUUUAAGAAUAAGCUUGCAUUCCACUCACAAAUUUUCAUGUGUGUGUAAAUAAUCUAUCUCCAAUUAAUUCGAGAUAUUUAACUAAAGCUAAGCAAAUAUGAAAUUAACAAAUCACCUCAAAGCAUGCACAAAUCUCAUAAGUUUGCUUUUCACAUACUCUUUCCACUAAUAUAGCCACAACUUAACCAAAGAUCAAUAGGUUUUUAUUAAGCUUGUAAUGCCAAGUUACGGUUAAGGUAUGAUAAAGGGAAAUUUAGGCUCAUAAACCCCAAACAUGCAUUACAUAGGAUCUGCACUUUUAUGAGAGAACUUCCAAGAAAAUAUAAUGCCCCUAAACUUAAAUUCUUUUUUCUUUUUCUUUUCAAACAAUAACUUUUUAUUGAUUUACAUGAAUACCUUACUAUUUUUCACUUUUUUCUCUUUCACUAUUUUUUCCUUUCUUUACUUUUAUUUUUUUCUUUUUUUCUUUGUUGAAAAGCUAUUUUUAGCGUUUUCUUUUUCUAUCCUUUGCUUGAAACUGAAUUUUGCAUAAUAAUUUCAACUGCAGACUCCACCCUUCCUUUCUAAAUGUAACAUAACUCUUAUAUUUCUUUGAUUAAUCCAUAUACACAUAGGGUAAGGUAGAAAGAAAAAAACAAUAAAUCAAUGGGGUAGCUAAUUUAUGUAGGUGAAAAACAAAGAAAGGAAUAUAUAUUUAUUAGGCUCCAACAGGGGUAACUAGGGAUAAAUAUAAUAAAGGUUAGCUUGAAAGGCUCAAAUGAUCCAAAGAUGGCCUAAAUCAUCUCCCUAGUUAAGUGUGGUAUAAUAUUUCACCUCAAAAGAUGCUCUAACAAAUUCUAAAAUCAAUACAUGACUUCAAAGAUCAAUGCAACUUCACAUCUACACAACUUCAACUAAAUAUACUUACAUCUCAAUGAUCAAGACUAAGUAUGUUUGAAGAAUAUGAAAAUAUUGCAAGUAAAAAGAAACUACUUCAAGAAUUUAUCUCAUGCCUUUACUACAUUCAAACUUUUUAAAAAGCUAUAUUUAAAGUCAAUUAAGGUUAUUAUCAUUGGAUUAUGAGAAAAUAAUCAUAGGAAGUGUAAUGAUUCUAACAUGACAAAAUAAGCUCAAAAAGAAAUUUUGAAAAAAAUUUUGAAAAAAAUUGGCAUAAAUUUUCUUUCCCUUUAAGUUAAAUGACACAUUGUCCCCAAUUUGUGAAAAUAAAGCAUAAAAGCAUGAAAGAGAAAAAAGAUACUCUUACUCCCCUAAAAUGGUAAUGGCUGAAACUGCAUUGAAGAAAUCCACCAUUGCUAAACCUUAUUCUAGCUUCCUUGCUCUUAUUUCCUACAAAAACAAAAUAAAGAAAACCAAAGCAUUACAUGUUCUUAACAAAUCAAACUAAAAGUAAAUAUGCAAACUAAAAAUUAAAAACUUGGGUUGUCUCCCAAUUAGUGCUAGUUAGAGUUAAGCUUGACUAACUCUUUCUAGAACUCUUCAAUCACUUUAUCCUUUUAGGAGGGAGUUUACCUUAUUGUAUUCUCCUUUGUGGUAUUACAUAGACUGAGUUACGUUUAGGAGGUGUACUCAUUUUCCUUGCAAGAAUAAAUCAAGUUGAACUUGGAUUCAUUUUUGGCCUAGAAAUUUCAAGUUCAUGCUUGUAAAAGCUAAGGCUCAUGGGUUUUGCCAAAUGGUCUUUCAAUAACGGACUAGGAGGUUUAGAAAUUAAGUUCAACUUCCUAGGUUUAUCCUUUUCCUUAACUCUUAUUAUUGCUUGAACAUCCUUCUCAUCUCUAAGGAUACCAUAUCCAUCAGUUAUAAAUUACAUUUUCUUGUCCUUAAAUCUCAGUGUAAGAUCACAAUUAUAUACAUCAAUCAAGGUUUUGGAUGUCAAAAACAACAAGGAUGCUUCAUUAUCUUCCAUUUCUAGUACCAUAAAAUCCACAAAAAUGUAUAUUUUCUGACCUUUAGCAACACAUUCUCUAAUAGUUUUUACGAUUUCUUUAUAGAUCUAUUAACAAACUUAAUAGUGCAAUUUGGAUAUUUCAAAACACCUUUUCCUAGUUGCAUGAAAACAUUCAUAGACAUUAGAUUUAUAUUAGAUUUAAGAUCAUAAAAAGCUUCAUCAAAUUUUAAAUGACCAAUUCUACAAAAAAUAGUAAAACUCCCUAGAUCUAUUUUUUUUUAAGAAAGAGAUGUUGAAGUGCAAGACUACACUCUUUCACAAAAAUAGCAUUCUCCAACUCCUUGAGUGGCACUUUCGGUAUAGAUCUAGGUGUUGAUGAUGCUACUUCUAAAGUUUGUCUUUGAUGUUCUUUUUCUUCAUCUUCUUCAGUUAGUUCAUAUUCCUUAUUUUCAUCUUCUUCUUUAAUCUCUUCCUCACUAGGAUCAUGUUUUAUUUCAUCAUGCAUAGACUUUUCCAAAUAAAAAACUUUCCUCAAAACCCUAUUUGACCCAUCUUUUUUUAGGGUAAAAAUGCUAUUAACUUGUUCUUUACCUUGUCUUUUAGGGUUGUGCUUAGUAUUGCUAGGUAAGGUUCCCUAAGGGCAAUUAUUGAGGCCAUUUACAAGCUGACCAACUUGCACUUUAAGGUUCUUUAUAAAGGCUACUUGGUUUUGUAAAAUCUAAGUGAACAUUUCUUCUAAGGAUGGUUUUUUUUCUUGGGUUAUGGAGGUGGAUGGUGUUGUUGUGGUGGUGGUGGUUGGAAACUAGGUGGGUUAACAUGUCUAUUAUAGGAAUUAAAAACUUGCCCUUAGUUAUUACCCUAUGAAAAAUUAGGAUGUUGCUUCCACCUUGGAUUGUAGGUAUUAGAGUAUGGAUUGUAUUGUUGCUUGGGUUGAGCAACAUAAUGGACUGGCUUUACUCUAAUGGGACACUGUCAUAACGUAUAGAUUCAUGGACUUAUCGCUAGAUAUGAUUUUUCAGGAGUUGCCACCAAUCUUUUUUGUUUAGGUGUGAUUGGCCACCUGAUUGAAUUUGUCCCAUUUAAAAGGGAGUUCCAAGAUUAACUUAGGUAUCUUUAAAUAGUAGAUUCUGAUCCAUGAAAUCAUAUUUUAGGUUCAAGAGUACAAUUACCUGUGAAGAAGGUUAUAGCACCCCACAGACCCAUCCAAAAUAUGAUACCAGUUUGAUUUCAAAUUAUCCAAGCCUUAAAUAUGUUUAUAGUUUACCAAAAUAUUUAUUUUUGAAAAUUAAUCUUAAAAUUACCCCAAUUGUUUGGUAGUAAUUUAAUAUAAUUCUCUUACCUCAUGAGUAUUCACGGAGACUAGUGUUUUAUUUUGAAGAGGCUCCAUUUUCGGAUUUAUUAAUGUAUUUUAUUCAAAAAAAAUAGAAAAAUCCUCCAAUAGUUUGGUAGGAUUUACUUUAAGGCAAAUCUUUUAAUAGUUUAAUGAGAUUUUAUUUGAAAAUGGUUAUAAAAAUUUUAUUCUUUCGAGAAAACUCAUUAAAUCUCCUAAUAGUUUGGUAAUAUUUAACUUGAGAUGCAAUUUUCCAAGAGCUUGGUAGGAUAAAAAAUCAUUUUUUUCAUUUUUUUGAAUUUUAUUUAUGGAACUUCCAAUAGUUUGGUGGAUUCCAUAAAAUUUAAAUUCAUAAAAAUUCUCUAUAGUUUGGUAGGAUUCAUGAAUUUAUUUGAAAAGAUUUUUCCUUUAUUUUUUGUUUCUUUUAUUUCUUUAUUUUUUUAAAAAAAAAAAAUAGAAUUUUAUAAAAUAUUUAACAAAUAACAAAUUGCUUAAUAAAAAUAAAUAAAUAAUAAAAGUUAGCAAAAUAAAUAAAAAAUUGAAUAUAAAAUAAUAUAAAAAUAUUUCAAAAUAUAAAAUAAAUAAAAAUAAAAUCAAAAAAUAAAAAUAAAAAUAAAAUGAAAAAAAGGAAACCUGCGAUCAAGUCAGGUUAAAGCACAGGUCAGCAUGCGAAUCAAUGGGUCACAUACAGAUAUGGGACCUUUAAAACGAUGUCUUUUGGUUUGCUAUAAAAGCCAAGUUCCUCAUUUUCUCUUUAAAAGCCUCAGUCUCCUCUUUUUCUCGCCUCAAACACUCUGACCUCUCUCUAAAAAAACUAAGAAUGUUCAAUCGAAAACUGAAAAUUUUCAUCGAUUUCUAGAAAAAUAGUCAAAAUCCCAUGGAAAGCUCAAACCUUGCUAAAAAAUUUAACUGAAAAUUUCAAAAAUUCAUCCCAAACCUAGAUUUUUUUAGAUAUUUCUUAGAAAAUCCCAUAUUUUUGCAAAAAUCUAAUCUUCAAUCAAGAAAUCUAGAAUCUCAAGCCCCACACUCCAAAACAGAAAUUUGAAAUCCAAACCGUUCCUAAAACUAUUAAUUCUAAACUUCCAAAACCAAAAUCUCAAAACCUAACCACCCAGAAAACUUUUCAGAAUUUUAAACACCAAACAUUUUCUCCUUCCAAAAACCAAUCAUCUCGUUCUUUCAGUCUUUUAUUCAAUUUAUAGCCAUCUUUAGUAGAGAUUUUAAGGAUAAGAUAGAACCAAUCCUGGGAUUGGAUUCUGCUCGAACCUGAUUUUAAAACUAAUUCUUUAAUGAUUUGUUUGGACUGAAUGAAAAUCCUUUGAUUUGGUUUUGAUUGACUCUUUGACCGAGUAGACUGAAUUCCCCUUUACUCCUAAUUCUACGAUCGUAGAUUGAAAAAAAGAAAAGAAAGAAAAAUGAUAAAAUAAAAUAAUAAUAAUAAUUAUAUAAUAAUAUAAUAUAUAUAUAAUAUAAUAUAAUAAUGCUAUAAUAUAAUAGUAAUAAUAAUAAUAAUAAUAAGAUGCUAUAAUAUAAUAAUAUAAUAAUAACAAUAAUAUAAUAUAAUAUAAUAUAAUAUGAUAAUAUAAUAAUAAUAAUAUAAUAUACCAUACUAUACUAUACUAGUAAUAAUAACAAAAUAAUACUAAUGCUAAUAGCGAAAUAAUAAUAGUAAAAAUAGACUCCAAUUGACCCCGGACACAGAUAGGUAUCUAUAACUGUCCCUCUUUACAUAUUCUUUUUAGACAAGGAUGAUGCAAAAACCUAGACAUCCAUUUUGUUCUAGUUUAAAAACAAAAGCCAAAUCAAUAAACAAAAAUGACUGGGACUAAGCCACAAGUCUAAAAAAUGAUUUGGACUGAUCCGAGAUUGAACAACCGAGAUUAAACUACAAGUUUGGAAAAUGAUCUGGACUAAGCCAAGAUCGAGCGACCGAGAUUAAACCAAAAGUUUAAAAAGUUGAUUUGGACCAAGUCGAGGUUGAACCUAGGUGACCGUGGUCAAGCCAAGGUUAAACGAUGAUUUAGAUGGAGCUGAGAUUAAAUGACCAGGAUUGAAUCAUAAGUCUAGAAAAUGAUCUGUAUUGAGCCAAUAUCAAGCGACCGGGGUUAAAUCACAAGUCUGAAAAAUGAUCUAGAUUAAGCCAAGGUCGAGAGAUCGGGAUUGAACCGCAAGUAAAAAACUAUUUGGACUGAGCUGAGGUAAAAAAUGAAUGAUAAUGCAAUGACACAAAUGCAUGUCCUAUCUAGGAUGCAAAUGUAAAUACAAUGUAAACACGGUGUAGUGCAGAUGUUACUAAAUAAAUGCCAUGAAAUUUCAAUUAUGGUAACACAGUUAUCAAAACUCCAUCAUCUCAUAUAUUCUAUCUCAACUUCUCAGCAUUAAUGAUCUUAGAACAAACCUCAUCAUUCGAUCUAUGUUGUUGCCUUCAUUUGGUCACAACUCACAAGUUAUAUUGAUCAAUCCAUCAUUGUAUUUGCAUCUGUGUUUGCCCCAUUUUUUUUCAUUUUUUGUUUUAUUUUCUCAGGCUUCCUCUCAGGCCUCUCACUUACCUCAUCUUAGAUUUCUUUCAAAAAGAUGGGAACAUUGUCAUUGCAUUUAUAUUACCAUCAUUCAAAUUGGGGUGACAAACAUGAUACAUUUUCUUGAUUUCAUUCAGGGGAUGUAACAUCUUAGUAAUGAAUAGGAAAAAUGGAUGCUUAUUAUGAAAGAAAAAAGAAAAGUAUGGUCCAAGAACAACUCAAAGAUAAAUGAAAGCAAAAUGAUGUGACUAAUGUAACAAGAUAAUCAACAUCUAGAAUAAUAACAGUUUUAGACAAUUUGAAACUCUAACUUAGAAUUCUCUUUAAAAGACACAUUCCAUCAAUAUUUUCAAUCUUUGAGCCAAUCAUCAUCUUCAUUCCUGGGACCCUUACAUGAUGUUGUUUCUUCAAGUUUCCAUCUUUACUUAAAUUGCCUUUUCAGGUUUUCAGUUUAAGUCAACCCCUUUUUUUUUUUUUUUGCACACCUUAUUCUCAUUUUUUCUUUUCAUUUCUCAUUUCUCUUUAUCAAUCAAUGACACUUCAAUCAAAGUUUUAAAUAAUCUAAUGACAAAUCUACCUUAAUUCAAUUCAUUAUUCUCUAAUUUGAGUAUUCACAUUCGAUCAAAAUGAACUUUUAAAAGAUGUAACAUAAGGUGAUGGGUUAUGAAAGAAAUUAAUGAAACAGGUCCAAAUUGUAUUUAAAGUGUUAUCAAACCAAGAAUCAUUUUUCAUGUAGAGCACAUUAGCAUUUUGCCCUAUCAAUUUCUUCUUUAUUUUUUUUUCUUUUUUCUUUUUCAUUAUUUUUCAAGAAAAAUUUGAGCACAAAAGGGCUUUGCCUUUGAAAUCACUAAGGAUAAACAAGCUUCUCAAACUUUGCCUCCUAGUGUAGGGGUGAUCUUUGGUUAGGAUUUCUUAAAAAAAAAUUUUAACAUGUUCAAAUAGGGUAGCAAAAGAUAAUUUUAUUCUUUUUUUUUAAAGGUAGAAGAAAGAUGACCAUUUUUUAUCUCAAACAUAAAUACUCUUAAUGAAAAACAUUUAUCGAUCAAGAGCAGGCCUAUGAAUGAAUAAUUGCAAAGAUCAUGUGUUACAUCACUUCUAAAAGUCUUCUCUAGAUUUGUCUUUUUUUUCAUUCAAUAGUCCUAAUGAAUUAGCAAUCUCUCUUUAUCAAUCAAAUCAUCAUGAAUGAUGUCUUCAAAAAUGAAUCUUGAAUUAUCAUCAUAACUAUCUAAAUAUUCAUUAUUUGGAAUCAAAGAAUAGAUAUGAAAAAAAGGUAUAAGAAGGUAAAAGUAAAUAAUGGUGACUCACACAAAAAAGAAUGUCAUGAAAAUGCAUCAAAUCUGUCAAUUUUAUUAAAAUGAUGAAAAACAAGAUGAAAUCCAAGUACAUAAAAGAGAUCCAUAUGCUUAAGAAAUCCUAAGAUGAUAAUAAAAAAUCAGCCUCCCUAUAAUCAUGCCUCUGGGUGAUUGGACAAUGGGUUACCAUUGACAUUAGGUGUUGUGUUUACAUCGGUGUCAAAGCUUAUCAACCCUACUUUAAUUAGACUUUGUAUUCUAUGUUUCAAAAGGAUAUAAUUUUUGAUAAAAUGACCAACCACCCUAUAAUGAUAGUCACAAUGAGCAAUGAAAUCAUACCAUUUGGGAUAAAGAAGUUCAAAUUAUUUUGCACGAAUGGGAGCAAUCAAGUGAUUUUUGUAAAACUUUUGGUAUAGUUUUAUGUAGCUCAUAGGAAUAGGAUCAAAAGUAGGUUUUUUCUAUUUCAUGAUUCUUAAACACCACUUGUUGGGUAGUUAGAUGAAUAGAGGGCCUAGUUCUAAAUAGAUAAAAAGGUCGUGUAGUUGAUUGGUAGGGUGAAACAUAAGCAUGACUUAUAGUACAUGAUAUGUAGAUAGAUCGACGGAGGGUAGUUUCUGAAUUACUGUCUUUCAAAACUCACAACUUGAGUCUCACUUUCAUUUUUCUUAGGCACCCUUUUAGCAGCAAAAGAUUCUCUUUCUUCUAGCUUAUCAUUUUUAUUGCAUUUUCAAUGAUCUCACCCAAAAUCACCAUAUCAGUAAAAUUUUUAGUCACAUUCCCUAUCAUCUUCUCAUAGUAUGGUAACUUUAAAGUGCUUAUAAAUAGCACCAUCGUUUCUUUCUAUAUUAGUGGUGGUUGUACUUAAGUGACGACAUUUUAUCACCUUUGGGCAUACUCUUUGAAAGACUCAAAUGCUUUUUUCUCCAUUCCUUGUAAUGAAAAGUGAUUAAGAGCCAUAUCUAUGAUGUGAUGGUAUUGGUUGAUAAAAGAUUGAGUUAAAUCUUUCCACGAUCUUAUGCGAGUCCUGCCUAAGUAAACAUACUACCUUACAACAAACUUGCUUAAGCUAUCUUGGAACAUAUGCAUCAGUAAUUUCUUAUUGCUAGCAUGUGUUACCAUCUUACGAUAAUACAUUAUGACGUGUGUAAUGGGACACUUAGUACCAUCAUACUUCUCAAAUUUUGAUACUUUAAAUUUUGGAAGAAGCAUAACAUUGGGACCAAAUAAAGGUUGGUUGCAUUCAUGAAGCCAUAAAAAUCUAUUCAUUCAAUAGCUUGCAAUCUUUCUUCAAUCAUGCUUAUUGUUUGAUCAGUCUUAAAGUUUUUUGAAGACAUAACCAUUUGCAACUUCGUUGUUUCUUUUAUCUCAUUCAGAUUGGAGAUUUGGAUGGGUUCAUUUACCUUUUCAGUGAAGAUGGGAUUAGUGUAAUCUGAACAUUCCCUUGACUAGGUGCACAAGGCAUUCUUAAGUAACUAUAACUUAGCAACGUGGUCUAUUGUGGCUAAAGUUUGAAAUGAUUUAGGUUUGAUGCAAAUCGAACCCUGAAAGAUACAAUGACUCAGUAAUUUCAUGUGAAAUAUCUCCUUCUACUACUUUCCCUUUGUUUAUCUUUUCUAGAGCUUUAAAGAUCUUACUUAGCUUCCCCUUAAUUAUCUCCUGAGCUUUUUCCAGCCCUUCAAAAUGGUUUAGGUUAUCCUAUUCCAUCUUUUUGGCUCUAACCCGGGGUAAUAUUAGUGUUGAGCUAUGCUUAAACUUUAAUUUCUCAUAAUGUGUAAAUUUACAAUGAUGUCUAUGGAACCCUCAGAUUGUGCAUGAACAUAAAUGCAAAAACAAAAUUCAUGAAUGCAAUAAGGAGAAUUUACUACAUAACCUUCAGAUGCUGCAUCAAAAUGAAUGUAAAAAUAAAAUGUUUGAAUACAAUAAGGUGAAUUUACCACAUAACAAUUGUUAUCAAAGAAAAUCUUUAUUGAAUUAAAAAUCAUUUUUAACCAAAUCCAACAUUACAUCCAUGAAAAAUCUAGAACUACUGGGAAAAGAAACCCAUAACUCGUCGAUAUUGGCUUUGCACUUUAUUAAAGAAAUCUAUCAAUUUUUGACUAUGUGCUCCCAUUGGUGGCACCCUUGCUUUCUAUUUUUCAAUCUUUUCUAUCAUGUCCUUGGCUUUGUAAAUAGCCAUAGUGAUUCGAUCAAAUAGAGACUUCAACUGGUUAUGUUUUUUUACAUAUGCUUCAUACACUUUGCUCACUUUUUUAGUCACAGCCUUUAUUUGUGCUCUAAUUCCCCACCACUACUCUCAUUUAGCAUUGAUUGCUUUUGUGCUUUAAAACAACAUUUCAUCCUUUCUUGUUAGCUUUGUUGGCAAUUAUUUGUUUGUGUAAAAAUUGGGCAUUUCUAAAUAGUGGUUGAUCAUGUUGUGGAUAAGUCAGUGAAAAAAUCUUUCAUGCAUCGUUUUUUGUUCAACAUGCUGAACUUCCCCUUUUGCUCUUGUUGCCAGUGGUCAACUCUUUAGACCCCUUUUUAGACCUAAUACAAGACUUGGCUAGGUUGUCCAUAGGAUGCAACUGAGAUUUUCCCCUUGUAAAAUUUUUUGGUGGCAAAUAUUCUUAUGAUAACAUCUAAUGAUGUUGAAAUGCAAUGAUAAAAAAAAGGGUUAGUAAAAAAUAAUAUUAAAAAAGCAGUAUAUAGGAUACAAAGUGCUUACAAGUAAAAUAAACAUCCAAUCAUAUGUCCUAUUUAGGAUUUUCUAACACAAGGGAAGACAUGGUUCUAUUUAUGAUUAGGCUUUUAAAGUUAACUAUACGCGGUUUGAAUUACUUUUAAAAGGUUCUCAAAUUGUUCCUUACAUCAUUGUCCAUCACAGACUAGUAAGGCACCCUAAUCUUCGCCCAUCAUAAGCUACAAACAAAAAUGAUCCAAUUUUAGUGAGAGUAUUUUGUAGGCCCAAGUGGAGACAUGAAAUCUCACAACGGCAUAGGUAGUUGACUCCUUCCUAAAGGUAAAGCUUAGGUGGAGAGCUUAUGUUAUGCACCAUGCAAGUAAGUGAUAGAUAUAUAUAUAUAAAUGAAUAACUAAAUAAAAUAUAAGCAAUGAAAAGACAUAAAUAGGAAAAUAAUUUCAAUUUUUUAAGCAAGGCUUGAAUAAUAAGAAAUCAUUUACUAGCUUCACUCUUAAUGUCCCUAGUGGAAUCAUCAAACUGUCAUAAUAUAUAAAUCUGUGGACCUAUCGCUAGAUGUGGUUUCCAGGAGUUGCCACCAAUCUUUUUUAUUUAGGUGUGAUUAGCCACCUGAUCGAAUCUAUCCCAUUUAAAAAUGAGUCCCAAGAUUGACUUAGCUAUCUUUAAAUAGUAGAUUCUGAUCUAUGAAACUAGAUUUUAGAUUUAGGAAUAUAGUUACAUGUGAGGAAGGUUAUAGCACCUCUAUAGCACCUAUCCAAAAGAUGGUACCAAUUUGAUUUCAAAUUAUCCAAGCCUUAAAUAUGUUUAUAGUUUACCAAAAUAUUUAUAUAUUGAAAAUUAAUCUUAAAAUUAACCUAAUAGUUUGGUAGCGAUUUAAGAUAAUUCUCUCACCUCAUGAGUAUUCAUGGAAACUAUUGUCCCACUUUAAAAAGGCUCCACUGUCAAAUUUAUUAAUGUAUUUUAUUCAUUAAAAUUAGUAAAGUCCUUCAAUAGCUUGGUAGGAUUUACUUUGAGGCAGAUCUACUAAUAGUUUGGUGAGAUUUUAUUUGAAAAUAGUUAUAAAAAUUUUAUUCUUUCACGAAAACUCAUUAAAUCUCUCAAUAAUUUGGUAAGAUUUAACUUGAGAUACAAUCCUCUAAUAGUUUGGUAAGAUAAAAAAUUUAUUAUUUUUCAUUUCUUUUAAUUUUAUUUAUGGAAUUUUCCAAUAGUUUGGUGGAUUCUAUAAAAUUUAAAUCCAUGUAAAUUCUCCAAUAGUUUGGUACGAUUUAUGAAUUUAUUUGAAAAUAUUUUUUCCUUUAUUUUUUAUUUCUUUAUUUCUUUUUUUAAAUAAAAAUAAAAUUUUAUAAAAUAUUUAACAAAUAAUAAAUUAUUGAGUAAAAAUAAAUAAAUAAUAAAAGUCAAUAAAAUAAAUAUAAAAUUGAAUAUAAAAUAAUAUAAAAUUUGCAAAAUAUAAAAUAAAUAUAAAUAAAAAUAAAAUGAAAAAAGAAAAACCAACGAUCGAGUUGGGUUGAAGAGCGGGUCAGCACAUGGGUCAACGGGUCAUGUGUGAAUCUGGGACCUUCAAAACGUUGUCGUUUUGGAUUGCUAUAAAAGCCAAGUUCCCUGUUUUCUCUUCGAAGCCUCAGUAUCCUCUCUCUCUCUAGCCUCAAAUGCUUUGACCUCUCUUUAGAAAAACCAAGAAUGUUCAACUGAAAAUUGGAAAUUUUUGCCAGUUUCUAGAAAAAUAACUGGAAUCCUAUAAAAAAACUGAAACAUUGUCGAAAAAUUCAACUAAAAAAUUCAAAAUUUCAUUCCAAACCUAGAUUUUUCUAGAUCUUUCCCAAAAUUUUCCAUAAAUCUAAUCUUCAAUCAAGAAACUCAUAAUCUCAACCCCCACACUCCAAAACAAAAUUUGAAAAUCCAAACCCUUCAUAGAAUCUCUAAUUCUAAACUUCCAAAACCAAAAUCUCAAAACCUGACCACCCAAAAAACUUUCUAGAAUUUUAAACACCAAACCUGUUCUCCUCUAAAAAAUCAAUCGUAUUGUUCCUUUAGUCCUUUAUUCAAUUUAUAGCCAUCCUUAGUAGAGAUUUUAGGGAUCGGUUAGAACCAAUCCAGCCUUGAAUCCUGGGAUUGGAUUUUGCCCAAAACUAAUUUUAAGACAAUUUUUUGCUGAUUUGUCUGGACUAAAUAAAAAUCCUUUAAUUUGGUUUUGACUGACUCUUUAACUGGGUAGAUUGAAUUCCUUUGAUUCGAUCAAUUCUAGAAUUUAGUUUCUUAAUUCUACAAUGAAAAUUGAAAGAAAGAAAGGAAAGAAAAAUGAUAAAAUAAUAAUAAUAAUAAUAAUACUAUAAUAUAAUAAUAAGAUACUAUAACAUAAUAUAGUAAUAACAAUAAUAAUAUAAUAUAUACAAUAUGAUAUAAUAUAAUAUGAUAAAAUAUAAUAUGAUAAUAUAAUAAUAAUAAUAUAAUAUACCACACUAUUCUAUACUAGUAACAAUAAUAAAAUAAUACUAAUACUAAUAGUAUUGACCCCGGACACAGAUGGGUGUCUACAGACACCUAUCUAAAGAAUGGUUCCUUCCAUAAUUAUCAUAAGAAACAAAAGGACUUUGAAUGGCAUUAAUAGGACUACAGAAAGGUUAGAUCCUAAGUUUUCAAUCUUUUUGGCUAAGGCUGAAACUUGUGAAGUGAAAGUAUUAAGUGCAUCAAGUUCAUAUACCUCAACCGAUUUCUUAGGCACAAACCUCUCAUUGGCCCAUUCAUACUUAUUCAUGGCCAUUUCUCUAUUCAAAUCAUAAGCUUCAUUAAUGAACUUACCCAUUAAAGUGCCACCAUUAGCAACAUUAUGGUGGUCCUAGUUGGACCUACUAACCCAUUAUAAAAAAUUUGAACUUACAACCAUUUAGAUAGGCCAUGGUGAUGACACCUCCUUAAUAGCUUUUUAUAACUCUCCCAUGCAUCAAAAAGAGAUUCGGCCUCAAAUUGCUUAAAAGAUGUAAUGUUAUCGCGCAUCUUAGCUAUCUUAAAUGGAGGAAAGAAAUGGGUCAAGAAUUUUUAAACUAAGCCAUCCAAGUAAUAAUUGGACCAAGAGGUAGAGAUAUGAGCCUACUCUUUGCUUUAUUCUUGAAAGAAAAUGGAAAAAGUCUUAGUUUAGUGGCAUCAUUAGUAACACCAUUUUGUUUAAAAGUAUCACAAAUCUCAAGAAAAUUAGUAAGAUGAAUGUUGGGGUCAUCACUAGGUAAACCACAAAACCAAAUAGAGUUUGGAACCAUAUUGAUAAUAGAUCAUUUUAAUUCAAAAUUGUUAGCCUAAAUGACUAGCCUACUAAUGCUCGACUGAAAACCAUCUAGCUAAGGGAUAGCAUAGCCUUAAGUGUUCUCUUAUUUUCUUGUAUUUAAUCAAUCAUAGAUGAAACAAAAGUUGUUUGCUUCUUACCUUUUUUAUCUUUCCAAGUGUUUUUCUCAAUUUCUUUAUCUAAAGGUACUAAACUAGCACUCUUAAUCCUUGGCAUACAAAACAAGAAUAACCAAACAUAUUAAAAACAAGAAAAAUAAAAUUUAAGCUACAAAUAGAGAAAUUAGUAUUGAUAUUGCACAUACUCCUUCAACAAUCCCUGACAAUGGUACCAAAAACUUGAUGGGUAAUUUAUAGGUGCACUAAAUCGUUCAAGUAAAUAAUGAUAAGAAUAAGAGUACCAUCCCACAUAUAUUGUGUAUAUGAGAUCAUAAGUACCAAAAUUGUAUAUUUCACACUUAUACUUAGAUAUAUCAAAUCAAAGAUAAUAUAAACUAAUGAAAUAAAACCUAAAACAUGCACUGCUAAUAUAAACCAAACUAAAUCAAACUAAAAAAAUAACUAAAAAUAGAUUAAACAGAAACCGAAUAAACAAGUGUAACAAAACCCAAACUAACUAAGCAAUAAUAAACCAACUAACAUAUAAUAAACCAUAAACUGAAAUCAACUAAUCAACUAAACAUGCAAUAUAAAUCAAAAGCAGUGAAAACCGAAACUAUAAAGAUCCAAUAAGCAAAACUAAAUAUAAACCCUAAAACAAUUAACAUGCAAUUUCAAUAAAACCAACUUAAACCAAAACAUUACUUAUCUUUAAAAUCAUGCAAUAAACUUAAAUUAAUCUUUAAACAUGCAAUUAAACCAAAUUAAAUCAAAAUAGAAAUCAAAUUUAUCCAAUAUAUGAAAACUGAAAAUAACAAAAUCGUAAUCUCAUGCAAUUUCCUAAAACCCUAAUAUAAAAAUCCUAAACAAAUAAAAUGAACCCUAAAUAUGCAAUAAUAAAUUAAAAUCAAUUAAAAUAUCUAAAACAGAACUUAAUUAAAUUCAAAAAGUCUUAAACCAAAUAGAAUAAGCAAGAACUUAAACAAAUAAAUCAAGAUUUCAUCCUAAACAUGCAAUCUAAACAAAUUAAGCUAAAACUAAAUUAAAUCCAACCUUAAACUUGAUAACCAAAACCUUUAAUAUAAAUUAAAGUUACAAUUGAAUAAAUUGAACCAGAACAAAAAAUUAACCAAAAAGAUUAAACCAAAAAAAAAAAAACAACUUGUAAACAUAAAGAACCAAAAUCAAAAAGAAAGAUUCAAUCUUUAAACUAAUAACACUAAACCAAAUGAAAAGAAACUUUAAACCAGAAUUUGAUUGGUUGAAAAUUUAAAAACAAUAUGUAUAAAUAAUCUUGAAAACCAGAAAAGCAAAAGACCAUAAAAUCUUUAAAAUAAAAGCUUGAAAACUAAAGACAACUUAAAGAAAACUUAGAAACAAGAACCCUAAAAAUCACUAAUAAGUUGGUUUGUCACCCCAAUCCCUUACACCCUUUAUUCUCAAACUUAAUGAUGUAGUUAUAGGCUAUAAAAACCCUAGAUAGGUUUGACCAAGAGAUCUUGAAAAAAGCUUGCACAAUUUCUGUUGGAAUUGAACUUUUAAAUCCAAGAAUGCCUCUUGUAGUUGAAUCCAACAAGAACUCUUUAAAAAGAAAGCUUAUAAAUCAAUCUUGACUUUUAAAUCAUAUUCAUCCUUAUUCUAAUCAUGUAGCAACUGACAUCAUGCAUAAAACAAUACUAUAACUAAAUCUUGAAUACCCAAAGAAUUGCAUCCGAACAAAAUACAUAAUCUUCUUAAAUGUUGCUUCAAAUUGCCUUGAUCUUAUAUCCAUCACGUAGUCUAUGCUUGCUUGACUUCUUGCUUGAAAAAUUAGAGUUUUAAACCAUGUAGAAUAUUUCGUUAGUGUCACCCAUAAAGAAUCGAAUUAAAUACUUCGUGCAAUCUUACUCCAAGUAGGAAUAAGAAUACCAACUCAUAAUCUAUAUAGGAAAUCCAAAUCCAAGUAGGAUAAGUAAUUAGAAUUACCACCUCAUUAUGCCAUAUCAUCUUUCUUAACCAAUAAGGAAACUCUUUAUACCAUAUCAUCCAAUAGUAAUCCUAUGCAUGUGCACCUAUAUAAGCUACCAUGGACUUGUAUUCACUUGAAAUUACAAUUCUAACCUUUUUUAUAGCCUAAAUUACCAACUUGAAUCUUGCAUGAAUUUUUCUCAUUUUUCUUCAAGAUUGCAUCAUUCUAACUCCAUUAAACUUCACAAAAUAAAUCUUGAACUUCUUUUCUAUUUUUUAGCUUCAAGAUUUUCAAGAAAAUUAAGAACUUAUAAGAACAUCACAAGAUUCCUUCUUAUACAUAAAAAUCAUCAAGAUUGAUCAAGAAUCAUCAAGAAUCUCUCAAAUUUACCCUUUUCUGCAAGAAAACCUACAAAACAGAAAAUUAUGCCAUUUAGGAGUAAAAAGCAUAUUAUUUGCUAAGAAUCAAGCAAAAACCAAUCAUUUAAGCACUGAAAACAAGCCUAAAUAAGUCUAUUUUAUAGAGUUAUUAGUGGGAAAGUUUUACUAGCCAUUAUGGAUGUUUACACUUCAUGAGAGCAUAGCUAUUUUACUUCUUCUUAUAAAGGAUUAGAGCUCGCAUAUAGAGCUUAUGCAUGUAAUAUAGAUGUGAGUGUGUGCGAAAGAACAUACAAAGCUUUCACAUUUUUCUAAAAUAACCCUAUCCAAAAUGCUUCACAAUUAUUAAAAGUAAAAUAAACAACAACAAUUUAAAAUAAAGGACAUGAUUAAAAUAUGCAUGAAAUGUAAAACACACAUAUAUUUUUUUUUUGGAUUUUAUGCUCUUUAAAGACAAAAAAUUAAAGUUAAAACAUUUUUUGAUUUUUUUACUUUUUUGGAAAACAAGAAAAUUAAAAUUAAGAAAUUAAGAUUAAAUAUUAACUAAGACCAUUAAUCCAAAAUUUAGGAUAAAUUGUAAUCAUUCUUUGGCUUGACUAUCAAAAAAUGCAUUCCCUAAAGAAGUCUCAAGCUGUCGUAACAUACGGGUCCAAGAACCAAGUCAUUGGACAUAGGGAAAAAGGCAAGCAAAAAUUAUUUUCAAUAAAAUCAAAAUCAAUGAAUCACCACUAAUUUUUUUUUAAAUGUGAUUGGUCACACAAAAAACCUUAUCCUUUUAAUCAAACAUUUAAAAUAAGUUUAAAGUUUAUUAAAUGAAUAUUUGUGGUCUGCGAAAUCAAAGUUGGGUCAUGGAGUUGGUUACACAUAAGGAAGGAUUAGCACCCCACAGUGCUCGUUGAAAAUGAUACUAAUUGAUUGCAUGUCAUCCUUGAAUUUUGGAAAAAACAGUCUUAUUAAAUGUUUAAAAAUUAAUUCCUUUCUUUUACUUGUUUAUUCAAAAAAUUGAAUCUUUUUUUAAAUUUUCUUUUGAAGGGAAAUAUUUUUUUAAUCUUUUUUUGAAAAAGAAAAUAAUUUAUUUUUGGAUCAAGAUAAAAAAUCACAAGUAUCAAGAUACUUCCUUCACUUCCCUAUAUUUUGGUAGAGUUUGAAAAGUGCCUCUAACUUAGGAGUUUUUAAAUUGUCUUAUGAAAACUAAUGUAACACUUCGCGUGAGUGAUAACCAUCGAAAAUCCUUCUAUAUUUAGCCCAGAUCUCGAAGGUUAUUUUUACAUGAAAUAUUACUUUAUUUUAAAACACUUUACUUAAAAAGACUUUUUUUUUAUAAAAUAUAUGCAUGGUAUGCAUGAAUACAACAAUGUAUAAUAUAUGCAUGAUAGUUGAAAAUGAAUGAUAAAAUGUAAAUGUAUGACAAUUCAAGAAUGCAUGUAACAAUAAAGUAAAAUGAGAUGCAAAUUAGGGGUGGCUCAUAAUGCAAAGCCCCCCAAAAAUUUUGAAACCUUUUUAAUAUGUAUAUAUAUAUAUAUAUUUGUAUUCGAUACAUUUAAACUGGUCCUCUAAUAAAAAAUGUUAAUUUUAUUGUUUUUUGUAUUUUAUAAAUUAAAUUUAUGUAUUGUAAUUUAAAAGAUGUUUAAAUUAUAUUUAUAUUUGUUUAUUUAUUAUAUCUAACAAUUAUUACUUGUAAAUUCUCACAUUUAUAUUUGUUAACAACUCUUUUCCUUCAUAUAUUUUUUACUUGUAUUUUUACUUUAGAUCUCUUUUACAUGUUGUAAUUCUUUUUUCAACAAAAAGAUCAUAUUUGAACUACUUUAUAAAAGGAUAGAAAAACACCAAACCUCUACUCUUAAGUUUUCAUUUUUAUUCUUUUAAAAGUAUAUAUUAGUUUUCUUGUUUUGAUGAAAUGUUUAAUGAUUGAUUUAUUGAUACUUUUUUAUUUCACUUUUAUAUAGUAAAAAAAAACUAAUUUUUUUAAUUAGUAAUUCAACAGUUAAUUAUAAAUCAUGUUAUUAUUAAAAUUAUAAUAUUGUCAUAGUAAUAUUUUAAUUUUAUAAUUUUAUACUUUUAUCAUGUUUUUAUUAGUAUAUUGUUUGCCUAUAUAUUUAUUAAUAAGUAUAAUAAAAUAUGCCUUAGAAAAAAAAUUAUAUAUUAUUAGUUAGCCCCUCUAAAUUAUAUGUCAAGAUUCGUCAUUGAUGCAAAUGCAUGAAUGGGAUAAGUGUCGGUUUAAGGGUUUAGGGAUUGGUUUGGUUUUUAGGGUUUAAGGUAGGUUUGAUUCAAUUUUUGGGUUGGUUUGGUUCGAUUUUGGGGUUGGUUUUCGAUUUAAAGUUUAGGGUUUGUUUAAGGUUUGGUUUAGGGUUUAGAAUUGGUUUAGGGUCAUGGUUAUAAUUUAGGCUUUAGUAUAGGUUUAGAGUUUUGGUUUAGGGUUCAAGGUUUAGGAUUUAGGGUUUUAGGGUUUAAGGUAAGAGUUUUGGUUUAGGGUUUGGGAUUUAGGAUUUAAGUUUAGGAUUCAAGGUUUCGGUUUAGUGUUUGGGGUUUAGGUUUGAUUUAAGGUUUUAGAUUUUGGUUUAGAGUUUAGGGUUUAGGGUAUUGGCUUAGGGUUUUGGUUUAAGGUUUAGGGUUUAGAGUUUGGUUUUAGUGUUUAGGUUUAGGGUUUAGGGUUUGCAUGUAAAAAAAUUCAACAAAAAUGCAACCUUUAAUGCAUGAAAAAUGGAUGAAUGUGAAGACCAAGACCUUGGCAUAUUUACAAACAUACCAUAAACUAAACAUGCAUGUAACAACAUAGUAAAAAUGGAUCAAACAUCGAGGAUUUAAAGACAAGAGGUUUGGCCAAGCUAUGAUUAAAGGCAUAAUUGAAACUUUAAGGCCAUUUUUCAUGUCCAUUAAUGGCUAAAAAAAAUAGAAAUGGCUCUACCAUUUUUGUUUUAAACCAAACACAUGCAAACAAAAUAAAAUCUCCAAAAAAGUUUACUAAUUCGACACUUUUAUUCAUUAAGGAUUUCUUCUAACACAUAGCUAACAUAGAGGAAUAACUAAAGAUAUAAUAAAACAAGCAUGGAAAGAGCAACAUUUAGCCAUCAAACAUAUGUGGCAGGUUUGGCCAAGCAUUAGGAAAGACUUGGCCAAAACAUGGCCGUUCCAAACACACAUCUUUCAUUUAGCUUGAACCACUAAAACAAUCAACAAUCAUGCAAUAACAUAUAGUAUAACAUUCAAAUCAUCCAAAUUCAUUAUUCAAAGCAAGAAAAACAUGAAAUAAACCAAUAAAAGGUUCGACCAUAUCAUAAUGGUUUUAGAGCCACCCGACAAAUUUGAAAAUGAAAAUAAAAAAAUGGAAAACGAAGUCACCACCAAUCUUUUUUUGGCUAGGUGUAAUUGGCCACCUAUUAAAAUUUAUCUUUUUAAUAAAAUCUUAAAAUUUAUUAAAAAGAUGAUUUUAUGGUCGACAAAAUAGUCUGGGUCUGAAAGUCGAUUAUAGAUAAAGAAGGAUUAGUACCCCCAUAGUGCCUAUUUAAAACAAUUCCAAUUAUUGCAUCUUAUCCAUUAAUCCUGACAAAAACAGUCUUAGUUUCAGUGUUUAAAAAGUAAUUUCUUAACUUUUUUUUUAUUAAAAUUUUGAUUUUUGUUAUUUUUUUUUCAAUAUUUAUUGUUCCAUUUUUAUUUGAGAAAAAUAAAUUAAAACCCUUUUAUUGAAAUAAUUCUUAAAGUGUUCCAGUACAUUAAUAACAUUAGAAGAAUUCUUUCUUACCUAGAGAUUUCUUAGAAAUCGCUUUUCAAAAUACCUUAGAAUCCUAUCAGUGAAGAUUCAUAUUUACUUUUCAUAAAAUUAAUAUCAAGCAUGCAAUACGAAUGACAAUAUAUUGAUGCACACAUUUUAUUUUACUUUUAGAAAUUUUAUUGGCUUUUUAUUAAAGUUUUUGAAGAAAAGAAUUUUUAUCAUAUUAAAGAUUUUCUAUAAAUACUCUAAUACAUUGGUAAUAUUUAAAAAAAAAUCUUAUCACCUAAAGAUUUCAUAAAGCAUUACUACUCGAAAUACUUUUAGAAUCCAAUCAUCAAAUAAAAUUUCCUUUUUCCUCAUUUUUUUAUUAUUUUUAACAAAUUAGUUACUCUUAUUUACUAUUUUAUAGCAAAAAAAAAUUUUAAUUCUAUUAAAAACUUUUUUUAAAUACUCCAAUAUGUUGGUUGUAUUUUAAAAAAAUUUUCUCCCCUAAAAAUUUCGUAAGUAUCGCUACUCGGAGUACCUUUAAAUCUUAUCGUCGGAUAAACAUUUCCUUUUCUUAUAUUUUUACUAAUUUUUUAUUAUUUGUAUUGUUCUAAUUAAUAAUUUUUACUAUUUUUUAUUUUUAAUUUUAAAAAUUUAUCAAAAGUUUGAAACCAUUUUUUAUUAUUGGUAUCAUUGUCAUUAAUUAUUAAUUAUUAUUUUUUAUCAUUAUUUUAUAAGGUUUAUUCCUAAUUUUAACAAAAUUAUCAAAAAAUUUAACUAUAUAUUUUAUUUUAUUUAUUUAUUUAUUAUUAUUAUAAAAAUAGCAAAAAAUUAUUCUAGCAAAUUUAAACAGUUUAGCAUCCAUAAAUAUUAAUAACACAAUUUUAAAUAAUAAUAAUAAUAAUAUUUAAAAAAUUAAUUCAAAAAAUUUUUAAAAAUUUUACCUAAACCGGAUCGAUCAAUGCCGGUCCGAUUGGGCUAGUCAAAGGUGAUUCAAUGGUUCAAUUGGAUCGGUGGGUGUUGAGGGGUGUCAAGUCACUGGGUUAGGUGCAUAGAACCUAAGUAGGGUUACGGGUCCAUAUGCUGAUCCUAAGGGUUCAAAACGAUAUCGUUUUGACCCCUAGCUACCUAUAUAAAAGCUUAUUUUUUUUUUUGCUCAUUCUAUCCCUUAUUUCAAUAUAUAUAUAUAUAUAUAUAUUUCCCUUUCUCUAUACCAAAAUCCCAGAGGGGGCUAGUUCAUCGCUGUUGUCUUCAUGCCAUCGAUCAUUAGCUACAGUCAUUGGUGAUCGAAAAACUUCAAAAACCCACCAAAAAACUCCUCAUGGCCUCUUAAAUCUCAAUCUGACCUCUUUUUUCCAAGAAAAUGGCAUGAAUGGUCUAGAUCAAGGCUAAAAGUUUUGACCAAAACUUUUUUUUUUAUUGUGGAUCUUGAUUUUUGAAUCUAGCAUUGAGGUUUCCUCAUCGAAAGGACUAUUUUUUUGUGUUUCUAUGUUUGAUUUUUUUUUAGUUUUUUUUAAUCUAGUAGAACCUUUUUUUUAAUUUGAGUUUUUUUAUUUUCAACAAGGUUUUCCUUUUUUAUUUUAGAAUUUGAAAGGUUCUUCUAAGUAGAGACUUAACGACUUCUUAUUUUUUUGCUAAAUUUGACAGGCUCCCCUAAGUAGAGGUUUAACAACUUUUUAAAAUUUAAAAAAGCUCCUCUAAACAGAGGCUCAAUAACUUUUUAAAAAUUUAAAAAACCCCUAUGAAUAGAGGCUUAACAACUUUAAAAUGCUCCUCUAAAAAGAGGCUUCACAAUUUUUUGUCAAUUUAAAAUAUUUUACCCUCAAGACUUAUGAAUCUUGAUAAUGAAAGCUCUUCUAUACAAAGGCUCAACAACUUUAAAAAUUUCAUCUUGAAAAAUCUCCUCUAAGUAAAGGUUCAACAACUUUCAUUGACUUUAAAAAUUUCUUUUCAAAAAAGCUCCUUUAAGUAGAGGCUUAACAACUUUAAAAAAUUUAUCAUGCAAAAGGCUCAUCUAAGUAAAGGCUCAAUAACUUUAAAAAUUUUAUCUUGAAAAGUUUCCUCUAAGCAAAGGUUCAACAACUUUAAAAAUUUCAUUUUAAAAAACUCCUCUAAGUAGAGGCUUAAAACUUUAAAAAAUUCAUGUUGAAAAAGGCUCAUCUAAGCAGAGACUCAACAACUUUAAAAAUUUCAUCUAAAAAAAGUUCCUCUAAAUAGAGGCUUAACAACUUAAAAAAAAAUUCAUCUUUUCUUGAAACUGAGAUCUCAUCUUUGAAAAAGCAAUUUUUUUUUUUUUUAAGGAUUGAACUCUUAUAUUGAAUCGUUAUCCUUUUACAAAGGCCAAAAAUCUAUUUUUUCAUUAGGGAAUAAAAAAUCUUUACAACUUGUGAUAUUAACCUUUAAUGAAUGCAUGUACCAAAUGCACUAAAUGCAAUGCUACCUCAUCAAACCACAUUUGCCCUUGUAUUUUAAGGUCAUCUCAUGAUGCUACCUCUUUUUUAUAUCUAAGCCACAUUUUCAUGUUUGCAACUAAGAUAUAUCUCUUUUUUUUUUCUUUUUUUUUGUUUUCAAGUAAAGUAUUUUUUUACAACAUCUGAGUUUAUCGAAUUAGGCAAAUCAUUUUCGUCCAUUUUUGCCUAAAUCAAUGCUCCACUAGAAAAAAGCUUUUUUCACCAUAAAUGAACCUUUUCAAUUUCAUAUUGAUUUAGAAACAUCCUUUUCAACACUAAAUCCCCUUCUUGAAAGUGAUGAAGGUGAAUUUUCUUAUCACGUGCUCUCAUCAUCCUCUUCUGAUACAGUUGGUCAUGGUAAAGUGCUAUAAGUCUUUUCUCUUAAUGAGGUUUAACUGUUCGUACUGAUUUUAAGCCCAUUCUACUUCCUCUAGCUCUACUUCCAUUAAAAUUCUCAAUGAGAAAAUUUUCACUUCAACUGGCAAUACAGCUUUCAUUCUAUAAACUAACAAAAAUGGAGUGGCCCCAAUAGAGAUUUUGAUUAAUGUUAUGUAAGCAUGCAAAGCAAAAAGUAAUUUCUUAUGCCAAUCUUUGUAAGUAUUAGUCAUAUUUUCUAGGAUACUCUUAAUAUUUUUAUUUGUAGCUUUUACUACUCUAUUCAUCUUCAAACAAUAUCUUGUUGAAUUAUGAUGAUGAAUCUUGAACUAAGUGCACACUUCUUUCAUCACUUUUCUAUUCAAGUUUUUGGCAUUAUCAGAAAUAAUCAUUUUUAAAAGCCUAUAUUUGCAUAUUGUCUCAUUCUUUAUGAACUUGUAUAACACUAAUUGGGUCACGCUGGCAUACAAUGUAGCUUUUACCCAUUUUGUGAAAUAAUCAAUUAUCACAAAGAUAACUCUAUGCCUAUUUGAAGCUUUCGGGGUCAUGGGACCAAUGACAUCUAUGCCCUACAUAAAAAAUAGCCAUAGAGGUGCUAAAACACGUAAAGCUAAUGGAGGAGCAUAAAUCUCGUCAACAUAAAUCUAACACUUAUGACAUCUUUUGGUAUAAUCAAUACAAUCACUUUUCAUUGUCAAACAAUAUAGCCAACCCUCAUAAUUUGUUUAGCCAUUAUGUGACAAUUAGCAUGUGCCCUCACAAACCCCAUCAUGUAUUUUUUCAGUAAUUUUUUUUUACUUUAAUUGCAUCUACACAUCUUAGAAGUACCUAUCUUGACUUUUUUUGUAAAAAGCAUCUCCAUCAAGAAAGAAACUCAUAGCCAACCUUUUGAUGAUCUUUUUAUCAUUUUUUAUUGCAUGCUCCAAGUAUUGUUGACUUUUGAUAAAUUGAAGAAUAUUAUGAUGCCAUAGCUUCCCAUCCACUUCUUCUUUGAUACCUGAGCAAUGUGUUGGUACAUCUUUCACAUCUAACUUGAUGGGUUAGAUCUUAGUAUUUGCAUCUAUUUUGAUCAUUGCAACCCAAGUAGAUAGUGCAUCAACAAUCUGGUUCUCUUUUUUAAACAGAUGCUCGAAUUAAACUUCUUUAAAUUACUUAACUAACUCGAAGAUGUAUUUAUGGUAUCAGAUCAAUUUUGAAUCUCUUAUUUCUUAUUCACCUCGUAACUAAUAGAUGACUAGUGCUGAAUCUCCAAACACAUCCAACUUUUUGAUUUUUCUUUCAAUUGCUGCUUGCAAACCCAUAACACAAGCCUUUUAAUAACCUUUUGAGUUAUAUAGAUAAUAUCAUACUCUGAAAGUAUAACUUGCUAUCGUGCUAUUCUCCCUAUUAAUGAAGGCUUUUUAAAGAUAUACUUGAUAGGAUCUAACUUUGCUAUAAGCUAUAUAGUGAUAAAGUAUAUAUUGCUUGAGCCUUUGAGCUAUCGAAGCUAGUGUAUAACAUAGCUUUUCUAAUGGCAAAUACUUAGACUCAUAAUUAGUGAACAUUUUGCUUAAGUAGUAGAUUGCUCAUUCUUUCUUAUUGGUUUCAUCUUUUUGCCCUAAUACACAUCCUAUUGAAUUUUCAUGCAUGGUAAGUAUAAAAUCAAAGGUUUUUCUAGAACUAAUGGCACCAACACAAGUGGAUUUGACAAGUAUUUCUUGACUUUGUCAAAAGCUUUUUGGCAUUCAUCAUUCUAUUCUCGUGGAUCAUGUUUUCUAAGAAGCUUGAAAAUGGGAUCACACUUGUCGAUGAGUUGAAAGAUGAAACAAGCAAUAUAGUUCAAUCUUCCCAUAAAAGCCUCACAUUUCUUUUGAGUUAAGAGGAUGGGAUAAGUUUUGAAUAGCACAUAUUUUACUCGAAUCCACUUGUAUUCCCCUUUCACUAACCACAAAGCCCAACAAUUUUUUUGAUUUAGCAUCGAAUAUAGAUUUUACAAGAUUUAACUUUAGUUGGAAUCUCCUCAAUCUAUCAAACAACUUUUUGAUAUUGACUACAUAAUCUUCUCCUUUAUGAAAUUUUGCAAUCAUAUCAUCCAUAUACACUUCUAUCACUUUAUGCAUCAUGUCGUAAAAGAGAGUCACCAUCAUUUUUUAAUAAGUAGCACUAAUAUUUUUCAAUCCAAAAGGCAUGAAUUUGUAAUAGAAUGUCCCUUACAUGGUCAUAAAUGUUGUUUUCCCCAUAUCUUUUUAAACUAGCUUAAUCUGAUUGUAACUUGAGAAGCCACCCAUAAAAGAAAAUGUAGAAUGCACAGCAGUGUUAUCCAUUAGGGUAUCGAUAUAGGGUAGAGAAAAAUUAUCCUUAGGACUUGCCUUAUUUAGAUCACGAUAAUCGACACACAUUCUAACCUUUUCAUACUUCUUGGGAACAGGCACUAUAUCGACUACCCAUUCAGGAUAAUUUUCCACCUCUAAAAAUCUAGCAUCAUAUCAUUUUUUCACCUUUUUUUUAAUCUUCAAUAGUAUCUCUGGCUUUAUGCACCUUAGCUUUUAUUGUACUGGCUUACAAUCUAAUUUCAAAGGUAAUUUGUGCUAUACAAUAUCAGUACUGAGUCCUAGCAUAUCCUGGUAAGACCAUGUGAAUACAUCUACAUAUUCUUAGAAUAGUUCUUCUAGCAUUUGCUUAUCAGUUGAUUAAAAAGACAUACCAAUUUUAACCUCUCUUCUAUUUUUAUCAUCCCCUAAAUUUAAUAAUUUGGUAAUUUUUUGGUUGGGCUCAAUUGGCUUAUCUUCAUGUUCUAUUAAUUUCAACAAAUCAAGAGGCAAUGUGUAAUUAUUUUUGUUUUCAUUAUCAAGUUCAUCAACAUGAAUUGUGUUUUCAAAAUUGAAUCUGAGAUUAUUAUCAUGGUUAUUUUCAUGUUCAUUAUUUGAGACACUACAAGGGGUGAAUGAAGAGAAUAUUGGCAUACAAAAGUGGAAUGGCAAGAAAAUGAUUAAGGCAGAAUGAAAGAGAAAUGGAUCAAAUAAAUAUAAAUAAAAACAAAUAAAAAAAUGCAAAUGCAUCUUCUAAGUCUUUUAUUAAAAUGACAAACAUAAAUACACCAUAAAAGAUCUCAUAAUGCUCAUAAAGAGCAAUUAGAGAUUUAAAGAUUCAUAAUAAAUUACUUUUUAAAAGUUUUAAAAAUAAGAGGCAACUCUAUGACUUUCUAAUUAUCUAGUUCAAAAUUUGAAGGGUAAAGAUACACAAAUAGCUCUUCAUCCUAACUCUUCUUUUUUUCCCCAUCUACCAUCUAAAUGGCCAGCUUAGUAAAAGUUUCAAUCAACUUCACAUUUGAGGUUUCAGAUGAAUCUAGGUAAAUACAACCUCCUAAAUGAAAAGAAUCAUAGAGAUAAAGAAUGACCAUCAACUUCGACUUUGGCUCAUAUCCCCCAAGAUUAGCCUUUUUUUUUUCUCAUUCAUGAUUUUCAUUUUGUUUCCUUUUAUCAGUUUAUAACCCAAGCUGAGUCUAUCUUUCAUAUCAUGUAUUGUUGGAGGCUUUGUGAUUUCUUCCAAAUUAUUCCUAAGUUUGGCUCCAAGUUGCCAUUUCAUCUGGAUAAGUUGCUUAACAAUCAUUUUAGUAGCCAUAGAUAGGUGUGGUAAAUAUAAUUUAGAUCUUUUAGCUACAUAUGUUGCAUUGGCAAACUUAAAAAAAUCUAUAAAAGCACUUUGGGGCUUCAUUUACCCCUUCUACAUAAAGAGUAUUUACUGAUUAGGUUACCAAUAAAUCAUUUUUUCCUGCCACACAUGUAAGCUUUUCAUCAAUAAUGAAUAUGACUUUUGAUGCAAUGAAGAUGGAACAACACCUACCAUAUGAAUCCAUGGCCUACCCAACAAGUAACUGUAUGAGGAAAAGAUAUCCAUAACUUAGAAUUUCAUAUUGAAAAUGCAAGGGCCAAUUUACAACAGUAUUUUUGUAUCCCUCAGCACCUCUCUUUGGGUCCUAUCAAAGGCUAAAAUUACUAUAUAACUAGGCUUUAUGUAAGAUCCAUCAACAAGUAAUUUUGCCAAAGUAGUCAUGGGCAUAACAUUGAUUGAUAUGCCAUUGUUGAUCAGAAUCUUAGUCAUUAUGUAACUCUUGCAUUUUACAAUAAUGUGAGAGCCUUGGUACUUUUUUUACCUUCAAAAGGAAUCUCUUCAUCACUGAAAGAGAUGUAGUUUGAAAUUGCUAGAUUACCAAUAAGCUAUUUCAUAUACUCAAUAGAUACAUUAUAAGACACAUAUACUUGAUUGAACACCUUCAAUAGAGCGUUAAAGUGCGACUUUGAGCUUAAUAACAAUGACAAUAGCAAAAUUCUAACUAGCAAUUUGUUCAACUAUUCUACCAUGCUAUACUCACUAUGUUUUAUUAGUUUUAAAAAUUCAUAGGCUUCAUUUUCAAAGAUUGGCUUUUGACAAUCUUUAUCAGUGAUUGUCACAAGAUUACCUUUAUUUCCUUUUUCUUCCCUAACCUUUGCUUUUUCUAGCAUUUUUAGGGUAUAACAUCACCCAUUCUGGGUCAUACCUCUUAUACCUAUUAUGUUUGCAACAUCUAGAUUGACUACAAUGUCAUAAUUGUACUUUUAUGGUACUGCUUUGUCGUUUUGGUAUGAAAAAAGGCCAAAAAUUUUAAUUGUCACUACUGGUCGAGAGAUGAGCUUUUCUGGCUUUAAGAUUGACUUCUUAUCAUAAUAGAUAGUUAUCAAUUUACAUAUAAACUUAUUCUUCGAAUCAAUAGUAGACACUUCAACUUUUAUUGAAUCUUUUUUUUCUUCGUAAAACAUAUCUAUCAACUUUUGCACCUUUUGACAAAACUGGUCAAAAUUCUCAAAAGAAUGCCCCAAAACACCUUUGUGAUAGUCACAGCUCUUGGUUGAGUUAAUCAUUCUAGAGCAAUUUUAAGACUUUAUUGACUUUAACAUAUCAGCCUUAACUAAAACUUUAAACACCUUAGUCAUCAGAGUUUUAACUUCAUCUAUCUUUUUAUUCAUGUAACUCACUUAUCCAUUAAUCGAAGCAUUUAUUGAUGGUCUAGUAUGGUUCGAUAGAGGGUUUUAAUUAACAUUUGGAGUCCCCAUUGGCUGGUAUCAAAGUUUAACACCCUUUCAUUGAUUAACGCUUGCAUUUUACGCUUCAAAGUAGUGCAAUUUUUCGUUGAAUGGUUUGGGUUUCCCUAAUGAUAAUCACAAAGCACAUUGGGAUCAUACCAUUUGAAAAUGGAGGUUUCAAAGGUUUAACAAUAACAAAGGCUAGUAAAUGUUUUUCAAUAAGUUGAGGGUACAAAUUUUUAUAUGUCACGAGGAUAGGGUUGAAAGUGAUUUUUUUCUUAGGUAUUUCUUAGGGCUCUUAAACCACUACUUGGAUUGGGUCUCUAUUUUGGACUAGUAGGUGUAGUAGGAUGAUUGUGAAAAUAGAUGGGUGCCUAAAAAGAUGGCUGAAAGUGAGGGAGAUAAGUUGGUUAUUGUAGCAACUGAAACAAUUGAUACGGAUGAGGGAUGGAUGUAACAUUGUUAAUGGGAAGGUAAUGGAUUUGGUACACUAGUGUGGGGUAUGGCAUGAAACUUCUGAACUAUUGCCCCACAUAGUUCACUAUUUAAACUUCAUUUUUUUUCUUCUUGAGAGCUCCACAUUUCUUUGCUUCGCUUGCCUCUUUUACAUUGAGCUUGCUAUUUUUUAUGACGUUUUCAAUAAUCUCACUUGAUAUCACCUUAUCUACAAAGUUCUUAGUUGCAUUGCCUAUUAGUCUUUAUAAUAAGGUGUUUUUCAGGGUGUUUACAAAUAGGAUAAUUGUCUCUUUCUCAGUGAAGGAAGGUUAUACUUGUACGACCACAUCUCUCUAUCUCUAUGCAUUCUCAUUAAAGUUUUCUGUUGCUUUUUUUUCCAUGCUUUAUAGAGAUAGAUGAUCUGGUGCUAGAUUUAUAACAUGUCGAUAUUGUGUAAAAAAUGCUUUCAUGAGUUUUUGCCAUAAAUGAAUAUGAGUCCUGUCUAGUUAAACAUACCAGCUGGUGCAGAACCUAUAAGGUUAUCUUAAAAUACGUGCAUUAAUAGCUUCUUGUCAUGAGCAUGUGCCAUCAUCUUAUGAAAAUAUAUGGUGAUAUGAGUCAUUGGGUAUUUUGUACCAUUAUAUUUUUUAAAUUUAGGUACCUUAAAUUUAGGUGGAAUGACCAUGUCUGGAACCAAACAAAGCUUGACUUCGUCCAUGGAGCCAUAAAAAUCAAUUCCCUCUACAGCCCUAAGUCUUUCUUCUAAUAAUUUUAUCUUCUACAUGGCACUAGUAUCUUUCACUUUCUUAAAUGUCUCAUCCCUUGCUUUUCUCUCUCUUUGGGAUCAUCCAAGUUACGAAUCAAGAUUGGCUUAAGUGGUUUUUCUACCAUGAUGAGAUUAGCGAAAUUUUAAAACUAUCUUAAAAUAGAUAUAGAUGUCAUUCCUGGAUAAGGAUAGAAAUAUCCUCUAGGAGUAAGGAUUUGCAUUCUAGCUCCUUGAUAAGGUUAGGUUAGUCGUGGAUCAAAUCUUCAAGGGUAUACAGGAUUCACCAUGUCUGGCAUUUGCUCUUGAAAGCUGGGAUUUUCUUUCAUCACUUUUCCUUUAUCAAGAUUCUUAAGCAUGUCCGUUAUUUUACUAAGAUCCUCUUUUAGUUCCUUGUAAACCUUCUCAAUCCUCUCAAAUCGAUUGGCCUGUUCUUGUUCUAUGAUUCUUGUUUAAGCUCUAGUGUUAUAUGAAUGAUGAGUAGGUUGAGUGAAAAGUUUUUAUGUAUGAGCUAUUCUUGAAAAUUUUUUAUCACAAAUUUUUAAAAUUUAGAAUGUCAUGGGUUGAAAAUUUUAUUUUUCACUUUUUUGUGAUUUUUAAAAAAUAUGGUAAUUAAAGCAAAAAUAAUGCACAUGAUACAUGAAUGCAAGGGAUAGAUAUUUGCUCUUAGACGAAUUUCAACACUAGAAAUCUUUAUUGAUUCUAUACAACUUUUGUUACACAAGAUUUAUCAUCCUAGAAUUAUACCUAUAAAAGCAUUUGACUUGCUCAUAAUGAUCAUUGGCUUCAUCUAAAAAGUUUACUAGGCUAUCUAUAUUCUCCUACUAGAUUGACUUCUCUUCUUAAUGCAUCUACCUUUUAAACCAUUUCUCAUGCCUUUUUCACUACCUUGCAAACCUGACUGGUUAGGUGCUAUAUUUACUAUUGCCUUCUUAAGCUUUAUGCUCUCCAUUUUAUGCAAACAACUCUUUCCAAAUCACAUGUGCAGAUUUAAUCUUUUUCCCUUAUCUGCCAUUCAUUUAUUAUUGUUGAAAUGCAAUUGUAGCUCUAACUCUUAGAUCACGUAGUAAAGUGAUUUUUUUUCAUUUAGUAUUUCAAAGUGCUUUUUACUCUCUUUGGCAAGCAUAGCAUUCAACUUUUUCUUUUUGGCAUUCAACCAAUCUUGUUGAAACUAUAGAGUAUAAUCUUUCCCAAUUCUGACAUUCUUAAGAAAUUCUAGUGACCUUUUCUUGCUUUUCUUGAGCUUUGCCUUUUUAUUGGUUUAUUUCCUCUCAAAGCUUAUCCAUUUCAUGUUGCUAACUACGAUAAGACUUGAUGACUUUUUCGAUCUUGAAUUAGACUUGUAAUCUCUUAUUUUCUUGGUAUAUAUCUUUCAAAUCAUUGUUGGCCACAUGCACUUCUUUAAUGACCUUAUCUAAUCUAUUCCCUUGAACUUGUAUUUUGUAUUUCAAUUGUCCCAUCUUCUCACAAAAUUUCAAAUUUUCUCCUUUUAUUUCCUCUAUUUUAGCUUUUAAUUCUUUCCUGAUAAGCUCAACUUCUGAUAAUUGCAUUUUUGUCAAAAUGUUAGCUGAUUGAUGUGAGUCAUCAUUAGGAAGAAGCACUAUGUAUUUAAGUCGCUUCACUUUCCAAAUCUACUAAUCAUGAGUGAGUUUGUUGAGUAAAGGCCCUAAUCUCAUUCUUUGCAUUUUCUUCCAUGCUUGGAUCAACCACUUUGAUGUUCUUGGUGGAUUGGACUUCCCAUACGUGAACUCUACUUGAACCAGGUUAUAAAUGAUAAAAACAAACUGCUUUGCACUGAAUUGCCUCAAUACCAUCAAUGAAGCAUAACUUACCACACCCCAUAGUCCUAACAAUGGUAUUCAUGAUUCAUUUCCUUCUUGAUACAACAUGGGAACAUAGGGCAUCCAUGGUGCUAUCCAUUUUAUUUCAUCCCUAAUAAGGCUUCGUAAGAAUAGAACCCAUUCUUCUUUAGUCUUUAAUGUCAACCAUUAGCUUUUAUAGAAUUCUUUGAUUGGUGCCUUAUUUUAAAGAUAUGGCUUUGAGGAUGCAUUCUUUCCACACUUGAAAUGACUUUUAAUCCACAUAUGUAAUAGUAGUGCAAACCCAAUGAAUCAUCCUUUUUUAUUUUGNNNNNNNNNNNNNNNNNNNNNNNNNNNNNNNNNNNNNNNNNNNNNNNNNNNNNNNNNNNNNNNNNNNNNNNNNNNNNNNNNNNNNNNNNNNNNNNNNNNNNNNNNNNNNNNNNNNNNNNNNNNNNNNNNNNNNNNNNNNNNNNNNNNNNNNNNNNNNNNNNNNNNNNNNNNNNNNNNNNNNNNNNNNNNNNNNNNNNNNNNNNNNNNNNNNNNNNNNNNNNNNNNNNNNNNNNNNNNNNNNNNNNNNNNNNNNNNNNNNNNNNNNNNNNNNNNNNNNNNNNNNNNNNNNNNNNNNNNNNNNNNNNNNNNNNNNNNNNNNNNNNNNNNNNNNNNNNNNNNNNNNNNNNNNNNNNNNNNNNNNNNNNNNNNNNNNNNNNNNNNNNNNNNNNNNNNNNNNNNNNNNNNNNNNNNNNNNNNNNNNNNNNNNNNNNNNNNNNNNNNNNNNNNNNNNNNNNNNNNNNNNNNNNNNNNNNNNNNNNNNNNNNNNNNNNNNNNNNNNNNNNNNNNNNNNNNNNNNNNNNNNNNNNNNNNNNNNNNNNNNNNNNNNNNNNNNNNNNNNNNNNNNNNNNNNNNNNNNNNNNNNNNNNNNNNNNNNNNNNNNNNNNNNNNNNNNNNNNNNNNNNNNNNNNNNNNNNNNNNNNNNNNNNNNNNNNNNNNNNNNNNNNNNNNNNNNNNNNNNNNNNNNNNNNNNNNNNNNNNNNNNNNNNNNNNNNNNNNNNNNNNNNNNNNNNNNNNNNNNNNNNNNNNNNNNNNNNNNNNNNNNNNNNNNNNNNNNNNNNNNNNNNNNNNNNNNNNNNNNNNNNNNNNNNNNNNNNNNNNNNNNNNNNNNNNNNNNNNNNNNNNNNNNNNNNNNNNNNNNNNNNNNNNNNNNNNNNNNNNNNNNNNNNNNNNNNNNNNNNNNNNNNNNNNNNNNNNNNNNNNNNNNNNNNNNNNNNNNNNNNNNNNNNNNNNNNNNNNNNNNNNNNNNNNNNNNNNNNNNNNNNNNNNNNNNNNNNNNNNNCAUAGUAAAAAUGGAUCAAACACCAAGGAUUUAAAGACAAGAGAGGUUUGGCCAAGCUAUGAUUAAAGGCAUAAUUGAAACUUUAAGGCCAUUUUUCAUGCUCCAUUAUUGGCUAAAAAAAAAGGGAAAUGCCUCCACCAUAUUUGUUUUAAACCAAACACAUGCAAACAAAAUCAAAAUCUCCAAAAAAGUUUACUAAUUCAACACUUUUAUUCAUUAAGGAUUUCAUCUAACACAUAGCUAACAUAGAGGAAUAACUAAAGAUAUAAUAAAAUAGGCAUGGAAAGAGCAACAUUUAGCCAUCAAACAUAUGCGGCAGGUUUGGCCAAGCAUUAGGAAAAACUUGGCCAAAACAUGGCCGUUCCCAAACACACAUCUUUCAUUUAGCUUGAACCACUAAAACAAUCAACAAUCAUGCAAAUAACAUAUAGUAUAACAUUCAAAUCAUCCAAAUUCAUUAUUCAAAGCGAGAAAAACAUGAAAUAAACCAAUAAAAGGUUCGACCAUAUGGUAAUGGUUUGGGAGUCACCUGACAAAUUUGAAAACGAAAAUAAAAAAAUGGAAAACGAAGUUGUUACCAAUCUUUUUUUGGCUAGGUGCAAUUGGCCACCUAUUAAAAUUUAUCUUUUUAAUAAAAUCUUAAAUUUUAUUAAAAAGAUGAUUUUAAGGUCGACAAAAUAGUCUAAGUUUGCGAGUCGAUUAUAGAUAAAGAAGGAUUAGUACCCCUAUAAUGCUUAUUUAAAAUUGUUCCAAUUAAUUGCAUGUUAUCCAUUAAUCCUGACAAAAAUAGUCUUAGUUUUAGUGUUUAAAAAGUAAUUUCUUAACUUCUUUUUUAUUAAAAUUUUGAUUCUUGUUAUUUUCCUUUCAAAAUUUAUUGUUCCAUUUUUAUUUGAGAAAAAUAAAUUAGAACCCUUUUAUUGAAAUAAUUCUUAGAAUAUUCCAGUACAUUAGUAACAUUAGAAAAUUCUUUCUUACCUAGAGAUUUCUUAGAAAUCGCUUCUCAAAAUACCUUAGAAUCCUAUCCUCGAAGAUUUGUAUUUACUUUUUGUAAAAUUAAUAUCAAGCAUACAAUGCGAAUGACAAUAUAUUGAUGCACACAUUUUAUUUUACUUUUAAAAUUUUUAUUGGUUUUUUAUUAAAAUUUUUGAAGAAAAGAAUUUUUAUCAUAUUAAAGAUUUUCUAUAAAUACUCCGAUACAUUGAUAAUAUUUAAAAAAAAGUCUUAUCACCUAAGGAUUUCGUAAAGUAUUACUACUCGAAAUAGUUUUAAAAUCUCAUCAUCAGACAAAAUUUUCUUUUUCCUCAUUUUUUAUUAUUUUUAACAAAUUAGUUAUUCUUAUUUACUAUUUUAUAGAAAAAAAAAUUUUAAUUGUAUUAAAAACUUUUUAUAAAUACUCCAAUAUGUUGGUCGUAUUUUAAAAAAAAAAUUUCCCCUAAAAAUUUCAUAGGUAUCGCUACUCGAAGUACCUUUAAAUCUCAUCAUCCGAUAAACAUUUCCUUUUCUUACAUUUUUAGAAAUUUUUUAUUAUUUUAUUGUUUUCAUUAAUGAUUUUUACUAUUUUUUAUUUUUAAUUUUAAAAAUUUAUCAAAAGUUUGAAACCAUUUUUUAUUAUUGGCAUCAUAGUCAUUAAUUGUUAAUUAUUAUUUUUUAUCAUUAUUUUAUAAGGUUUAUUCCAAAUUUUAACUAUAUAUUUUAUUAUUUAUUUAUAUUUAUUUAUUUAUUAUUAUUAUAAAAAUAACAAAAAUUUAUUCUAGCAAAUUUAAACAUUUUAGCAUCCAUAAAUAUUAAUAACAAAAUUUUAAAUAAUAAUAAUAAUAUUUAGAAAAUUAAUUCAAAAAAUUCAAAAAAAAAAUUAUUUAAACCGGUUCAGUUGGGCUAGUCAAAGGUGAUUUAGUGGUACAAAACUCGUUCAAUUGGAUCAGUGGGGGUUUGGCGUGUUAUGUCACUGGGUUAGGUGCAUGGACCUCAAGUAGGGUUGCGGGUCCACACGCUGAUCCUAGGGGUUCAAAAUGAUGUUAUUUUGACCCCUAGUUGCCUAUAUAAAAGCUCAAUUAUUUUUUUCUGCUCAUUCUCUCCCCUAUUUCAAAAAUAUAUAUAUUUCCCUUUCUCUAUACCAAAAUCCCAAAGGGGGCUAGCUCAUCGCUGUUGUCGUCAUGCCAUCAAUCAUCAACUGUCAUCAUUGGUGACUGAAAAACUUCAAAAACCCACCAAAAAAAUCCUCCUGGCCUUUUAAGUCUCAAUCUGACCUCUUGUUUGCAAGAAAAUGGCAUGAAUGCUCUAGAUCAAGGCUAAAGUUUUGACCAAAACUCUUUUUUUUUUUUUGUGGAUCUUGAUUUUUGAAUCUAGCGUUGAGGUUUCCUCAUCGAAAGGACUAUUUUUUUGUGUUUUUGUGUUUGAUUUGUUUUUUGUUUUUUUUAAUAUGGCAAAACCUUUUUUUUUUAAUUUGAGUUUUUUUAUUUUCAGUAAGGUUUUCCUUUUUUAUUUUAGAAUUUGAAAGGUUCCUCUAAGUAGAAACUUAACGACUUCUUAUUUUUUUGCUAAAUUUGACAGGCUCCCUAAGGAAAGGCUUAACAACUUUUUGAAAUUUUAAAAAGCUCUUUUAAACAGAAGCUUAACAACUUUUUAAAAAUUUAAAAAGCCCCUCUGAACAAAGGCUUAAUAACUUUAAAAAGCUUUUCUAAAAAUAGGCUCUACAACUUUUUAUCAAUUUAAAAUAUUCUACCCUUCAAGAUUUAUGAAUCUUGAUAAUGAAAGCUCCUCUAUACAAAGGCUCAACAACUUUAAAAAUUUCAUCUUGGAAAAGCUCCUCUAAGUAAAGGUUCAAUAACUUUCAUUGACUUUAAAAAUUUCAUCUCAAAAAAGCUCCUCUAAGUAGAGGUUUAACAACUUUAAAAACUUUAUCUUGCAAAAGGCUCCUCUAAGUAAAGGCUCAAUGACUUUAAACAUUUUAUCUUGCAAAGUUUCCUCUAAGCAGAGGUUCAACAACUUUAAAAAUUUCAUCUUAAAAAAAUCCUCUAAGUAGAGGCUUAACAACUUUAAAAAAUUCAUCUUGAAAAAGGCUCCUCUAAAUAAAGGCUUAACAACUUAAAAAAAAAAUUCAUCUUUUCUUGAAACUGAGAUAUCAUUUGUGAAAAGGCAAAUUUCAUUUUUUUUUAGGAUUAAAGUCUUGUAUUGGAUCGUUAUCCUUUUAUAAAGGCCAAAAAUCUAUUUUUUCAUUAAGGAAUGAAAAAUCUUUACAACUUGUGAUAUUAACCUUUAAUGAAUGCAUGUACCAAAUGCACUAAAUGCAAUGCAUGUAAUGCAAUCAAAUUAUUCACUUCCAAUUAUGGUAAAAGGUUCUUAGAAUCUCUUACCUUUUAUGCUUCAAUAAUAAAAAUUCUCAACAAUUGUCAUAUAACCAACUUAUCCUUGACAUAUGAUCAUUUUAUUUUCUUCAACAAUAUCCUUUCCUUUUUUUGCAACAUCAAUGUCUUGUCAUGCUUUUCUUGUCUAUUUCUACCUGCUUUUAUCAACUUUUAAAGAAUAAUGUUGGGAUCUUCCAUGUUAUUGGUUAGUUUUUCAUCAUUUUAAGUUCAAGACAAAUAAAAUGCAUCAUACAUUUCUUUUAUUCAUUUGUAGAAUGGGAUAGUGAAUGAGAUAAAGGAAUGAAUAUAUUAUCUUUAUUUCAAUGAGAAGAGGGAACACAUUUCAUUAAACAGAUAACAAAAUCAUAAAGUGUUUGGGUGGGAACAAAAGCAUCUAAAUAAUGAUUAUAAGAUAAUCAUGAACAAGUUAUUCCUAGAUUCUUUUUCUAAAACUCAACUAGAUGACAUCCUUGAUCUUUAAAACUCAUCCAACCACAUUUGUCCUUGUAUUUUAAGGUUUUCUUAUGAUGCUACCUCUCUUUUAUAUCUAAGCCACAUUUUUAUGUUUGCAACUAAGAUAUAUCUCUUUUUUUUUUUGUUUUCAAGCAAAGUAUUUUUUUACAACAUCUGAGUUUAUCGAAUUAUGCAAAUCAUUUUCGUCCAUUUUUGCCUAAAUCAAUGCUUUACUAGAAAAAAGCUUUUUUCACCAUAAAUGAACCUUUUCAAUUUAGUGUGCAUUUCCCUCGAUUGUCAUAUUGAUUUGGAAACAUCCUUUUUUAGCACUAAAUCCCUUCUCAAAAGUGAUGAAGGUGAAUUUUCUUAUCAUGUGCUCUCAUUAUCCUCUUCUGAUAUAGUUGGCUAUGGUAAAGUGCUAUAAGUCUUUUCUCUUUAAUGAGGUUUAACUGUUCAUAUUGAUUUAAACCCAUUCUACUUCCUCUAGCUCUACUUCCAUUAAAAUUCUCAAAGAGAAAAUUUUCACUUUAACUGGCAAUACAGUUUUCAUUCCAUAGACCAACAAAAAUGGAGUGGCCCUAAUAGAGGUUUUGAUUAAUGUUAUGUAAGCAUGCAAAGCAAAAAGUAAUUUCUCAUGCCAAUCUUUGUAAGUAUCAGUCAUAUUUUCUAGGAUACUCUUAAUAUUUUUAUUUGCAGCUUUUACUACUCCAUUCAUCUUCAAACAAUAUGGUGCUGAAUUAUGAUGACGAAUCUUGAACUGAGUGCACACUUCUUUCAUCACUUUUCUAUUCAAGUUUUUGGCAUUAUUAGAAAUAAUCCUCUUUAAAAGCCUAUAUCUACAUAUUGUCUCCUUCUUUAUGAACUUGCAUUCCACCAAUUGGGUCAUGCUAGCAUACAAUGUAGCUUUUACCCAUUUUAUGAAAUAAUCAAUUAUCACAAAGAUAACUCUAUGCCUAUUUGAAUCUUUCAAGGUCAUAGGACCAAUGACAUCUAUGCCUUAUAUAAAAAAUGACCAUAAAGGUGCUAAAACAUGCAAAGCUAAUGGAAGAGUAUAAAUCUCAUCAACAUAAAUCUAACACUUAUGACAUCUUUUGGUAUAAUCAAUACAAUCACUUUUCAUUGUCAAGCAAUAUAGCCAACCUUCGUAAUUUGUCUAGCCAUUAUGUGACCAUUCGUAUGUGCCCUCACAAACCCCAUCGUGUAUUUUUUCAGUAAUUUUUUUUACUUUAAUUGCAUUUACACAUCUGAGAAGUACCUAAUCUCGACUUCUUUUGUAAAAAACAUCUCCAUCAAGAAAGAAACUCAUAGCCAACCUUUUGAUGAUCUUUUUAUCAUUUUCUGUUGCAUGCUCCAAGUAUUGUUGACUUUUGAUAUAUUGAAGAAUAUUAUGAUACCAUAGCUUCUUAUCCACUUUUUUCUUUGAUACCUAAGCAAUGUGUUGGUACAUCUUUCACGUCUAACUUGAUGGGUUGAAUCUCAAUAUUUGCAUUUAUUUUGAUCAUUACAACCUAAAUAGAUAGUGCAUAAACAAUCUAGUUCUCCUCUUUUAAAUAGAUGCUCAAAUUAAACUUCUUUAAAUUACUUGAUUAACUCAGAGAUGUAUUUAUGGUAUCGGAUCAAUUUCGAAUCUCUUAUUUCUUAUUCACCUCGUAACUAAUAGAUGACUAGUGCUGAAUCUCCAAACACAUCUAACUCUUUUGAUUUUUGUUUCAAUUGCUACUUACAAACCCAUAACACAACCCUCGUAUUUAGCCAUAUUAUUUGUGCAGUUAAAAUUCAAUCUAGCUGUGAUAGGAUAAUAGUGUUCAUUGGGAGAUAUUAAAACUGCUCCAAUAACAUGACCCAAAGCAUUAAUAGCUCCAUUAAAAUACAUCCUCCAAGACUUCUUGACAAGUUCAUUUUCUUCAAUGACUAUCACAUAUUCAUCAGGAAAAUCAAGCUUCAUUGGUUCAUAAUCUUCAGUCGCACGAUCGGUAAAGAACUCAGCUAUUAUACUCCUUUUAAUAACCUUUUUGAGUUAUAUAGACAAUAUCAUAAUUUAAAAGCAUAACUUGCUAUCGUGCUAUUCUCCCUAUUAAUGAAAGCUUUUCGAAGAUAUACUUGAUAGGAUCUAACUUUGCUAUCAGCUAUGUAGUGUGAUAAAGCAUAUAUUGCUUGAGCCUUUAAGCUAUCCAAGCUAGUGUAUAACAUAUCUUCUCUAAUGGCAAAUACUUAGACUCAUAAUCAGUGAACAUUUUGCUCAAGUAGUAGAUUGCUCAUUCUUUCUUGUUGGUUUCAUCUCUUUGCCCUAAUACACAUCAUGUUGAAUUUUUAUACACGGUUAAGUAUAAAAUCAAAGGUUUUCCUAGAACUAAUGGCACCAACACGAGUGGAUUUAACAAGUAUUCCUUGACUUUGUCAAAAGCUUUUUGGCAUUCAUCAUUCCAUUCUCUUGGAUCAUGUUUUCUAAGAAGCUUGAAAAUAGGAUCACACUUGUCAGUGAGUUGAAAGAUGAAACUAGCAAUAUAGUUCAAUCUUCCUAUAAAGCCUCACAUUUCUUUUAAGUUAAGAGGAGGGGAUAAGUUUUGAAUAGCAUAUAUUUUAUUCAGAUCCACUUGUAUUCCUCUUUCACUAACUACAAAGCCCAAUAAUUUUUUUGAUUUAGCACCGAAUGUAGAUUUUACAAGAUUUAACAUUAGUUGGAAUCUCCUCAAUCUAUCAAACAACUUUUUGAGAUUGACUAUAUGAUCUUUUCCUUUAUGAAAUUUUGCAAUCAUAUCAUCCACAUACAUUUCUAUCAUUUUAUGCAUCAUGUCAUAAAAGAGAGUCACCAUCAUUUUUUGAUAAGUAGCACCAAUAUUUUUCAAACGAAAAGGCAUGACUUUGUAACAGAAUAUCCCUCACAAGGUCAUAAAUGUUGUUUUCCCCAUAUCUUCUUGAACCAUCUUAAUUUGAUUAUAGCCUGAGAAGCUAUCCAUAAAAGAAAAUACAGAAUGCCCAACAGUGUUAUCCACUAGGGUAUUGAUAUAGGGUAGAGAAAAAUUAUCCUUAGGACUUGCCUUAUUUAGAUCAUGAUAAUCGACACACAUUCUCACCUUUCCAUACUUCUUGGGAAUAGUCAUAUAUUGGCUACCCAUUCAGGAUAUUCUUCCACCUCUAAAAAUCUAGCAUCAUAGUUUUUUCAUCUCUUUUUUAAUCUUCAGUAGUAUCUCUGGCUUCAUGCACCUUAGCUUUUGUUGUAUCGACUUACUAUCUAAUUUCAAAGGCAAUUUAUGCUAUACAAUAUCAGUACUAAGUCCUAGCAUAUCCUGGUAAGACCAUGUGAACAUAUCUACGUAUUCUCAGAGUAGUUCUUCUAGCCUUUGCUUAUCAGUUGGUGAAAAAGACAUACCAAUUUUAAUCUCUCUUCUAUUUCUAUCAUCCCCUAAAUUCACUAAUUCGAUAAUUUUAUGGUAGGGCUCAAUUGGCUUAUCUUCAUGUUCUAUUAAUUUCAACAAAUCAAGAGGCAAUGUCUAAUUAUCUAAAUCUUUUUCAUUAUCAAGUUCAUCAACAUGAAUUGUGUUUUCAAAAUUGAAUUUGACAUUAUUAUCAUGGUUAUUUUCAUGCUCAUUAUUUGAGGCACUGCAAGGGGUGAAAUGAAAAGAAUAUUGGCAUACAAUAGUGGAAUGGCAAAAAAAUGAUUAAGGCAGAAUGAAAAGAGAAAUGGAUCAAAUAAAUGAAAAUAAAAACAAAUAGAAAAAAUGCAAAUGCAUCUUCUAGGUCUUUUAUUAAAAUGAAAAACAUAAAUACACCAUAAAAGAUCUCCUAAUGCUCAUAGAAAGCAAUUAGGGAUUUAAAGUUUCACAGUAAAUUACUUUUUAAAAGUUUUAAAGACAAUAGGCAACUCCAUGACUUUCCAAUUAUCUAGCUCAAAAUUCGAAGGACAAAGACGCAUAAACAGCUCUUCAUCCUAACUUUUUUUUUCCCCAUCUACCAUAUGAAUGGCCAGCUUAGUAAAAGUUUCAAUGAAAUCCACAUUUAGGGUUUCAAAUGAAUCUAGGUAAAUACAACCUUUUAAACAAAAAGAAUCAUAAAGAUAAAGAAUGACCAUCGACUUCGACUUUGGCUCAUAUCGCCCAAGAUUAGCCAUUGUUUUUUCUUUCUUCUCAUUCAUGAUUUUCAUUUUGUUUCCUUUUGUUAGUUUAUAACCCAAGUUGAGUUUAUCUUUCUUAUCAUGUAUUGUUGGAGGCUUCGUGAUUCCUUACAGAUUUUUUCCAAGUUUGGCUCUAGGUUGCCAUUAAAUCUUGAUAACCUAUUUAACAAUCAUUUUAGUAGUCAUAGAUAGGUGCGAUAAAUAUAAUUUAGAUCUUUUAGCUACAUAUGUUGCAUUGGCAAUCUCAAAAAAUCUAUAAAAGCAUUUUGGGCCUUCAUCCACCAUUUCUACAUAAAGAGUAUUUACUGAUUAGGUUACCAAUAAAUCUUUUUUUCCUGCCACACAUGUAAGCUUUUCAUCAAUAAGGAAUUUGACUUUUGAUGCAAUGAAGAUGGAACAACACCUGCCAUAUGAAUCCAUGGCCUACCAAACAAGUAACUGUAUGAGGGAGAGAUAUCUAUAACUUGGAACUUCAUAUUAAAAAUGCAAGGGCCAAUUUGCAAUAGCAUUUUUAUAUCUCUCAGCACCUCUCUUCAGGUCCUAUCAAAGGCUAAAAUUACUAUAUAACUAGGCUUUAUGUAAGAUCCAUCAACAAGUAAUUUUACCAAAGUAGUCAUAGGCAUAACAUUGAUUGAUGUGCCAUUGUUGAUCAGAGCCUUAGUUAUUAUGUAAUUCUUGCAUUUUACAAUAAUGUAGAGAGCCUUGGUACUUUUUUUACCUUCAAGAGGAAUUUUUUCAUCAUUAAAAUAGAUGUAGUUUGAAAUUGUUAGAUUACCAACAAGCUAUUCCACAUACUCAAUAAAUACAUUAUUGGACACAUAUACUUGAUUGAACACUUUCAAUAGAGCAUUAAAGUGCGACUUUGAGCUUAGUAACAAUGACAAUAGCAAAAUUCUAACUAGCAACUUGUUCAACUAUUCUACCAUGCUAUACUCGCUAUGUUGUAUUAGUUUUAAAAAUUCACAAGCUUCAUUUUCAAAGAUUGGCUUCUGAAAAUCUUUAUCAGGGAUUGUCAUAAGAUUACUUUAUUUCCCUUUUCUUCCUCAACCUUUGCUUUUUCUUUCCUAGCUUUUUCUAGUGUUUCUAGGGUAUAACAUCACCCAUUUCGAGUCAUACCUCAUAUAUCUGUUAUGUUUUGCAGCAUCUAGAUUGACUACAAUGUCAUAAUUAUACUUUUAUGGUACUGCUUUGUCAUUUUGGUAUAAAAAAAGGCUAGAAAUUUUAAUUCUCACUACUGGUCGAGAGAUGAGCUUUUUUGGCUUUAAGAUCGACUUCUCAUCAUAAUAGAUAAUUAUCAAUUUACAUAUAAACUUAUUCUUUGAAUCAAUAGUAGACACUUCAACUUUUAUCAAAUCUUUUUUUUCUUCGUAAAACUUUAUACAACCUAUAUCUAUCAACUUUUGCACCUCUUGACAAAAUUGAUCAGAAUUUUUGAAAGAAUGCCCCAAAGCACCUUUGUGAUAGUCACAGCUCUUGGUUGAGUUAAUCACUCUAGAGCAAUUUUAAGACUUUAUUGACUUAACAUAUCAGCCUUAACUAAAGCUUUAAACACCUUAGUCAUCAAAGUUUUAACUUCAUCUAUCCCCUUAUUCAUGUAACUCGUUUGUCCAUUAAUCAAAGCAUUUAUUGAUGGUCUAGUAUGGUUCGAUAAGGGUUCUAAUUAACAUUUGGAGUCCCCAUUGGCUGGUAUCAAAGUUUAACACCUUUUCAUUGAUUAACUUGCACUUUAUGCUUCAAAGUAGUGCAGUUUUUCGUAGAAUGGCUUGGGUUUCCCUAAUGAUAAUCACAAAGCACAUUGGGAUCAUACCAUUUGAAAAAUGGAGGUUUCAAAGGUUUAACAAUAACAAAGGCUAGUAAAUGUUUUCAAUAAGUUGAGGGUACAAAUUUGUAUAUGUCAUGGGGAUAGGGUUGAAAGUGAUUUUUUUCUUAGGUAUUUCUUGGGGCUCUCAAACCACUACUUGGAUUGGGUCUUCCAUUCUAGACUAGUAGGUGCAAUAGGAUGAUUGUGAAAAUAGAUGGGUGUUUGAAAGGAUGGCUAAAAGUGGGGGAGAUAAGUUGGUUGUUGUAGCAACUAAAAUAAUUGAUACGGAUGAGGGAUGGAUGUAACAUUGUUAAUGGGAGGGUAAUGGAUUUGGUACACUAGUGUGGGGUAUGGCAUGAAACUUCUGAACUAUUGCCCCACAUAGUUCACUAUUUAGACUUCAUUUUCUUUCUUCUUAAGAGCUCCACAUUUUUUUCUCCGCUUGUCUCUUUUACAUUGAGCUUACUAUUUUUUUAUGACAUUUUCAAUAAUUUCACUUGAUAUCACCAUAUUCGCAAAGUUCUUAGUUGCAUUACCUAUUAGUCUUUUAUAAUAAGAUGUUUUCAAGGUGUUUACAAAUAGGACAAUUGUCUCUUUCUUAGUAAAGAAAGGUUAUACUUGUACGACCACAUCUCUCAAUCUUUAUGCGUACUCUUUAAAGUUUUUUAUUGCCUUUUUUUCCAUGCUCUGCAAAGAUAGAUGAUUUGGUGCUAGAUCUAUAACAUGUCGAUUUGUGUAAAGAAUGCCCUCAUGAGUUUUUACUAGGAAUGAAUAUGAGUCCUGUCUAGUAGAACAUACUAACUGGUUGCAGAACCCGUAAGGUUAUCUUAAAAUACAUGCAUCAAUAGCUUCUCGUCAUGAGCAUGUGCCAUCAUCUUAUGAAAAAACAUGGUGACAUGAGUCAUUGGGUAUUUUGUACUAUCAUAUUUUUUAACUAUAAGGACCUUAAAUUUAGGUGGAAUGACCAUGUCUAAAACCAAACAAAGCUUGACUUCAUCCAUGGAGCCAUAAAAAUCAAUUCCCUCUAUAGCCUUAAGUCUUUUUUCUAAUAAUUUCAUCUUCUACUGGGCACUAGUAUCUUUCACUUUCUUAAAUGUCUCAUUCCUAGCUUUUCUCUCUCUUUGGGAUCAUCCAAGUUAUGAAUCAAGAUUGGCUCAAAUGGUUUUUCUACCAUGAUGAGAUCAACAAAAUUUUAAAACUAUCUUAGAAUAGGUGUAAAUGUCAUUCUUGGAUAAGGAUAGAAAUAUCUUCCGGGAGUAAGGAUUUGCACUCUAGCUCCUUGAUAAGGUUAGGUUAGUCGUGGAUCAAAUCUUGAAGGGUAUAUAGGAUCCACCAUGUCUAGCAUUUGCUCUUGAAAGCUGGGAUUUCCUUCCAUCGCUUUUUCUUUGUCAAAAUUAUUGACCAUGUCUGUUAUUUUACUAAGAUCCUCUUUUAGUUCCUUUUAAGCCUUCUCAAUCCUCUUAAAUCAACUAGCUUGUCCUUGUUCUAUGAUUCUUGUUUAAGCUCUAGUGUUAUAUAAAUGAUGAGUAGGUUGAGUCAAAAAUUUUUAUGUACAAGCUAUUCUUGAAACUUUUUUAUCACAAAUUUUUAAAAAUUAGAAUGUCGUGUGUUGAAAAUUUUAUUUUUCACUUCUUUUUGUGAUUUUUAAAAAAAUAUGGUAAUUAAAACAAAACAAUGCACAUGAUACAUGAAUGCAAGUGAUAGAUAUUUUGCUCUUGGACGAAUUUCAACACUAGAAAUUUUUAUUGAUUCCAACAACUUUUGUUACAUGAGAUUUAUCAUCCUAGAAUUAUACCCAUAAAAGCAUUUGACUUGCUCAUAAUGAUCCUUAGCUUCAUCUAAAAAGUUCACUAGGCUAUCUAUAUUUUCCUACUGGAUUGACUUCUCUUCUUAAUGUAUCUACCUUUUAAACCAUCUCUCAUGCCUUUUUCACUGCCUUGCAAACUUGACAGGUCAGGUGUUAUAUUUACUGUUGCCUCCUUCAGCUUUCUGCUCUCCAUCUCAUGCAAACAUCCCUUUCCAAAUCAUAUGUGCAAAUCCAAUCUUUUUCCUUCUCUGCCAUGCAUUUAUUAUUGUUGAAAUAUGGUUCUUAUGGUCUUGCAAUUGUAGCUCCAACCUUUAUAUCACUUGGUAAAGUGAUUCUUUUUCAUUUAGUAUUUCAAAGUGCUUUUUACUCUCUUUGGAAAGCAUAGCCUUCAACCUUUUCUUUUUGGCAUUCAACCAAUCUUGUUGAAACUAUAGAGUAUUAUCUUUCCCAAUUCUGACAUUCUUAAGAAAUUCUAGUGAACUCUUCUUACUUUUCUUGAGAUUUGCCUUUUUAUUGGUUUAUUUCCUCUCAGAGCUCAUCCGUUUCAUGUUGCUAACUAAGAUAAGACUUGAUGACUUUUUCAGUCUUGAAUUAGACUUGUAAUCUCUUAUUUUCUUACUUUAAAUCUUUUAAAUCAUUGUUGGCCACAUGCUAUUCUUUUAUGAACUUAUCCAAUCUGCUCCCUUGUACUUUUAUUUUGUAUUUCAAUUGUCCUAUCUUUUCAUAAAAUUUCAAUUUUUCUCUUUUUAUUUCCUCUGUUUCAGUUUUUAAUUCUUUCCUGACAAGCUCAACUUCUGAUAAUUGCAUUUUUGUCAAAAUGUUAGACGACUGAUGUAAGUCAUCAUUAGGAAGGAGCACUAUGUCUUUGAGUCACUUCGCUUUCCAAAUCUAGUAAGCAAGAGUGGGUUUGUUGAUUAAAGGCCCUAGUCUCAUUCUUUACAUUUUCUUCCAUGCUUGGAUCAACCACCCUGAUGUUCCUGGUGGAUUGGACUCCUCGUACGUGAAUUCUACUUGAACUAGGUCAUAGUGACAAAAACAAACUGCUUUGCACUGAAUUGCCUCAAUACCAUCAACGAAGCAUAACUUACCAUACCCCAUAGUUCUAAUAGUGGUAUCCACGGCUCAUUUCCUCCUCGAUACAAUAUGGGCACAUAGGGUAUCCAUGGUGCUAUCCAUUUUAUUUCAUCCCCGAUAAGCCUUCGCAGAAUAGAAUCCAUUUUUCUUAGUCUUUAAUGUCGGCCAUUAGCUUUUACAAAAUUCUUUGAUUGGUUCCUUGUUUUGAAGAUAUGGCUUUGAGAAUGCAUUCUUUCCACACUUGAAAUGAAUUUUAAUCCACAUAUGUAAUAGCAAUGCAAACCCUAUGAAUUGUCCUUUUUCAUUCUGUCGAUAAAAAUUCAAUGACCUAAUGGUUUUGACUAGGACCACUAGUGCAGGAUUAAUUGCUUGGGUUUCAAUUUGCUCAAAAUAUUUCACCACCAUUAUCUCAAUGUAGCCCAAGAUCUUUGGGAAGAUCACCAUGCCAUACAAUGCUAAAGCAAACACAGCCAUGCCUUGAUCAUCAUCUAAAUGCUCUUAAACAAAAUUAUGAAGGAAGUUCCAAUGAAUACUAAGAUGUUCACCUUUAGCCUUUAUGAAAAAAUCUAUGGUUUCCACUUCAACCUCCAUAAGCUAGGCCAACUUUUUUUCAUAACUUGAUUUUAGCUUUUGGGUAAACACUUUAUCCAGACACUAUAGUUCUAUCUCAAGUAAAAUUGAGUAUUCCUUAAUGGUUGGUGUAGACAUCGAAUUUUGCUCGAGACUUUUUUUUCAACAUGAUUGACACAAGGCUCAUUUACAAACAUGGUCUAAGACCAUUUAGGAGGACCAUUUAUGACCCACAAAGAGUUCACAAAUUCACCUAUUCAAAAACCCAAAGUCCACUUGGAUCAAAUCCGAUCAAACAAAGUCAAAAUUGCACAAAACUUGAUCAAAAUGAAAGAGAGCCCAUAUCAAUUCUAAAAAUUCAAAAUCUAAUUGAAAUCAACAUGGUUUAAAAUUAAAUUUGAGAUUUUUUUCAAAACACUAAAAUUUUCAUAGUGCCCCGAAAAGGGUAAAAUUACCAAAAUACCCUUAUAGGGGUAUUUUCAUAAAUUGAUCUUUUCGAGGUUGAAUUUUUGUGAAACUUCUCAAAUCUUAAUUUUAUAAUAUUUCAUAAAUUUUUGUGCAUUUAAAAUCAUGAUGGUACCCCGGGAAGGAUGAAAUUACCAAAAUACCCUUAUUAGGGUAUUUUCAUAAUUUGACUUUUUUGAACUCAAAUUUUUGUGAACCUUUUUCAAAUUUUAAUUUUAUAAUAUUUCAUGAUUUUUUGUGAGUUCAAAGCCACAGUAGUACCUAAAAAGUGUGAUAUUACCAAAAUACCUUUAUAGGGGUCUUUUUGUAAUUUGGCUUUAUCGAGCUUGGAAUUUCACAAAAAUUUUUAAAUCUUAAUUCCAUAAUAGUUUAUGAUUUUUGGUCCUUGAAAAUCUCAAAAAUGACAAUGGGAACAUUGAUUUUUAAGAAAAUGAUCAUAAAUACCAAAAAUUUGUACUAGGGGUGAAAUGGUCUUUUUCAUAGGUUUGGGAGCAUAAAAAUUCAACCUUUGUAGUGUUCAAUGUAGGCCAUUGGAUCUUUUGCUACCUCUUGAUCCAAGGGCCAAAGAUGGCUCCUUGAAAAAAUAGAAAAAGAGAAAUUUUGGCCCUUUAAUGAGAUUUCAUCUAAGGGCUUUUAUUGAUCAAGAUUAGGAUCUUGAUCUUGGAGGCUUGGCCAAUUAUGUAUAGGCUAGAGGGAAGCAGUUAGAAUGGGAGGAUGGAAAGAGAGGCAUCUAACAUUUGAAAAAAAUAAAAAGAAAAAGAAAGAGUACAAAAAAAAGGAAAGUUGUAAACAAAAAAAUUCAAGAGUUGAGACAGCCCAUACCAAGGUUCAGUUUUGCCGAUUAUAUCAUGUGUUUUACACUAUUUUUGCACCUGCUAUGAUCCUUUUUGCAACUAUUUUUUUAUUCCUUUCAUGCCUCGUGUUUGGUGUAUUUAUUGAUAGAAUUUCAAGCCUUAUUUGUUUUAUGUUUCUAUUUCAUUUGUUUUAAAACUGGUUGGAGCAUCAUUGUCUAUUCUGUUGUUGCCAAAUAGCUGCUACUUCUCUUUCUAGCAGUAACUAUUUGGUCCAUGCCACAAAUCCUCCCACCUUUCUUUUCCAUCAUUCAUAUCUAGUUUAUAGCUAGCUUAAGCUAAGACAAAUACAGAUAGGGAAAUUAGCUUGGAGUAGCCAAACCGUGCUGCCUAAUUUUCCAUAGGCAAUCAUGGGUUGGAUUAUUUUUUUAUAUAGAUAUAGCCCCUCAUUUGACUGGGAAGAAUGCUUCAACAAAAAAUGUUUUCCAAGUUAAAGAGAUAAGCCGUUAGAGGGGGAAGAAAGGUUUAAAAGUUUUAGUUUCCUUUCACUUCUAGUCUCUAGUUUCACAUAGUGGGGUUUUAUACACAUUAAAGCUUCAAGAUUUUUCUUUACAUGGGGUCUUACCUUUGGUCCAUUCUUGUAUUUGACUAUAUGAAAAAUAAAAAGUUGAAAUGGUCCAUACAUAGAGCAAGCUUCAUGUGAAUGUUCCCUUUUUAUUUUUAGUUUGCUUGACUUUCUUUGUAUGACUUUGCUUACUAAACCAGUGCAUGAACAAUAAAUUCUAGAUGUAGGAAAACACAAGGAAUGAAAGCUAAAAAUAGGCCAUAGGUAGUGCAUGCUUCAUGUGAACUAGGUUGUCCCAUCUUCAAGUUUGUUUUGCUUGGUUAUUUAUAUUUUUAUCUAUUUCAUCAGUGCAUGAAUCGGUUUUGGAUGAGGGAAAAUAUUACACUUACCACACUGUCCCAUCAUUAUAUUGAUGCUUAGCUCUCUUAUGGUUCUUUGUGGAAUGAUAGUUGUAAGGGUGGGUCAAUCUUUAGCAUGAUGGUUAUUAGAUGUUCUAAAGACUAUAAUACAAAAUGUUUUGAUUAAGGGAUUAGAACCUUUAAAUAGUAAUAUUCAUUUUAGCAUGAUAAUCAUGUUUAUUUUUGAAUUAUGCCAAGGUUUUGAAUGUCAAAUUCCUUUGUGCAUUUAUUAGCUUUUAAACUGAUUUGUUUAUGUUCUUUGAAUACAUUUUAUUUAUCUUAAUUGCUAUUUACAUUUCAAAGAUUUUUACUAAUACUGAUAAUAAUUUUAUGCUAGAAAGUAUAAUUAGUUAUAUAAAGAAUUUUAAUUAAUUUUUGUAAUAACUAUAAAAAAUAAACUUGCUCCAAAAGCCUGUCCAAAAGUCUGGUAGAUAUUAGAGACUUUUAGAAAGGUUCAUAAAUUCUUAAAAUUUGAAUCCAAAUCUACCUAUUCACAAUCUCAAACUCUUUUCAAAAUUUGUAUAAAAGCCUUUAAUGGAACAAUUUGUUCCCGAAUGCCGUAUAGAUAUUGGGGGUUUUAGGAAAUUUUAUUUCAUUAAAAAUUUUCAUACAUUUCUACAACUUAAACAAAUUUUUUUUUAUGUAUCUGGUUUUAAUUAUACCCAUGCAAUUUGUUUAUGAUUGUUUAAAUUUAAUUGCAAGCUUAAUCUUAUGCAUUGUUAAUUUCUUCAUUGUUCGGAUUCCCAAUGCUUAUUUAAAUUUAAUCUUUCAUACCUAAAUCUAUAUUUGAUAUAUUUUAUUCAUUUAAAAAAUAUAUAAAAAAUGAGCUUGCUCCAAAAGUCUGCUUAGAUAUUGGAGACUUUUAAAAAGGCUCGUAAAUUCUUAAAUUUUAAACCCAGACUUACCUAAAAACUCAAACUCAUUUUAAAUUUAUAAGAAUUUGCAUGAAAAACCUUUUGUAAAAUAAUUUACUCCCGAAUGCUGCCUAAACGUUGGGGUAUUUAGGAAAUUUUAUUUCAUUAAGGAUUUUCGUACAUUUCCAUGGCUUAAAAAAAAUAAAUUUGUUUUGCUAAAAUUUUGGUUAUGAAAAUACCUAUUAACUAAUAAUAAUUGGAUGAGAUUUUUAAAUAUUCACAUCCAAACUCUGCUUAGAUGUUGGAGAGUCCAGGUAAUUUCUUUAUAUAUGAAAUCCUGGUUUUUAAAUUCACACUUAAUCAUUAUUUUGCAUAUGUUUUGUCUUUAAAUUAAUGUCUUCAUCUAUGAUGCAUACAUAUAUGUUUGCUUUAGUUAUGGUUGUUAACAUUCCAUUUUUUUUACCAUAUAAAAAGUUUUCUUAAAAUUUUAUAAACAAAAAAAAUUAAAAUAGCAUUUUAUGAAAUAUAAUUUAUUGGUAUUUUGCCUAGAUGUUAGAGAGUUGUCAAUAAUUAUCAUUUACAAAGAAUGUUGUCUUACUAUUUUUAGAAGGAAUGUUAUGAUAAAUCUUAAAUAGAAUGACUAUUUUUUAAUUUUACCUUUAUAAUGGGGAAUUCAAGGGUAUUUCUUUAAUUUGAAGAUUUUCUCAAUAUUCCUCAAUAAAAUAUUUUUUAAAAAAACUAAUUUUAUUUCUUAUAAACAAAGGGAAUUAUAAUUAAAUUUUAUAUUGAAAACCAUUUUUAUAUAAAAUUACAAAUAGUGCAUAAUUAAUUGGUACCAAUUUUAUUGGUGUUGUGGGGGUGCUAAUCCUUUCCCACAUGUAACCGAUUCCUGAACCUGAUCAUAUUUUUGUAGACCAAAAUCAUCUUUUUAAUAAAGUUUUCAACCCAAUUUAUUGUUUUAUUAAAAAGAUAAAAUUUUUGGGUGGUCAAUCACACCCUUAAAAAAUGAUUAGUGGCGACUCCUCAUGUUUUUCACAAUAACUUUUAAAUUGUUACAUCUAGCAAUCAAGUCUGCGGACUAAUACAUUACAACAGUUUGGCAACUCUACUUGGGACUUUUGAGAGUCAGGCCAAAAGUUUUAAUUAUACGUUAUCAAUAAUUGUUGAAUUUAAUUGGUUUUAUUUGAUAUUUAAUUUAAUUUUUUUAUUUUAAUUUUUCAAAAUAAAUAUAAUACAUAUAUAUACAUAAGUUAAUAAAUAAAAUAAAUUGCAUGUUAGUUAUUUUUUUUUGAUUUUGUGCUUAUGAUUUAUUUAUGAUAUUGAUUUAUUUAUAAUAUUUUGAUUAAUAUGUCAUUUUGCAGGCACUCUGUAUAUGCACUUAUAUGUAUGAGCUCUAGACGCAGGCUCUAUCUUUUAGAAGGAAGUGAAGUAGUUAUACUCUCUUGAGGUGAUAACUUCUACAUUUGCUAGCAAAACACUUCUACUCAGAUUGAACCCUUUCCAUUAGUAGCCUGUAAUGGGUGAGGAUCGGGGAGCCUUACUAGUCUAUAAUAGAUAAUGAUGUAAGGAAAUAGUCUAGGAACCUUCAGACGUGUAAAUCCUAACCCAACAUAUCAUGAACCCUAAAGAUCCAACCUAGGAUAGAGUCAUGCCAUCCUUCUUGAGAAAAUUAUCAAAACUUAGGACACUGUAUACAUUCUAUUGUUUUGUUGUAAAGUUGUUAUAUUGUUUGUUUGUUUUGAAUUAUUUAAUCAUUUUAUUUUCUUUGAUUUUGUUGCUUGCAUCAUAUAGGCAUUAUAAGGUAGUCAUCAAUAAAAAAGGAGGAAAAAAAGAAUUUUAAAUUUGAAUCUUUCACUUUUUCGUUUGAUCUUUUACAUGUAUUUUUAACAUGUUUAAAAAAAAAGAGAAGAAAUAAUGAGAUAGAAUAUACACCCCAUUUCAUACAUCCUCAUAGAUAGUACAUGCACCCUAUCUAAUGCACAUCAUAAUAAGAUAAUACAUGCAUUGCAUCUUAUUCUCAUCAGUAAAUAGUACAUACAUCCCAUUUCAUGCACAUAUUGAUAAAUGCACAUGCCUUCUAUAUGUAUCUUAAUAGGUAGUUCACACACUCAAUUUCAUUAAUAUUUUAAGGUAGUGUCAGUUUCAUUAGGUUGAUUAACUCAACUAUUGCAUUUCAUGUAGAAAUAUCACAUGCAUUUGAUAGUCUAGCACUUUUUAGCCUUUGUCAUAGGAUUGUUCUUAAUGUAAAAACUUGAAACUUUUGGGAAUGAAGAAAAACUUUUGAAUUUUCUAUGAAUGGAUGUCUCUAUUUACAUGGUGUGCCUAAAAGAGUUUGUGAGAAAGAAUGAUGGUUGUAAAUAAUAGUUUCACCAUACUUUUAAGGUGGAAGAAAUAUCUUUAAAUAACCUGACUUGAAUAUAGGAGGGAAUUUGAGCUUAUCCUCAAUAAUAAUAAAUUUUGACUUGUAUAUCAUGCAUCAUUUUGUUUGAAUUCAUUAUUUUUCAUACUAGCUAAGGACAAAGAAUAAGGAUUGUAUAAAUAUUUUUGUUAAACUUUUAAAGCAAAAAAAAAUGAUUCAUAAUAAAGUCCCACAUAAAUAGUUUUCAAUAUCAAAAAAUAAAAAAUAGGUCUUCUCAAAAGAAAAUAUACAAUUUUUCUAGUGAGAAUCUCAAAGUAAUUGGUGAUUACUACAAAAAAAAUCCUCAUCUAAUACCACCAAACUUUUCCUUAACCACUCUUGUGUUGCAAUUUUUUUUAAUAAUUUUACUCACCAAUCAUAAUUCUUUAAGGGAUAUGAAUUUCCACUUGUGAACCUUGUUGUCAUUUGAUAUAUUGAAACCAUAGUCUUUUCUUGGGCAAUGAACAAAAGAAAACUCAUUUUGAAUUUUGAAAACCAAGCAAGAUACUAUUUCAAACUUUUAAUUGCUAAUUCAAUGUGUAUCAAAUAUUGCCAAUAUGAUUCAAAAAAUGCCUGAACUUUCUUUCUCAAGUAACCAUUAUUUCAUAUCUUAAGGUACAUUACUAAAAGAAACAAACUUCUUUCUUACCAAGACAAUUUGUUCUAUGCCUUAAUAUUUUUUUCCUCAUUUUACCAAAAUGAUAGACAAUUUGGAACCAAAAUAAGUCUUUUUGGGAACUAUGCAACCAAAUUUAGGACAUCCCAUAUGACCUCAUAAAAACCUUGAGUAGGAAAACAAGAUGGGGCUUCUAUCUAUUUUUUCAAAUACAUUGCUCUUUUAACCAAUUGAUCAUGUUUGAAAUGAUGAACAACCAUCUUUCUCUAUCCUUCACUUAUAAAAAAAUUAUCCACUUACUACCCUUUUGAGCUUAUUAAAUUUAUUGUUCCCAAAAUGAAUCCUCGUCAAGGAUCACUUUGGAGGGCAAAAUAAGGAUAUCUUCAAAAGCCCAACUUCAAGAAAAAUGUCUGAUAUUGAAAAUAUCUAACAAGCACUUUGAAAAUGAGGGUCCGAAGUAAAAAAAAAAGUGAAUGACAUUUCAGGAAAAUAGAAUUCAAGAAGUUGAUUGCUAAAAAUAAGGUCUAAUGUCACAAAAAAAAAAGAUAGAGACGAAAAAAAAGGAAUGAAAAGAAAAAUGGUUAUGACAUCAUGCAUUUAGGAAAUUUAAACAAAUCUUGACAAAUUCAAAGCUUUAAAAAAGGGAUGAAAAAGCCUAAAAUAAAAAAAUAAUAAACAAAAAAAACUAUUGAAAUGAAAAUCUUUUUUCGAGAUCAUUUUUCCAAAAAGAACUACUCUUCAAUUUAAGUUUUUAUACUUGAAAUGAUAAAUGACCGUCUUUCAUUAUCCUUUCACAAAUGUAUAAAUUUAUCCCUUGUUACCCAUUUGAGCUUGAUUGAAUUUUUUCAAAAUAAACCCUAAUUCACCCUCUACACUAGGAGACAAAAAAAAACAUGUUUAGCGUUUAAAAGUGGGGAUGUUCAAAUGGAAUCCCAUGUGAUAAGGGCAAAAGCCCAAUAUAAAAGUUCACAAAAGUUUUAAAUUCAUUCAAUGAAAGAAUGCAAAAAAAAAAAAACAAAACAAAAUAUGAAAGAAAAAAAAUGAAUAGGUAAAAAGCAAAAAAAGGAAUAGAGCUUAGAGUGCUUCCUUUGAAUGGAAAAAUAAUCCUUGGUUUUUAAUACCUUUAAAUACUUUUUUUUGGGCCUUUCUAUCCUUUUCUUUGAUAACCUUGAACCUUAACCUACAUUAUAACCUUUGAAAAGUCCAUAUUGGAUCAAGUAUAAAGGCUUAAAAUUGAAGAGUUUCUCUUAGAAAAAUGAUCAUGAAUCUUUUGACUCCCCAUUUAUUACACAAUUUCUUAUUUGGAUCGUUAACCCCAUUUGAAAAAAUUAUUUUCCUUUUUUGAAUUAGUUUUGAAUUUUUUAAGUGCACGGUGUGUUAAUAAAAAAAAAGUAAAAAAAAAAGAGUAAAGAAAGAUAGAUACACGGCUUUUCAUCUAAAGAAUUCUUCCAUUGGUGCCUUAUUUCGAAGAUAUGGCUUUGAGAAUGCAUUCUUUACACACUUGAAUUGACUUUUAAUCCACACAUGUAAUAGCAGUGUACACCCUAUGAAUCAUCUUUUUUUAUUCUAUCGAUAGAAAUUCAAUGACCUGAUGGUUUCAACUAGAACUAUUGGCACAGGAUUAAUUGCUUGGGUUUUACUUUGCUCGAAAAAGUUUGCCACCAUUAUCUCAAUGUAGCCCAAGAUCUAUUGGAAGAUCAUCAUGCCAUACAAUGCCAAAGCAAACACAACCAUGCCUUGAUCAUCAUUUAGAUGCUCUUAAACAAAAUUAUAGAUGAAGUUCCAAUGAAUACUGAGAUGUUCACUUUUAGGCUUUACAAAAGAAUCUAUGGUUUUCACUUUAACCCCCAUAAGCUUGGCCAACUUUUUGUGAUAACUUGAUUUCAGCUUUCUAGUAAACACUUUUAUCCAAACCCUAUAGUUUUAUCCCAAGCAAAAUCGAGUAUUCCUCAAUGGUUAGCACUAAAUCUUCCUAAUUAAAAAUGAAGCAUCAUAGCGGGGGUCCCAAAACUAUAUAUUUGUCUGGACCAACUAUUCCUUGAUCACUACCGAAAUGAGGGGAUGUAAUCUACCCAUACUUCUUGUAAAAGCUUUCUUUUCUUUCUUCACCGAACUGACCCCAGAUGACAGCUAAGUCUUCUAAAUAACUCUGUGUGAGAUCCAAAUGCAUCUUCUUGAGUAACUCAUACACAUAACUAGUAGGCAAACAAUCUCCAUUCUAUUACUAGGCUUCCUUUAACUAGACAUGUACUUCAUUAUAUGAUUCACAUGGGACAUUGAUGGAGAAUGAGCAAAUCUGUAGUUUUACAGGAUCCUUGAAGAACUUCUUAGGAGAAAGAUGUCCUUGAGCAAAUAUCUCGAUGCAGAACUAUAUGAUAUGUUUUAAACUUCAAAUUUUCUUAAAAGAAGGAUGUCAUAGGAAUCUUAGGUUUUUUUAGCUUUAAAUUUCAAAUUUUCAAUCGAUUUGGUGGCUGAAAUCCACACAACCAAGUUAAGUAAAGGUGUUGGGCGACUAUGGCAGUGGUGCUUUUAGUGCAUUUAAUACACAAUGACUUUUGGCCAAAAUUACCUAAAAAAGGAAAAAAAGGAAAAUAAUAACAAUAAUAAUAAUAAAUAAGAAAAAUUGGAUGUUUACAGGCCAUGGCAUGGAGAAGCUUAGCCAAACCUCCUAGCAUUACAUUAAUGGUGGAUUUUGUUAUGGCUUGAUCUAUAUUGCUUCAAAACACAAGCUUGGUGUUAAGAAGGCAAACAUCUUUGGAGGAAUCUAUUUUCUCUUGAAAAAUAUUACUUAAACUAAAAUAAUAAGGAAACAUGGCAAGAAAAUUCAUGGAAAUGAUCAUAGAAAUGUAUGGAGGAUAGGGUAGAAAUAUACCUCCCAAAAGCUUCCCAAAUUUUUUCCUUUUUUCCCUCUCUUUACUUAUCUUUUUCAUACUACUUCCUUGGCUGCCUCCCCCUCUUUUCUUAGCCCAAAAUGAUGAAUAUAAAGGCUAUGCAAAUGCAUGAUAGCCUUUGAUAAAUAAUACAUCCAAAGGCCACUAGCUCUCCAAGUUUCCAAACAGUCACCUUUCACCUUUAGAUCAAGGUAUUUGAAAUAUUAAUGGUUCAUGAUGAAUCUAGCACAAAAUGAGGUUUUUGGUAUAGCUAAAAUAACGUAAAAGUCCAUUUUACCUUUUUUUUUUUUAAGUUUUCUCCUUUUCUAUGAGAUUUUCUUAGAAAGACAUGAUCCCUUCUUUAUUUUUGUGAUUUCAAUGUGCCAAAAAGUCAUCAAAUAAUAUGAAAACAUGAUUUGAAAGUUUUCAUGAAAAUAUCGACCUCAAGAAAGUUAAAUUAUGAAAAUAACCCUAAAGAGCAUUUUAGUAAUUUCACACCUUUUGAGAUACGACAUAGGUUUUUAAUGCAUCAAAAAUCAUAAAAUAAUUUCAAAAUAUAAUCUAGAGUGUUUCAUGAAAAACCAACCUCUAAAGGUCAAAUGACAAAAAUAUUCCUACAAGGCAUUUUAGUAAUUUUAAAGCUUCCGAGGUGUGAUCAAGACUUUUAAUAUAUCAAAAAUCAUAAAAUGAUAUCAAAUUAUGAUCUAAAGUAUUUCGCGAAAAAUCAACCUUAAAAAGGUAAAAUUAUGAAAAUACCCUUAAAGUGCAUUGUAGUAAUUUCACACCUUCUGAGGUACAAAUAAAGUUUUUAAUGUACCAAUAAUCAUCAAAUAACGUUUUAAAUAUAAUCUGAAAGUUUUCACUAAAAAUUAACUUUAAGAAGAUCAAAUUACAAAAAUAUCCUUAGAAGGCAUUUUAGUCAUUUUACCCUUCUUGAAGUGUGAUAAGAGUUUUUAGUGCAUUAAAAUCACAAAUUCCAACCAAAAGCCUUGUUAAUCCCAUUAGUUAUGAAUUUUGAAGAAUGACCCAAGUUUGAUCCGGUUCGAUGGAUUUUGAUUGAGUUUGACCAAAAUUGACAAAAUUUGAUUAAAUUUGACCAAGUUUGACCCUAAGGCAUUUGGGUCAAAUUGGUUUCAAAUUUGAAUUUGAAAACUGUUAAUAUUAAAAAAAAUGUUGGAUUUGAAUUGAGUUAGAUUUUAAAAGCCUCACAACUAGCUAGAUUUUGAUAAAAUAAAACCAAAUGUCUACAAAAGUCAAAAGGAUACUUGUUUUUUGGCAACAGACAAGAUGGCUUUAUCAUCCAGUUUAGCAUAAAGCACAUUUUGAUAAAUGAAAUUAAAUUAUGGAGCCACUGUUCAUGUAAUGUGAAAAGUAAUGUAUUCAUCAAUGAACAUUUUACACUCUUUAUAACAAAAUUGAAUACUAUAUUAAAUGAUAUAAUUUAGAUACCCUAAUUUAUAAGUGGUUUAAGACUUUCAAAUUUAUAUUUCAUGCAAUUGUGAUACUUGCUAAGUGUGAUAUUAUUUAAACAUUAAAAAAUGAUAAUUUCAUCUAAUAAUAUUUUAUAUAUAUAUAUAUUUGAACGAGUUCAUAUGCUUAUUAAUGUAAUUAAUUAAUUAAUUUCUAGAAUUCUUUGCAACCAAAUAUAUUAUUGUUGUGUACUUAAUUGAAUAUGAAUAUUUUGGUAAUUACCAAAGCUUAUUAAUUAUCUUUGGGACUUGUAUUUGUGAAUAAUUCAAAUAUUAGUAAGUUUACUAUAAUGCAUCUAUCUAUGUUUUUCUUAAUGUAUUUUUAUCAUAAUUAUAUCUUGUAUGUCAAUGAAAGAUUGGUUUAGUGGUAAGCAAGAGAUUUUACAACCUUGAAGUUCUAAAUUCAAGUGUCACUGUAUGCAUUUGAUUCAAUUUUAUAUUCUAAUUUAUUUUAGUUAUAUUAUAAUUUUUUUUAUUGAUUAUUCAAUAUUUCUUAUUUAUGACUAUUGAACUUGAUUAUGAUUGUAAUUUUAAUUUCUUAAAAAAAGUCUUAUAAAUUCAUUUGAUUGAUUUUUAAAUUUUUUUAAGGAGAUAAUUUGAAAAUGAAAAUUAUGUUUCAUUUCUAAUUUGUUUAAAAUAAAUAGACUAUUUUAGCAAGAACUAGAAAUUUUUGGGUUAAAUCAAUUCUAAAUAACUAAACUAAAAUCAAGGGUAAAUGGGGGAGGGGGCGUGUUUAAUUCUAAGGACAAAUAUUGUUCAACCUUAAACACCAAAAUAUAGUCAAACAUUUACAAAUUACAAUUGGAAUCCAUCAUGAAUACAAGUAUUGAAUUAAUUAAGACUCUAGCUAAUUACAAAGCACUAAAAUUGAUUGUAAAAAGAUUCAAAAAUAUAUGUCAAAGUGAAAUGAAAUGAUUAUGUUAGUUUAGAAAGAGCCUAAUAAUAAUAACUAGAAUUUGACCCCUCUUUGUUGGGGUCAAGUAUUCUUCAUUAAACAUUUUCUAUUAUUCUUUUUUAUAUUUAUGAUGGUUUUUAACAUAAAAUUAACAAUAAAAUUUUUAAUCUACGUGUUAAAUAUUAUAAAUAUAUUGAAAUUAAAAAAAUUUAAUAUAAUGCUGUUGUAUUUUUGUUUUAGGUUUUUUAUGCUAUUUUGUGAAAGUUUAGGCUUUAUUAUAUUUUUAAUAUUUUGUUAUUUUAUAUUUAAUAAUAAAUAUAUCCAAAUAAAAAUAAAUUUCUGAUCUGCCCAACACGUUUCAUAAGAAUCUAUAGUUAUUUUUAUUUAAGAAAAUUUAGAAAAAAAUUAAAAUGUUAACUUUUGAAAAAAAUUUCUUUUUAGGAAAUAUUUUCUAAAUAAUUAUUGUUUCAUUAUGUUUAUUUCAGGCUUUAUUAUAUUUUGCAUUUUAUUUGAUUAUAUAUACAUAUAUAUAUAUAUAUUACUUUUUUAGUUUAGGAUUUAUUAUAUUUUCUAUUUAGCUUUAUUAUAUUUUCUAUUUGACUUUAAGGUUAGAAGCUUAAUGUGCCAAAUAAAAAAUAUUUACUCACUCUUUUAAUUUAAGCUUUAUUGUAGUUUUGGAUUCUCUCAACACUUUUCAUAAGAAUUUUUUCAACAAUUUUAGAUCUAAAAUAUCCUUUUUAUUUUACAAACUAUGCGUCCAACCUUAAAACCUAAACUAGAAAACUCAACCUGAAAACCUAGCCUAAAAAACCAACCACAAACCCACACUUCACAAUGAAUCAAUUAUUCUAAAGUUUUGGCCUUCAAAAACUUAACAACAAACCAACCCACAUCUUACUUCAAAAAGCCAAAAAUACUCGGGAGAAGGAAUGGAAAAGAAAGCUGGGAAAGGAGGAAAUCUUUCUCUUAUUUGAAUAUUAUUUAAAUUAAAAUAUAGGAAAAGAAAAAAAUUUGAGCAUUCCUUUCUUUUCUUUAAAUGCUCCAUUUUUUAAUUACUCCAAAUUGGAGAAAGAGCUAGGAAAAAGAAAAAGAUAAAUUUUUUUAAAAUAUAAAAUAACAUUUAUGUCAUUAUAAUUUUUUCAAAUUUCAAAGAAUAUAUUAUAAAUUUGACAAGUGAUAUUAAUAUUUACUUUUUAUCACACCUAAACUCAUUUCCCUAUUAUUUUCAUCAACUUCUUAUAAUAUGAUAUUCAAAUUUAUUUUUACGAAUUAUUUUGAAUUUGUAUUUUUUAUUUUUUUCUUUCUUUUAGUUUUUUUUAUUUUAUAUGAAAAUAAAAUUGAAAUUAUUAUUGAUUUAGAUAAUUUACCAUUGUCCACAAUAAAAGUAAUCAUAUCUUUUUUUUUUAAUUUAUGUAGGAACCUUAUAUCUUUUUUUUUAUAUUUUAUUAUUAUUUCAAAAUUUUGAGAAAAAGGAAAAACACAUACAAUUGGAGAAAUUAUGUUUAUGUUAAAGGAGUUUGUUAAAUUUGUAAGAAAAUAUUAAUAUAAGUUUAUAAUUAAUUUUAUUUACAAAGACAUAGAUUUUUUAAUUUUCUCAUUAAAAUUAAAUUUUGAAAAAAUAUAACUAUGUGAAAAUAUCUCCAAAUUACAUUCUUUAAAGGAUUCUUUUAAUAUAGAGGAUGUUAGGUUAAAUCCCAUGUACAUUCCUGUGUUAUUUGUGUUUCCUUGAUUCAUCUUCAAAAAAAAUUUUUUCCACUUAUAACCAUGUGGUUGACUAACUACAAAAAGUACUUACAGCAUUAAACAAAAAAUGAAAUGGCUUUAAUAUUUUAUCUUUGACCUCAAAUUUUUAAAUUUUUACAUCAAUACCUAUUACAACUGUAAAAUUAAAUAAAUCAACCAAUGAUAAACUUAAACAACAAAAAUCGGUAUUUUUUUUAUUAUUUGGAUUUGAAUUCGCUAAGAGGUUAUAAAAAGAUAAUUUACAUAAUUUUACUACUUUCGAUGUAAAUAAAUUUAUUUAAAUUGACCUAAAGAAGAAAUGUAUAGAGAAAAACCANNNNNNNNNNNNNNNNNNNNNNNNNNNNNNNNNNNNNNNNNNNNNNNNNNNNNNNNNNNNNNNNNNNNNNNNNNNNNNNNNNNNNNNNNNNNNNNNNNNNNNNNNNNNNNNNNNNNNNNNNNNNNNNNNNNNNNNNNNNNNNNNNNNNNNNNNNNNNNNNNNNNNNNNNNNNNNNNNNNNNNNNNNNNNNNNNNNNNNNNNNNNNNNNNNNNNNNNNNNNNNNNNNNNNNNNNNNNNNNNNNNNNNNNNNNNNNNNNNNNNNNNNNNNNNNNNNNNNNNNNNNNNNNNNNNNNNNNNNNNNNNNNNNNNNNNNNNNNNNNNNNNNNNNNNNNNNNNNNNNNNNNNNNNNNNNNNNNNNNNNNNNNNNNNNNNNNNNNNNNNNNNNNNNNNNNNNNNNNNNNNNNNNNNNNNNNNNNNNNNNNNNNNNNNNNNNNNNNNNNNNNNNNNNNNNNNNNNNNNNNNNNNNNNNNNNNNNNNNNNNNNNNNNNNNNNNNNNNNNNNNNNNNNNNNNNNNNNNNNNNNNNNNNNNNNNNNNNNNNNNNNNNNNNNNNNNNNNNNNNNNNNNNNNNNNNNNNNNNNNNNNNNNNNNNNNNNNNNNNNNNNNNNNNNNNNNNNNNNNNNNNNNNNNNNNNNNNNNNNNNNNNNNNNNNNNNNNNNNNNNNNNNNNNNNNNNNNNNNNNNNNNNNNNNNNNNNNNNNNNNNNNNNNNNNNNNNNNNNNNNNNNNNNNNNNNNNNNNNNNNNNNNNNNNNNNNNNNNNNNNNNNNNNNNNNNNNNNNNNNNNNNNNNNNNNNNNNNNNNNNNNNNNNNNNNNNNNNNNNNNNNNNNNNNNNNNNNNNNNNNNNNNNNNNNNNNNNNNNNNNNNNNNNNNNNNNNNNNNNNNNNNNNNNNNNNNNNNNNNNNNNNNNNNNNNNNNNNNNNNNNNNNNNNNNNNNNNNNNNNNNNNNNNNNNNNNNNNNNNNNNNNNNNNNNNNNNNNNNNNNNNNNNNNNNNNNNNNNNNNUAAAAUCAAUGGAUAACACAUAGUUAGUUGGUACCAUUUUAAACGGACGCUGUAGGGGUGCUAAUCCUUCUCCACAUAUAACCGACCCCUAAACCUAUACUGUUUCGCAGACCCUAAAAUUAACCUUUCAAUAAAUUUUAAUUAAUUUUAAGAUUUCAUUAAAGGAUAUGUUUUAAUUGGUGGCUAAUCACACCUAACCAAAAAAGAUUGGUGGCGACUCCAUUUUUUGUUAUUUUUUUAUUUCGUUUUCAAAUUCAUUGGGCAGCUCCAAAACCGUCAUGAAAUUGGAUGAGGUAUUUGGAUAAAAGAUUUUAUUUCAAUAAGGAUUUUCAAAAGUUAAAAAAUGAAUUUACUUGUUUGGAGAGAAAGAGAGAGAGAGAGUGAGAGAGAGAGAGAGAGAAUUUUAAAAUUUAGGUGAAAUUUUAAUAAAAAAUUUAAGGUGCUUGAAAUUCCACCUAAAUAAAUAGUUUUUUAAAAUUCCUUCUAACCUUAUCUCUCUUUACUACAAAUGAUCCACCAUAAAAUACAAAAUUAAGAAAAUAAAUAUAAUUUUAUUUAACUCUAAUAUAUAUUUUUCGUUUUUUAUACUAAUAAUAAUAUAUAUUUUUACAAAUAUAAAGAUUUCCAUAUUGCAUAUAUUUUUUUGCAUAGAUAUUUUUUAUCUUUAAUAUCAUUAUUAUUCUUUUAUAAUUAAUUUUUAUCUUAUCUAAUUGCAAUAGAUUAAUUUUUUUUAAGAAAUACUUGUUCAAACAAAAUAAUUGCAAAUGCUAGCAUUUAAAAUGCAUUUAUUCCAAAUUUCUUCAAAACUUCAAAUUUCUCCGUCUAAAUGCACUAUUAAUAAUUCUGCAAAAUCUUUUUAUUUUUCUGCAAAAUACCCAAAUCAAUUCAAAAAAUGAUAAAUUAUUAUUUUAGAACAUUAUAAAUCCAUAAUAAUUCAAAAUAUCCAAAAUUUUUAUUUUGUAAGGUUUUAAACACAUAACAAUUCAAAAUACCCAUAAUCAAUUUAUGAUCCUUACUCAAUAAUUUGUUUUUCAAAUUUGGCUAAAAUACUCAAAUCCCAAUAUAGAACCCUUAAACCUACUAGGAAAAGUAGUCAAAAAAGAUCAAAAUCAAUGAAAGAAAAUUUUUGAGCAUUAAAAUAUGACAACUAUGAAAAAAAAAAACCAAAACACAAGAAAUAUUGUAGAAAAUAAUCUUAUACAAUUAUCUAAAGUUCAUCUUUCUCAUUAAGCCAUCACAAAGAUAAUAAAAAAUGAAUAUAAGGGUUAAUAUAUAAACUGACUCAUGUAUCAUACAUCUUCUAUUAAUUUAGUACUAAAAAUAAAAAAAAUUUUAUUUUAGUAUUUUAAUUUUCACUCCAUUAAGUACUUUUGAUACAUCACAUUGUUACUAUCAGUUAAGUGAUUAACGUAAUAUGAAUAUCUAACAAAAACAUACCACGUAUCAUAAAAUGUUAAGUUAUCAUCACGUUAACUAUUGUCAUAUCAGCAAAAAAUUUAAAAAAUUAAAAAAAUAAUUUUUUAAAAAAAUAAAAAAUGAAAAAUAAAUAAAAAAUAAAAGUAAAAGAUUGGGGAAUAAGAGAGGGAAUGAAAGAAAAGGAAGCAAAAGGAGAGAGGGGGAAUGGAUUAUGUCAAUGAUUGACCUAAGGUCGAAUUGAGGCUGGUCUACCCCAGGCCCAACAAAACAACAUUGAUCCAGUGUACAUGAGUUGAGUUGGUAGAUUCGAAGUGGAUCAUCACCGAUUGGCCCCAAUCUAGCACUAGGCUACCAACGUUGUCACCUUUGCCUUCAUCUUCCCCCAUUUUCUCCUUUAGUUUUCCUUUUUUUUUUCUCUCUCCCUGAUUUUUUUCCUUUCAUUUUUUUAUUUUUUCAUUUUUUUUAAUUCUGAAUUAAGGCAUAUACUUUUUUUAAAAAAUUGAAUUUUUAUUUAAAUGCUGAUGUUAAAAAUUGAUGAUAUAACUAUAAUUGACAUUUAUGUUACGUGCAAUGAUUUUUGGAUAUUAAUACUAGUAAAUAACUUAAAUAAUGAUAUUAGUUUGAAGUAUUAAAAUAUUGACGAAUGAAAAUUUAAUUAUUAAAGUGAAAGUUUUAUUUAUUUAGAUACCAAAAUGACAAAAAAAAAUAGUAGAAGAGUCUUUUUUAUUUAACAUUAAAUAUAAAAAUAAAAACAAAUAAAAGUUAUCCAAUAAAAUCUAGCCUAACGGAAAACACUAAUCUUUUUAAUCCCAAAAUCCUUUUCAUCAUCUUCAAAAUUGGCAUAAAAACUUGCAAAAAUUCCAAAAGAGAUCAUAUUACUUGUUGCAAUUUUUUGCAUCUUAGAUUGCUAGAGAAUGUUGCUACCUUGGGUUGCUUUUACUGGGCAUUAUUGGAGAUUUUGUUUUGUAAUUGUUGAGAAAAACAAAAGAAAAGUGGAGUGGAGUGGAAAGUGGAAAGGGAAGUGUGAGAGUGAUUGAAAGAUUGGAUUGGGUGAUUCAUAAGAGAUUAAAAGGAUUAAAGUAUGAGUUGGUGAUAGAUAAAGAAGAUGGGAGAAAUUGAAGGAUCGAGUGGGUUAAUAAGAGAAAAUGAAAGAAACGUGAAAAAGGAAAAAAUGGAAAUUAAUAAUAAUUAAAACUAAAUUAUGAGCUUUUGCAGGAUUUUGAUAAAACUAACCUAUCUACAAGAUAUGUCUUCUUUUUUGUAAAGUCCUUCAAGGCUUUAGUCGUAAGAAUUAAUGCUUCUUAUGCUAUAGUCUAGCACUUGCUUCUUUAAGUUUAAUCUCAAUUAAACUAAGGAGAUAUAUAGCAAGCCUUUUUCAUUUAAGGUUUCACAGUUGCAAAAUUUUCAAUAUAUAUAUAUAUAUAUGAGAAAUUAUUAAAUAUAUUAACAAUAUAAUUUUUUAAUUUUACAAACGAAAUUAAGAUGAUAACACAAAUUAUUUAUACAUUUAAAAACAAGUAUAAUUAUCUUAAUCUCGCUUAUGAAAUUAAAAAUUUUCACUAUUAGAAUAUCAAAUAAUUAUAUAUAUAUAGAGUACAAAGAGAAAUAGGUUUAAUGAAAAAUAUGUUUUAGUAAAACUCAAUAUUUUAACAAAAAUAAUAAAAAAAGUGAUGUGGACUAAUUUUAACCAUUGGAUAGUGUUUUUAAAAUCAAUGGAGAUAGUGUUUUUAAUAUUGGAUAGGAUCAAUUUUUUAUUUUAUUUUAUGGUUUUUGCUUAUUGAAAGACGAUUUUGUAGUUCCCCUUAUGGUUGUUCUAUAGGUUUUUUUUUUUAUGGGAUACUUUUUUUUUAUUUAAUCAAAAAAACUCUAGGGUUUCAUCAAAACAAAAUAUUUGAAAAAUUGGAUCCAAUUUUGAUUUUGAUUUUCCUUUUUAUUUCUUUGCCUUCAAACCUUCCCAAAGUUGAUUAUUUUCCUUGAUUCCAAAUUCACGAACUUUUUAAAAUGUUCAAAAAUUUUGGCACAUUUUUGAAGGCUUUUUUUCCUUUUCUUUAAAAAGAUUUUUCAGAUUGACAUUAAAAAUUAAUCAAAAGAAUAAUAAAACAAAAAUUAAAAGAAAUAAAAAAAAAAAGAAAAUGGGUAAUCCAAUUUUUCUUGGGUUUAAAGCUAAAUUUGAGAUUGAAACUUAAUUAUCAAGAAGUGGUUGAUUAAUUGAUUAAAUUCAUCCAUCUCGAUGAAAAAAAUCUUAGGUUCGAAUCUUGUCAGUGGUCACUUAUUGGAGUCGUCUCGAAUACAUGACUUGUAGUCAUCUGUCUUAAACUGUCAAGUAUAACACAUCUUAUCUUGACUUUAGGAACUGAACAAUCUAUAUACUCCAAAAUUUUUUUUUACCAAAAAAAAAGUUAAAACUUAAUUUGUCAAUUUCAAAUCCAACUAAUAAUUUUUAAACCCAAAAUAAAUUCCAAGCGUGAAAGUAAACCUUGAGGUACCAAAAAAAAAACUCGAAAGCAAAUCUCGAGAACCAAUCGGUCUUGCAAGACCUAAAAGCAAAUAUUGACUCUAACUCAACUUGAUUAAGGGUCAAUCAUGAAUAUGAAAAUAAACGCAUCUUACUUUAAGUCCUUAAAAAAUUAUUCAAUUCAAAUUUUUUUAAAACACUUUUAAAAUUCUCGAAAAAAAAUAGGACGUUUAUACUUAUUCUUUUUAUUGUUUUAAAUUCAAACACGAUGUUAACUUAAAACAUGUAUUAAUACCAUUAUUUUUUUAUUUGAAACUUUUUUAAUAUUUUAUCAAUGAAUCAAAUUAUGAUAAUUAAUUAAAAAAUAAAUAUAAUUCUUACAAUCUCUUAAACAAAUACACAAUUUUUUUUUAAUUUUUAUUAAUAAAAUAUCAUAAUUGAUUUGCUAUCAAUGUUUAAUAUUUGAUAAUUGACAUACAUUAAAUAUAAAUUUUAAAAGAAAGUUAUAUGAAAUAAUUAUGUCACGUUAAUAUAUGUUUUUUCUAUUCAGAUCAUGUUAUAUAAUUAUAUUAUAUUAUUAAUUUAUUAUAAAUUAAUAAAUUAAUCUAUUAAAAUAAAUAUUUAUCAAUUAAUUAUCACAAACAAUAUAUAAUAAGUUAUUAAUUUUUUAAUAAUAUAAUUAUGUGAUAUAAUUUAAAUAAAAAAAUAUAUCCUAACCUUAAAUAUAUCUUUUAAAAAAUAUAUAAACUCUUGUUUGUUUUUACGUUAGACGAUAAAAAAAAGGGCAAAUCGUGCACCUUAGCGCACGAUAAUGAAGAUAAUCUUGGAAAUAAAUGAAUUUUGGUAGAACAGCCUACCUAGACAUGAUAAGUCGGUGCAUGUUAGCAUAGAAGAGAAUCUUUUUUCAUCCGGGCAUAAAGAAAGUUUACUUCGUCUGAAUUGAGAUUAGCAUCAAAAUCUGUUGAUCGAUCACUUCUCCGACUUUCGAUUCAUUAAAUCCUUUUCUCCUUCGAAAUUAAUCGAUCAGCUCUCUUUUCCCUAAAUUUUAAUCCAAUUUAUUAUUUAAUUGAUGCUAUGAACUUUUUGUUAUUAAUUUUAAUUCCUUUUUCAAUGAUUUCAAUACGAUGUCAUAUAAUUGUUCAGGUUUUCAAUUUUGUUUAGAUUAAUUAUUUGUUAUGUUACAUAAUUUAUUUUUUGAUGGAUAAAGAAAAAGGGGAAACAAUUUUCUUUCUUCUUUAAAAAAAAUCUUUUAAAUGUUGAAAGAUAGAAUAUUGCAGUUUUAAAGAAUGUUAGACUCGGUUGAUUAUUCCCGGAUGAGCUAAAUGAGCUAAUUGUUGAAUUUUUUUAUACAACUAAUAAGAUCAUAAUUUUAAUUGAUUGAUUUUUAUCUGCAAAUCCAAGACUAACCAUUUGUAACAACUAAAAAUUGAUAAAACUAUGACAUAACAAUAGAAAUUAACUAUAUUGCAUUUUUUUUUUGGUUUUUCCUAUAGCAAUAUGUAUUUGGAGAAGAGAUGGAGGAACAUAGCAAAUAUGAAGGAACCUCCUUCACUAGUAGACCUUUGUGUUAGGACGACGAUAGAUAACGUAAGAUACCUUGGGGAUGUCGGUGAGACAGAUUCACAUCUUCUUGAGCGUAUUCUACCCCAUUGUACAAUGGAUCAAUUAUUGCACGUGGAGAAGAGAGCAAAAGUAAGUUGAUUUACAUAGUUUGUGCAAGAGUUGGCAUUUGGCUCUGAUUAUAUGUAUAAUUUUAAAAGGGAUUGAUUGAUUGUUCUAGGGAAGGGAUCUUACUCCAGUAACUGAUAAACUUUAGAAGAAUUUCUAUGAGCUACAGUUUGGUCAUCAGAAUAUGACUCUUGUAAUUGAGAGGAUGAAGCUCAAGAAAGUUUCAUUUAGAUGGAGACAGUUGUAUGAGGUAGGUAAUCUUUUAACUUUCUUUACUUUCAUGCCGUCCUCUUACCUAAUAGCUAGGUUGUUAGUGGAAUGUUGAGGAACCAACAAUGUACCUUUACUUAAGGUGUGCACAGUUUUAUGGAUUUCCUUACUAAAGUUGGAUGAUUUAUUGUAGGCAAAAUUGAAGGAUUUUCAGGAGACUGAGAACAAAGCAAGUGAUCAGCUUAAACAGCUAUAUAAGAAAGAAGAUGCUUGUAUACUCUUUGUUCUUUGAAUUCUUAAUGACAUAAGCCAUGAUUUUGACUUGUUGCUUGCUUGCUACAUGUAUGCUUCUGUCUCUUGAAUUUUUUUAUCACUGGUUUGAUUUGCAUUUACAGUUACCAGUGCAAUAUUGCCCCAAGCUUUCUCUUGCAAGCAUAAAAGUCUUGUCGAAGAGGCCAUUUCAUUCAAAAAGUGCUAAAAAUUGGAACUAUUUCUUAAUUACCAUUGCCAGCAACCUAAAUUAAGCCAAACUUGCACUAAGAAGCAGCCAUUAAUUGCGUGUCUAUGUACUUGGAUUAAUAUAUUGAAGAGAACUAGAGAGUGCUUUGUGGUAGUUGCCAGUAUAUUUGUUGUCAAAUAUUAAAGUAUUUACUGACUUAUGUACCAUUUACCCUAAGACUGAUUGGAGAGGACUAAAGAGUUUUUCUUGUGGUACUCUCAUAUGUAUUUAGAGUAAAAUAUUAGAGUGAUGCAUAUACCCUUUACCUUAAUUACUAAAGACAAAUGUUCUUUUUAUGAUCAUAAUUUCGUACCAUUAUUUCUAUUUUAUUAGGAAAAUAAAGUCGACAGGUUCAACUUUGCUCUAAGGUUCCACCUUCAACCAAAAGAAGCUUUUAUGCUAGUAACAUUCUUUGUACCUCAAAAGCUUGGUUGUUUGAUCUAGUCCAUUGAUCUCGUAUAUUGGAAUAUUUGCAACUUUGGUCUUUAUGCCUGAUAAUUAAAUAGGGCAUUUCAUGAAUUGUUGGCUUUAUUUAUAAAGUUUUAAUAAUCUUUUUUAGAAAUAAUCCUUUUUAGAAUCUUAUAUAUGUAUAUUAUCUCUUUUAUGAACUUGUAUACCACCGAUUGGAUCAUGCUAGCAUAAGUUGCAACUUUUACUUAUUUUGUGAAAUAAUCAAUUAUCACAAAGAUAAAUCUAUGCCCAUUUGAAGCUUUCGGGGUAAUAGAACUGACGACAUCCAUGCCUUACAUAGAAAAUAGCCAUAGAGGUGCUAAAACUUACAAAGCUAAUGGAAGAGCAUAAAUCUAACACUUAUGACAUCUUCUGACAUAAUCAAUAUAGUCACUUUUCAUUGUCAACCAAUAAUAGCCAACACUCAUAAUUUAUCUAGCCAUUAUGUGACCAUUCACAUGUGCCCCCCAAACCCCAUCAUAUAUUUUUCAAUAAUUUUUUUUGCUUCAACUACAUUUUCACAUCUUAAAAGUACCUUAUCUUGGCUUCUUUUGUAAAAAACAUUUCCAUCAAGAAAGAAACUUAUAACCAACCUUCUAGUGAUCCUUUUAUCAUUUUUUAUUUCAUGCUCCUGGUAUUGUUGACUUUUAAUAUAUUGAAGAAUAUCAUGAUAACAUGGUUUCCCAUCAACUUCUUCUUCGACACCUGAGUAAUGUGCUAUUACAUCUUUCAUGUCUAGCUUGAUGGGUUGGAUCUUGAUAUUUGCAUCUAUUUUAAUCAUUACAGCCAAAAUGACCAGUGUAUCAAUAAUUUGGUUCUCCUCUUUAAGCAAAUACUCAAAUUAAACUUCUUCAAAUUGCUUGACUAACUCAUAGAUGUAUUUAUGGUAGCAAAUCAACUUUGAAUCUCUUGUUUCUCAUUCACCUCAUAAGUUAUAAAUAACUAGUGCUAAAUCUCCAAACAUAUCCAACACUUUGAUCUUUCUUUCAAUUGUUGCUUGUAAACCUAUAACAAAAAUAUUGUAUUCAGCCACAUUAUUUGAGUAGUUGAAAUUCAAUCUAGUUAUGAUGGGAUAAUAAUGUCCAUUAGGAAAUAUUAAAAUUACCCUAUACCAUGACCCAAAGCAUUAGCAGCUCUAUCAAAAUACAUCCUUAAAAACUUCUUAACAGUUUCAUUUUCUUCAAUGACCAUCACAUCUUCAUCAGAAAAAUCAAGCUUUAUUGGUUCAUAAUCUUUAGCCACAUGAUCGGCAAUGAAUUUAGUUAUUGCACUCUUUUUAAUAACCUUUUGAGUUACAUAGACAAUAUCAUAUUCUGAAAGCAUAACUUCCCAUCGUACUAUUCUUUCUAUCAAUGAAAGUUUUUCGAAGAUAUACUUGAUAGGGUCUAACUUUGCUAUAAGCUAAAUAGUGUGAUAAAGCAUAAACUGCCUGAGCCUUCAAGCUAUCUAGGCUAGUGCACAACAUAUCUUUUCUAAUGAAAAAUACUUGGAUUCAUAAUUAGUGAACUUUUUACUCAAGUAGUAGAUUGCCUGCUCUUUUUUGUUGGUUUCAUCUCUUUGCCCUUAAACAUAUCCCAUUAAAUUUUCAUGUAUGGUUAACUAUAAAAUCAAAAGUUUUCUUGGAAUUGAUGGCACCAACAUGAAUGGAUUUGACAAGUAUUCUUUGACUUUGUCAAAAGCUUCUUGGCAUUCAUCAUUUCAUUCUCUUAGAUCAUGUUUUCUAAAAGGCUUGAAAAUCAGAUUGCACUUGUAGAUAAGUUGCGAGAUGAAACAAGCAAUAUAGUUCAAUCUUCCCAUAAAGUCUCGCAUUUUUUUUUAGGUAUGAAGAGGGGAUAAGUUUUGAAUAGCACAUAUUUUGUUCGGAUCCACUUUUAUUUCUUUUCACUAACCAUAAAGCCCAAUAGGUUUUUGAUUUAGCAUCGAAUGUACAUUUGGUAAGAUUUAACUUCAGUUGGAAUCUCCUCAACCUAUCAAACAACUUUAUGAGAUUGACUACAUGAUCUUCUCCUUCAUGAGAUUUUGCAAUCAUAUCAUCCACAUACAUUUCUAUCACUUUAUGCAUCAUGUCAUGAAAGAGAGUCACCAUCACUCUUUGAUAAGUAGCACCGAUAUUUUUCAAUCCAAAAGGCAUGACUUUGUAACAAAAUAUCCCUCACACGAUCACAAACAUUAUUUUUUUCCAUAUCUUUUCCAACCAUCUUAAUCUGAUUGUAGCCUGAGAAGCCAUCCAUAAAGGAAAAUGUGAAAUAGCUAGCAGUAUUAUCCAUUAGGAUAUCGAUAUGAGAUAAAGGAAAAUUAUCCUUAGGAUUUGCCCUAUUUAGAUCUCGAUAAUCGAUAUAUAUUCUCACAUUUCCAUCUUUCUUGGAAAUAGGCACUAUAUUGGCUACCCAUUCAAGAUAUUUUACCACCUCUAAAAAUUUUACGUCAAAUUGCUUUUUCACCUCUUCCUUAAUUUUCAAUAGCAUCUCCAGCUUCACGCACCUUAGCUUUUGUUGUACUAACUUGCAAUCUAAUUUCAAAGGCAAUUUAUGCUCUGUAAUAUCAGUAUUGAGUUUAGGCAUAUCCUGGUAAGACCAUGUGAACACAUUUACGUAUUCUCAGAGUAGCUUUUCUAGCCUUUGCCUAUCAACUAAUGAAAUAAACAUACCAAUGUUAACCUAUUUUCUAUUUUUAUCAUCCCUCAAAUUCACUAAUUUGGUAAUUUCUUGGUAGGGCUCAAUUAGCUUAUCUUCGUGUUCUAUUAAUUUCAACAAAUCAAGAGGUUAUGUGUAAUUAUCUAAAUCUUUUUCAUUAUCAAGUUUGUCAACAUGAAUUGUGUUUUCAAAAUCAAAUUUGAGAUUAUUAUCAUGGUUAUCUUCGUAUUCAUUAUUUGAGACCCUACAAAGGAUGAGAUGAAGAGAAUAUUGGUACUCAAAAGUGGAAUGGCAAGAAAAUGAUUAAGGCAUAAUGAAAAAAAUUGGAUUGUAUAAAUGAAAAUGAAAAUAAAUAGAAAUGCAGACGCAUCUUCUAAGUUUUUUAUUAAAACGACAAACAUAAAUACACCACUAAAGAUUUUUUAAUGCUUAUAGAGAGCAAUUAAGGAUUUAAAGUUUCACAAUAAAUUAUUUUUUAAAAGUUUUAAAGACAGCAUGCAGCUUUAUGACUUUUCAAUUAUCUAGCUCAAAAUUUGAAGGGCAAAGACGUAUGAAUAGCUCUUCAUCCUAACUCUUCUUUUUUUCCCUAUAUAUCAUCUAAAUGGCUAGCUCAGAAGAAGUUUCAAUCAACUUUGCAUUUAGGGCUUCAAAUGAAUCUAGGUAAAUAUAACCUCCUAAAUGAAAAGAAUCAUAGAGAUAAUGACCAUCAACUCAAACUUUGGUUCAUAUCCCCUAAGGUUAGCCAUUUUUUUCUCACUCAUGAUUUUCAUUCUGUUUCCUUUUGUUGGUUUAUAACCCAAGCUGAAUCUAUUUUUUUUAUCAUAUAUUGUUGGAGGCAUCAUGAUUCCUUGUAAAUUCUAUCUAAGUCUAGCUCCAGGUUGCCAUCCCAUUUUGAUAAGUUGUUUAAUAAUCAUUUCAAUAGUUGUAGAUAGGUGUGAUGAAAAUAAUUUAGAUCUUUCAGCCAUAUAUAUUACGUUGGCAAUCUUGAAAGAUCUAAAAAAGCACUUUGAGGCUUCAUCUAGCACUUUUACAUAAUAAGUAUUUAUCAAGUAGUUUACCAGUAAAUCUUAUUUUUUUGCCACACAUGUAAGCUUUCCAUCAAUAAUGAAUUUGCCUUUCUGGUGCAAUGAAGAUGGAACAGCACCUGCCAUAUGAAUCCAUGGCCUACCCACCAAGCAACUUUAUUAGAGGGAGAUAUCCAUAACUUGGAAUUUCAUAUUGAAAGUGCAAGGGCCAAUUUGCAAUGGAAUUUUUAUAUCUUUUAGCACCUCUUUUUGGGUCCUAUUAAAGGGUCGAACUAUCAUAUAAUUAGGUUUUAUGUAAGAUCCAUCAACAGGUAGUUUUGCCAAAGUAGUUAUGGGUAUAACUUUGAUUGAUAAGCCGUUAUCAAUCAAAACCUUAGCCAUUAUGUGACUUUUACAUUUUACAGUAAUAUGGAGAGCUUGGUACUUCUUUGACCUUCAAGAGGAAUCUCUUCAUCACUAAAAGAGAUAUAGCUUGAAAUUACCAGAUUGCCAACAAACUAUUUCACGUACUCAACAAAUAUAUUGUAGGACACAUAUAUUUGAUUGAACACCUUUAAUAGAGUGUUACAGUGCAACUUUAAGCUUAGUAAUAAUGAUAAUAGCAAAAUUCUAGCUAGCAUCUUAUUCAACACUAUUCUACUAUGUUAUACUCGUUAUAUUUUAGUAGUUUUAAAAAUUCACAAACUUAAUUCCCAAAAACUAGCUUUUGACAUUCUUUAUUAAGGACUGUCAUAAGAUUACUCUAAUUUCCUUUUCUUUCUUGACCUUUGCUUUUUUUCCUAUCUUUUUCUAGCAUUUUUAAAAUGUAACAUCGCCCACUCCGGGUCAUACCUCCUAUACCUAUUAUGUUUGUAGCAUCUAGAUUAACUAUGAUGUCAUAAUUAUACUUUAAUAGCACUGCUUUGUCAUUUUGGUAUGAAAAAAAGCUAGAGACUUUAAUUGUCACUACUAAUCGAGAGAUAGGCCUUUUUGGUCUUGAGGUCGGCUUCUUAUCAUAAUAUAUAGUUAUCGAUUUAUGCAGAAGCUUAUUCUUUGAAUUAAUGGUAGACACUUUAGCUUCAUCAAUUUUUCUCUUUCUUCGUAAAACUUUAUCUAACCUAUAUCCAUCAACUUUUGCACCUCUUGACGAAAUUGGUCACAAUUCUUGAAAGAAUGCCUCGAAACACUUUUUUGAUAAUUGUAGCUCUCGAUUGAGAUAAUUGUUCUGAAGUAGUUUUGAAGCUCUAUUGACUUCAACACAUCAGCCUUGACUAAGGCUUCAAACACCUUAGUCAUUGAAGUUUUGGCUUCAUCUAUCCCUUUUUUUACAUAACUUGCUUGCCUAUUAAUCAAAGCAUUUAUUGAUAGUCUAGUAUGAUUUGGUAGAGGGUUUCCAUUAACAUUUGGAGUCCCUCAUUUGCUAGUAUCAAAGUUUAACACCCUUUCAUUGAUUAACCCUUACACUUUAUGCUUCCAAGUAGUGCAAUUUUUCAUAGAAUGACCUAGGUUUUCAUAAUGAUAAUCACAAUGCACAUUGGGAUCAUACCAUUUGAAAAAUGGACGUUUCAAAGUUUUAACAAUAACAAGGGCUAGUAAAUGUUUCUCAACAAGUUGAGGGUACAAAUUUGUAUAUAUCAUAGAGAUAGGGUCAAAAGUAAUUUUUUCUUAGAUAUUUCUUGGGGUUCUCGGACUUCUACUUAGAUUGGGUCUUCAUUAUGAUCUAGUAGGUAUAGCAGGAUGAUUAUAUAAAUAGGUGGGUGUUUGAAAGGAUGGUUGAAAAUAAGGUGAAUAAGUUGGUUGUUGUAGUAGCUGACACAAUUGAUACGGAUGAGGGAUGGAUGUAACAUUGUUUAUAGGAGGGUAAUGGAUUUGGCACAUUGGUGUGGGGUAUGACGUGAAACCUUUGAACUAUUGACCUCCUUAGUUCACUGCUUAGCUUUAUUUUCUUUUUUCUUGAAAGCUCUGCCUUUCUUUACUUUGCUUGUCUAUCCUAUAUCGAGUUUGUUAUUUUUUAUGACAUUUUCAAUAAUCUCACUUGAUAUCACCAUAUUUGUAAAGUUUUUAGUUGCAUUACCUAUCAUUCUUUUAUAGUAAAGUGCUUUCAAGGUGUUUACAAAUAGGAUAGUUGUCUCUUUCUUAGUGAUGAGAGGUUGUGCUUGUACAAUCAUAUCUCUCUAUUUUUGUGCGUACUCUUAAAAUUUUUCUAUUAUAUUCUUUUCCAUGCUAUGGAGAGAUAGAUCAUCUAAAGCUAUAUAUAUAAUAUACCGAUAUUGUGUAAAGAAUGCCCUUGUAAGUUCUUAUCAGAAAUUAAUACGAGUCUUAUCUAGUUAAAUGUACUAUCUGGCUAUAGAACUUAUAAGGCUAUCUUAAUAUACGUGUAAUAAUAUCUUCUAGUCACGAGCAUGUGCCCACAUCUUAUGAUAAUAAAUGGUGACAUAAAUCAUUAAGUAUUUUGUACCAUUAUAUUUUUCAAAUUUAGAAACCUUGAAUUUAGGUGAAAUGACCACGUCUAGGACUAAACAAAGCUCAGCUGCAUCUGUAGAGCCAUAAAAAUUCAUUCCCUCUACAACCUUAAGUCUUUUUUCUAAUAAUUUUAUCUUCUGUUGGGUACUGGUAUCUUUCACUUUCUUAGACGUCUUCAUCUCUAGCUUUUCUCUCUUAUUGGGAUCAUCCAAGUUAGGAAUCAAGAUUGGCUCGAGUGGUUUUUAUACCAUGAUGGGAUUAGCAAAAUUUUAGGACUAUCUUAGAGUGAAUAUGAAUAUCAAUCCUAGAUAAGAAUAAGAAUAUCCUUUGAGAGUAGGGAUUUGCAGUCUAGCUCCUUGAGAAGGUUAGGUUGGUCGUGGCUCAAACCUUGGAGGGUAUACAGGAUUUAUCAUGUAAGGCAAUUGCUUUUAGAAACUGGGAUUUCUUUCCAUCACUUUUUCUUUGUCAAGAUUCUUAAGUAUGUCCAUUAUUUUACUAAGAUCCCCUUUUAGUUCUUCUUGAGCCUUCUUAAUUCUUUCAAAUCAACUAGGACUAUUCUUGUUUUAUGAUUCUUAUUUGAACAUUGGCGUUGUAUGAAUGACGAGUAGGUUUAGUCAAAAUUUUUGGUGGAUGAGCUAUUAUUGAACCUUUAUUAUCACAAAUUUUCAAAAAUCAAAAUGCCAUGUGUUGAAAAUUUUAUUUUUCACUUUUUUGUGUGAUUUUGUUAAAAGAAUAUGGUUAUUAAAACAAAAAAUGGUGCAUAUGAUGCAUGAAUGCAAGUGAGAGAUAUUUGUUCUUGGACAAAUUUCAACACCAGAAAUUUUCAUUAAUUUCAACAACUUUUGUUACAUGAGAUUUAUCAUCCUAAAAUUAUAUUUAUAAAAGCAUUUGACUUGUUCAUAAUGAUCCUUGGCUACGCCUAGAAAGUUCAUUAGGCAUUGUCCAUAUUCUCCUACUAGAUUGACUUGUCUUCUUAAUGCCAUACCUUUCAAACCAUCUCCCAUGCCUUUUUCACUGCCUUGCAAACUUGAUUGGUCAGGUGUUGUAUGUACUAUUACCUUCAUUGAGCUUUCUGCUCUUUAUCUCAUACGGGCAUCUCUUUCUAAUUCACAUAUGUAGAUCCAGUCUUUUUCUCUUUUUUGCCACUUAUUUAUUAUUGCUGAAAUAUGGUUCUGUGAUCUUGCAGUUACAGCUUCAACCCUUGGAUCACCUGGUGAAAUGAUUCCUUUUUGUUUAGGAUUUCAAAGUGCUUUCUUCUCUCUAUUGUAAGCAUAACUUUCAACCUUUCCUUUUCUUUUUGGCAUUCAACCAAUCUUGCUAAAGCUGUAGAGUAUAAUCUCUCCCAAUUUUGACAUUUUUGAAAAAUUCUAGUGACCACUUUUUGCUUUUCUUGAGCUUUGCUUUUUCAUUGGUUCAUUUUCUCUCAGAGCUCAUCUAUUUCAUAUCACCAACUAAAAUAAGACUUGAUGACAUUUUCAGACUUGAAUUAGACUUGUAAUCUUUUGUUUUCUUAGUGCAGAUUUUUCAAAUCAUUAUUAGCCAUAUCCCGUUCUUUUAUAACCUUAUCCAGUUGAUCCCUUCUACUUUUACUUCCUAUUUCAAUUGUUCCAUCUUUUCACGAAGCCUCAAAUUUUUUUUUCUUAUUUCUUCUUUUUCAGCUUCUAAUUCUUUCCUGACAAGCUUGGCUUUUGAUAAUUGCACUUCUGUCAAAAUGUUAGUUGAUUGAUGUGAGCCAUUAUCAGGAAAGAGCACUAUGUCUCUCAAUCACUUCACUUUCCAAAUCUGGUAAUCAAGAGUGACUUUGUUGAUAAGAGGCUGUAAUCUCAUUUUUUACAUUUUCUUCCAUGCUUGGAUUAACCACUCUGAUGUUCUUAGUGAAUUGGACUCUUUGUAGGUGAAUUCUACUUGAACCAAGUAAUGAAUGGCAAGAACGAAUUGCUUUGCGUUGAAUUACCUUAAUAACAUCAACAAAGCUUAACUUACCACAUCCUAUAGUCCUAACAGUGGUAUCCAUGGUUCAUUUCCUCCUCAAUAAAACAUGGGCACUUGAGGCAUUCAUGGUGCCAUUUAUUUUAUUUCAUCCUCAAUAAGCCUUUGGAAGAAUAUAACCUAUUCUUUCUUAGCCUUCAAUGUCAGGCAUUGGCUUUUACAUAAUUCUUUGAUUGCUGCCUUGUUUCACGGAUAUGGCUUUGAGAAUGCACUCUUUUCACAUUUAAAAUGACUUUUAACCCACAAAUGUAACAGUGAUGCACACCCUAUAAACAGUCAUUUUUCAUUCUGUUGAUAGAAAUUCAAUGACCUGAUGGUUUCGGCUAGAAAUGCUAGUGCAGGAUUAAUUGUUUGGGUUUCAAUUUGCUCAAAAAAGUCCACCACCAUUAUCUCGAUACAACCUAAGGUCUUUGAGAAGAUCACCAUGUUAUACAAUGCUAAGGCAAACAUAGCCAUGCCUUAAUCAUCAUCUAGAUGCCUUUAAACAAAAUUACAGAAGAAAUCCCAAUGGAUACCAAGAUGUUCACCUUUAGGCUUUGUGAAAGAAUCUAUGGUUUUUACUUUAACCUCUAUAAGCUUGGCCAACUUGUUGCAAUAAACAAAUUUUGGCUUUCGAGUAAAUGCUUUAUCCAGACAUUAUAGUUCUAUCCCAAGCAAAAUCGAGUAUUCCUCAAUGGUUAGCACCAAAUUUUCUUAAUUAAAAAUAAAGCAUCUAUAGGAAGGGUCCCAAAUUUGUAUAGUUGUCUUGACCAACUGUUCAUUGAUCACUAUCGAAAUGAGGGAUGUAAUUUGUAUAUAUUUCUUGCAAAAACUUUUUUUUCUUUCUUCACAUAACUGACCUCAAAUGAUGGCUAAGUCUUCUAAAUUAUUCUGUUUGAGAUCCAAAUACAUCUUUUAAGGUAACUAAGACACAUAACCAGUGGGCAAACAAUCUCCACUACGUUAUUGGGCUUCUUUUGACCAAACAUGUACUUCAUUAUAUGAUUCACAUUGGACAAUGACAGAGAGUAAGCAAAUCUGUAGUUCUACAAUAUCCAUGAAGAACUUCUUGGGAGAAAGAUAUCCUAGAGCAAAUACCUUAUAUAGAACUAUAUGAUAUGAUUUAAAUUUCAAAUUAUCUCAGGAGAAAGAUGUUUUAGGAAUCCCAAAUUUUUUUAGAUUUAAAUUUCAAAUUUUCAACCGGUCUAGCAAACUUUGGUGGUUGAAAUCCAUGCUGCCAAGUUAGACAAGGGUGUCAGGCAGCUGUGGCGCUGGUGCUUUUGGUGUAUUUAAUGCACAAUGACUUUUGGCCAAAAUAACUUGAAAAGGGAAGAAAAAAAGAAAGAAAAAUAAUAAUAAUAAUAACAAAUAAGAAAAAUUGAAUCUUUACAAGCCAUGGCAUGUAGAAGGUUAGCUAAACUUCUCAAGGUCACAUCAAUGGUGGAUUUUGUUAUGGCUUGAUCUCUGUUGCUCCAAAAUUCAACUAUUGACUAGUCGGUUGAAUUUUUGGAUCAAACUUGGUGUUAAAGAGGCAAACAACUUUGGAGGAAGCUAUUUUUUCUUGAAAAAUAUUACUUAAAAUUCAAACAAUAAGGAAACAUGGUAAGAAAUUCAUGGAAAUGAUAAUGGAAAUGUGGAGGAUAAGGUAGAAAUAUACCUCCCAAAAGCUUCUCAAAAAGAUUUUUUUUCCUCUUUUUACUUCUCUUUUUCACACUACUUCUUUGGUUGCCUCCCCUUUUUUUCUUAACCCUAAAUGAUGAACAUAAAGGCCAUGCAAAUGCAUGAUAGCCUUUGAUAAAAAAUGCAUCCAAAGACCACUAGCUCUCUUCCAAGUUUCCAAACAAUCACCUUUCACCCUUAGAUCAAGGUCUUUGAAAAAUCAAUGGUUUAUAAUGAAUCAACAUGAAAUAAGGUUUUUGGUAUAACUAGAAUAAUGUAAAAAGACCAUUUUACCCUUUUUAAAAGUUUUCACCUUUCUAUGAGAUUUUCUUGGAAAAACAUGAUCCCUUUUUUAUUUUUGUGAUUUCAAUGUGCUAAAAGAUCAUCAAAUAAUAUGAAACAUGAUCUAAAAGUUUUCGUGAAAAAAUUGACCUCGAGAAAGUGAAAUUAUAAAAAUACCCCUAAAAGGCAUUUUAAUAAUUUCACACCCUAUGAGGUACUAACAAGGUUUUAAUGCACCAAUAAUCAUCCAAUAAUGUUUAAAUAUAAUAUGAAAGUUUUCACUAAAAAUUAACUACAAGAAGAUCAAAUUACAAAAAUACCUUUAGAGGACAUUUUGGUUAUUUUACCUUUCUUGAAGCGCAAUCAGAGUUUUUAAUGCAUAAAAUCAUAAAUUUCAACCAAAAGCCUUGUUAAUCCCAUUUAUUUGUGAAUUUUGAAGAAUGACUCAAUUUUGAUCUAGUUCGACAAAUUUUGAUCGAGUUUGACCAAAUUUAACAAAAUUUGAUCAGAUUUAUUUAAGUUUGACUUUAAGGCAUUUGGGUCAAAUUGGUUUCAAAUUUGACUUUGAAAACUCAUCGAUAUUAAAGAAAUGUUGGAUUGGAAUUGAGUUGAAUUUUAAGAACCUCACAACUAGCUAAAUUUUGACUGAACAAAAUUAAAUAUCUAUAAAAGUCAAAAGGAUACUUGUUUUCUGGAAAUAGACAGGAUGGCUUUAUAAUCCAUUUCAACAUAAAGCACAUUUUGAUGAAUGAACUUAAAUUAUGGACCAACUCCAUGUAAUGAAAAAAGUAAUGUAUGCAUGAGUGAACAUUUUACACUCAUUUAUAACAAAAUUGAAUACUAUAUUAAAUGAUAUAAUUUAAAUACCCUAAUUUAGAAGUGGUUUAAGACUUUCAAAUUUAUAUUUCAUGCAGUUGUGAUACUUGUUAAGUGUGAUAUUGUUUAAACAUUAAAAAAUGAUAAUUUCAUCUAAUAUUAUUUUAUAUAUAUAUAUAUUUGAACGAGUUCAAAUGCUUAUUAAUGUAAUUAAUUAAUUAAUUUCUAGAAUUCUUUGCAACCAAAUAUAUUAUUGUUGUGUACUUAAUUGAAUAUGAAUAUUCUGUUAAUAACCAAUGCUUAUUAAUUGUCUUUGGGACUCGUAUUUGUGAAUAAUUCAAAUAUUAGUAAGUUUACUACAAUGCAUCUUUCUUUGUUUUUCUUAAUGUAUUUUUAUCAUAAUUAUAUCUUGUAUGUCAAUGAAAGAUUGGUUUAGUGGUAAGGAAGAGAUUUUACAACCUUGAAGUUCCAAAUUCAAGUGUCACUAUAUGCAUUUGAUUCCAUUUUAUAUUCUAAUUUAUUUUAGUUAUACUAUAAUUUUUUUUAUUAAUUAUUCAAUAUUUCUUAUUUAUGACUAUUGAACUUGAUUAUGAUUGUAAUUUUAAUUUCUUAAAAAAAAUCUUAUAUAUUUCAUUUGAUUGAUUUUUAAUUUUUUUUAAAGAGAUAAUUUGAAAUUGACUUUUAAUUCACACAUGUAAUAGUAGUGUACACCCUAUGAAUCGUCCUUUUUUAUUCUAUCAAUAGAAAUUCAAUGACCUGAUGGUUUCAACUAGAAGUACUAGCACAGGAUUAAUUGCUUGGGUUUUACUUUACUUGAAAAAAUCUACCACCAUUAUCUCGAUGUAGCCCAAGAUCUUUUGGAAGAUCACUAUGCCAUACAAUGCCAAAGCAAACACAGCCAUGCCUUGAUCAUCAUCUAAAUGCUCUUAAACAAAAUUAUGAAAGAAGUUCCUAUGAAUACCGAGAUGUUCACUUUUAGGCUUUACGAAAGAAUCUAUGGUUUCCACUUCAACUUCCAUAAGCUUGGCCAACUUUUUGUCAUAAUUUGAUUUCAGUUUUCGGGUAAACACUUUAUCCAGACAUUGUAGUUCUAUCCCAAGCAAAAUUGAGUAUUCCUUAAUGGUUGGUGUAGACAUCAAAUUUUGUUUGAGACUUUUUUUUCAACAUGAUUGACAUAGGCUCAUUUACAACAUGGGCCAAGACCAUUUAGUAGGACCAUUUAUGACCCGUAAAGAGCUCACAAAUUCGCCUAUUCAAAAACUCAAAGUUAACUUGAAUCAAAUCUCAUCAAACAAAGUCAAAAUUGCACAAAACUUGACAAAAUGGAUGGACAACCCGGAUCAAUUCUAAAAAUUCAACAAUCUAAUUGAAAUCAACAUGGUUUAAAUUAAAUUUAAGAUUUUUUCAAAAACACUAAAAUUUUCAUAAUGUCCCGAAAAGGGUAAAAUUACCAAAUAUACCCGUUAUAGAGGUAAUUUUCAUAAUUUGACCUUCUCGAGCUUGGAAUUUUGUGGCCAAGUUUGGCCAUCACAUUAUAAGAAAUGAUCUUUUGGUUUGAACUUUUUAAACAUAUAUUUUGAGCCAAUUUUAUCCAUUUCUUUUAUGAUUAUUUAUUAUAGCCUAUAUUACAAUUCUUAAAAAUCUAUUUUGUUCAAAUGUGAAUACUCGAAUUGAAUGAUCAUAUGUUUGGCUAAGGCAUGCUUGUGAUGAAGUAAUGGAAUCGUGUUAUGUUCUUGUAUUUUAAAGAUUGAUAUGUGGGAGAUAUCAAUAAUGGAUGAAGAAAAAAUGAAAAAUGAAAAAAUGAAAAAAAAAUGAAAAAGUGAAAAAAGUGAAAAAAUGAAAAAUGAAAAAUGUGAAAAAAAUGAAGAAAAGGAAAAGAAAGAAAGACUCAAAUUGAAACCAAAAAGGCAAUUUGGGUAAAAAAAAAGUCUAAGCUGAGAGUUGGAUAAAUAGUUCAACACAUGGAAAAUGACAUCUAAAGAUUCUCUAAAGCUGGGGCAUAGUUUGAUGAGCUCUAAAAUUAUUUUGAAAGUCAAUGGAAUAAGUUUUUGAAAAAGAAUUUUAGAUUAAUGUUAAGAAUUGUCUAAAUAUUCAUUGUUUGGACAAUUGCAUCCCUAGUGAUAUGCUUUGAAUUUGUUCGUUUGCCUAUUUAUUUUUGUACCAGACUCUUUUUUGUAUUGACUACCUUUUUUCCAAUUCACCUUGUACUUUCUUAUUUUUUCAUCCCCAUCAAUAAAAUUGGAUAAGAUGUAAUGAAUUGCCAUUAUAUUUUGUCAUGAUUUGAAAUGAUAAUUAAUGAAUGAUAUGUUCAUAAAAGAUUCCUACAUUCUUUUAAAAAGAAAUCGAGGAUGAUAGGGGUAAACAAAAAGAAAUAUGGAAAAAGCUUGAAAAGAAUGAUUUGAAAGGACACAUGGGUGACCAAGCUGAUGAAUAUGGUGAUUGGAGUUGGUUGACCAUAACCUAUAAGCUAUGAUAAAUUAUGAAAAUUAAUGGGGGAUUAGUGGACAAAAUUUGUUCUGAAUUUGUUAGUGGCUGAGAACUAAAAACGAAAAAUUGUGAGAUGGUGGAGUCAUUAAGAACCUAUUACCAAAAUUAAUUCAGAAUUUCAUGUUAUGACAUUUGCAUUAUACAUGCAUUUACGUUUGCAUUGUAGUUUGAACAAUCAUGUAUAUAAAUUUGGAUGAAUAUUUAAAAGCUUUGGUUUGGCUAUGCACUUGCAUCAUGCAGUGAACAUUUGAAUCAUGGUUUAAAGUAUGGCAUCUGCAUUAUUAUGAGUAUCUAGAUUGUUGCAUUUGCAUUAUUAAGAAAGUAUUUGCAUCAUAUCAUGACAUUCAUUACAUACAAAAUUUGACUUUGAUGAAAAAUUGAGAAUUUUUCAUGACAAAAAAUUUUGAACUUUUUGAGGAAAGCUUUUAAGAUAAGGUUGGGAAUCCUUGAAUGAAAAAUGUUUUAUGAGGAAAACAUUUAGAAUUCUAAAGUUGUGGAGCCUUUUAAAGGAGCAUUUUUAAUGUUAAAAAAUGAUAGAAAUUUUUGUCUUUAAGUUUAAAUAAGAAUCUUUAAGAAAUUUUAAAUGAGAAAUCUUUGUCUUUGAGUUUUAAAUGAGAAUCUUUUGAAUGAGAAUCUUUAUCUUUGACUUUUAAAUAGGAAUAUUGAGAAUUUUAUGUGAAUCUCCAAAAGUUUUUUGAAAUCCGAAUCUUUGAAGAAUCAAUGUGAAUCUUUGAAUUCGAAUGAGAAACUUUGAUAUUUUAGAAGUGAAUCCUAAAGUUUUUCAGAUAAAAAUCUUUAACUUUUUGGUGUGAAUCUCUAGAAUUUUAAAGUGUAAAUCUUUAAAUGUUGGAUGUGAGCCUUGCAAUUGUGAUAUGAAUCCCUAAAUUAAAAUUUUGGAUGUGAAUCUUUCAAAUGGGAGUCUGAAUUCUUGCAAAAUUGAAACUUUGAUAACCUUAAAUCCUUGCGAACCUUAAAUUCUCGCGAAUCUAAAAGCUUGCAAACCUUAAACUCUUGCGAAUUUGAAAAAUCUUGUGAAUCUUAAAAUCAUAUGAAUCUGAGUUCUUGCAAAUAUAAAAUUUUGUGAAUCUUUGUGUCUACAAAUCUUAAAAUUCUUGUGAAUCUGAAUUUUGUGAAUCUUUGUGUGUUGCGAACCUAAAAAAUCUUAUGAAUAUGAAAUCUUGCGAAUCUAAAAGUCUUGUGAAUCUUUGAAUUGCAAACCUUUGAUUUUUGAAAUAGUGAUUUUUUGAACUCAAAUUGUGAAUCUUUGAGCUGCAACUUGCAUUACUAAUUGACGAAUUACAAAGUUUUUGAAUAUUUCAAAUUGUGAAUCUUUGGAGUUUUGAAAUUUUGUAAUUGUUGUUAAGCUACACCCGGACGUAAUGGAUAUUUAUAUCUUUGCAUAAUUCCUGUUUCAUAGAAAAUGCAUAACGAAGGGCAACUGUAGACACUCCAUUUUGUCCUAGGUUUAAAAUUUAUUUUUAUUUUAUUUAUCUUUUCAAUUUAAUAAUAAUAAUAAUAAGUUUUUCAUGAAUCAAUAUGAGCAAGAGNNNNNNNNNNNNNNNNNNNNNNNNNNNNNNNNNNNNNNNNNNNNNNNNNNNNNNNNNNNNNNNNNNNNNNNNNNNNNNNNNNNNNNNNNNNNNNNNNNNNNNNNNNNNNNNNNNNNNNNNNNNNNNNNNNNNNNNNNNNNNNNNNNNNNNNNNNNNNNNNNNNNNNNNNNNNNNNNNNNNNNNNNNNNNNNNNNNNNNNNNNNNNNNNNNNNNNNNNNNNNNNNNNNNNNNNNNNNNNNNNNNNNNNNNNNNNNNNNNNNNNNNNNNNNNNNNNNNNNNNNNNNNNNNNNNNNNNNNNNNNNNNNNNNNNNNNNNNNNNNNNNNNNNNNNNNNNNNNNNNNNNNNNNNNNNNNNNNNNNNNNNNNNNNNNNNNNNNNNNNNNNNNNNNNNNNNNNNNNNNNNNNNNNNNNNNNNNNNNNNNNNNNNNNNNNNNNNNNNNNNNNNNNNNNNNNNNNNNNNNNNNNNNNNNNNNNNNNNNNNNNNNNNNNNNNNNNNNNNNNNNNNNNNNNNNNNNNNNNNNNNNNNNNNNNNNNNNNNNNNNNNNNNNNNNNNNNNNNNNNNNNNNNNNNNNNNNNNNNNNNNNNNNNNNNNNNNNNNNNNNNNNNNNNNNNNNNNNNNNNNNNNNNNNNNNNNNNNNNNNNNNNNNNNNNNNNNNNNNNNNNNNNNNNNNNNNNNNNNNNNNNNNNNNNNNNNNNNNNNNNNNNNNNNNNNNNNNNNNNNNNNNNNNNNNNNNNNNNNNNNNNNNNNNNNNNNNNNNNNNNNNNNNNNNNNNNNNNNNNNNNNNNNNNNNNNNNNNNNNNNNNNNNNNNNNNNNNNNNNNNNNNNNNNNNNNNNNNNNNNNNNNNNNNNNNNNNNNNNNNNNNNNNNNNNNNNNNNNNNNNNNNNNNNNNNNNNNNNNNNNNNNNNNNNNNNNNNNNNNNNNNNNNNNNNNNNNNNNNNNNNNNNNNNNNNNNNNNNNNNNNNNNNNNNNNNNNNNNNNNNNNNNNNNNNNNNNNNNNNNUUUUAAAUUCAAACACAAUGUUGACUUAAAACAUGUAUUAAUAUCAUUAUUUUUUUGUUUGAAAAUUUUUUGAUAUAUUAUUAACGAAUCAAAUUAUGAUAACUAAUUUAAAAAAUAAAUAUAAUUAUUACAAAACUCUUAAAAUAAAUACACAAAAAUUUUAUUUUUUAAUUUUUUACUAAUACAGUAUCAUAAUUUGAUUUGCUAUCAAUGUUUAAUAUUUGAUAAUUAACAUACGUCAAAUAUAAAUUUAAAAAAAAAUUAUAGGAAACAAUUAUAUUACAGUAAUAUAUAUUCUUUCUAUUCACAUCAUAUUAAUAUUAAGUUAUAUUAUUAAAUUAAAAUUAUUAAUUAUUAUAAAGAAUAAUAGAAUGUAAUCUAUUAAAAUAAAUAUUUAUUCAGUUUUAAUUAUCACAAAUGAGUAUAUAAUAAGAUGAUUAAUUUUUUAAUGAAGAUUAUAAUUAUGUUGAUAUAAUUUAAAUAAAAAAACGUAUAGUACUAACCUGAAAUAUAUCUUUUAAAAAAGAUAUAAACUCUUUUUUUGUUUUUACGUUAGACGAUAAAAAAAAUGGCAAGCCGUGCACGCCCUAGGCGAAUGAUAGCGAAGAGUGAUCUUGGAAAUAAAUGAAUUUUGGUUAUAGAAACCAGGCCUGCCUAGACAUGAUAAAGUUGGUGCAUGGUUAGCAUAGAACUAAAAUCUCUUUUCAUUCUGGGGCAUAAAGAAGUUUACUUCGUUUUGAAUUGGAUUCAGCCACUCAAAAUCGUUUGAUCAAAUCCUCUCUUCUCCAACUUUCGAUUCAUUGAAUCCCUUUUCUCCUUCGAAAUCAAUCGGUCAGCUCUCUUUUCCUUAAUUUUUAAUCCAAUUUAUUAUCUAAUUGAUGCUAUGAACUUUUUUUUAUUAAUUUUAAUUCCUUUUUCAAUGAUUUCAAUACGAUGUCAUAUAGUUGUUCAAGUUUUCAAUUUUGUUUAGAUUAAUUAUUUGUUAUGUUAAAUAAUUUAUUUUUUGAUGGAUAAAGAAAAAGGGGAAACAAUUUUCUUUCUUCUUUAAAGAAAAAAAAUCUUUUAAAUGUUGAAAGAUAGAAUAUUGCAGUUUUAAAGAAUGUUAGACUCGGUUGAUUAUUCCUGGAUGAGCUAAAUGAGCUAAUUGUUGAAUUUUUUUUAUACAACUAAUAAGAUCAUAAUUUUAAUUGAUUGAUUUUUAUCUGCAAAUCCAAGACUAACCAUUUGUAACAACUAAAAAUUGAUAGAACUAUGACAUAAAAUAGAAAUUAAUUAUAUUGCAUUUUUUUUUUUUUGGUUUUUCCUAGAGAAUAUGUAUUUGGAGAAGAGAUGAAGGAACAUAGCGAAUAUGAGGAAACCUCCUUCACUGGUAGACCUUUGUGUUAGGACAGCGAUAGAUAACGUAAGAUACCUUGGGGAUGUUGGUGAGACAGAUUCACAUCUUCUUGAGCGUAUUCUACCCCAUUGUACAGUGGAUCAAUUAUUGCACGUGGAGAAAAGUACAAAAGUAAGUUGAUUUGCAUAGUUUGUGCAAGAAUUGGCAUUUGGAUCUGAUUAUAUGUAUAAUUUGAAAAGGGAUUGAUUGAUUGUUCUAGGGAAGGGAUCUUACUCCAGUAACUAAUAAACUUUGGAAGAAUUUCUAUGAGCUGCAGUUUGGUCAUCAAAAUAUGACUCUUGUAAUUGAGAGGAUGAAGCUCAAGAAAGUUUCAUUUAGAUGGAGACAGUUGUAUGAGGUAGGUAAUCUUUUAACUUUCUUGACUUUCAUGCCAUCCUCUUACCUAAUAGCUAGGUUGUUAGUGGAAUGCUGAGGAACCAGCAAUGUACCUUUACUUAAGGUGUGCACAGUUUUAUGGAUUUCCUUACUAAAGUUGGAUGAUUUAUUGUAGGCAAAAUUGAAGGAUUUUCAGGAGGCUGAGAACAAAGCAAAUGAUCGGCUUAAGCAACUAUACAAGAAAAAAGAUGCUCGUAUGCUUCUUAUUCUUUGAAUUCUUAAUGACAUAGCCAGAUUUGACUUGUGCUUGCUUGCUAAAUGUAUGCUUCUGUCUCUUGAACUUUUUAUCACUGGUUUGAUUUGCAUUUACAGUCCAGUGCAAUAUUGCCCCAAGCUUUCUCUGCAAGCCACAAAAGUCUUUGCCGAAAAGGCCCAUUUCAUCAAAAGUGCUAAAAAUUGGAACUAUUUCUUAAUUACCAUUGCCAGCAACCUAAAUCAGGCCAAACUUGCACUGAGAGAAGCAGCCUUUAAUUACGUGUCUUAGUACUUGGAUUAAUAUUAUUGAAGAGAACUAGAGAGUGCUUUUGGUAGUUGCCAGUAUAUUGUGUAAAAUAUUAAAGUAUUUACUGACUUAUUACCUUUACCCUAGACUGAUUGGAGAGGAAUAAAGAGUUUUUCUUGUGGUACUCUCAUAUGUAUUUAGAGUAAAAUAUUAGAGUGUAUGCAUAUACCCUUACCUUAAUUACUAAAGAGAAAUGUUCUUUUUAUGAUCAUAAUUUCGUACCAUUAUUUCUAUUUUAUUAGGAAAACAAAGUCGGCAGUUAGCUUUGCACUAAGUUCCACUUUCAACCAAAGAAGCUUUUAUUCUGGUACAUUCUUUGUACCUCAAAAGCUUGGUUGUUUGAUCUAGUCCAUUGGUCUCGUAUAUUGGAAUAUUUGCAACUUUGGUCUUUGUGCCUGAUAAUUAAAGAGGGCAUUUCAUGAAUUGUUGGCUUUAUUUAUAAAGUCUUAAUAAUCCUUUUUAGAAAUAAUCCUUUUUAGAUCUUAUAUCUGUAUAUUAUCUCUUUUAUGAACUUGCAUACCAUCGAUUGGGUCAUGCUAGCAUAAGAUGCAACUUGUACCUAUUUUGUGAAAUAAUCGAUUAUCACAAAGACAAAUCUAUGCCCCAUUUGAAGCUUUCAGGGUAAUGAGACUGAUGACAUCCAUGCGUUACAUAGAAAAUAGCCAUAGAGGUGCUAAAACUUACAAAGCUGAUGGAAGAGCAUAAAUCUUGUCAGCAUAAAUCUGACACUUAUGUCAUCUUCUGACAUAAUCAAUAUAGUCACUUUUCAUUGUCAACCAUAAAUCUUGUCAGCAUAAAUCUAACACUUAUGACAUCUUCUAACAUAAUCAAUAUAGUCACUUUUCAUUGUCAACCAAUAAUAGCCAGCACUUAUAAUUUUAUCUAGCCAUUAUGUAACCAUUCACAUGUGCCCCCCCAAACCCCAUCAUGUAUUUUUCAAUACUUGUUUUUGCUUCAACUACAUUUACACAUCUUAAAAGUACCUUAUCUUGGCUUCUUUUGUAAAAAACAUCUCCAUCAAGAAAAAAACUCAAAGCCAUCCUUCUAAUGAUCCUUUUAUCAUUUUUUUAUUGCAUACUCUUGGUAUUGUUGACUUUUGAUAUAUUGAAUAAUAUCAUGAUACCAUGGUUUCCCAUCAACUUCUUCUUCGACACCUGAGUGAUAUACUAGCACAUCUUUCAUGUCCAGCUUGAUGGGUUGGAUCUUGAUAUUUGUAUUUAUUUUAAUCAUUGCAACCAAAAUGAUCAGUGCAUCAGUAAUUUGGUUCUCCUCUUUAAGUAGAUACUCAAAUUAAACUUCUUCAAACUGCUUGACUAACUCAGAGAUGUAUUUAUGAUAGCAGAUCAACUUCGAAUCUCUUAUUUCUCAUUCACCUCGUAAGUUAUAAAUAACUAGUGCUAAAUCUCCGAACAUAUCCAACACUUUGAUCUUUCUUUCAAUUGUUGCUUGUAAACCUAUAAAAAAAAUCUCGUAUUCAGCCACAUUAUUUGAGUAGUUGAAAUUCAAUCUAGUUAUGAUGGGAUAAUAAUGUCCAUUAGGAAAUAUUAAAAUUACCCUAAUACCAUGACCCAAAGCAUUAGCAGCUCUAUCAAAAUACAUCUUCAAAACCUUUUUAACAGUUUCAUUUUCUUUAAUGACUAUCACAUCUUCAUCAGAAAAAUCAAGCUUUAUUGGUUCAUAAUCUUUAGCCACAUGAUCGGCAAUGAACUCAGUUAUUGCACUCUUUUUAAUAACCUUUUGAGUUACAUAGACAAUAUCAUAUUCUAAAAACAUAACUUGCCAUCGUACUAUUCUUCCUAUCAAUGAAAGUUUUUCGAAGAUAUACUUGAUAGGGUCUAACUUUGCUAUAAGCUAAAUAGUGUGAUAAAGCAUAUAUUGCCUGAGCCUUCAAGCUAUCUAGGCUAGUGCACGACAUAUCUUUUCUAAUGAAAAAUACUUGGAUUCAUAAUUAGUGAACUUUUUACUCAAUUAGUAGAUUGCUUGCUCUUUUUUGUUGGUUUCAUCUCUUUACCCCAAUACACAUCCCAUUUAAUUUUCAUGCAUGGUUAACUAUAAAAUCAAAGGUUUUCUUGGAACUGAUGGCACCAACAUGAGUGGAUUUGACAAGUAUUCUUUGACUUUGUCAAAAGCUUCUUGGCAUUCAUCGUUUCAUUCUCCUAGAUCAUGUUUUCUAAGAAGCUUGAAAAUCGAUUGCACUUGUAGGUAAGUUGUGAGAUGAAACAAGCAAUAUAGUUCAAUCUUCCCAUAAAGCCUCGCAUUUUUUUUAGGUAUGAAGAGGGGAUAAGUUUUGAAUAGCACAUAUUUUGUUCGGAUCCACUUCUAUUUCUUUUUCACUAACCAUAAAGCCCAAUAGGUUUUUGAUUUAGCAUCGAAUGUACAUUUGGUAGGAUUUAACUUCAGUUGGAAUCUCCUCAACCUAUCAAACAACUUUCUGAGAUUGACUACAUGAGAUUUUGCAAUCAUAUCAUCCACAUACAUUUAUAUCGCUUUAUGCGUCAUGUCAUGAAAGAGAGUCACCAUCACUCUUUGAUAAGUAGCACCGGUAUUUUUCAAUCCAAAAGGCAUGACUUUGUAACAAAAUAUCCCUCACACGAUCACAAACAUUAUUUUUUUCCAUAUCUUCUCCAACCAUCUUAAUCUGAUUGUAGCCUGAGAAGCCAUCCAUAAAGGAAAAUGUGAAAUACCUAGCAGUAUUAUCCAUUAGGGUAUCGAUAUGGGGUAGAGGAAAAUUAUCCUUAGGAUUUGCCCUAUUCAGAUCUCGAUAAUCGAUAUAUAUUCUCACUUUUCAUCUUUCUUGGAAAUAGGCACUAUAUUGGCUACCCAUUCAAGAUAUUUUGCCACCUCUAAAAUUCAGCGUCAAAUUGCUUUUUCACCUCUUCCUUAAUUUUCAGUAGCAUCUCUAGCUUCAUGCACCUUAGCUUUUGUUGUACUGACUUGCAAUCUAAUUUCAAAGGCAAUUUAUGCUCUGUAAUAUCAGUAUUGAGUUUAGGCAUAUCCUGGUAAGACCAUGUGAACACAUCUACGUAUUCUCAGAGUAGUUUUUCUAGCCUUUGCCUAUCAACUAAUGAAAUAAACAUACCAAUUUUAACCUAUUUUCUAUUUUUAUCAUCCCUCAAAUUCACUAAUUUGGUAAUUUCUUGGUAGGGCUCAAUUAGCUUAUCUUCGUGUUCUAUUAAUUUCAACAAAUCAAGAGGUUAUGUGUAAUUAUCUAAAUCUUUUUCAUUAUCAAGUUUGUCAACAUGAAUUGUGUUUUCAAAAUCAAAUUUGAGAUUAUUAUCAUGGUUAUCUUCGUAUUCAUUAUUUGAGACCCUACAAAGGAUGAGAUGAAGAGAAUAUUGGUACUCAAAAGUGGAAUGGCAAGAAAAUGAUUAAGGCAUAAUGAAAAAAAUUGGAUUGUAUAAAUGAAAAUGAAAAUAAAUAGAAAUGCAGACGCAUCUUCUAAGUCUUUUAUUAAAACGACAAACAUAAAUACACCACUAAAGAUUUUUUAAUGCUUAUAGAGAGCAAUUAAGGAUUUAAAGUUUCACAAUAAAUUAUUUUUAAAAGUUUAAAGACAAGCAUGCAGCUUUAUGACUUUUCAAUUAUCUAGCUCAAAAUUUGAAGGGCAAAGACGUAUGAAUAGCUCUUCAUCCUAACUCUUCUUUUUUUCCCUAUAUAUCAUCUAAAUGGCUAGCUCAGAAAAAGUUUCAAUCAACUUUGCAUUUAGGGCUUCAAAUGAAUCUAGGUAAAUAUAACCUCCUAAAUGAAAAGACUCAUAGAGAUAAUAACCAUCAACUCAAACUUUGGUUCAUAUCCCUUAAGAUUAGCCAUUUUUUUCUCACUCAUGAUUUUCAUUAUGUUUCCUUUUGUUGGUUUAUAACCCAAGCUGAAUCUAUUUUUUUAUCAUAUAUUGUUGGAGGCAUCGUGAUUCCUUGCAAAUUCUUUCUAAGUCUAGCUCCAGGUUGCCAUCCCAUUUUGAUAAGUUGCUUAACAAUCAUUUUAAUAGUUGUAGAUAGGUGUGAUGAAUAUAAUUUAGAUCUUUCAGCCAUAUAUAUUACGUUGGCAAUCUCGAAAGAUCUAAAAAAGCACUUCGAGGCUUCAUCUAGCACUUUUACAUAAGAAGUAUUUAUUGAUUGGGUUACCAGUAAAUCUUAUUUUUUUGCCACACAUGUAAGCUUUCCAUCAAUAAUGAAUUUGCCUUUCUAGUGCAAUGAAGAUGGAACAGCACCUGCCAUAUGAAUCCAUGGCCUACCCACCAAGCAACUGUAUGAGAGGGAGAUAUCCAUAACUUGGAAUUUCAUAUUGAAAGUGCAAGGGCCAAUUUGCAAUGGAAUUUUUAUAUCUUUUAGCACCUCUUUUCGGUCCUAUUAAAGGCUUGAACUACCAUAUGAUUAGGUUUUAUGUAAGAUCCAUCAACAGGUAGUUUUGCCAAAGUAGUUAUGGGCAUAACUUUGAUUGAUAAGCCAUUGUCAAUCAAACCUUAGCCAUUAUGUGACUUUUACAUUUUACAGUAAUAUGGAGAGCUUGGUACUUCUUCGACCUUCAAGAGGAAUCUCUUCAUCACUAAAAGAGAUAUAGUUUGAAAUUACUAGAUUGCCAACAAACUAUUUCACGUACUCAACAAAUAUAUUGUAGGACACAUAUAUUUGAUUGAACACCUUUAAUAGAGUGUUACAGUGCAACUUUGAGCUUAGUAACAAUGACAAUAGCAAAAUUCUAGCUAGCAUCUUAUCAACUGUUCUACUAUGUUAUACUCGCUAUAUUUUAGUAGUUUUAAAAAUUCACAAGCUUAAUUCCCAAAGACUAGCUUUUGACAUUCUUUAUUAAGGACUGUCAUAAGAUUACUCUAAUUUCCCUUUCUUUUGACCUUUGCUUUUUUUCCUAUCUUUUUCUAGCAUUUUUAAGUGUAACAUCGCCCACUCUGGGUCAUACCUCCUAUACCUAUUAUGUUUGUAGCAUCUAGAUUGAACUAUGAUGUCAUAAUUAUACUUUAAUAGCACUGCUUUGUCAUUUUGGUAUGAAAAAAAAAGCUAGAGACUUUAAUUGUCACUACUAAUCGAAAGAUAGGCUUUUUUGGUCUUGAGGUCAGCUUCUUAUCAUAAUAUAUAGUUAUUGAUUUAUGCAAAAACUUAUUCUUUGAAUUAAUGGUAGACACUUUAGCUUUCAUCAAUUUUUCUCUUUCUUCGUAAAACUUUAUCUAACCUAUAUUCAUCAACUUUUGCACCUCUUGAUGAAAUUGGUCACAAUUCUUGAAAGAAUGCCUUGAAACACUUUUUUGAUAAUUGUAGCUCUCAAUUGAGAUAAUUGUUCUGAAGUAGUUUUGAAGCUUUAUUGACUUCAACACAUCAGCCUUGACUAAGGCUUCAAACACCUUAGUCAUUGAAGUUUUGGCUUCAUCUAUCCCUUUUUUUACAUAACUUGCUUGCCUAUUAAUCAAAGUAUUUAUUGAUAGUCUAGUAUGAUUUGGUAGAGCGUUUCCAUUAACAUUUGGAGUCCCUCAUUUGCUAGUAUCAAAGUUUAACACCCUCUCAUUGAUUAACCCUUACACUUUACGCUUCAAAGUAGUGCAAUUUUUCAUAGAAUGACCUAGGUUUUCAUAAUGAUAAUCACAAUGCACAUUGGGAUCAUACCAUUUGAAAAAUGGAGGUUUCAAAGUUUUAACAAUAACAGGGGCUAGUAAAUGUUUCUCAACAAGUUGAGGGUACAAAUUUGUAUAUAUCAUAGAGAUAGGGUCAAAAGUAAUUUUUUCUUAGAUAUUUCUUAGGGUUCUCGGACUACUACUUAGAUUGGGUCUUCAUUAUGAUCUAGUAGGUAUAGCAGGAUGAUUAUAUAAAUAGGUGGGUGUUUGAAAGGAUGGUUGAAAAUAAGGUGAAUAAGUUGGUUGUUGUAGUAGCUGACACAAUUGAUACGGAUGAGGGAUGGAUGUAACAUUGUUUAUAGGAGGGUAAUGGAUUUGGCACAUUGGUGUGGGUAUGACGUGAAACCUUUGAACUAUUGACCUACUUAGUUCACUGCUUAGCUUUAUUUUCUUUUUUCUUGAGAGCUCUGCCUUUCUUUACUUCGCUUGUCUAUCCUAUAUCGAGCUUGUUAUUUUUUAUGACAUUUUCAAUAAUCUCACUUGAUAUCACCAUAUCUGUAAAGUUUUUAGUUGCAUUACCUAUCAUUCUUUUAUAGUAAAGUGCUUUCAAGGUGUUUACAAAUAGGAUAGUUGUCUCUUUCUUAGUGAUGAGAGGUUGUGCUUGUACGGUCAUAUCUCUCCAUCUUUGUGCGUACUCUUAAAAUUUUUCUAUUAUAUUCUUUUCCAUGCUCUGGAGAGAUAGAUCAUCUAAAGCUAUAUAUAUAACAUGUCGAUAUUGUGUAAAGAAUGCCCUUGUAAGUUUUUAUCAGAAAUGAAUACGAGUCCUAUCUAGUUAAAUGUACUAUCUGGCUAUAGAACUUGUAAAGCUAUCUUAAUAUACAUGUAAUAAUAUCUUCUAGUCACGAGCAUAUGCGCCCAUCUUAUGAUAAUAAAUGGUGACAUAAAUCAUUAAGUAUUUUGUACCAUUAUAUUUUUCAAAUUUAAAAACCUUGAAUUUAAGUGAAAUGACCACGUUUGGGACUAAACAAAGCUCAGCUGCAUCUGUAGAGCCAUAAAAAUUCAUUCCCUCUACAACCUUAAGUCUUUUUUCUAAUAAUUUUAUCUUCUACUAGGUACUGGUAUCUUUUACUUUCUUAGAUGUCUUCAUCUCUAGCUUUUCUUUCUUAUUGGGACAUCCAAUUUAGGAAUCAAGAUUGGCUCGAGUGGUUUUUAUACCAUGAUGGAUUAGCAAAAUUUUAGACUAUCUUAGAGUGAAUAUGAAUAUCAAUCCUAGAUAAGAAUAAGAAUAUCCUUGAGAGUAGGGAUUUACUCUAGCUCCUUGAGAAGGUUAGGUUGGUCGUGGCUCAAACCUUGGAGGGUAUACAGGAUUUAUCAUGUAUGGCAAUUGCUUUUGGAAACUGGGAUUUCUUUCCAUCACUUUUUCUUUGUCAAGAUUCUUAAGUAUGUCCAUUAUUUUACUAAGAUCCCCUUUUAGUUCUUCUUGAGCCUUCUCAAUUCUUUCAAAUCAACUAGACUAUUCUUGUUUUAUGAUUCUUAUUUGAACCUUGGUGUUGUAUGAAUGACGAGUAGGUUUAGUCAAAAUUUUUGUGGAUGAGCUAUUAUUGAACCUUUAUUAUCACAAAUUUUCAAAAAUCAAAAUGCCAUGUGUUGAAAAUUUUAUUUUUCACUUUUUUUUGUGAUUUUGUUAAAAGAAUAUGGUUAUUAAAAUAAAAAAUGGUGCAUAUGAUGCAUGAAUGCAAGUGAGAGAUAUUUUCUCUUGGACAAAUUUCAACACCAAAAAUUUUCAUUAAUUUCAACAACUUUUGUUACAUGAGAUUUAUCAUCCUAAAAUUAUAUUUAUAAAAGCAUUUGACUUGUUCAUAAUGAUCCUUGGCUUCGCCUAGAAAGUUCAUUAGGCAUUGUCCAUAUUCUCCUACUAGAUUGACUUGUCUUCUUAAUGCCUAUACCUUUCAAACCAUCUCCCAUGCCUUUUUCACUGCCUUGCAAACUUGAUUGGUCAAGUGUUGUAUGUACUAUUGCCUCAUUGAGCUUUUUGCUCUUCAUCUGAUUCGAGCAUCUCUUUCUAAUUCACAUAUGUAGAUCCAAUCUUUUUCUCUUUUUUGCCACUUAUUUAUUAUUGCUGAAAUAUGGUUCUUGUGAUCUUGUAGUUACAGCUUCAACCCUUGGAUCACCUGGUGAAAUGAUUCCUUUUUGUUUAGGAUUUCAAAGUGCUUUCUUCUCUCUAUUGCAAGCAUAACUUUCAACCUUUCCUUUUCUUUUUGGCAUUCAACCAAUCUUGCUAAAGCUAUAGAGUAUAAUCUCUCCCAAUUUUGACAUUCUUGAAAAAUUUUGGUGACCUCUUUUUGCUUUUCUCGAACUUUGCCUUUUCAUUGGUUCAUUUUCUCUCAUAGCUCAUCUAUUUCAUGUCACCAACUAAAAUAAGACUUGAUGACAUUUUCAGACUUGAAUUAGACUUGUAAUCUUUUGUUUUCUUAGUGCAGAUUUUUUAAAUCAUUAUUAGCCAUAUCCCGUUCUUUUAUAACCUUAUCCAGUUGAUCCCUUCUACUUUUACUUCGUAUUUCAAUUGUCCCAUCUUUUCACGAAGCCUCAAAUUUUUUUUUAUUUCUUCUUUUUCAACUUCUAAUUCUUUCCUGACAAGCUUGGCUUUUGAUAAUUGCACUUCUGCCAAAAUGUUAGUUCAUUGAUGUGAGCCAUUAUCAGGAAAGAACACUAUGUCUCUCAAUCACUUCACUUUCCAAAUCUGGUAAUCAAGAGUGACUUUGUUGAUAAGAGGCUGUAAUCUCAUUUUUUGCAUUUUCUUCCAUGCUUGGAUUAACCACUCUGAUGUUCUUAGUGAAAUGGACUCUUUGUAGGUGAAUUCUACUUGAACCCAGUAAUGAAUGGCAAGAAUGAAUUGUUUUGCAUUGAAUUACCUCAAUAACAUCAACAAAGCUUAACUUACCACAUCCUAUAGUCCUAACAGUGGUAUCCAUGGUUCAUUUCCUCCUCAAUAAAACAUGGGCACUUGAGGCAUUCAUGGUGCCAUUCAUUUUAUUUCAUCCUCAAUAAGCCUGUGGAACAAUAAAACCUAUUCUUCCUUAGCCUUCAAUGUCAAGCAUUGGUUUUUUACAUAAUUCUUUGAUUGGUGCCUUGUUUCAAGGAUAUGGCUUUGAGAAUGCACUCUUUUCACACUUAAAAUGACUUUUAACCCACACAUGUAAUAGUGAUGCACACCCUAUAAACAUUCAUUUUUCAUUCUGUUGAUAAAAAUUCAAUGACUUGAUGGUUUCGGCUAGAAAUGCUAGUGCAAGAUUAAUUGUUUGGGUUUCAAUUUGCUCAAAAAAGUCCACCACCAUUAUCUCGAUGUAGCCUAAGGUCUUUGAGAAGAUCACCAUGUUAUACAAUGCUAAGGCAAACAUAGCCAUGCCUUAAUUAUCAUCUAGAUGCCUUUAAACAAAUUACGGAAGAAAUCCUAACGGAUACCAAGAUGUUCACCUUUAGGCUUUGUGAAAGAAUCUAUGGUUUUUAUUUUAACCUCUAUAAGCUUGGCCAACUUGUUGCAAUAAACAAAUUUUGGCUUUCGAGUAAAUGCUUUAUCCAGACAUUAUAGUUCUAUCCCAAGCAAAAUCGAGUAUUCCUCAAUGGUUAGCACCAAAUUUUCUUAAUUAAAAAUAAAGCAUUUAUAGGAAGGGUCCCAAAUUUGUAUAGUUGUCUUAACCAACUGUUCAUUGACACUAUCGAAAUGAGGGAUUAAUUGUAUAUAUUCUUGCAAAAACUUUUUUUUCUUUCUUCACAUAACUGACCUCAAAUGAUGGCUAAGUCUUCUAAAUAUUCUGUUUGAGAUCCAAAUACAUCUUUUAAGGUAAACUAAGACACAUAACCAGUGUGGGCAAACAAUUUUCCAACUACGUUAUUGGGCUUCUUUUGACCAAAACAUGUACUUCAUUAUAUGAUUCACAUUGGACAAUGAUAGAGAGUAAGCAAAUCUAUAGUUCUACAAUAUCCAUGAAGAACUUCUUGGGAGAAAGAUAUCCUAGAGCAAAUACCUCGAUAUAGAACUCUAUGAUAUGAUUUAAAUUUCAAAUUAUCUCAGGAGAAAGAUGUUUUAGGAAUCCCAAAUUUUUUUAGAUUUAAAUUUCAAAUUUUCAACCGGUCUAGCAAACUUUGGUGGCUGAAAUUCAUGCUGCCAAGUUAGAUAAGGGUGUUAGGCAGCUGUGGCGCUGGUGCUUUCGGUGUAUUUAAUGCACAAUGACUUUUGGCCAAAAUGACUUGAAAAGGAAAGAAAAAAAGAAAUAAAUAAUAAUAAUAAUAAUAACAAAUAAGAAAAAUUGAAUCUUUACAUGCCAUGGCAUGUAGAAGGUUAGCUAAACCUCUCAAGGUCACAUCAAUGGUGGAUUUUGUUAUGGCUUGAUCUCUGUUGCUCCAAAAUUCAACUAUUGACUAGUCGGUUGAAUUUUUGGAUCAAACUUGGUGUUAAAAAGGCAAACAACUUUGGAGGAAGCUAUUUUUUCUUGAAAAAUAUUACUUAAAAUUCAAACAAUAAGAAAACAUGGCAAGAAAUUCAUGGAAAUGAUAAUGGAAAUGUGGAGGAUAAGGUAGAAAUAUACCUCCCAAAAGCUUCUCAAAAAUUUUUUUUCCCUCUUUUUACUUCUCUUUUUCACACUACUUCUUUGGUUGCCUCCCCUUCUUUUCUUAGCCUUAAAUGAUGAACAUAAAGGCCAUGCAAAUGCAUGAUAGCCUUUGAUAAAAAAUGCAUCCAAAGACCACUAGCUCUCUUCCAAGUUUCCAAACAAUCACCUUUCACCCUUAGAUCAAGGUCUUUGAAAAAUCAAUGGUUUAUGUUGAAUCAACAUGAAAUAAGGUUUUUGGUAUAACUAGAAUAAUGUAAAAAGACCAUUUUACCCUUUUUAAAAGCUUUCACCUUUCUAUGAGAUUUUCUUGGAAAAACAUGAUCCCUUUUUUAUUUUUGUGAUUUCAAUGUGCUAAAAGAUCAUCAAAUAAUAUGAAACAUGAUCUAAAAGUUUUCGUGAAAAAUUGACCUUCGAGAAAGUGAAAUUAUAAAAAUACCCCUAAAAGGCAUUUUAAUAAUUUCACACCCUAUGAGGUACUAACAAGGUUUUAAUGCACCAAUAAUCAUCCAAUAAUGUUUAAAUAUAAUAUGAACGUUUUCACUAAAAAUUAACUAUAAGAAAUCAAAUUACAAAAAUAUCUUUAGAGGACAUUUUGGUUAUUUUACCUUUCUUGAAGCAUGAUCAGAGUUUUUAAUGCAUUAAAAUCAUAAAUUUCAACCAAAAGCCUUGUUAAUCCCAUUUAUUUGUGAAUUUUGAAGAAUGACUCGAUUUUGAUCUAGUUUGACAAAUUUUGAUUGGGUUUGACCAAAUUUAACAAAAUUUGAUCAUAUUUAUUUAAGUUUGACUUUAAGGCAUUUGGGUCAAAUUGGUUUCAAAUUUGACUUUGAAAACUCAUCGAUAUUAAAGAAAUGUUGGAUUGGAAUUGAGUUGAAUUUUAAAAACCUCACAACUAGCUAAAUUUUGACUGAACAAAAUUAAAUAUCUAUAAAAGUCAAAAGGAUACUUGUUUUUCUGGAAAUAGACAGGAUGGCUUUAUAAUCCAUUUCAACAUAAAGCACAUUUGAUGAAUGAACUAAUUAUGGACAACUCCAUGUAAUGAAAAAAGUAAUGUAUGCAUGAGUGAACAUUUUACACUCAUUUAUAACAAAAUUGAAUACUAUAUUAAAUGAUAUAAUUUAAAUACCCUAAUUAGAAGUGGUUUAAGACUUUCCAAAUUAUAUUUCAUGCAGUUGUGAUACUUGUUAAGUGUGAUAUGUUUAAACAUUAAAAAAUGAUAAUUUCAUCUAAUAUUAUUUUUAUAUAUAUAUAUUUGAACGAGUUCAGAUGCUUAUUAAGAAUUAAUUAAUUAAUUUCUAGAAUUCUUUGCAACCAAAUAUAUUAUUGUUGUGUACUUAAUUGAAUAUGAAUAUUCUGUUAAUAACCAAUGCUUAUUAAUUGUCUUUGACUCGUAUUUGUGAAUAAUUCAAAUAUUAGUAAGUUUACUACAAUGCAUCUUUCUACGUUUUUCUUAAUGUAUUUUUAUCAUAAUUAUAUCUUGUAUGUCAAUGAAAGAUUGGUUUAGUGGUAAGGAAGAGAUUUUACAACCUUGAAGUUCCAAAUUCAAGUGUCACUAUAUGCAUUUGAUUCCAUUUUAUAUUCUAAUUUAUUUUAGUUAUACUAUAAUUUUUUUAUUAAUUAUUCAAUAUUUCUUAUUUAUGACUAUUGAACUUGAUUAUGAUUGUAAUUUUAAUUUCUUAAAAAAAAUGUUAUAUAUUUCAUUUGAUUGAUUUUUAUUUUUUUUUAAGGAGAUAAUUUGAAAUGGACUUUUAAUUCACACAUGUAAUAGUAGUGUACACCCUAUGAAUCAUCUUUUUUUAUUCUAUCAAUAGAAAUUCAAUGACCUGAUGGUUUCAACUAGGACUACUAGCACAGGAUUAAUUGCUUGGGUUUUACUUUGCUUGAAAAAAUCUACCACCAUUAUCUUGAUGUAGCCCAAGAUCUUUUGAAAGAUCACUAUGCCAUACAAUGCUAAAGCAAACCCUGCCAUGCCUUGAUCAUCAUCUAAAUGCUCUUAAACAAAAUUAUGAAAGAAGUUCCUACGAAUACCGAGAUGUUCACUUUUAGGCUUUACGAAAGAAUCUAUGGUUUCCACUUCAACUUCCAUAAGCUUGGCCAACUUUUUGUCAUAAUUUGAUUUCAGUUUUCGGGUAAACACUUUAUCCAGACAUUGUAGUUCUAUCCCAAGCAAAAUUGAGUAUUCCUUUAAUGGUUGGUGUAGACAUCAAAUUUUGUUUGAGACUUUUUUUUCAACAUGAUUGACACAGGGCUCAUUUACAAACAUGGGCCAAGACCAUUUAGUAGGACCAUUUAUGACCCGUAAAGAGCUCACAAAUUCGCCUAUUCAAAAACUCAAAGUUAACUUGGAUCAAAUCUCAUCAAACAAAGUCAAAAUUGCACAAAACUUGAUCAAAAUGGAUGACAGCCCGGAUCAAUUCUAAAAAUUCAAAAUCUAAUUGAAAUCAACAUGGUUUAAAAUUAAAUUUAAGAUUUUUUUCAAAACACUAAAAUUUUCAUAAUGUCCCGAAAAGGGUAAAAUUACCAAAAUACCCUUAUAGAGGUAUUUUCAUAAUUUGACCUUCUCGAGCUUGAAUUUUUGUGCCAAGUUGCAUCACAUUAUAAGAAAUGAUCUUUUGGUUUGAACUUUUUAAACAUAUGGUUUGAGCCAAUUUUAUCCAUUUCUUUUAUGAUUCUUUAUUAUAGCCUAUAUUACAAUCCUUAAAAGUCUAUUUUGUUCAAAUGUGAAUGCUCGAAUUGAAUGAUCAUAUGUUUGGCUAAGGCAUGCUUGUGAUGAAGUAAUGGAAUCAUGUUAUGUUCUUGUAUUUUAAAGAUUGAUAUGUGGGAGAUAUCAAUAAUGGAUGAAGAAAAAAUGAAAAAUGAAAAAAUGAAAAAAAAAAAAAAGUGAAAAAAGUGAAAAAAUGAAAAAUGAAAAAUGUGAAAAAAAUGAAGAAAAGGAAAGAAAAGAAAGACUCAAAUUGAAAACCAAAAAGGCAAUUUGGGUAAAAAAAAGUCUAAGCUGAGAGUUGGAUAAAUAGUUCAACACAUGGAAGAUGACAUCUAAAGAUUCUCCAAAGCUGGGGCAAAGUUUGAUGAGCUCUAAAAUUAUUUUGAAAGUCAAUGGAAUAAGUUUUUGAAAAAGAAUUCUAGAUUAAUGUUAAGAAUUGUCUAAAUAUUCAUUGUUUGGACAAUUGCAUCCCUAGUGAUAUGCUUUGAAUUUGUUCCUUCGCCUAUUUAUUUUUGUACCCGACUCAUUUUUAUAUUGACUACCUUUUUUCCAAUUCACCUUGUACUUUCUUAUUUUUUCAUCCCUAAAAAUUGAUUAAAUGUAUGAUUGCAUUAUAUUUGUCAUGAUUUGAAAUGAUAAUUAAUGAAUGAUAAUGUUCAUAAAAGAUUCCUACAUUCCUUUAAAAAGAAAUCGAGGAUGAUAGGGGUAAAAAAAAGAAAAUGGAAAAAGCUUGAAAAGAUGAUUUGAAAGGACACAUGGGGUGACCAAGUGAUGAAUAUGGUGAUGGAUUGGUUGACAUAACCUAUAAGCUAUGAUCAAAUUAUGAAAAUAAUGGGGAUUAGUGGACAAAAUUUGUUCUGAAAUUGUUAGUGCUGAGAAACUAAAAACGAAAAAUGUGAGAUGGUGGAGUCAUUAAGAACCAUAUUACCACAAUUAAUUAGAAUUUCAUGUUAGUGACAUUUGCAUUACAUGCAUUACGUUUGCAUUGUAGUUUGAACAAUACAUGUAUAUAAUUUGAUGAAUAUUUAAAACUUUGGUUUGGCUAUGCACUUGCAUCAUGCAGUGAACAUUUGAAUCAUGGUUUAAAGUAUGGCAUCUGCAUUAUUAUGAGUAUCUAGAUUGUUGCAUUUGCAUUAUUAAGAAAGUAUUUGCAUCAUGAUCAUGACAUUCAUUACAUACAAAAUUUUGACUUUGAUGAAAAAUUGAGAAUUUUUAUGACAAAAAAUUUUGAACUUUUUGAGGAAAGCUUUUUAAGAUAAGGUUGGGAAUCCUUGAAUGAAAAAAUGUUUUAUAAGGAAAACAUUUAGAAUUCUAAAGUUGUGGAGCCUUUUAAAGAGCAUUUUUAAUGUUAAAAAUGAUAAGAAUUUUUGUCUUUAAGUUUAAAUAAGAAUCUUUAAAAAAUUUUAAAUGAUAAUCUUUGUCUUUGAGUUUUAAAUGAGAAUCUUUGAAUAAGAAUCUUUAUCUUUGACUUUUAAAUAGGAAUAUUGAGAAUUUAUGUGAAUCUCCAAAGUUUUUUGAAUCCGAAUCUUUGAAGAAUCAAAUGUGAAUAUUUGAAUUUGAACGAGAAACUUUGAUAUUUUAGAAGUGAAUCCCUAAAGUUUUUCGAAUAAAAAUCUUUAACUUUUUGGUGUAAAUCUCUAGAAUUUUAAAGUGUAAAUCUUUAAAUGUUGGAUGUGAGCCUUGCAAUUGUGAUAUGAAUUCCUAAAUUGAAAUUUUGGGUGUGAAUAUUUCAAAUGGGAGUCUGAAUUCUUGCAAAAUUGAAACUUUGAUAACCUUAAAUCCUUGUGAACCUUAAAUUCUCGCGAAUCUAAAAGCUUGCAAACCUUAAACUCUUGCGAAUUUGAAAAAUCUUGUGAAUCUUAAAAUCAUAUGAAUCUGAGUUCUUGCAAAUAUAAAAUUUUGUGAAUCUUUGUGUCUACAAAUCUGAAAAUUCUUGCGAAUUUGAAUUUUGUGAAUCUGUGUGUUGCAAACCUAAAAAAUCUUAUGAAUAUGAAAUCUUACGAAUCUAAAAGUCUUGCAAAUCUUUGAAUUGCAAACCUUUGAUUUUUGAAAUAAUGAAUUUUUGAACUCAAAUUGUGAACCUUUGAGCUGCAAUUUGCAUUACUAAUUGACGAAUUACAAAGUUUUUGAAUAUUACAAAUUGUGAAUCUUUGAAGUUUUGAAAUUUUGUAAUUGUUGUUAAGCUACACCCGGACGUAAUGGAUAUUUAUAUCUUUGCCUAAUUCUUGUUUCAUAGAAAAUGCAUAAAUAGGGGCAGCUGUAGACAUUCCAUUUUGUUCUGGGUUUAAAAUUUAUUUUUAUUUUAUUUAUUUUUUCAAUUUAAUAAUAAUAAUAAUAAGUUUUUUCAUGAAUCAAUAUGAGCAAGAGUUAGAAUUGGACUUGAUUUGUAAAAGGCUAAAUUUUAGUUUUAUGAUAGUACAACAAUCUUAUUAAAGUUGAAUCACAAUCAAGCAAAAAAUCUUCUGAUUGUUCCUUAUAAAUAAACUUGUUAUCAACAGAGAAAUAGGGGAUAAGGAGCAAGCAUAGUUUUUGAAAGAAAAAAAUAAAAAAGAAUUCAAUAAGCAAAUAAUUUUUUUGAAGGAAACUAAGGCUUCUGUCAGGGAUUUUUAAGUUGAUUGUGAGUUUAAUCAAGUUAAAAAGUGGUUUAGAAAGAUUCUUGAAGAUUAAAGGGUCAAAAUCAUAGAAAUUUUUCUAAAAUUUUUUUUGGAAAAUUUUGGGAAUUCCAGAAUUUGUUUGAAUUAUUUAGUAAAAUUCAAGUUUUCCAACAAGAUUCCAGUGAGAAACCUAAUUUUUAAUGACUAACCUAGAUUCCGAUGAUCCAACCCAAAAUCUGGUUAAAGUCUUUCUAGCACAUUCCUAGUUCCCAAUGUUGUUUCCUAGAAUCUGGUGAAUGAUUCAAAUGACAUUCAUAUGUUUUAGAGAAAGAGAAAAAAAAGAAAAGGCUAAAGAGAAAGAAAGGGAAAAAAAUCUUAAAAAAAAAAAUUUUUAGGCUUUUAUAUUACAUAACAAAUGAUGCCAUUUUGAUCAUAAAACCUUUAGGAUUCGUGUGCUGCCCCAAACACUUAACCUGAUCCGCAACACUUUGACUUGAGAUCCUUCCUUUUUAAGCUGCUGUGGAGUUGAGCUACUAGUCAGCCAAGCCGUGUCUCUGAAGUUAUCUUUUGUGUCUGGAGCCAAGUCAGUGCCAUAACCAAGUCGAGUUAGUCCUUUUGUUUUAGUUUUUUUAUGGUUUUUAUUUAUUUUUCUUUUAUGUUAUUAUUUCCUUUAUUCAUUUUUUGUGGAAUAUUUUUGCAUGAUUAAAUUUUUAGGAAAACUAUAAAAAAAUAUUAAAAUUAAACAUUAAUAAAAUUUGAAAAAUAAAUGAUAAUUAUCCAAUGAUAAAAUUUUUAGAAAUUACAAAUGAAUAAUUUUUAUAAAAUUUCUAGGUGAGAAUUUUUCUUCUAAAUUUAACCUAAAUGGUGGAAGAAAUGAGAUGAAAAUUAAAAAAUAGUUGUCAUAUUAUUUUCUUAAGGAUUAAGAAGCAAGUGAUGAAUAAAAAGAAUAAAGAUAUUUCUAAAUAGACCCAAUCGUGAAAAAUUUAGAAAUAAAACUUGUAAAAUAAAAAUAAAUUUCGAUGAAAUUCUUAGUAAUCACAAAUGGAUGAUUAUCUAAGAAAUUUUUAGGCGAGAAGAUAUUUCUAAUUUUGGCCCAAAUGGUGAAAAAAUUAGAUAUAUUUUCAAUAAAAAUAAAAAUAAAAAAUGAUUAAAUCAUUUUUCGAUGAUGAAACCUCUUCAAGAAAACAAAUGGGAUUCAUAUAUACUUUCGAUGUGAGAAAGUAUUUUUAAGAAUUCUAAUAGAUUGAUGGAGAAUAUUAAAAGUUAUUUUCAAUAUUUAAAUGUUAAUAGAAGACCAAUAGAAUCAAAAUCUUGGGAUAAUUUAAAAUAAAAUGGUAUCAUCAUUUGGAUGGGCAUGUAGGGGUGUUAUAACCUUCCUCAUAUGUAAUCAAAAUCUCAAACCUUAUUCUGAUUAGUAGAUCAAAACUUAAUCUUUAAAGAUCCUUAGUCAAGCUUAGGAGCUUCUUAAAAGAAUAGAUUUGCUAGAUGACCAAUCACACCUAGAGAAAAGAUUGGUGAUGACUCCUUAAAGUCAAGUCCAGCUAUAAGUUAAUGGAUUUAUAUGUUAUGAUAAUAAGUUUUAAGCAUAAUUUAGCUGGCAUCCAAGUUUUAAACCCAGCUUAGCUAGCAUUAAUCAAAAUUUAAGCCCAGAUUAGCUGGCACAUAAGCUUAGUUUAGCUAGCAUGUAAGCCCGAUUAGUUGAAAAAGUACACACCUCUUUUUUUUCCUUUAAGUGGUGAGAUCUUUUUGAAUCAAUAGAAAUAUCUGUGUAUACAAUCAUUCAAUCCAUUAAGAGAAAUAAUUUUCACUUAUUUCAUUUCUAAUAAAGAUUGUCAAUUCUCCUAAAAAUUUAAGUUUAUCCAAGUUUUAAGCCUAGUUUAGUUGACACCUAAUGAAAAUUUAAGCCUAGUCUAGCUAGCACCCAAUGAAAAUUUAAGCCCAGUAUAGCUGGCACUCAAUCGAAAUAUGAGCCUAAUUUAGUUAGCAUCAAUGAAGUUUUAAGCCUAGUUUAUCUAGCACCAAUGAAAAUUUAAGCCUAGCAUUAUUGCCACUCUGUGAAAAUUUAAGCCUAGUAUAGCUGGCACCUAGGUUUUAAGCCCACUUUAGCUGGCACUUAUGUUUUAAGCCCACUUUAGCUGGCACCCAAUGAAGAUUUAACCCUAGCUUAGCUAGCAUCCAAUGAAAUUUAAGCCUAGAUUAUCAGACACUCAAUGAAGUUUUAAGCCUAGUUUAGUUGGCACCUAAUGAAGUUUUAAACCCAGUUUAGCUGGCACUCAAUGAAGUUUUAAACCCAAUUUAGCUGGCACUGAUCAACAAAGUUUUAAGCCCAACUUAGCUGACACCCAAUGAAAUUUAAGCCCAUUUGAACUGACCUCUAAUGAAAAUUUAAGCCUAAUAUAGUUGGCACCAAUAAAGUUUUAAGCCCAGUUUAUUUGGCAUCAAUGAAAAUUUAAGCCAAACUUAGUUGGCACCCAGUGAAAUUUUAAGCCUAGUUUAGCUGGCACCUAGGUUUUAAGCCAAGCUUAACUAGCACCCAAUAAAAAUUUAAACCUAGCAUAGUUGGCACUUAAUGAAAUUUAUACCAAGAUUAUCUAGCACUUAAUGAAAUUUUAAGCUCAAUUUAGCUGGCACCAAAUGAAAUUUAAGCCUAGUUUCGUUGACAUCCAAUUAAAAUUUAAGCCUAGUAUAGUUGGUACCAAUAAAAAUUUAAACUUAGUUUUGGUUGGCAUAAUAGUCCAGUUUAGCUGGCAUAUAAACCCAAAUUACUGGUCACCCAUAUUCGACUUGCAGUUUAAUCCUGGUCAUCUUUAUCAUUUGACUCGUAGUUUAAUCUUUAUCAUUUGGCUCGUAGUUUAAUCUCGAUCACUUCACUCGACUUACGAUUUAAUCCUAAUUAUCUUUACCUUUCAACUCACGAUUUUAUCCCAAUCAUCAUAAAAAAUAAAAAAUAAAAAAGAGAAAUAAAUGAAAAAAAUAAAAAAUAAUAAUCUUCAAAGCCCACUAAUGGCCUAUUGCUAACCAAUAAACAGAAAAAAUAAAUAAUAAAAUAUAAAAAUCAUUAAAUAAAAAAUAAAUAAAUAAAAUAUAAUAAAUAAAUAAUAUAAAUAUAAAAAAAUAAAAACAAAUAAAAAUGUUAUACAAAUUCAAAUAUAUAUAUACAAAUAAAAUAUAAAUAUAUAAAAAAUAAUUAAAAAAUAUUAAAGAUAUUAAAAGACAUAUAUCAAAAUUAUAAAGGGAGUUUGACCCACAAUAAAAUCCUAAGAGCCCAUAAAAUAUGGCUCUAACCUAAAGAUUAAAAAAGCCCAUUUGGCUAAAAAGAGGAAAACCGUAUGAAAACCCAAAAUACAUGCAUGAAAUUGGGUGGCCAACAUGGGAAGCUACUGGAAAAAAAAUACAAAAAGAGGAAAACUAAAAAGGGUAACAUGUAGAUGAGAGCAAAAGGGCAUGAACGUGAGAAAAGGGCAUGGUUUGAGGGCCUUACAACGUAAAAACUAAAGAAAACUAAAAAAAAUUAACACUGGAAUUGAAAAAAUUAUAGAGAAAACAAAAAAAAAAACCAAAAAAGCAAAAAAACCUUAAAAGAAAAUGUAGUGGAGGCAAAAAAAGGGAUGUUUUUUAAGAAAGGCAUCCAAGGCAUGAGGAAAAACUAAAAGUAGAAACUUGAAGAAAGGAAAAGGGAAAGGAGGACCAUUCAGGCAAGAAUAAAACCAAGGGAGAAUUUUUGGCAAAAAAUAAAAGAAGAAGCCAGGAGAAAAGAAAGCAUUUGGGUGAAAGAAAUAAAAAACAAAUUUAAGAAAAAAAAUAGGGAAAAGAAAGAGAAAAGAAAAACCAAUGAAGGAAAAGGUAAAAAAAGCACAAAAAAUGGUAAAAAAGCCAGUUGCAAGAAGUGGCAAGCAAACAAAAAAAGGAAAAGGUAGGCAUUUGGACAAAAGAAUAAAAAGAAAAAAAACUGAGCAAACUAGUAGCAAAUAUAAUAGAGGAAAAAAAAAACACCAAUAAGGAAGUGAUGCAGGCCAAUAGAAAAAGGAAAAAAAAUAAAAAAGCUGUAAAAAAAAGCUGGUAGCAGAAUUAAAAAAAAAAAAAGGUAACACAAAACAGUAGCAACACGAGAAACCAAUUGCCAAAGGAAACAAGAAAGGAAGAUGAAGAACCGGGGUACUCGUUUUUUGCAUGAAGUGGUUUGGUAUGAACUUAAAGCUCCAUUAGGUUCUGUUUGCAUGAAAUUCUUGCUUUACAUUGAACUUUUCUUGUUUUUCCUUUGCAUUUGUUUAAUAUAUCAAGGUUGCAUGGAGUCAAGGUUCAUUUGUUUCUAUUUGGCUUUUUGUCAUUUUUCAUUUUUUUGGUUCAGCAUACUUUGUUUGUAGGAGCAUAAGCUUUCAUUUCGUGCGUUGCACGGGGUAUACUUUCUCUUGUAGCUUAUAUUCAUUUGGGAAUUAAUUGAAAAACAAGCUUUGAUUCAAAAGAAAAUGCAUUUAGGAAACCAUAUGAGUAAACCAUUUUUUUUUGUUAUAUAUACAUUUCAUUAUUAUUUUGUUAAUAAACAUAGACUUAAAACAUGAGGCUAAUAAUUUAUUUUUAAAGAUUAUUUUCAUUUAUAUUUCAUAUUAUUUAUAUUCAUGCACAUUUUUUUAUGUUGGUUAAGCCUGGUUAUUAUUUAAGUUUCAUGAAUUUCAUUUUCCUUGUUGAUCACAUUUCAAUGUCUAUUUUAAUUUUUAUGCAAUUUAAUUCUUCAUGCUUAAAUUCCAUACUUUGAAUAUAAUUUACUUCCUAUAUAUUUUUAGAUUUAUGCAAAAACUAAUAAUGAUAAUUUUUUAAAAAAUAUAUAAAACUAAAUUCUGAAAUCCUUGCCUACAUGUUGGAAGGAAUAAAAACGUGUUUUAAAAAUAAUAAUAAUAGUUCUGCUUAGAUGUAGGGAAAUUAUUAAAUAAAAAUUAAAAUAAUAAAAGAUUAAAUAAUAAUAAUAUUUUAAUAAAAAAAUAUAUAAAAUAUAAAAAUUCAUUUUUUAGAGAAAUUGAAAAAACAAACUUGAUCUGAAAGAUUACCUAGAAGUUGGAGAUUUCUAAACAGGUGCGUAAAGUUUUGAAAUAUUAAAGCAAAACUCUAAGCGAAAUCUUAAAUGAAACCCUAAACCUUAGGUAAACCCAAAAACCCUAACCGAAACCCUAAAAUCGUAGGUGAAUCCUUGAACCCUAAAUGAAACCCUAAAUCAUAAGGAAACCCUAAAACCCUAAGGUGAAACCCUAAAUUCAUUCCAAACCUUAAAAUCAUCCCAAGAUUCAAAAGUUGAUAUGAAAACUUUUUGUGAAAUAAUAUGUUCCUGAAUGUUGCCUAGAUGAUAGGGUAUUUAAGAAAUUUUAUUUCAUUAAGAAUUUUUAUACAUUUUCGCACCUUAAAAUAAAUUCAUUUUGUUAAAAUAACAAAUAUAUAAAUAUAAAAUAAUAAAGAAUAGAAUGAGAUUUUAAAUAUAAAUAGUUACACCUAAACUUUGUCUAAAGGUUGGAGAGUCUAAGUGAUCUUUUUAUAUUUGAAAAUCUGAUUCCUAAAUUCGCAUUUUAUCAUCAUUUGCAUGCAUCUCCUUUUUUAUAUUAAUGUGUACAUUUGGGCAAACUUUCGAAGCAAACUCAUUUUUAUAAUUAUUCCAAAAAUUAUUUUUUAUAGUCUUAUACUUUUAUAUGCAUUUCUUUUUUGUUUUAUGAAAUUUGUUAUUGUUAUUGCUAUUAUUACUAUUAUGCAUAAAUUUAAAGUGCAUGAAAAACAAAAAUAAAACAUACCUAACAUAAAUUUCAGCAUGAAAUAUUGAAUUAAAACAAGCAUGAGAAUCCAAACCAUAAAAAAAAUUUAACAAUGCAUAAAAUUGAACUUAUAAUUAAAUUUAAACAACCUAAAAUAAAAUAUAAGUAUGAUUAAGAAAAUUCUAAGUGAAGAAAAUUUUUUACUUUACUAUUUUAUUUUUAUUAUUGUACUCAUGCCAAACCUAAAAAAAUAUAAGAUCCAAUUACCACCACUAUGGUCCCAUACCAUGGCUUUUCAUAGAUGAUGUUAUUAUCAUACAUGUAAAAUAUAUAUAUAUUUUUUGUAAAAGAGGUACCACUCUACCAGAACAAAUAAAGGAAACUUAAAGAUUCAAAUCUUCCUAUAAGCCAUGGCCAUGUAAUAGAAUAAAACAUAAGCAAAAAACAAAUUGAAGCUUUAGGCUUCCUUUUACAAGAGCUACAACUAAGCACAAGCAUGGAAGAAAAAGGUUUGAACAUCCCCUCAAGCAAACAUAUCGCAUGCAACAUGUGAAAAGAGAAAGCUUUGUGUUUCCAAGCAACAAUCCACACGUAAAAAAAGGAUCAUUAGAAAAACCAAAACUAUAGUAUUCAUUUUAUUCACCAAGAAAAAAGACUUGAGGAUGAUGAAAGGGCUAGCUUAUGUGAGCAAACAAAGGUAUAACAUACAAACAUUAGGAGAACAAGAAAACAUAAAAAGACAACCUACAACCAGUUUUAAACCAUCAUUAAUAGAGUUAUGAAAUUCAUAAGCAGCCAAAAGAGAACCUAGGCUAAACUGAAACAUGUUUGUGGAACUUGAAGCUUCUUUUUCUUAUCAUUUUUUUAGCAUAAAAAUUGAAGCCCAAACUCAUACUUAAGUCCUACUUGAAAAACUUGAGCCAUAUACAGAAAAAAAAGACCAAAGAUAUGGCUAGAAUCACUAAGGCAGUAAUGGAAGCAACUUUCAAAAUCUAGGUGAAAGAAACAACCAAACCGUGACUACUCAUGGGAAGCCAAAUAACAUGGUUUGGGUUAUCCAAACUUUUUAGGGUUUUUACUUAUUUUCAGCUUGUAAUAACUAGAGGGUGGUCAUGAAAAAUGGAAGGGCAAGGACUAUUAAGACUUUGUGGAGUGAGGUUAAUUGCUAUAGUUGCCAUUAGAAGAGGCAAGAGCUAUUUGGCAAUACCAAAAAAAAGGAAAUAGAGCUCCAACCAUUUUUGUAAAAAAAGCAACAUAGAACAUGUAAAAUUUUAAACUUUAUCAACAUUCACACCAAAGUCCAAAGCAUGUAAGGAACAAAUAAGAAUACUUUGCAAAAAAGAUCAUGGCAGGUGCAAAAAUAGUGUAACAACAAUGAUAUAAAUGGCAAACGUAUGCCUUUGUAUGGGCUGUAUCACCUUUUAAACUUUUUUUAUUUUUAGCUUUUUUUUUUUAUGUUUUAACCCUCUUUUUUUUUACUAGAAGCCUCUUUUUUUUUUCAACUAGCCCUUCUCUCCUUUAUCUAUUUAAUAGACCUUCUUCUAAGAAAGAAAAUACAUCAAUCUUGAUUAAUAAAGACCCUUGAAUGAAAUCUCAUCCAAAGGUCAAAGUUCCUCUUUUUCUUCUUUCCAAGGAGCCACAUUUGGCUAUUGGAUCAAAAGUCAAAAGAAGAUCCAAUAGUCCAUAUUAAACAAUGCAAAGGUUGAAUUUUUAUGCCCUCCAAACUCAUGAAAAGAUCAUUUUACCCCUAGUAUAAAGUUUUUAGUAUUUAAGCCAUUUUCUUAGAAAUCAAUGUUCCCAUGCUCAUUUUUGGGAUUUUAAAAUACCAAAAAUUAUAAAACAUUAUGAAAUUAAGAUUUGAAAAGUUUCAUGAAAAUUUGAGCUCGAGAAGGUCAAAUUAUAAAAAACCUCUGUAAGGGUAUUUUGGUAAUUUUACCUUUCCCAAGGUACUACUGUGAUUUAAAUGUACUAAAAAUCAUGAAAUAUUAUAAAAUUAGAAUUUGAAAAGUUUCAUGAAAUUUUUAUCUCAAAAAGAUCAAAUUACAAAAUACCCUUUAAAGGGUAUUUUAGUAAUUUUACACUUUUUAAGGUAGUGCUACGAUUUUAAAUGUAUCUGAAAAGUUUUACAAAAAUUUGAGCUUGAAAAAGUUAAAUUAUGAAAAUAUCCCUAUAAAGGUAUUUUGGUAAUUUCAUCCUUUUCGGGCACUGCUAUGAUUUUAAAUGCAUCAAAAAACAUAAAAUAUUAUAAAAUUAAGAUUUAAAAAGUUUCAUGAAAAUCUGAGCUUAGGAAGGUCAAAUUACAAAAAUACCUCUAUAAGGAUAAUUUGGUAAUUUUACCCUUCUCAGGGUACAAUGAAAAUUUUUGUGUUUCGAAUAACCCCAAAUUUAAUUGCAAACCACAUUGAUUUCAAUUAGGUUUUGAGUUUUGAGAAUUAACCUGAGCUCUAUCCAUUUUGACCAAAAUAUGUGUAAUUUUGACUUUAUUUAACUCGAUUUGACUCGAGCUAACUUUGGAUUCCUGAAUAAGCAAAUUUGUGGGCUCUUUAUAGGUUGUAAAUUGUUCUCCUAAAUGGUCUCGGCCCUUGUUCACAAGUGAACCCCAUGUCAAUUAAGUUAAAAUAUGUCCCGAACAAAAUUUGGUGUUUAUAGUGAAGAACUAAGGUACUUGUUUUUUGCAUGAAGUGGUUUGGUAUGAACUUAAAGCUCCAUUAGGUUUUGUUUGCACGAAAUUCAUGCUUUGCGUUGAAGUUGUCUUGUUUUUCCUUUUCAUUUCCUUUGCAUUUGUUUUAUAUAUUAAGGUUACAUAGAGUCAAGGUUCAUUUGUUUCUAUUUGUUUUUCUUUCAUUUUUCAUUUUUCUGGUUUGGCAUACUUUGUUUGCUGGAGCAUAAGCCUUCAUUUCAUGCAAUGCAUGGGGUAUACUUUCUCUUGUAGCUUACACUCAUUUGGGAAUUAAUUGAAAAACAAGCUUUGAUUCAAAAGAAAAUACAUUUAGGAAACUAUGUGAGGAGUAAACCAGUUAUAUAUAUAUAUAUAUACAUUUCAUUAUUAUUUUGUUGAUAAACAAAGACUUAAAACAUGAGGCUAAUAAUUUAUUUUUAAAGAUUAUUUUCAUUUAUAUUUCAUAUUAUUCAUAUUCAUGCACAUUUUUUAGGUUGGUUAAGCUUGGUUAUAAUUUAAGUUUCAUGAAUUUCAUUUUCCUUGUUGAUCACAUUUCAAUGUCUAUUUUAAUUUUUAUGCAAUUUAAUUCUUCAUACUUAAAUUCCUACUUUGAAUAUAAUUUACUUCCUAUAUAUUUUUAGAUUUAUGCAAAAACUAAUAAUGAUAAUUUUUAAAAAUAUAUAUAUAACAUAAUUCCGAAAUCAUUGCUUAGAUGUUGGAGGAAAUAAAAAUGUAUUUUAAAAAUAAUAAUAAUAGUUUUGCCUAGAUGUAGGAAAAUUAUUAAAUAAAAAAAUUAAAUAAUAAUAAUUUAAUAAAAAAAGUAUAUAAAAAUAUAAAAAUUCAUUUUUUAGAGAAAUAAAAAAAAAUAAACUUGCUCCGAAAGUAUAUCUAGAAGCUGGAGAUUUUUAAGAAGGUUUGUAAAGUUUUGAAAUCUUAAAACAAAACCCUAAACAAAAUCUUAAAUGAAACCCUAAACCUUAGUAAAUCCUAAAAUCUUAAAUGAAACCCUAAAACCCUAGGUGAAUCCUUAAACCCUAAAUAAAACCCUAAAUAAAACCCUAAACCAUAAGCAAACCUCGAAACCCUAACAUGAAACCCUAAAUUCAUUCAAAACCUUAAAAUCAUUCCAAGAUUCAAAGGUUGAUAUGAAAACUUUUUGUGAAACAAUUUGUUAAUGCGUCUAGAUGAUAGUGUAUUUAAAAAAUUUUAUUUCAUUAAGAAUUUUAUUAGCAUUUCGCAAACUUAAAAUAAAUUUGUUUUGUUAAAAUAACAAAUAUAUAAAUAUAAAAUAAUAAAGAAUAGAAUAAGAUUUUAAAUAUAAAUAGCGCACCUAAACUUUGCCUAGAGGUUGGAGUGUCCAGGUGAUCUUUUUAUAUUUGAAAACUUGAUUCCUAAAUUUGCAUUUUAUCAUCAUUUGCAUGCAUCUCUUUUUUUUAUAUUAAUGUGUACAUUUACAAUGCUUAUAUAUGUUUAUUCUAAUUAUUGAUAUUUAACAUUAAUUGUAUUUAAUUUUAUUUUUUAUUGCAUAAAAAGUUCUUAAAAAUUUUAGUUUUAGACAAAUAAAAUUAAAAUAGCUUUCCGUGAAAUAUAAGUGUUGGUACUCUAUCUAGAUGUUGGAGAGUUGCCAAUAAUUAUCCUUUACAAAGAAUGUUAUUUUAUUAUUUUUAAAAAGAAUGUUGCAAUAAAUUUUAAAUGAAAAGACUAUUUUUGAAUUUUGCCUUUAUGUCAAAGAAUUUGAAGGUAUUUCUUCAAUCUAAAAUUUUCAUAAUAUUAUUAAAUAAAGAUUUUUUAAAAUUAAUUAUAAAGAUUUUUUAAAAUUAAUUUUCUUUCUAAAAGAUGAAAGAAAUUAUAGUUAAAUUCUAUAUAAAAACAUUUUUAUCCAAAGUUAUAAAUAGCACAUGAUUAAUAAGGGAUGGGUAUUGUGGGGAUGUUGAUCCUUUCUCACGCGUAACUGACUCCCGAAUCCAAUCUCGUUUUGUAGAUCAAAAUUAUUUUUUAAUAAACUUUAAACCUAUUUUAUUGUUUUAUUAAAAAGAUAAAAUUAUUGGAUGGCCAAUCACACCUUAAAAAAAUUUUGGUAGUGACUUCCCUUAUUUUUUCAUGAAUUUUAAUUUUUACAUUCAACAAUCUAGUUUCCAAAUUGAUAUGUUAUGAAAAGCAUAUUCUAAGAUUACUUUGAAUUUUCAUUUGUUCCCUUUGAUAGUAUAUGUUUUUAUUUUUUUCCUUUUAUUUUCUUAAUUUUAACCAAUCUCUUUUAAUAGUAGUACGUAGUUGUUUAGAUUACAAAUUAGAACCUUAUUAGAAAAAAAAAUUAUUAUUAGGAUAAAAAAUCAAGACACCAGAGUUUUUAUCUUGAGAGAAAAAAAGGUUGCAUUGCCUGAAGAUAGGUGGUGAGAAGGUAUUCAUCCACGUCAACAUAGUUGUUAAUUAGAAGCAUUCAUAGCAAGUUUAUCACGUUUGGACUGUUGAAUUGAGAUUUUGUUGAAUUUAGCAGUUGGAGACUAAUGUAAUCAAUAGAUGGAAUUGGAGAGUUGCUAUUGAAAGCUCCUAGUGUAAGAAUCUUAAAAAGUUUGAAUUCAUACGAAAUGUGAAAUUUGUUACUUUUCCUUUGUUUACAAUGUAAUAUCCUAAUGCCUAUUUUACAUUGUGUUCUAAUCCUACUUUACUUGUUACUUUAUACUAUAACUAAAUUAUAAUCCGUGCGGUGCAUAAGAAUAUAUAUGUAUAUAUAUAUUUUUUUUCAAAAUUAUAUACAAAUUUUUAAAAUUUAUAACAUAUAUAAAAUUUAUAUAUAUUGACUUGUUAUUAAAAAAUAAAUUUUUUAAAAAUAGUAAAAAAAUUAUGUUUUUCUUUUGGAUAUUUUUGUUUACAAUAAUAUUUAUACACCAGUAAAAUUAUAUCAAAUAAAAAUAAAUUGUAUUUUUUAAAAAAAUAAAAAUAUAUAUCAUUAAAUGAUAAAUUAAAUAAUAAAAGAAUUAUACAAAAUAUGAAAAAUGUUAGAAAAUAUGUGAAAAAAUUGAAAAAAAAUUAUUUUUUUAUAAAAAUGAAACUAUAAUAAUAAUAAAAUAUAUCGUAAAAAAAUUUAUAAAAAAAAAAAUUGCAAUAGUAAUAGAAUAUACCUUAAAAAAGUUACUGAAAAAAUAAAAAAAAUUGAUGUAUAACACAUUACAUUUGUAAUCUUAAAUUUGUAGAAAAAUUUUUUAGUGACAAUUAGGAUUAAAUAGAUAAUUUUUAAAACUUAAAAUGGAUAUAAUAAGUGAUAAAGAUAAUAUUAAAUUUUUUGUAUUUAUUUGAAAUAUAAAUUUCAUAAUUAGAGUUAAAAUAGAUAUAAUCAUUUUGAUAAUCUUAUUAUUUAAAGAUUUAAAAUAAAAAUUUUUUGAAAUUUCAAAAUCUUACAUCAAAUUGUUUGAAUUUUUAAUGUCUUACGUAAAUUUUUAAAUCAAGAUAAAAAAUUUGUUGAAAUAUUUGGAUAAAACUUAAUCUUUAUUAAUUUUUAAGCAUGUUUGAAAGAUUUUAAUAAUUAAAUAAUUUUUUAAAUAAAGUUAUUUGGUAAAAAAUUAAAAUUAUUAUUAAAAACUAAAAAUCCAUAUUUCAUAUUUUUAAUUUUAGAAACAUAUAUCUCUAAAUUGAUUGAUUUUCAAUUCUAAUUUAAAUAAUUUUGAAAUUUAAAAUUUUUUAAUUUGUAAUUAAAAGAAAUAUUUUAUUUUUUAAAAAACUAUCUUACGUAUCAUUUAAGAGAGUUGUUCACAUACUUGUGUGACAAAUUUAUUAUGAUUUGUUAAUAAUAUUAAAAUAAAGAUAAAAGUAAUUUUAAACAUUGAAAUAUAAUUGUGCUUUUGUAAUAUUUGGAAAAAAUUUAAAAUGUAAUUCAAUUUAUUGCACUUAUGGUAGCCUCGUGCAAGGAAAAAAUAUUGUACUUAUAAAUAUUUUAUAAUAUUAUUAAACUAUUAUCUAACGUAAAAUCUUAAUAAAUAUUUUUCAUGAAGCUUACAUUAGACAUCAUUACUUAGGUAAUAUUACCAUAAAGAGUAAUAUUUGGAAUAAACUUUCUUUGUAAAAUUUUCAGAGCAACUCAUUAAAAAUGUGUAACUUCAGAGAUUAUAAAAACAAAGGAUUGGAUGUAUUUUUUUAAAAAAAUUCACUAUUUAAUACAAAAAUAACUGGAUGCGAUAAGCCUAUUUUUGGUGUAUCCACCAAAAAGAUAUUGCUUUGAGAAAAUUAAACUAUUAAUGAACAGCUUUCCUUAAUUGUCACAUGACUGAAACGGCACGAUGACACCAAUUUUGUUCGGCUUAAUAUAUAUGAGGUUGGCUAUUUUGAAUACAAAAUCCAACUCCUUCCAUACCACUAUCACUAACGAUAAAACUGUCUAUAAACUAUACCUGUACAUGGAUUUAAGUUUGAACAUUAACUCCAUUCAUUCUACCAUAUUUAUCAGACCAAUUCUGAUAAUAGUCUUCAUCAGAAUAUCUUCAAGGGCACGAAGAUAAGCAAGAAGUGAUCUCAAAGUUCCUAAAACAAGUAUGUUAUUCAGGAAAUUUUUUACUAUAUAAGUGAAAGGAUUCAUCAAAUUUUAGUGUGCCUUAUCAAUUUUCAACUCUUCAAUCCUAGCAGCUAUCCCGCCAUGGCAUACAAAAGCCAGUACCAAUGCAUUUGUUUGGCCUUAAUCUUCACAGUUGGUGCUUUAGUUUGUCAAGCCACAUCACGCUCUCUUCAAGAUGCAUCGAUGUAUGAAAGGCAUGAGCAAUGGAUGGCCCGUUAUGGACGAGUGUACCAGGACAACAAUGAGAGGGAGGGACGUUUCAAUAUUUUCAAACAAAAUGUGGCUCGCAUAGAAUCUUUCAAUAGUGCCAAUGACAAACCUUACAAGCUCGGUGUCAAUCAAUAUGCAGAUCUUACAAACGAAGAGUUCAUUGCUUCUCGAAAUAGGUUCAAGGGCCAUAUGUGUUCCAACAAGGCUACGACUUUCAAAUAUGAAAAUUUCACUGCAUUACCUUCUACCGUGGACUGGAGAAAUAAAGGAGCUGUAACACCUAUUAAGGACCAAGGCCAAUGUGGUAUGUUCAAAGUUUUUAUAAGAAAUAAUGGUUUUUGGUUCUUCUAGCUAAUUAUUUGUUCUAACUGUCGAUGUAUGAUUGAAAUACAGGAAGUUGUUGGGCAUUUUCGGCUGUGGCAGCCAUGGAAGGGGUUACUAAACUAGCAACAGGUAAGCUAGUUUCCUUGUCUGAGCAGGAGUUGGUUGACUGUGAUACCAAAGGUGAAGAUCAAGGCUGUCAGGGUGGUUUGAUGGACGAUGCUUUCCAAUUCAUCCAGAAAAACAAAGGCCUCACAACUGAAUCGAAUUACCCUUACAAGGGAGUUGAUGGCACAUGCAAUACCAACAAGGAAGCCAACCAUGCAGCCAAUAUUAAUGGACAUGAAGAUGUGCCAGCCAAUAAUGAAGAGGCAUUACAGAAGGCAGUUGCAAACCAGCCGGUUUCUGUUGCUAUUGAUGCUGGGGGGUUUGAAUUCCAGUUCUACUCAAGUGGUGUAUUUACAGGAGAAUGUGGCACUGACCUAGAUCACGGUGUUGCUGCUGUUGGUUAUGGAGUGGAUGCUGAUGGGACUAAGUAUUGGUUAGUAAAGAACUCUUGGGGCACUAGCUGGGGUGAAGAAGGGUACAUUAGGAUGCAGAGAGAUGUUGGCGCAAAGGAAGGCCUUUGUGGCAUAGCAAUGCAAGCUUCUUACCCUACUGCCUGAACUUCAUUACCAUAGCCUAUAUAUAUAUUCUGCUCUCGAUGUAAUAUAAACAUAUUUAAAACAAACAUGAGACCAAUAGGAACUACGAUGUCUGCUUUCAAUAUCCUCUAUGUGCUUGUAUUUUCUAAGAAAAAGGAAUUACUGAAGGAAUGACUUGUGUAUUAUAUAUUACACAUUAAAUUAUUUAUCUACUAUCGUCUCACUUGCACAUCUCAGCUCUUUUAUUUUUUAAACCACAAUUUUAUGACUAUUCCAGUGCCUAUAUAUGGAAUACUAGUGCCAUUUUUUAAAAUAGAAGGACCAUUAAUUCAUCUUGAUUCUGUGUGCUAACGGAAGUUCCUUUUGUGAGUUUAAGAGGAGAGUGCGAAGAAGUAUCAAUAUUUGAGAGAGUUGAGAAAACCGCCAUAACUAAUAAAAAUAGUGAUGAGCACAUCAUGUGGAAAAAAAAAAUGAUGACUUGCAGCAGCAUCAGCUUGAAUUCUUGACAAAGGAACAGUAGAAAUGGAGUACUUGAUAAUUAGACUAAAAGGUCUGAAGAGUGAGUAUAAUCAUCUAUUUUCUUACGAAUAUCAAGCAAGAAAAAUGAUCCGCCAACUAUUCUUCUUCCUGAGUAAUCCUAAAAUUUUUUAUUCUUUGUUAAAUAAUUAUUUAUUUAUGUCUUUCAAAAAAAUAUAUAUUUAAUAAUAUUAAUAAUGAUAUAAUUAUUUUUUUUUCUUUAGACAUGAGGGUAAUUGUAAUAAUAUAGAAUUAUAUUAUUUCAAAUUUUUAUUUACAAAUUUUUUACAUAUAUUAUAAAUUGACACCCUAAAAAUAAUUUGGGUCCGUUGUUGGUCUCACGUGAGCCAAAUUCCCAUUGUUGAGGAAUCACUCAACUCCAACUCCUUUAUGGCUCCACCAGAUCAUAUUGGACCUCAAACAAAAGUUAGAACACAAUACAUUGCGAUAGUUUAGCUUCAAUAGUUAAGGCUGCUAGAUAGGGCUUUGUAAUCACUGGCGGAUUUGGGAACCCAAUAGUUGAACGUAGGGAAAAGGCAAAUAAAAAGUAUUUUUAAUAAACUCAAAAUUGAGGAAUCAUCAUCAAUUUUUUUUAAUAUGAUUGGUUAUCCAAAAAUUUUUAUUUUUUUAAUAAAACAUUUAAAACAAGUUUAAAGUUUAUUAAAAAAAAUUAUCAUAUGCGAAAUCAGAAUUAAGUUCGAGAGUCAAUUACGCUUUGGUAAAAUAUUAGUAUUCCCACAUUGCCCGUUGAAAAUAAUACCAAUUGAUUACAUGUUAUUCUUAAAUUUUGAUAAGUAAUCACAUGCAUGUGCACCUACAUAAACUACUAUGGACUUGCAAUCACUUGAAAUUACAAUUUUGACCUUCUUAAUAGCCGAAAUUACCAACUUAAAUGUUGCAUGAAUUUCUUUUAUUUUUCUUCAAUAUUACAUCAUUCUAACUCCAUUGAACUUCACAAAACCAAUCUUGAACUUCUUUUUCAUUCUUUAACUUCAAGAUUUCCAAGAAAAUUAAUAACUUCUAAGAACAUCACAAGAUUCCUUCUUAUGCACAAAAAAUAUCAAGAUUGAUCAAGAAUCAUCAAGAAUCUUCCAGAUUUACUUUUUUCCUCAGAAACCUACAAAAUAAAAAAUUAUCCAUUUCAGCUAUAAAAAGAACAUUAUUUUUUUAAGAAUCAAGUAAAAAUUAAUUUCAUUUAAGCACUAAAAUUAAUCCCAAACAACUUUAUUUUAUAGAGUUAUCAAACCCCCCCAACUUAAAACUUUUUAUGUCCUCAAGCAAAAAUAAACCAAACUAGAUGGCAUGUAGAAUCACCCACACUCCCAUAUUAGAUUCUAUUUUCCUCAAAAAAUGCAUAUACAUAUCUAAAAGAAAUCAUAAUCAUAGAAUCCAACACCAAGUUCAUUUAAGAAUAAGCUUGCAUUCCACUCACAAAUUUUCAUUGUGUGUAAAUAAUCUACUCUAAUUAAUCGAAAUAUUUAACAACUUAAGCAAUAUGAAAUUAACAAAUCACCUCAAAGCAUGCACAAAUCUCAUAAGUUUGCUUUUCACAUACUCUUUCCACUAAUAUAGCCACAACUUAACCAAAGAUCAAUAGGUUUUUAUUAAGCUUGUAAUGCCAAGUUACGGUUAAGGUAUGAUAAAGGAAAAUUUAGGCUCAUAAACCCCAAACAUGCAUUACAUAGGAUCUGCACUUUUAUGAGAGAACUUCCAAGAAAAUAUAAUACCCCUAAACUUAAAUUCUUUUUUCUUUUUCUUUUCAAACAAUAACUUUUUAUUGAUUUACAUGAAUACCUUACUAUUUUUCACUUUUUUUCUCUUUCACUAUUUUUCCUUUUCUUUUACAUUUUUUUUUUCUUUUUUUUUUUCUUUUGUUGAAAAGCUAUUUUUAGCGUUUUCUUUUUCUAUCCUUUGCUUGAAACUGAAUUUGCAUAAUAAUUUCAACUGCAGACUCCACCCUUCCUUCCUAAAUGUAACAUAACUCUUAUAUUUCUUUGAUUAAUCCAUAUACACAUAGGGUUAGGUAGAAAGAAAAAACCAAUAAAUCAAAGGGGUAGCUAAUUUAUGUAGGUGAAAAACAAAGAAAGGAAUAUAUAUUUAUUAGGCUCCCACAGGGGUAACUAGGGAUAAAUAUAAUAAAGGUUAGCUUGAAAGGCUCAAAUGAUCCAAAGAUGGCCUAAAUCAUCUCCCUAGUUAAGUGUGGUAUAAUAUUUCACCUCAAAAGAUGCUCUAACAAAUUCUAAAAUCAAUACAUGACGUCAAAGAUCAAUGCAACUUCACAUCUACACAACUUCAACUAAAUAUACUUACAUCUCAAUGAUCAAGACUAAAUAUGUUUGAAGAAUAUGAAAAUAUUGCAAGUAAAAAGAAACUACUUCAAGAAUUCAUCUCAUGCAUUUACUACAUUCAAACCUUUUAAAAAAGCUAUAUUUAAAGUCAAUUAAGGUUAUUAUCAUUGGAUUAUGAGAAAAUAAUCAUAGGAAGUGUAAUAAUUCUAACAUGACAAAAUAAGCUCAAAAAGAAAUUUUGAAAAACAUUUUGAAACAAAUUUGGCAUAAAUUUUCUUUCCCUUUAAGCUUAAAUGACACAUUGUCCCCAAUUUGUGAAAAUAAAGCAUAAAAGCUUGAAAGAGAAAAAAGAUACUCCUACUCUCCUAAAAUAGUAAUGGCUGAAAACUGCAUUAAUGAAAUCCACCAUUGCUAAACCUUAUUCUAGCUUCCUUGCUCUUAUUUCCUACAAAAACAAAAUAAAGAAAACCAAAGCAUUACAUGUUCUUAAAAAAUCAAACUAAAAGUAAAUAUGCAAACUGAAAAUUAAAAACUUGGGUUGUCUCCCAAUUAGUGCUAGUUAGAGUUAAACUUGACUAACUCUUUCUAGAACUCUUCAAUCACUUUAUCCUUUUAGGAAAGAGUUUACCUUACUGUAUUCUCCUUUGUGGUAUUACAUAGACUGAGUUACGUUUAGGAGGUGUACUCAUUUUCCUUGCAAGAAUAAAUCAAGUUGAACUUGGAUUCAUUUUUGGCCUAGAAAUUUCAAGUUCGUGCUUGUAAAAGUAAGGCUCAUAGGUUUUGCCAAAUGAUCUUGCAAUAAAGGACUAGAAGGUUUAGAAAUUAAGUUUAACUCCCUAGGUUUAUCUUUUUCCUUAACUCUUAUUAUUGCUUGAACAUCCUUUUCAUCUCUAAGGAUACCAUAUCCUUUAGUUAUAAAUUACAUUUUCUUGUCCUUAAAUCUCAAUGUAAGAUCACAAUUAUAUACAUUAAUCAAGGUUUUUGACGUCAAAAACAAUAAGGAUGCUUCAUUAUCUUCCAUUUCUAGUACCAUAAAAUCCAUAGAAAAUGUAUAUUUUCUGACCUUUGCCAACACAUUCUCUAAUAGUCUUUACGAUUUCUUCAUAGAUCUAUUAACAAACUUAAUAGUGCAAUUUGGAUAUUUCGAAACACCAUUUCCUAGUUCAUGAAAACAUUCAUAGACAUUAGAUUUAUACUAGAUUUAGGAUCAUAAAAAGCUUCAUCAAAUUUUAAAUGACCAAUUCUACAAAAAAUAGUAAAAGUCUCUAGAUCUAUUUAUUUUUUAGGAAAGAGAUGUUGAAGUGCAAGACUACACUCUUUCACAAAAAAUAGCAUUCUCCAACUCCUUGAGUAGCACUUUCGGUAUGGAUCUAGGUGUUGGUGAUGCUACUUUUAAAGUUUGUCUUUGAUGUUCUUCUUCUUCAUUUUCUUCAAUUAGUUCAUAUUCUUCAUCUUCAUUUUCUUUUUUAAUCUCUUCUUACUGGGAUCCUCUUUUAUUUCAUCAUGCAUAGACUCUUCCAAAUAAAAAACUUCCCCCAAAACCCUAUUUGACUCCUCUUCUUCCAAGGUAAAAAUGCUAUUAACUUGUUCCUUACCUUGUCUUUUAGGGUUGUGCCCAGUAUUGCUAGGUAAAGUUCCCUAAGGACAAUUAUUGAGGCCAUUUACAAAGCUAACCAACUUGCACUUUAAGGUUCUUUAUAAAGGCUACUUGGUUUUGUAAAAUCUAAGUGAACAUUUCUUCCAAGGAUGGUUUUUUCUCUUAGGGUUAUGGAGGUGGAUGGUGUUGUGGUGGUGGUGGUGGUGGUGGUUGGAAACUAGGUGGGUUAACAUGUCUAUUAUAGGAAUUAAAAACUUGCCUUCAGUUAUUACCCUAUGAAAAAUUAUGAUGUUGCUUCCACAUUGGAUUAUAGGUAUUAGAGUAUGGAUUGUAUUAUUGCUUGGGUUGAGUAACAUAAUGGAUUGGCUUUACUCUAAUGGGACACUAUCAUAGCGUAUAGAUUCAUGGACCUAUCGCUAGAUAUGGUUUUCAGGAGUUGCCACCAAUCUUUUUUGUUUAGGUGUGAUUGGCCACCUGAUUGAAUUUGUCCCAUUUAAAAGGGAGUUUCAAGAUUAACUUAGGUAUCUUUAAAUAGUAGAUUCUGAUCUAUGAAAUUAGAUUUUAGGUUCGAGAGUACGUUUACCUAUGAAGAAGUUUAUAGCACCCCCACAGCACCCAUCCAAAUAAUGGUACCAGUUUGAUUUUAAAUUAUCCAAGCCUUAAAUAUAUUUAUAGUUUACCAAAAUAUUUAUUUUUGAAAAUUAAUCUUAAAAUUACCCCAAUUGUUUGGUAGUAAUUUAAGAUAAUUCUCUUACCUCAUGAGUAUUCAUGGAGACUAAUGUCUUACUCUGAAGAGGCUCUAUCAUCAGAUUUAUUAAUGUAUUUUAUUCAAAAAAAAUUAGAUCCUCUAAUAGUUUGGUAGGAUUUACUUUGAGGCAAGUCUCUUAAUAGUUUAAUAAGAUUUUAUUUGAAAAUGGUUAUAAAAAUUUUAUUCUUUUGAGAAAACUCAUUAAAUCUCUUAAUAGUUUGGUAAUAUUUAACUUGAGAUGCAAUCUUCCAAGAGUUUGGUAGGAUAAAAAAUUAUUUUUUUAUUUUUUUGAAUUUUAUUUAUGGAACUUCCCAAAAGUUUGGCGGAUUCCAUAAAAUUUAAAUUCAUGAAAAUUCUAUAAUAAUUUGGUAGGAUUCAUGAAUUUAUUUCAAAAGAUUUUUUUCUUUAUUUUUUUGUUUCUUUUAUUUCUUUAUUUUUUAAAAAAAUAAAAAUAAAAUUUUAUAAAAUAUUUAACAAAUAACAAAUUGCUCAAUAAAAAUAAAUAAAUAAUAAAAGUUAGUAAAAUAAAUACAAAAAUUGAAUAUAAAAUAAUACAAAAAUAUUUCAAAAUAAAAAAUAAAAAAAAUAAAAUAAAAAAAGAAAAUGAAAAAAGAAAAACCUGCGAUCAGGUUGGGUUGAAGCAUAGGUCAGCACGCGAGUCAAUGGGUCACAUGCGAAUAUGGGACCUUCAAAACGAUGUCGUUUUAGGUUGCUAUAAGAGUCGAGUUCCCCAUUUUCUCUUUAAAAACCUCAGUCUCCUUUCUUUCUAACCUCAAACACUCUGACCUCUCUUUUAAAAAGCUAAGAUUGUUCAACCAAAAACUGAAAUUUUCUUCGAUUUUUGGAAAAAUAGUCGAAAUCCCUUGGAAAACUCAAAACUUGCUGAAAAAUUUAACUAAAAAUUUCAAAAAUUCAUCCUAAACAUAGAUUUUUCCAAAUCUUUCCUAGAAAAUCCCCUAUUUUUGCAAAAAUCUAAUCUUCAAUCAAAAAUCCCAGAAUCUCAACCCCACACUCCAAAACAGAAAUUCGAAAUCCAAACCGUUCCCAAAACCACUAAUUCUAAACUUCCAAAACCAAAAUCUCAAAACCUGACCACCCAAAAACUUUUCAAAAUUUUAAACACCAAACCUUUUCUCCUUCCAAAAAUCAAUCAUCUCGUUCUUUUAGUCUUUUAUUCAAUUUAUAGCCAUCCUUAGUUGAGAUUUUAAGGAUAAGAUAGAACCAAUCCUGGGAUUGGAUUCUGCUCGAACCUGAUUUUAAGACUAAUUCUUUGCUGAUUUGUCUAGACUGAAUAAAAAUCCAUUGAUUUGGUUUUGAUCGACUCUUUGACCGAGUAGACUGAAUUCCUUUUACUCCUAAUUCUAUGAUCACAGAUUGAAAAAAAGAAAGGAAAGAAAAAUGAUAAAAUAAAAUAAUAAUAAUUAUUAUAUAAUAAUAUAAUAUAAAAGCUAUAAUAUAAUAGUAAUAAUAAUAAUAAUAAUAAUAAGAUACUAUAAUAUAAUAUAAUAAUACAAUAAUAACAAUAAUAUAAUAUAAUAUAUUUUAAUAUAAUACGAUAAUAAUAUAAUAUGAUAAUAAUAAUAAUAUAAUAUACCAUACUAUACUAUACUAUACUAGUAACAAUAACAAAAUAAUAUUAAUGCUAAUAGCAAAAUAAUAAUAGUAAAAAUAGACUCCAAUUGACCCUAGACACAGAUAGGUAUCUAUAGCUACCCCUCUUUACACAUCUUUAUUGGACAAGGAUGAUGCAGAGACCUAGACAUCCACUAUGUUCCAGUCUAAAAACAAAAGCCAAAUCAAUAAACCAAAAUGACCGGGACUAAGCCGCAAGUCUGAAAAAUGAUUUGGACUGAGCCGAGAUCGAACAACCGAGAUUAAACUACAAGUUUGGAAAAUGAUAUGGACUAAGCCAAGAUCGAGCGACCGAUAUUAAACCACAAGUUUAAAAAGUUGACUUGGACCAAGUCGAGGUUGAAGCUAGGUGACCGUGGUCAAGCCAAGGUUAAAAGAUAAUCUAGACAGAGCUAAGAUUAAACGACUAAGAUUGAAUUGCAAGUCUAGAAAAUGAUUUGUAUUGAGCCAAUAUCAAACGAUCAGGGUUAAACCACAAGUCUGAAAAAAUGAUCUAGACUGAGCCAAGAUCGAGUAAUCAAGAUUGAACCACAAGUCAAAAAAACUAUUUGGACUGAGCUGAGGUAAAAAAUGAAUGAUAAUGCAAUGACACAAAUGCAUGUCCUAUCUAGGAUGCAAAUGUAAAUACACUGUAGUGCAGAUGUUACUAAAUCAAUACCAUGAAAUUUCAAUUAUGGUAACACAGUUCUCAAAACUCCAUCAUUUCAUAUAUUCCAUCUCAACUUCUCAGCAUUAAUGAUCUUAGAACAAACCCCAUCAUUCGAUCUAUGUUGUUAUCCUCAUCUGGUCAUAACUCACAAGUUAUAUUGAUCAAUCCAUCAUUGUAUUUGCAUCUGUGUUUGCCCUUUUUUUUGUUUUUUUUUUUUUUUGUUGUAUUUUCUCAGGCUUCUCUCACUUACCUCAUCUUAGAUUUCUUUCAAAAGACUGGGAACAUUGUCAUUCAUUUAUUUACCAUCAUUCAAAUUAGUGACAAACAUGAUACAUUUUCUUGUUUCAUUCAGGGGAUGUACACUUAGUAAUGAAUAGGAAAAAUGGAUGUUUAUUAUUGAAAGAAAAAGAAAAGUAUGGUCAAGAACAACUCAAAGAUAAAUGAAAGCAAAAUGUUGUGACUAUGUAAAUGAGAUAUCAACAUCUAGAAUAAUAACAGUUUAGACAAUUUUGAACUCUAACUUAGAAUUCUCUUUAAAAAACACAUUCCAUCAAUAUUUUCAAUCUUUGAGCCAAUCAUCAUCCUCAUUCCUAGGACCCUCACAUGAUGUUGUUUCUUCAAGUCUCCAUCUUUACUUAAAUUGCCUUUUCAGGUUUUCAAUUUAAGUCUUCCCAUUUUUUUUUUUUUUUUUUUUUGCAAACCUCAUUCUCAUCUUUUCUUUUCAUUUCUCUUUUCUCUUUAUCCAUCAAUGACACUUCCAUCAAAUUUUCAAAUAAUCUAAUAACAAAUAUGCCUUAAUUCAAUUCAUGAUUCUCCAAUUCGAGUAUUCACAUUUGAUCAAAAUAGACUUUUAAAGGAUGUAACAUAGGCUAAGGUGAGGGGUUAUGAAAAAAAUUAAUGAAACAAGUCCAAAUUGUAUUUGAAGUGUUGUCAAACCAAGAAUCAUUUUUCAUGUAGAGCACAUUAGCAUUUUGCCCUAACAAUUUCUCCUUCAUCUUUUUUUUUUCUUUUUUCCUUUAAUUAUUUUUCAAGAAAAAUUGAGCACAAAAGGCUUUGCCUUUGAAAUCACUAAGGAUAAACAAGCUUUCAAACUUUACCUUCUAGUGUAGAGGUGAUCUUUGGUUAGGAUUUCUUAAAAAAAAUUUUCAACAUGUUCAAAUGGGGUAGCAAAGGAUAAUUUUAUUCUUUUUUUUUUUAAAGGUAGAAGAAAUAUGACCUUUUUUAUCUCAAACAUAAGUACUCUUAAUGAAGAACAUUUACAAUUAAGACCAGGCCUAUGAAUGAACAAUUGUAAAGAUCAUGUGUUACAUCACUUUUAAAAUUCUUUCCUAGAUUUAUUUUUUUUAUUCAAAAGUCCUAAUGAAUUAGCAAUCUCCUUUACCAAUCAAAUCAUCAUGAAUGAUGUCUUCAAAAUUGAAUCUUGAAUUAUCAUCAUGACUAUCUAAAUAUUCAUUAUUUAGAAUCAAAGAGUAGAUAUGGAAAAAAGGUAUAAGAAGGUAAAAGUAAAUAAUGGUGACUCAUAUAAAAAAGAAUGUCAUGAAAAUGCAUCAAAUUUGUCAAUUUUAUUAAAAUGAUGAAAAAUAAGAUGAAAUCCAAAUACAUAAAAGAGAUCCAUAUGCUUAAGAAAUCCUAAGUGAUAAUCAAUUUUAAUCAGCCUCCCUAUAAUCAUGCCCCUGGGUGAUUGGACAAUGGGUUACCAUUGACAUUAGGUGUUGUGUUUACAUCGAUGUCAAAGCUCAUCAACCUUUCUUUAAUCAAACUUUGUAUUCUAUGUUUCAAAAGGAUAUAAUUUUUGAUAAAAUGACCAACCACCCCAUAAUGAUAGUCACAAUGAGUAGUGAAAUCAUACCAUUUGGGAUAAAGAGGUUCAAAUUGUUUUGCAGGAAUGGGAGCAAUCAAGUGAUUUUUGUAAAGCUCUUGGUAUAGUUUUAUAUAGCUCAUAGGAAUAGGAUCAAAUGUAGGCUUUUUUUAAUUUUGUGAUUCUUGAACACCACUUGUUAGGAUAGUUGGAUGAAUAGAAGGCCUAGUUCUAGAUAGAUAAAAAGGUCGUAGUUGAUUGGUAGGGUGAAGUAGAAGCAUGACUUAUAGUAGGAUGAUAGGAUAGAUCGACUGAAGGUAGUUUCUGAAUUACUGUCUUUCGAAACUCAUAACUUGAGUCUCACUUUCAUUUUUCUUAGGCACCCUUUUAGCAGCAAAGGAUUCUUUUUCUUCUAGUUUACCAUUUUUAUUGCAUUUUUAAUGGCUCACCCAAAAUCACCAUAUCAAUAAAAUUUUUAGUCAUAUUCCCUAUCAUCUUCUCAUAGUAUGGUAACUUUAAAGUGCUUAUAAAUAGCACCAUCAUUUCUUUCUAUGUUAGUGGUGGCUAUACUUGAGUGAUGACAUUCUGUCACCUUUGGGAUACUUCUUGGAAGACCCAAAUGCUUUUUUCUCCAUACCUUGUAACAAAAGACGAUCAAGAGCCAUAUCUAUGAUGUGAUGGUAUUGGUUGAUAAAAGAUCGAGUUAAAUCUUUCCACGAUCUUAUGCGAGUCCUGUCUAAGUAAACAUACUACCUUACAACAGACUUGCUUAAGCUAUCUUGAAAGAUAUGUAUCAGUAAUUUCUUAUCGCUUACAUGUGUUGCCAUCUUAUGAUAAUACAUUGUGACGUAUGUAAUGGGAAACUUAGUACCAUCAUACUUCUGAAAUUUUGGUACUUUAAAUUUUGGAAGAAUCAUAACAUUGGGACCAAAAUAAAGGUUGGUAGCAUUCAUGGAGCCAUAAAAAUCUAUUCAUUCAAUAGCUUGCAAUCUUUCUUCAAUCAUGUUUAUUAUUUAAUUAGUCUUAAAGUCUUCUGAGGACAUAACCAUUUGCAUUUUCAUUGUUUCUUUUAUCUUAUUCAGAUUGGAGAUUUGGAUGAGUUCAACAGCCUUUUCAGUGAAGAUAGGAUUAGUGUAAUCUGAACAUUCCCUUGACUAGGUGCAUAAGGCAUUCUCAGGUAACUGUAACUUGGCAACAUGGUCUAUUGUGGCUAAAGAUUUGAAGUGAUUUAGGUUUGAUGCAUACCGAACCUUGGAGGAUACAAUGACUCAGUAAUUUCAUGCGAAAUAUCUCCUUCCACUACUUUCCUUUUGUUUGCCUUUUCUAGAGCUUUAAAAAUCUUACUUAGCUUCCCCCUCAAUUAUCUCCUAACUUUUUCCAACCUUUCAAAAUGGUUUAGGUUAUCCUGUUCCAUCUUAUUGGCUCUAGCUUGGGGGUAAUAUUAGUGUUGAGCUAGUCUCAAACCUUGAUUUCUCAUAAUGUGUAAAUUUAGAAUGAUGUCUAUGGAACCCUCAGAUUGUGCAUGAAUAUGAAUGCAAAAACAAAAUGCAUGAAUGCAAUAAGGAGAAUUUAUCACAUAACCCUCAGAUUGUGCAUGAAAAUGAAUGUAAAAACAAAAUGUAUUAAUGCAAUAAGGAGAAUUUACCACAUAACAAUUGUUAUCAAAGAAAAUCUUUAUUGAAUUAAAAAUCAUUUUUAACCAAAUCCAACAUUACAUCCAUGAAAAGUCUAAAACUACUGGGAAAAGAAACCCAUAACUUGUCGAUAUUGGCUUUGCACUUCAUUAAAGAAAUCUAUCAAUUUUUUACCAUGUGCUCCCAUUGGUGGCACCCUUGCCUUCCAUUUUUCAAUCUUUUCUAUCAUGUCCUUGGCUUUGUAAAUAGNNNNNNNNNNNNNNNNNNNNNNNNNNNNNNNNNNNNNNNNNNNNNNNNNNNNNNNNNNNNNNNNNNNNNNNNNNNNNNNNNNNNNNNNNNNNNNNNNNNNNNNNNNNNNNNNNNNNNNNNNNNNNNNNNNNNNNNNNNNNNNNNNNNNNNNNNNNNNNNNNNNNNNNNNNNNNNNNNNNNNNNNNNNNNNNNNNNNNNNNNNNNNNNNNNNNNNNNNNNNNNNNNNNNNNNNNNNNNNNNNNNNNNNNNNNNNNNNNNNNNNNNNNNNNNNNNNNNNNNNNNNNNNNNNNNNNNNNNNNNNNNNNNNNNNNNNNNNNNNNNNNNNNNNNNNNNNNNNNNNNNNNNNNNNNNNNNNNNNNNNNNNNNNNNNNNNNNNNNNNNNNNNNNNNNNNNNNNNNNNNNNNNNNNNNNNNNNNNNNNNNNNNNNNNNNNNNNNNNNNNNNNNNNNNNNNNNNNNNNNNNNNNNNNNNNNNNNNNNNNNNNNNNNNNNNNNNNNNNNNNNNNNNNNNNNNNNNNNNNNNNNNNNNNNNNNNNNNNNNNNNNNNNNNNNNNNNNNNNNNNNNNNNNNNNNNNNNNNNNNNNNNNNNNNNNNNNNNNNNNNNNNNNNNNNNNNNNNNNNNNNNNNNNNNNNNNNNNNNNNNNNNNNNNNNNNNNNNNNNNNNNNNNNNNNNNNNNNNNNNNNNNNNNNNNNNNNNNNNNNNNNNNNNNNNNNNNNNNNNNNNNNNNNNNNNNNNNNNNNNNNNNNNNNNNNNNNNNNNNNNNNNNNNNNNNNNNNNNNNNNNNNNNNNNNNNNNNNNNNNNNNNNNNNNNNNNNNNNNNNNNNNNNNNNNNNNNNNNNNNNNNNNNNNNNNNNNNNNNNNNNNNNNNNNNNNNNNNNNNNNNNNNNNNNNNNNNNNNNNNNNNNNNNNNNNNNNNNNNNNNNNNNNNNNNNNNNNNNNNNNNNNNNNNNNNNNNNNNNNNNNNNNNNNNNNNNNNNNNNNNNNNNNNNNNNNNNNNNNNNUAUAUAUAUAAACUAAUUUCUUUUAAAAUUAUAUUCAAAUCUUUAAAACUCAUAACAUAUAAAAUUUAUAAAUAUUGACUUGUCAUUAAAAAAUAAACUUUCUAAAAUAGUAAAAAAAUUAUUUUUCUUUUGGAUAUUUUGUUUACAAUAAUAUUUAUACACCUAUAAAAUUAUAUCAAAUAAAAAAAUUAUCUUUUUAAAAAAUAAAAAUAUAUAUUAUUGAAUGAUAAAUUAAAUAAUAAAAGAAUUAUUAACACAUUUUCACUUUAGUAAUCUUAACUAAAUUAUUAUACAAAAUAUGAAAAAUGUUAGAAAAUAUGUGAAAAAAGAAAAUUUUUUUUAUAAGAAUGAAACUAUAAUAAUAAUAAAAUAUAUCGUAGAAAAAAUAUAUAAAUAAAAAAAAUCAAAUUGCAAUAGUAAUAGAAUAUACCUUAAAAAAGUUACUGAAAAAAUAAAAAAAAAUUGAUGUAUAACACAUUACAUUUGUAAUCUUAAAUUUGUAGAAAAAUUUUUUAGUGACAAUUAGGAUUAAAUAGAUAAUUUUUAAAACUUAAAAUGGAUAUAAUAAGUGAUAAAGAUAAUAUUAAAUUUUUUGUAUUUAUUUGAAAUAUAAAUUUCAUAAUUAGAGUUAAAAUAGAUAUAAUCAUUUUGAUAAUCUUAUUAUUUAAAGAUUUAAAAUAAAAAUUUUUUGAAAUUUCAAAAUCUUACAUCAAAUUGUUUGAAUUUUUAAUGUCUUACGUAAAUUUUUAAAUCAAGAUAAAAAAUUUGUUGAAAUAUUUGGAUAAACUUAAUCUUUAUAAUUUUUAAACAUGUUUGAAAGAUUUUGAUAAUUAAAUAAUUUUUUAAAUAAAGUUAUUUGGUAAAAAAUUAAAAUUAUUUAUUAAAAACUAAAAUCCAUAUUUCAUAUUUUUAAUUUUAGAAUAUAUAUAUAUAUCUCUAAAUUGAUUUGAUUUUCAAUUCUAAUUUAAAUAAUUUUGAAAUUUAAAAUUUUUUAAUUUGUAAUUAAAAGAAAGUAUUUUAUUUUUUAAAAAACUAUCUUACGUAUCAUUUAAGAGAGUUGUUCACAUAGAUGCUUGUGUGACAAAUUUAUUUAUGUAUUUUGUUACAUAAUAUAUAUAUAUAAGAUAAAAGUAAUUUUUAAACUUUAGAAAUUAGAUAAUACUUUUGGGAGUUUUGGAAGGAAAGACCUUCUAAUUUUAUUGCACUUUUGGGUAGCCAUCGAAAAGAUUUAAUUACUUAAUUUUUUAAUAGUAAGAAAAUUAUUAAUCGUAAAUUAUAUAAGUGGCGCGCCAUGUAAUAUUAUAGUGCAUUUUGUUGUUAUUUAUCUGUGUGAUUUUCCGUUGUUUCUUGACAAUUUUCAACCGAAGAGCAAAAGUCUAGGCUUAGGUUAAAGCUUCAUACAAAAGUUUAUUUUUUUUUAUAACUAAUUUAAUACCAAUAAAAAUCUUUUCACUAAUUGUGUUAAUAUUGCUUAAUUUAUUUGAACAGCUUUUAAAUUGUCAAUGAUGAAACGCACGAUGACACAAUUUUGUUCGGUUAAUAUAUAUGUAUUUUUUUAAUACAAACCAACUCCUUCCAAACCACUAUCAUAACGAUAAAACUGUCUUAAAACAUACCUGUACAUGGAUUUAAGUUUGAACAUUAACUCCAUUCAUUCUACCAUAUUUAUCAGACCAAUUCUGAUAAUAGUCUUCAUCAGAAUAUCUUCAAGGGCACGAAGAUAAGCAAGAAGUGAUCUCAAAGUUCCUAAAACAAGUAUGUUAUUCAGGAAAUUUUUUACUAUAUAAGUGAAAGGAUUCAUCAAAUUUUAGUGUGCCUUAUCAAUUUUCAACUCUUCAAUCCUAGCAGCUACCCCGCCAUGGCAUACAAAAGCCAGUACCAAUGCAUUUGUUUGGCCUUAAUCUUCACAGUUGGUGCUUUAGUUUGUCAAGCCACAUCACGCUCUCUUCAAGAUGCAUCGAUGUAUGAAAGGCAUGAGCAAUGGAUGGCCCGUUAUGGACGAGUGUACCAGGACAACAAUGAGAGGGAGGGACGUUUCAAUAUUUUCAAACAAAAUGUGGCUCGCAUAGAAUCUUUCAAUAGUGCCAAUGACAAACCUUACAAGCUCGGUGUCAAUCAAUUUGCAGAUCUUACAAACGAAGAGUUCAUUGCUUCUCGAAAUAGGUUCAAGGGCCAUAUGUGUUCCAACAAGGCUACGACUUUCAAAUAUGAAAAUUUCACUGCAUUACCUUCUACCGUGGACUGGAGAAAUAAAGGAGCUGUAACACCUAUUAAGGACCAAGGCCAAUGUGGUAUGUUCAAAGUUUUUAUAAGAAAUAAUGGUUUUUGGUUCUUCUAGCUAAUUAUUAGUUCUAACUGUCGAUGUAUGAUUGAAAUACAGGAAGUUGUUGGGCAUUUUCGGCUGUGGCAGCCAUGGAAGGGGUUACUAAACUAGCAACAGGUAAGCUAGUUUCCUUGUCUGAGCAGGAGUUGGUUGACUGUGAUACCAAAGGUGAAGAUCAAGGCUGUCAGGGUGGUUUGAUGGACGAUGCUUUCCAAUUCAUCCAGAAAAACAAAGGCCUCACAACUGAAUCGAAUUACCCUUACAAGGGAGUUGAUGGCACAUGCAAUACCAACAGGGAAGCCAACCAUGCAGCCAAUAUUAAUGGACAUGAAGAUGUGCCAGCCAAUAAUGAAGAGGCAUUACAGAAGGCAGUUGCAAACCAGCCGGUUUCUGUUGCUAUUGAUGCUGGGGGGUUUGAAUUCCAGUUCUACUCAAGUGGUGUAUUUACAGGAGAUUGUGGCACUGACCUAGAUCACGGUGUUGCUGCUGUUGGUUAUGGAGUGGAUGCUGAUGGGACUAAGUAUUGGUUAGUAAAGAACUCUUGGGGCACUAGCUGGGGUGAAGAAGGGUACAUUAGGAUGCAGAGAGAUGUUGGCGCAAAGGAAGGCCUUUGUGGCAUAGCAAUGCAAGCUUCUUACCCUACUGCUUGAACUUCAUUACCAUAGCCUAUAUAUAUAUUCUGCUCUCGAUGUAAUAUAAACAUAUUUAAAACAAACACGAGACCAAUAGGAACUAUGAUGUCUGCUUUCAAUAUCCUAUAUGUGCUUGUAUUUUCUAAGAAAAAGGAAUUACUGAAGGAAUGACUUGUGUAUUAUAUAUUACACAUUAAAUUAUUUAUCUACUAUCGUCUCACUUGCACAUCUCAGCUCUUUUAUUUUUUAAACCACAAUUUUAUGACUAUUCCAGUGCCUAUAUAUGGAAUACUAGUGCCAUUUUUUAAAAUAGAAGGACCAUUAAUUCAUCUUGAUUCUGUGUGCUAACGGAAGUUCCUUUUGUGAGUUUAAGAGGGAGAGUGCGAAGGAAGUAUCAAUAUUUGAGAGAGUUGAGAAAACCGCCAUAACUAAUAAAAAUAGUGAUGAGCACAUCAUGUGGAAAAAAAAAAUGAUGACUUGCAGCAGCAUCAGCUUGAAUUCUUGACAAAUGAACAGUAGAAAUGGAGUACUUGAUAAUUAGACUAAAAGGUCUGAAGAGUGAGUAUAAUCAUCUAUUUUCUUACGAAUAUCAAGCAAGAAAAAUGAUCCGCCAACUAUUCUUCUUCCUGAGUAAUCCUAAAAUUUUUUAUUCUUUGUUAAAUAAUUAUUUAUUUAUGUAUAUCGAAAAAAUAUAUAUUUAAUAAUAUUAAUAAUGAUAUAAUUAUAUUUUUUUUCUUUAGACAUGAGGAUAAUUGUAAUAAUAUAGAAUUAUAUUAUUUCAAAUUUUUAUUUACAAAUUUUUUACAUAUAUUAUAAAUUGACACCCUAAAAAUAAUUUGGGUCCGUUGUUGGUCUCAUGUGAGCCAAAUUCCCAUUGUUGAGGAAUCACUCAACUCCAACUCCUUUAUGGCUCCACCAGAUCAUAUUGGACCUCAAACAAAAGUUAGAACACAAUACAUUGCGACAGUUUAGCUUCAAUAUUUAAGGCUGCUAGAUAGGGUUUUGUAAUCACUGGCGGAUUUGGGAACCCAAUAGUUGAACGUAGGGAAAAAGGCAAAUAAAAAGUAUUUUUAAUAAACUCAAAAUUGAGGAAUCGUCAUCAAUUUUUUUUGAAUAUGAUUGGUUAUCCAAGAAAUUUUAUUUUUUUAAUAAAACAUUUAAAACAAGUUUAAAGUUUAUUAAAAAAAAUUAUCAUAUGCGAAAUCAGAAUUAAGUUCGAGAGUCAAUUACGCUUUGGGAAAAUAUUAGUAUUCCCACAUUGCCCGUUGAAAAUAAUACCAAUUGAUUACAUGUUAUUCUUAAAUUUUGAUAAGUAAUCCCAUGCAUGUGCACCUACAUAAACUACUAUGGACUUGCAAUCACUUGAAAUUACAAUUUUGACCUUCUUAAUAGCCGAAAUUACCAACUUAAAUGUUGCAUGAAUUUCUUUUAUUUUUCUUCAAUAUUACAUCAUUCUAACUCCAUUGAACUUCACAAAACCAAUCUUGAACUUCUUUUUCAUUCUUUAACUUCAAGAUUUCCAAGAAAAUUAAUAACUUCUAAGAACAUCACAAGAUUCCUUUUUAUGCACAAAAAAUAUCAAGAUUGAUCAAGAAUCAUCAAGAAUCUUCCAGAUUUACUUUUUUCCUCAAGAAAACCUACAAAAUAGAAAAUUAUGCCAUUUAGGUAUAAAAAGAACAUUAUUUUGUUAAGAAUCAAGUAAAAAUUAAUCAUUUAAGCACUAAAAAUAAGCCUAAACAACUUUAUUUUAUAGAGUUAUCAAACCCCCCAACUUAAACUUUUGUUUGUCCUCAAGCAAAAAUAAAACCAAACUAGAUAGCAUGUUAGACAUCAUCACACACUCCCAAUAUUAGAUUCUUAUGAUUCCUCAAAAAUUGCAUAAUAACUUUAUCUUAAAAGAAAAUCAUAAGCAUAUAUCCAACACAAAGUUCAUUUAAGAAUAAGCUUGCAUUCCACUCACAAAUUUUCAUGUGUGUGUAAAUAAUCUAUCUCUAAUUAAUGCGAGAUAUUUAACUAAAGCUAAGCAAAUAUGAAAUUAACAAAUCACCUCAAAGCAUGCACAAAUCUCAUAAGUUUGCUUUUCACAUACUCUUUCCCCUAAUAUCGCCACAACUUAACCAAAGAUCAAUAGGUUUUUAUUAAGCUUGUAAUGCCAAGUUAGGGUUAAGGUAUGAUAAAGGAAAAUUUAGGCUCAUAAACCCCAAACAUGCAUUACAUAGGAUCUGCACUUUUAUGAAAGAACUUCCAAGAAAAUAUAAUACCCCCAAACUUAAAUUCUUUUUUCUUUUUCUUUUCAAACAACAACUUUUUAUUGAUUUACAUGAAUACCUUACUAUUUUUCACUUUUUUUUCUUUUUCUUUUUUUUUUUCUUUUGUUGAAAAGCUAUUUUUAGCGUUUGCUUUUUCUAUCCUUUGCUUGAAACUGAAUUUUGCACAAUAAUUUCAACUUCAGACUCCACCCUUCUUCCCAAAUGUAACAUAACUCUUAUAUUUCUUUGAUUAAUCCAUAUACACAUAGGGUAAGGUAGAAAGAAAAAAACAAUAAAUCAAUGGGGUAGCUAAUUUAUGUAGGUGAAAAACAAAGAAAGAAAUAUAUAUUUAUUAGGCUCCAACAGGGGUAACUAGGGAUAAAUAUAAUAAAGGUUAGCUUAAAAGGCUCAAAUGAUCCAAAGAUGGCCUAAAUCAUCUCCCUAGUUAAGUGUGGUAUAAUAUUUCACCUCAAAAGAUGCUCUAACAAAUUCUAAAAUCAAUACAUGACUUCAAGAUCAAUGCAACUUCACAUCUACACAACUUCAACUAAAUAUACUUACAUCUCAAUGAUCAAGACUUAAGUAUGUUUGAAGAAUAUGAAAAUAUUGCAAGUAAAAAGAAACUACUUCAAGAAUUCAUCUCAUGCCUUUACUACAUUCAAACUUUUUUAAAAGGCUAUAUUUAAAGUCAAUUAAGUUUAUUAUCAUUGGAUUAUGAGAAAAUAAUCAUAGGAAGUGUAAUGAUUCUAACAUGACAAAAUAAGCUCAAAAAGAAAUUUGAAAAAAUUUAAAAAAAUUUGGCAUAAAUUUUCUUUCCCUUUAAGUUAAAUGACACAUUGUCCCCAAUUUGUGAAAAUAAAGCAUAAAAGCAUGAAAGAGAAAAAGAUACUCCUACUCCCCUAAAUGGUAAUGGCUGAAACUGCAUUAAAGAAAUCCACCAUUGCUAAACCUUAUUCUAGCUUCCUUGCUCUUAUUUCCUACAAAAACAAAAUAAAGAAAACCAAAGCAUUACAUGUUCUUAACAAAUCAAACUAAAAGUAAAUAUGCAAACUGAAAAUUAAAAACUUGGGUUGUCUCCCAAUUAGUGCUAGUUAGAGUUAAGCUUGACUAACUCUUUCUAGAACUCUUCAAUCACUUUAUCCUUUUAGGAGGGAGUUUACCUUACUGUAUUCUCCUUUGUGGUAUUACAUAGACUGAGUUACGUUUAGGAGGUGUACUCAUUUUCCUUGCAAGAAUAAAUCAAGUUGAACUUGGAUUCAUUUUUGGCCUAGAAAUUUCAAGUUCGUGCUUGUAAAAGCUAAGGCUCAUGGGUUUUGCCAAAUGGUCUUGCAAUAAUGGACUAGGAGGUUUAGAAAUUAAGUUCAACUCCCUAGGUUUAUCCUUUUCCUUAACUCUUAUUAUUGCUUAAACAUCCUUCUCAUCUCUAAGGAUACCAUAUCCAUCAGUUAUAAAUUACAUUUUCUUGUCCUUAAAUCUCAGUGUAAGAUCAUAAUUAUAUACAUCAAUCAAGGUUUUGGAUGUCAAAAACAACAAGGAUGCUUCAUUAUCUUCCAUUUCUAGUACCAUAAAAUCCAUAUAAAAUGUAUAUUUUCUUACCUUUACCAACACAUUCUCCAAUAGUCUUUGCGAUUUCUUCAGAUCUAUUAACAAACUUAAUAGUGCAAUUUGGAUAUUUCAAAACACCAUUUCCUAGUUGCAUGAAAACAUUCAUAGACAUCAGAUUUAUACUAGAUUUAAGAUCAUAAAAAGCUUCAUCAAAUUUUAAAUGACCAAUUCUACAAAAAAUAGUAAAACUCCUUAGAUCUAUUUAUUUUUUAGGAAAGAGAUGUUGAAGUGCAAGACUACACUCUUUCACAAAAAUAGCAUUCUCUAACUCCUUAAGUAGCGCUUUCAGUAUGGAUCUAGGUAUUGAUGAUGCUACUUCUAAAGUUUGUCUUUGAUGUUCUUCUUCUUCAGUUGGUUCAUAUUCCUUAUCUUCGUCUUCUUCUUUAAUCUCUUUCUCACUAGGAUCCUGUUUUACUUCAUCAUGUAUAGACUCUUCCAAAUAAAAAACUUCCCUCAAAACCCUAUUUGACUCAUCUUCUUCUAGGGUAAAAAUGUUACUAACUUGUUCCUUACCUUGUUUUUUGUGGUUGUGCUCAGUAUUGCUAGGUAAGGUUCCCUAAAGGCAAUUAUUGAGGCCAUUUACAAGCUAACCAACUUGCACUUUAAGGUUCUUUAUAAAGGUUACUUGGUUUUGUAAAAUAUAAGUGAACAUUUCUUCUAAGGAUGGCUUUUUUUCUUGGGGUUAUAGAGGUGGAUGAUGUUGUGGUGGUGGUGGUUGGAAACUAAGUGGGUUAACAUGUCUAUUAUAGGAAUUAAAAACUUGCCCUUAGUUAUUACCCUAUGAAAAAUUAGGAUGUUGCUUCCACCUUGGAUUGUAUGUAUAGAGUAUGGAUUGUAUUGUUGCUUGGGUUUAGCAACAUAAUGGAUUGGCUUUACUCUAAUGGGACACUAUCAUAACGUAUAGAUUCAUGGACCUAUCGCUAGAUAUGAUUUUUCAAGAGUUGCCACCAAUCUUUUUUGUUUAGGUGUGAUUGGCCACCUGAUUGAAUUUGUCUCAUUUAAAAAGGAGUUCCAAUAUUAACUUAGGUCUCUUUAAAUAGUAGAUUUUGAUCCAUGAAAUCAAAUUUUAGGUUCGGGAGUACAAUUACCUAUGAAAAAGGUUAUAGCACCCCCACAGCACCCAUCCAAAAGAUGGUACCAGUUUGAUUUCAAAUUAUCCAAGCCUUAAAUAUGUUUAUAGUUUACCAAAAUAUUUAUUUUUGAAAAUUAAUCUUAAAAUUACCCCAAUUAUUUGGUAGUAAUUUAAGAUAAUUCUCUUACCUCAUGAGUAUUCAUGAAGACUAGUAUCUUACUUUGAAGAGGCUUCAUCGUCAGAUUUAUUAAUGUAUUUUAUUAAAAAAAAUAGAAAAAUCCUCCAAUAGUUUGGUAGGAUUUACUUUGAGGUAAAUCUCUUAAUAGUUUAAUGAGAUUUUAUUUGAAAAUGGUUAUAAAAAUUUUAUUCUUUCGAGAAAACUCAUUAAAUCUCCUAAUAGUUUGGUAAUAUUUAACUUGAGAUGCAAUCUUCCAAGAGUUUGGUAGGAUAAAAAAUCAUUUUUUUCAUUUUUUUGAAUUUUAUUUAUGGAACUUCCCAAUAGUUUGGUGGAUUCCAUAAAAUUUAAAUUCAUAAAAAUUCUCUAAUAGUUUGGUAGGAUUCAUGAAUUUAUUUGAAAAGAUUUUUCCUUUAUUUUUUGUUUCUUUUAUUUCUUUAUUUUUUAAAAAAUAAAAAUAGAAUUUUAUAAAAUAUUUAACAAAUAACAAAUUGCUUAAUAAAAAUAAAUAAAUAAUAAAAGUUAGUAAAAUAAAUAAAAAAUUGAAUAUAAAAUAAUAUAAAAAUAUUUCAAAAUAUAAAAUAAAUAAAAAUAAAAUCAAAAAAUAAAAAUAAAAUGAAAAAAAGAAAACCUGCGAUUAGGUCAGGUUAAAGCACAGGUCAGUAUGCGAGUCAAUGGGUCACGUGCAGAUAUGGGACCUUUAAAACGAUGUCCUUUAGGUUGCUAUAAAAGCUAAGUUCCCCAUUUUCUCUUUAAAAGCCUCAGUCUCCUCUCUUUCUAGCCUCAAUCACUCUGACCCCUCUCUAAAAAAACUAAGAAUGUUCAAUCGAAAACUGAAAAUUUUCAUCGAUUUUUGGAAAAUAGUUGAAAUCCCAUGGAAAACUCAAACCUUGCUAAAAAAUUUAACUGAAAAUUUCAAAAAUUCAUCCCAAACCUAGAUUUUUCUAGAUCUUUCCUAGAAAAUCCCAUAUUUUUGCAAAAAUCUAAUCUUCAAUCAAGAAAUCUAGAAUCUCAAGCCCCACACUCCAAAACAGAAAUUCGAAAUCCAAACCGUUCCUAAAACUACUAAUUCUAAACUUCCAAAACCAAAAUCUCAAAACCUGACCACCCAGAAAACUCUUCAGAAUUUUAAACACCAAACCUUGUCUCCUUCCAAAAAUCAAUCAUCUCGUUCUUUCAGUCUUUUAUUCAAUUUAUAGCCAUCCUUAGUAAAGAUUUUAGGGAUAAGAUAGAACCAAUCCUAGGAUUGGAUUCUGCUCGAACCUGAUUUUAAGACUAAUUCUUUGAUGAUUUGUCUAGACUGAAUAAAAAUCCUUUGAUUUGGUUUUGAUUGACUCUUUGAUCGAGUAGACUAAAUUUCUUUUACUCUUAAUUCUGCAAUCAUAGAUUAAAAAAAAAAAAGAAAGAAAAAUGAUAAAAUAAAAUAAUAAUAAUUAUUAUAUAAUAAUAUAAUAUAAUAAUGCUAUAAUAUAAUAGUAAUAAUAAUAAUAAGAUACUAUAAUAUAAUAAUAUAAUAAUAACAAUAAUAUAGUAUAAUAUAAUAUAAUAUGAUAAUAUAAUAAUAAUAAUAUAAUAUACCAUACUAUACUAUACUAGUAACAAUAACAAAAUAAUACUAAUGCUAAUAGCAAAAUAAUAAUAGUAAAAAUAGACUCCAAUUGACCCUGGACACAGAUAGGUAUCUAUAAGUGUCCCUCUUUACACAUUUUUUUUAGACAGGGAUGAUACAAAGACCUAGACAUCCAUUUUGUUCCAGUCUAAAAACAAAAGCCAAAUCUAUAAACAAAAAUGACUAGGACUAAGCCAUAAGUCUGAAAAAUGAUUUGGACUGAGCCAAGAUCGAACAACCGAGAUUAAACUACAAGUUUGGAAAAUGAUUUGGACUAAGCCAAGAUCGAGUGAUCGAGAUUAAACCACAAGUUUAAAAAGUUGAUUUGGACCAAGUCGAGGUUGAAGCUAGGUGAUCGUGGUCAAGCCAAGGUUAAAAGAUGAUUUAGACAGAGCUGAGAUUAAAUGACCAGGAUUGAAUCGCAAGUCUAGAAAAUGAUCUGUAUUGAGCCAAUAUCAAGCGACCGGGGUUAAACCACAAGUCUGAAAAGUGAUCUAGAUUAAGCCAAGAUCGAGUGAUCAGGAUUGAACCACAAGUCAAAAAAACUAUUUGGACUGAGCUGAGGUAAAAAAUGAAUGAUAAUGCAAUGACACAAAUGCAUGUCCUAUCUAGGAUGCAAAUGUAAAUACAAUGUAAACACAAUGUAGUGCAGAUGUUACUAAAUCAAUGCCAUGAAAUUUCAAUUAUGGUAACACAGUUCUCAAAACUCCAUCAUCUCAUAUAUUCCAUCUCAACUUCUCAGCAUUAAUGAUCUUAGAACAAACCCCAUCAUUCGAUCUAUGUUGUUGUCCUCAUCUGGUCACAACUCACAAGUUAUAUUGAUCAAUCCAUCAUUGUAUUUGCAUCUGUGUUUGCCCCUUUUUUUGUUUUCAUUUUUUUAUUGUAUUUUCUUAGGCUUCUCUCACUUAUCUCAUCUUAGAUUUCUUUCAAAAGACUGGGAACAUUGUCAUUCAUUUAUUUACCAUCAUUCAAAUUGGUGACAAACAUGAUACAUUUUCUUGAUUCAUUCAGGGGAUGUACACUUAGUAAUGAAUAGGAAAAAUGGAUGUUUAUUAUUGAAAGAAAAAGAAAAGUAUGGUCAAGAACAACUCAAAGAUAAAUGAAAGCAAAAUGUUGUGACUGUGUAAAAGGAUAUCAACAUCUAGAAUAAUAACAGUUUAGACAAUUUUGAACUCUAACUUAGAAUUCUCUUUAAAAAACACAUUCCAUCAAUAUUUUCAAUCUUUGAGCCAAUCAUCAUCCUCAUUCCUAGGACCCUCACAUGAUGUUGUUUCUUCAAGUUUCCAUCUUUACUUAAAUUGCCUUUUUAGGUUUUCAAUUUAAGUCUCCCUUUUUUUUUUUUUUUUGCACACCUCAUUCUCAUCUUUUCUUUUCAUUUCUCUUUUCUCUUUAUCAAUCAAUGACACUUCGAUCAAAGUUUUAAAUAAUCUAACAACAAAUCUGCCUUAAUUCAAUUCAUGAUUCUCCAAUUGAGUAUUCACAUUCGAUCAAAAUAGACUUUUAAAGGAUGUAACAUAGGCUAAGGUGAGGGGUUAUGAAAGAAAUUAAUGAAACAGGUCCAAAUUGUAUUUGAAGUGUUAUCAAACCAAGAAUCAUUUUUCAUGUAGAGCACAUUAGCAUUUUGCCCUAUCAAUUUCUCCUUCAUUUUUUUUCUUUUUCAUUAUUUUUCAAGAAAAAUUUGAGCACAAAAGGGCUUUGCCUUUGAAAUCACUAAGGAUAAACAAGCUUUCAAACUUUGCCUCCUAGUGUAGGGGUGAUCUUUGGUUAGGAUUUCUUAAAAAAAAUUUUCAACAUGUUCAAAUGGGGUAGCAAAGGAUAAUUUUAUUCUUUUUUUUUUAAAGGUAGAAAAAGAUGACCAUUUUUUAUCUCAAACAUAAAUACUCUUAAUGAAGAACAUUUAUCGAUCAAGAGCAAGCCUAUGAAUGAACAAUUGUAAAGAUCAUGUGUUACAUCACUUCUAAAAUUCUUCCUAGAUUUGUCUUUUUUUUAUUCAGUAGUCCUAAUGAAUUAGCAAUCUCCCUUUAUCAAUCAAAUCAUCAUGAAUGAUGUCUUCAAAAAUGAAUCUUGAAUUAUCAUCAUGACUAUCUAAAUAUUCAUUAUUUGGAAUCAAAGAAUAGAUAUGGAAAAAAGGUAUAAGAAGGUAAAAGUAAAUAAUGGUGACUCGCACAAAAAAGAAUGUCAUGAAAAUGCAUCAAAUCUGCCAAUUUUAUUAAAAUGAUGAAAAAUAAGAUGAAAUCCAAGUACAUAAAAGAGAUCCAUAUGCUCAAGAAAUCCUAAGAUGAUAAUCAAUUUCAAUCAGCCUCCCCAUAAUCAUGCCUCUAGGUGAUUGGACAAUGGGUUACCAUUGACAUUAGGUGUUGUGUUUACAUCGGUGUCAAAGCUUAUCAACCCUUCUUUAAUCAGACUUUGUAUUCUAUGUUUCAAAGGGAUAUAAUUUUUGAUAAAAUGACCAACCACCCCAUAAUGAUAGUCACAAUGAGCAGUGAAAUCAUACCAUUUGGGAUAAAGAGGUUCAAAUUCUUUUAUAAGAAUGGGAGCAAUCAAGUGAUUUUUGUAAAGUUUUUGGUAUAGUUUUUAUGUAGCUCAUGGGAAUAGGAUCAAAUGUAGGUUUUUUUUGAUUUCGUGAUUCUUGAACACCACUUGUUGGGUAGUUGGAUGAAUAGAGGGCCUAGUUCUAGAUAGAUAAAAAGGUCGUGUAGUUUAUUGGUAGGGUGAAGUAGAAGCAUGACUUACAGUAGGAUGAUAUGUAGGAUAGAUCGACUAAGGGUAGUUUCUGAAUUGUUGUCUUUCGAAACUCACAACUUGAGUCUCACUUUCAUUUUUCUUAGGCACCCUUUUAGCAGCAAAGGAUUCUUUUCUUCUAGUUACCAUUUUUAUUGCAUUUUUAAUGAUCUCACCCAAAAUCACCAUAUCAGUAAAAUUUUUAGUCACAUUCCCUAUCAUCUUCUCAUAGUAUGGUAACUUUAAAGUGCUUAUAAAUAGCACCAUCGUUUCUUUCUAUGUUAGUGGUGGUUGUACUUGAGUGACGACAUUCUGUCACCUUUGGGCAUACUCCUUGAAAGAUUCAAAUGUUUUUUUCUCCAUACCUUGUAACAAAAGGCGAUCAAGAGCCAUAUCUAUGAUGUGAUGGUAUUGGUUGAUAAAAGAUCGAGUUAAAUCUUUCCACGAUCUUAUGUGAGUCCUGUCUAAGUAAACAUACUACCUUACAACAAACUUGCUUAAGCUAUCUUGGAACAUAUGCAUCAGUAAUUUCUUGUUGCUGGCAUGUGUUGCCAUCUUACGAUAAUACAUUGUGACGUGUGUAAUGGGACACUUAGUACCAUCAUACUUCUCAAAUUUUGGUACUUUAAAUUUUGGAAGAAUCAUAACAUUGGGACCAAAUAAAGGUUGGUAGCAUUCAUGGAGCCAUAAAAAUCUAUUCAUUCAAUAGCUUGCAAUCUUUCUUCAAUCAUGCUUAUUUUUGAUCAGUCUUAGAGUCUUCUGAGGACAUAACCAUUUGCAACUUCAUUGUUUCUUUUAUCUCAUUCAGAUUGGAGAUUUGGAUGGGUUCAACUACCUUUUCAGUGAAGACAGGAUUAGUGUAAUCUGAACAUUCCCUUGACUAGGUGCACAAGGCAUUCUCAGGUAACUGUAACUUGGCAACAUGGUCUAUUGUGGCUGAAGAUUUGAAGUGAUUUAGGUUUGAUGCAAAUCGAACCCUGGAGGAUACAAUGACUCAGUAAUUUCAUGUGAAAUAUCUCCUUCCACUACUUUCCUUUGUUUAUCUUUUCUAGAGCUUUAAAGAUCUUACUUAGCUUCCCCUCAAUUAUCUCCUAAGCUUUUUCCAACCUUUCAAAAUGGUUUAGGUUAUCCUGUUCCAUCUUUUUGGCUCUAGCCUGGGGUAAUAUUAGUGUUGAGCUAUCCUCAAACCUUGAUUUCUCAUAAUGUGUAAAUUUACAAUGAUGUCUAUGGAACCCUCAGAUUGUGCAUGAACAUGAAUGCAAAAACAAAAUGCAUGAAUGCAAUAAGGAGAAUUUACCACAUAACCCUCAGAUUGCAUGAAAAUGAAUGUAAAAACAAAAUGUAUGAAUGCAAUAAGGAGAAUUUACCACAUAACAAUUGUUAUCAAAGAAAAUCUUUAUUGAAUUAAAAAUCAUUUUUAACCAAAUCCAACAUUACAUCCAUGAAAAGUCUAGAACUACUGGGAAAAGAAACCCAUAACUCAUCGAUAUUGGCUUUGCACUUCAUUAAAGAAAUCUAUCAAUUUUUGACCAUGUGCUCCCAUUGGUGGCACCCUUGCCUUCCAUUUUUCAAUCUUUUCUAUCAUGUCCUUGGCUUUGUAAAUAGCCACAGUGAUUCGAUCAAAUAGAGACUUCAACUGGUUAUGUUUUUUUACAUAUGCUUCAUACAUUUGCUCACAUUCUUUAGUCACAGCCCUUAUUUGUGCUCUAAUUCCCACCACUACUCCAUUUAGCAUCUGGAUGUGCUUUUGUGCUUUAAAAAGCAUUUCAUCCCUUUCUUGUAGCUUUGCUUGCAAUUGUUUGUUUUGUGUAAAAAGUUGGCCAAUUCUAAAUUAGUGGAUGAUCAUGUUGUGUUAAGGUCAAUGAACAAACUCUUCCAUGCAUCGUUUCUUUGUUCAAAUGCUCGAACUUCCCCUUUUAGCCUCUUGUUUGCAAGUUUCAACUCUUUAGACUCCCUCUUUAGACUAGUAAAAGACUUUGCUAGGUUGUCCAUAGAUGCAACUGAGAUUUUCCUUGUUAAAAUUAUUUUGUGGCAAAUAUUCCUUAUGAUAAAUCUAAUGAUGUGAAUGCAUGAUAAAAGAAAAGGGUUAGUAAAAAAUAAUAUUCAAAAACCAUUAUAUAGGAUACAAAAUGCUUACAAGUAAAAUAAACAUCCAAUCAUAUGUCCUAUUCAGGAUUUUCUAACACAAGGGAAGGCAUGGUUCUAUCUAUGGUUAGGCUUUUAAAGUUAACUAUAUGCGGUUUGGAUUACUUUUAAAAGGUUCUCAAAUUGUUCCUUACAUCAUUGUCCAUCACAGACUAGUAAGGCACCCUAAUCUUCACCCAUCAUAAGCUACAAACGAAAAUGGUUCAAUUUCAAUGAGAGUAUUUUUAGGCCCAAGUGGAGACAUGAAAUCUCACAAAAGCAUAGGUAGUUGACUCCCUCCUAAAGAUAAAGCUCAGGUGGAGAGCUUAUGUUAUGCACCAUGCAAGUGAGUGAUAUAUAUAUAUAUAAAUGAAUAACUAAAUAGAAUAUAAGCAAUGAAAAGACAUAAAUAAGAAAAUAAUUUCAAUUUUUUAAGCAAGGCUUGAAUAAUAAGAAAUCAUUUACUAGCUUGACUCUUGAUGUCCCUAGUGGAAUCGUCAAACUGUCAUAAUAUAUAAAUCUGUGGACCUACCGCUAGACAUGGUUUUCAGGAGUUGCCACCAAUCUUUUUUGUUUAGGUGUGAUUAGCCACCUGAUCGAAUCUAUCCCAUUUAAAAAGGAGUCCCAAGAUUGACUUAGUUAUCUUUAAAUAGUAGAUUCUGAUCCAUAAACUAGAUUUUAGGUUUGGGAAUACGGUUACAUGUGAGGAAGGUUAUAGCACCCUUACAGCACCUAUCCAAAAGAUGGUACCAGUUUGAUUUCAAAUUAUCCAAGCCUUAAAUAUGUUUAUAGUUUACCAAAAUAUUUAUAUAUUGAAAAUUAAUCUUAAAAUUACCCCAAUAGUUUGGCAGCAAUUUAAGAUAAUUCUCUCACCUCAUGAGUAUCAUGGAAAACUAGUGUCCCACUUUAAAAAGGCUCCAUUGUCAAAUUUAUUAAUGUAUUUUAUUCAUUAAAAUUAGUAAAGUCCUCCAAUAGCUUGGUAGGAUUUACUUUGAGGCAGAUCUACUAAUAGUUUGGUGAGAUUUUAUUUGAAAAUGGUUAUAAAAAUUUUAUUCUUUCAAGAAAACUCAUUAAAUCUCCCAAUAAUUUGGUAAGAUUUAACUUGAGAUGCAAUCCUCCAAUAGUUUGGUAGGAUAAAAAAAUUAUUUUUUUCAUUUCUUUUAAUUUUAUUUAUGGAAUUUUCCAAUAGUUUGGUGGAUUCCAUAAAAUUUAAAUCCAUGUAAAUUCUCCAAUAGUUUGGUACGAUUCAUGAAUUUAUUUGAAAAGAUUUUUUCCUUUAUUUUUUUAUUUCUUUUUUUAAAUAAAAAUAAAAUUUUAUAAAAUAUUUAACAAAUAAUAAAUUGCUCAGUAAAAAUAAAUAAAUAAUAAAAGUCAAUAAAAUAAAUAUAAAAUUGAAAUAAAAUAAUAUAAAAAUUUUUCAAAAUAUAAAAUAAAUAAAAAUAAAAUGAAAAAAAAAACCAGCGAUCGAGUUGGGUUGAAGCGGGUCAGCACAUGGGUCAACGGGUCAUGUGUGAAUCUGGGACCUUCAAAAUGCUGUCAUUUUAGAUUGUUAUAAAAACCAAGUUCCCUGUUUUCUCUUCAGAAGCCUCAGUCUCCUCUCUCUCUCUCUAGCCUCAAAUGCUCUGACCUCUCUCUAGAAAAACCAAGAAUGUUCAACCGAAAAUUGGAAAUUUUUGCCAGUUUCUAGAAAAAUAGCCAGAAUCCCAUCGAAAAACUUCAAACAUUGCCAAAAAUUCAACUAAAAAUUCAAAAUUUCAUUCCAAACCUAGAUUUUUCCAGAUCUUUCCCAAAAUUUUCCAUAAAUCUAAUCUUCAAUCAAGAAACUCAUAAUCUCAACCCCCACACUCCAGAACAGAAUUUCAAAAUCCAAACCCUUCCUAGAACCUCUAAUUCUAAACUUCAAAACCAAAAUCUCAAAACCUGACCACCCAAAAAACUUUCUAGAAUUUUAAACACCAAACCUGUUCUCCUUCUCAAAAAUCAAUCGUCUUGUUCCUUUAGUCCUUUAUUCAAUUUAUAGCCAUCCUUAGUAGAGAUUUUAGGGAUCGGUUAGAACCAAUCCAGGCUUGAAUCCUGGGAUUGGAUUUUGCCCGAACCUAAUUUUAAGACUAAUUCUUUGCUGAUUUGUUUGGACUAAAUAAAAAUCCUUUGAUUUGGUUCUGAUUGACUCUUUGACCGGGUAGAUUGAAUUCCUUUGAUUUGAUUAAUUCCAAAUUUUAGUUUCCUAAUUCUACAAUCGCAAAUUGAAAGAAAGAAAGGAAAAAUAAUGAUAAAAUAAUAAUAAUAAUAUAAUAUAUAUAAUAUAAUAUAAUAAUAAUAAUAAGAUACUAUAAUAUAAUAUAAUAAUAUAAUAAUAACAAUAAUAAUAUAAUAUAUACAAUAUGAUAUAAUAUAAUAUGAUACGAUAAUAAAAUAAUAUGAAAAUAUAAUAAUAAUAAUAUAAUAUACCACACUAUUUUAUACUAGUAACAAUUAUAAAAUAAUACUAAUACUAAUAGUAUUGACCCCAGACAUAGAUGGGUGUCUACAGACACCUAUCUAAAGAAUAGUUCCUUCCAUAAUUAUCAUAAGAAACAAAAGGAUUUUGAAUGGCAUUAAUAGGACUACAGAAAGGUUAGAUCCUAAGUUUGCAAUCUUUUUGGCUAAGGCUGAAACUUGUGAAGUGAAAGUAUUAAGUGCAUCAAGUUCAUAUACCUCAGUUGCUUUUUUAGGCACAAACCUCUCAUUGGCCCAGUCAUACUUAUUCAUGGCCAUUUCUCUAUUCAAAUCAUAAGCUUCAUCAAUGAACUUACUCAUUAAAGUGCCACCAGUAGCAGCAUUAUGGUGGUCCUAGUUGGACCUACUAACCCAUUAUAAAAAAUUUGAACUUACAACCAUUUAGGUAGGCCAUGGUGAUGACACCUCCUUAAUAGCUUUUUGUACCUCUCCCAUGCAUCAAAAAGAGAUUCGACCUCAAAUUGCUUAAAAGAUGUAAUGUCAUUGCGCAUCUUAGCUAUCUUAAAUGGAGGAAAGAAAUGGGUCAAGAAUUUUUGAACUAAGCCAUCCAAGUAAUAAUUGAACCAAGAGGUAGAGAUAUGAGCCUACUCUUUGCUUUAUUCUUGAAAGAAAAUGGAAAAAGUCUUAGUUUAGUGGCAUCAUUAGUAACACCAUUUUGUUUAAAAGUAUCACAAAUCUCAAGAAAAUUAGUAAGAUGAAUAUUGGGGUCAUCACUAGGUAACCCACAAAACCAAAUAGAGUUUGGAACCAUAUUGAUAAUAGAUGGUUUUAAUUCAAAAUUGUUAGCCUGAAUGACUAGCCUACUAAUGCUCGACUGAAAACCAUCUAGCUGAGGGAUAGCAUAGUCCUUAAGUGUUCUCUGAUUUUCUUGUAUUUAAUCAAUCAUAGAUGAAACAAGAGUUGUUUGCUUCUUACCUUUUUAUCUUUUCAAGUGUUUUCUCAAUUUCUUUAUCUAAGGGUACUAAACUAGCACUCUUAAUCCUUGGCAUACAAAACAAGAAUAACCAAACAGAUUAAAAACAAGAAAAAUAAAAUUUAAGCUACAAAUAGAGAAAUUAGUAUUGAUAUUGCACAUACUCCUUCAACAAUCCCUGACAAUGGUACCAAAAACUUGAUAGGUAAUUUGCAAGUGCACUAAAUUGUUCAAGUAAUAUAAUGAUAAGAAUAAGAGUACCAUCCCACAGAUAUUGUGUAUAUGAGAUCACAAGUACCAAAAUUGUAUAUUUCACACUUAUACUUAGAUAUAUCAAAUCAAAGAUAAUAUAAACUAAUAAAAUAAAACAUAAAACAUGCACUGCUAAUAUAAACCAAACUAAAUCAAACUAAAAAAAUAACUAAAAAUAGAUUAAACUAAAACCAAAUAAACAAGUAUAACAAAACACAAACUAACUAAGCAAUAAUAAACCAACUAACAUACAAUAAAUCGUAAACUAAAAUCAACUAAUCAACUAAACAUGCAAUAUAAAUCAAAAGCAAUGAAAACUGAAAGAUCCAAUAAGCAAAACUAAAUAUAAACCCUAAAACAAUUAACAUGCAAUUUCAAUAAAACCAACUUAAACCAAAACCUUACUUAUCUUUAAAAUCAUGCAAUAAACUUAAAUUAAUCUUUAAACAUGCAAUUAAACCAAAUUAAAUCAAAAUAGAAAUCGAAUUAAGCCAAUAUAUGAAAACCAAAAAUAACAAAAUCGUAAUCUUAUGCAAUUUCCUAAAACCCUAAUAUAAAAAUCCUAAACAAAUUAAAUGAACCCUAAAUAUGCAAUAAUAAAUUAAAAUCAAUUAAAAUAUCUAAAACAGAACUUAAUUAAAUUCAAAACUCUUAAACCAAAUAGAAUAAGUAAGAACUUAAACAAAUAAAUCAAGAUUUCAUCCUAAACAUGCAAUCUAAACAAAUUAAGCUAAAACUGAAUUAAAUCCAACCUUAAACUUGAUAACCAAAACCUUUAAUUUGAAUUAAAGUUGCAAUUGAAUAAAUUGAACUAGAACAAAAAAUUAACCAAAAAGAUUAAAUGAAAAAAAAAAGCAACUUGUAAACAUAAAGAACCAAAAUAAAAAAGAAAGAUUCAAUCUUUAAACUAAUAACACUAAACCAAAUGAAAAGAAACUUAAAACCAGAAUUUGAUUGCUUGAAAAAUUAAAAACAAUAUGUAUGAAUAAUCUUGAAAACCAGAAAAGCAAAAUACCAUAAAAUCUUUAAAAUAAAAACUUGAAAACUAAAGACAACUUAAAGAAAACUUAGAAACAAGAACCCUAAAAAUCACUAAUAAGUUGGUUUGUCACCCCAACCCCUUACACCCUUUAUUCUCAAACUUAAUGAUGUAUUUAUAGGCUAAAAAAACCCUAGAUAGGUUUGACCAAGAGAUCUUGAAAAGAGCUUGCACAAUUUCUAUUGGAAUUGAACUCUUAAAUCCAAGAAUGCCUCUUGUAGUUGAAUCCAACAAGAACUCUUUAAAAAGAAAGCUUAUAGAUCAAUCUUGACUUUUAGAUCAUAUUCAUCCUCAUUCUAAUCAUGUAGCAACUCACAUCAUGCAUAAAACAAUACUAUAGCCGAAUCUUGAAUACCCAAAGAAUUGCAUCCGAACAAAAUACAUAAUCUUCUUAAAUGUUGCUUCAAAUUGCCUUGAUCUUAUAUCCAUCACGUAGUCCAUGCUUGCUUGACUUCUUGCUUGAAAAAUUAGAGUUUUAAACCAUGUAGAACAUUUCGUUAACGUCGCCCAUAAAGAAUGGAAUUAAAUACUUCAUGCAAUCCUACUCCAAGUAGGAAUAAGAAUACCAAAUCAUAAUCCAUAUAGGAAAUCCAAAUCCAAGUAGGAUAAGUAAUUAGAAUUGCCACCUCAUUGUGCCACAUCAUCUUUCUUAACCAAUAAGGAAACUCUUUAUACCAUGUCAUCCAAUAGUAAUCCUAUGCAUGUGCACCUAUAUAAGCUACCAUAGACUUGUAAUCACUUGAAAUUACAAUUCUAACCUUCUUUAUAGCCUAAAUUACCAACUUGAAUCUUGCAUGAAUUUUUCUCAUUUUUCUUCAAGAUUGCAUCAUUCUAACUCCAUUAAACUUCACAAAAUAAAUCUUGAACUUCUUUCUAUUCUUUAGCUUCAAGAUUUUCAAGAAAAUCAAGAACUUCUAAGAACAUCACAAGAUUCCUUCUUAUACAUAAAAAAUCAUCAAUAUUGAUUAAGAAUCAUCAAGAAUCUCUCAAAUUUACCCUUUUCUUCAAGAAAACCUACAAAACAGAAAAUUAUGCCAUUUAGGAGUAAAAAGCAUAUUAUUUUGCUAAGAAUCAAGCAAAAAUCAAUCAUUUAAGCACUAAAAACAAGCCUAAAUAAAUCUAUUUUAUAGAGUUAUUAGUGGGAAAGUUUUACUAGCCAUUACGGAUGUUUACACUUCAUGAGAGCAUAGCUAUUUUACUUCUUCUUAGAAAGGACUAGAGCUCACAUAUAGAGCUCAUACAUGUAAUACAAAUGUGAGUGUGUGCGGAAGAACAUACAAAGCUUUCACAUUUUCCUAAAAUACCCCUAUCUUAAAUGCCUCACAAUUAUUAAAAGUAAAAUAAACAACAACAAUUUAAAAUAAAGGACAUGAUUAAAAUAUGCAUGAAUGUAAAACACAUAUAAUGUUUUUUGGAUUUUAUGCUCUUUAAAGACAAAAAAUUAAAGUCAAAACAUUUUUUGAUUUUUUUACUUUUUGGAAAAUAAGAAAAUUAAAAUUAAGAAAUUAAGAUUAAAUAUUAACUAAGACCUUUAAUCUAAAAUUUAGGAUAAACUGUAAUCGUUCUUUGGCUUGACUAUCAAAAAAUGCAUUCCCUAAAGAAGUCUCAAGCUGUCGCAACAUACGGGUCCAAGAAUCGAGUCAUUAGACAUAGGGAAAAAGGCAAGCAAAAAGUAUUUUCAAUAAAAUCAAAAUUGAUGAGUCACCACUAAUUUUUUUUAAGAUGUGAUUAGUCACCUAAAAAAACUUAUCCUUUUAAUCAAACAUUUAAAAUAAGUUUAAAGUUUAUUAAAAGAAUAUUUGUGGUCUGCGAAAUCAGAGUUGGGUCAUGGAGUUGGUUAUGCAUAAGGAAGGAUUAGCACCCCACAGUGCUUGAUGAAAAUGGUACCAAUUGAUUGCAUGUCAUCCUUGAAUUUUGGUAAAAAUGGUCUUAUUAAAUGUUUAAAAAUUAAUUCCUUUCUUUUACUUGUUUAUUCAAAAAAUUGAAUCUCUUUUUUUUAAUUUUCUUUUGAAGGGAAAUAUUUUUUAAUCUUUUUUUGAAAAAGAAAAUAAUUUAUUUUUGGAUCAAGAUAAAAAAUCCUAAGUAUCAAGAUACUUCCUUCACUUCCCUAUAUUUUGGCAGAGUUUGAAAAGUGCCUCUAACUUUAGGAGUUUUUAAAUUGUCCUAUGAAAACUAAUGUAACACUUCGCAUGAGUGAUAACCGUUGAAAAUCCUUCUAUAUUUAGCCCAGAUCUCGAAGGUUAUUUUUACAUGAAAUAUUACUUUAUUUUAAAACACUUUACUUAAAAAGACUUUUUUUUAUAAAAUAUAUGCAUGGUAUGCAUGAAUACAACAAUGUAUAAUAUAUGCAUGAUAGUUGAAAAUGAAUGAUAAAAUGUAAAUGUAUGACAAUUCAAGAAUGCAUGUAACAAUAAAGUAAAAUGAGAUGCAAAUUAGGGGUGGCUCGUAAUGCAAAGCCCCCCAAAAAUUUGAAACCCUUUUAAUAUGUAUAUAUAUAUAUAUAUAUUUGUAUUCGAUACAUUUAAAUUGGUCCUCUAAUAAAAAAUGUUAAUUUUCUUUUUUUUGUAUUUUAUAAAUUAAAUUUAUGUAUUGUAAUUUAAGAGAUGUUUAAAUUAUAUUUAUAUUUGUUUAUUUAUUAUAUCUAACAAUUAUUACUUGUAAAUUCUCACAUUUAUAUUUGUUAAAAACUCUUUUCCUUCAUAUAUUUUUUACUUUUAUUUUUACUUUAGAUCUCUAUUACAUGUUGUAAUUCUUUUUUCAACAAAAAGAUCAUAUUUGAACUACUUUAUAAAAGGAUAGAAAAACACCAAACUUCUACUCUUAAGUUUUCAUUUUUAUUCUUUUAAAAGUAUAUUUAGUUUUCUUGUUUUGAUGAAUGUUUAAUGAUUGAUUUAUUCAUACUUUUUUAUUUCACUUUUAUAUAGUAAAAAAAACUAAUUUUUUUAAUUAGUAAUUCAACAGUUAAUUAUAAAUCAUGUUAUUAUUAAAAGUAUAAUAUUGUCAUAGUAAUAUUUUUAUUUUAUAAUUUUAUACUUUUAUCAUGUUUUUAUUAGUAUAUUGUUUGCCUAUAUAUUUAUUAAUAAGUAUAAUAAAAUAUGCCUUAGAAAAAAAUAUUAUAUAUUAUUAGUUAGCCCUUCUAAAUUAUAUGUCAAGAUCCCCCAUUGAUGCAAAUGCAUGAAUGGGAUCAAGUGUUGGUUUAAGGGUUUGGGGAUUGGUUUGGUUUUUAGGGUUAAGGUAGGUUUGAUUCAAUUUUGGUUGGUUUGGUUCGGUUUUGGGGUUGGUUCUAUUCGAUUUAAAGUUUAGGGUUUUAGGUUGGUUAGGGUUUAGAAUUGGUUUAGGGUCAUGGUUAUAGUUUAGGCUUUAGUAUAGGUUUAGAGUUUUGGUUUAGGGUUUAAGGUUUAGGAUUUAGGGUUUUAAGGGUUUAAGGUAAGAGUUUUGGUUUAGGGUUUGGGAUUUAGGAUUUAAUUAGGUUAGGUUUGGUUUAAGUGUUUGGGGUUUAGGUUUGAUUUAAGGUUUUAGAUUUUGGUUUAGAGUUUAGGGUUUAGGGUUUUGGCUUAGGGUUUUGGUUUAAGGUUUAGGGUUUAGAGUUUGGUUUUAGGGUUUAGGUUUAGGGUUUAGGGUUUGCAUGUAAAAAAAAUCAACAAAAAUGCAACCUUUAAUGCAUGAAAAAUGGAUGAAUGUGAAGACCAAGACCUUGGCAUAUUUACAAACAUACCACAAACUAAACAUGCAUGUAACAACAUAGUAAAAAUGGAUCAAACACCAAGGAUUUAAAGACAAGAGAGGUUUGGCCAAGCUAUGAUUAAAGGCAUAAUUGAAACUUUAAGGCCAUUUUUCAUGCUCCAUUAUUGGCUAAAAAAAAUAGAAAUGGCUCUACCAUUUUUGUUUUAAACCAAACACAUGCAAACAAAAUAAAAUCUCCAAAAAAGUUUACUAAUUCAACACUUUUAUUCAUUAAGGAUUUCAUCUAACACAUAGCUAACAUAAAGGAAUAACUAAAGAUAUAAUAAAACAAGCAUGGAAAGAGCAACAUUUAGCCAUCAAACAUAUGUGGCAGGUUUGGCCAAGCAUUAGGAAAGACUUGGCAAAAACAUGGCCGUUCCCAAAUACACAUCUUUCAUUUAGCUUGAACCACUAAAACAAUCAACAAUCAUGCAAAUAACAUAUAGUAUAACAUUCAAAUCAUCCAAAUUCAUUAUUCAAAGCAAGAAAAACAUGAAAUAAACCAAUAAAAGGUUCGACCAUAUCAUAAUGGUUUUAGAGCCACUUGACGAAUUUGAAAACAAAAAUGAAAAAAUGGAAACGAAGUCGCCACCAAUCUUUUUUUGGCUAGGUGUAAUUAGCCAUCUAUUAAAAUUUAUCUUUUUAAUAAAAUCUUAAAAUUUAUUAAAAAGAUGAUUUUAGGGUCGACAAAAUAGUCUAGGUCUGGAAGCCAAUUAUAGAUAAAGAAGGAUUAGUACCCCUAUAGCGCUAUUUAAAACAAUUCCAAUUAAUUGCAUGUUAUCCAUUAAUCUGGAAAAAAAUAGUCUUAGUUUCAGUGUUUAAAAAGUAAUUUCUUAUUUUCUUUUUUUUAUUAAAAUUUUGAUUCUUGUUAUUUUUUUCAAUAUUUAUUGUUCCAUUUUUAUUUAAGAAAAAUAAAUUAGAACCUUUUUAUUGAAAUAAUUUUAAAGUGUUCCAAUACAUUAGUAACAUUAGAAGAAUUCUUUAUUACCUAGAGAUUUCUUAGAAAUCGCUUCUCAAAAUACCUUAGAAUCCUAUCCUCGAAGAUUCAUAUUUACUUUUCAUAAAAUUAAUAUCAAGCAUGCAAUGCGAAUGACAAUAUAUUGAAUGCACACAUUUUAUUUUACUUUUAGAAAUUUUAUUGGUUUUUCAUUAAAAUUUUUGAAGAAAAUAAUUUUUAUCAUAUUAAAGAUUUUCUAUAAAUACAUUGGUAAUAUUUAAAAAAAAAUCUUAUUACCUAAGGAUUUCAUAAAGCAUUACUACUCGAAAUACUUUUAGAAUCCCAUCAUCAAAUAAAAUUUCCUUUUUCCUCAUUUUUUAUUAUUUUUAACAAAUUAGUUAUUCUUAUUUACUAUUUUAUACCAAAAAAAAGAAAAUUUUAAUUGUAUUAAAAACCUUUCAUAAAUACUCCAAUACAUUGGUCGUAUUUUAAAAAAAUUUUCUCCUUUAAAAAUUUCGUAGGUAUCGCUACUCGGAGUACCUUUAAAUCUUAUUGUCGGAUAAACAUUUCCUUUUCUUACAUUUUUACUAAUUUUUUAUUAUUUUUAUUUUUUAUUAAAAAUUUUUACUAUUUUUUAUUUUUAAUUUUAAAAAUUUAUCAAAAGUUUGAAACCAUUUUUUAUUAUUGGUAUCAUAGUCAUUAAUUAUUAAUUAUUAUUUUUUAUCAUUAUUUUAUAAGGUUUAUUCCAAAUUUUAACAAAAUUAUCAAAAAUUUUAACUAUAUAUUUUAUUUUUUAUUUUUAUUUAUUUAUUUAUUAUUAUUAUAAAAAUAACAAAAAAUUAUUCUAGCAAAUUUAAACAUUUUAGCAUCCAUAAAUAUUAAUAACACAAUUUAAAAUAAUAAUAAUAAUAUUUAAAAAAUUAAUUCAAAAAAUUUUAAAAAUUUUUCCUGAACCGGAUCGGUCAAUGCUGAUUCGGUUGGGCUAGUCAAAAGUGAUUCAAUGGUUCAAAACUGGUUCAAUUGGAUCGGUGGGGUUGAGGGGUGUCAGGUCACUAGGUUAGGUGUAUGGAACCCGAGUAGAGUCGUAGGUCCACACACUGAUCCUAGGGGUUCAAAACGAUGUCGUUUUGACCCCUAGCUGCUUAUAUAAAAGCUCAAUUUUUUUUUUGCUCAUUCUCUCCCCUAUUUCAAAAAAAAAAUCUAUUUCCCUUUCUCUAUACCAAAAUCCCAUAGGGGGCUAGUUUGUCGCUGUUGUCGUCAUGCCAUCGAUCAUUAGCAAUAGUCGUUGGUGAUUGAAAAACUUCAAAAACCCACCAAAAAAAUUCCUCUGGCCUCUUAAAUCUCAAUCUGACCUCUUUUUUGCAAGAAAAUGGCAUGAAUGGUCUAGAUCAAGGCUAAAAGUUUUGGCCAAAACUCUUUUUUUUAUUGUGGAUCUUGAUUUUUGAAUCUAGCGUUAAGGUUUCCUCAUCAAAAGGAUUUUUUUCUUGUGUUUCUGUGUUUGAUUUUUUUUUUAGUUUUUUUUUAAUCUGGUAGAACCUUUUUUUUUUAAUUUGAGUUUUUUUAUUUUCAACAAGGUUUUCCUUUUUUAUUUUAGAAUUUGAAAGGUUCUUCUAAGUAGAGACUUAACGACUUUUUUUUUUUUGCUAAAUUUGAUAGGCUCCCCUAAGCAGAGGCUUAACAACUUUUUAAAAUUUUAAAAAGCUCCUCUAAAUAGAGGCUCAACAACUUUUUAAAAAUUUAAAAGGCCCCUCUAAACAGAGGCUUAACAACUUUAAAAUGCUCCUCUAAAAAGAGGCUCCAUAACUUUUUGUCAAUUUAAAAUAUUCUACCCUCAAGACUUAUGAAUCUUGAUAAUGAAAGCUCCUCUAUACAAAGGCUUAACAACUUUAAAAUUUCAUCUUGGAAAAGCUCCUCUAAGUAAAGGUUCAACAACUUUCAUUGACUUUAAAAAUUUCAUCUCAAAAAAGCUCCUUUAAGUAGAGGCUUAACAACUUUAAAAAAUUUAUCAUGCAAAAGGCUUUUCUAAGUAAAGGCUCAAUGACUUUAAAAAUUUUAUCUUGAAAAGUUUCCUCUAAGCAGAGGUUCAACAACUUUAAAAAUUUCAUUUUAAAAAACUCCUCUAAGUAGAGGCUUAACAACUUUAAAAAAUUCAUCUUGAAAAAGGCUCAUCUAAGCAAAACUCAACAACUUUAAAAAUUUCAUCUCAAAAAGUUCCUCUAAACAGAGGCUUAACAACUUAAAAAAAAUUCAUCUUUUCUCAAAAUUGAGAUCUCAUCUUUGAAAAAGUAAAUUUUUUUUUUUUUAAGAACUCUUAUAUUAGAUCGUUAUCCGUUUACAAAGGCCAAAAAUCUGUUUUUUCAUUAGGGAAUGAAAAAUCUUUACAACUUGUGAUAUUAACCUUUAAUGAAUGCAUGUACCAAAUGCACUAAAUGCAAUGCAUGUAAUGCAAUCAAAUUAUUCACUUCCAAUUAUGGUAAAAGGUUCUUAGAAUCUCUUACCUUUUAUGCUUCAAUCAUAAAAAUUCUCAACAAUUGUCAUAUAACCAACUUAUCCUUGACAUAUGAUCAUUUUAUUUUCUUCAACAAUAUCCUUUCCUCUUUUUGCAACAUCAAUGUCUUGUCAUGCUUUUCUUGUCAUUUUCUACCUGCUUUUAUCAACUUUUAAAAAGUAAUGCUGAGAUCUUCCAUGUUAUUGGUUAGUUUUUCAUCAUUUUAAGUUCAAGACAAAUAAAAUGCAUCAUACAUUUCUUUUAUUCAUUUGUAAGAUGGGAUAGCAAAUGAGAUAAAGGAAUGGAUAUAUUAUCUUUAUUUCAAUGAGAAGAGGGAACACAUUUCAUCAAACAGAUAACAAAAUCAUAAAGUGUUUGGAUGGGAACAAAAGCAUCUAAAUAAUGAUUAUAAGAUAAUCAUGAACAAGUUAUUCCUAGAUUCUUUUUCUAAAACUCAACUAGAUGACAUCCUUGAUCUUUCAAAACUCAUCAAACAUCAUUUGCCCUUGUAUUUUAAGGUCAUCUCAUGAUGCUACCUCUCUUUUAUAUCUAAGCCACCUUUUCAUGUUUGCAACUAAGAUAUAUCUUUUUUUUUCUUUUUCUCUUUUUUUUUGUUUUCAAGUAAAGUAUUUUUUUACAACAUCUGAGUUUAUCGAAUUAGGCAAAUCAUUUUCGUCCAUUUUUGCCUAAAUCAAUGCUCCACUAGAAAAAAGCUUUUUUCACCACAAAUGAACCUUUUCAAUUUAGUGUGCAUUUCCCUCAUUGUCAUAUUGAUUUGGAAACAUCCUUUUUAGCACUAAAUCCCCUUCUCGAAAGUGAUGAAGGUGAAUUUUCUUAUCAUGUGCUCUCAUCAUCCUCUUCUGAUACAGUUGGCCAUGGUAAAGUGCUAUAAGUCUUUUCUCUUUAAUGAGGUUUAACUGUUCGUACUGAUUUUAAACCCAUUUACUUCAUCUAGCUCUACUUCCAUUAAAAUUCUCAAUGAGAAAAUUUUCACUUCAACUGGCAAUACAGCUUUCAUUCCAUAGACCAACAAAAAUGGAAUGGCCCCAAUAGAGGUUUUGAUUAAUGUUAUGUAAGCAUGCAAAGCAAAAAGUAAUUUCUUAUGCCAAUCUUUGUAAGUAUCAGUCAUAUUUUCUAGGAUACUCUUAAUAUUUUUAUUUGCAGCUUUUACUACUCCAUUCAUCUUCAAACAAUAUGGUGCUGAAUUAUGAUGAUGAAUCUUGAACUGAGUGCACACUUCUUUCAUCACUUUUCUAUUCAAGUUUUUGGUAUUAUCAGAAAUAAUCCUCUUUAAAAGCCUAUAUCUGCACAUUGUCUCCUUCUUUAUGAACUUGUAUACCACAAUUGGGUCAUGCUAGCAUACAAUGUAGCUUUUACCCAUUUUGUGAAAUAAUCAAUUAUCAUAAAAUAACUUUAUCCCUAUUUAAAGCUUUCGAGGUCAUAGGACCAAUGACAUCUAUGCCCUACAUAGAAAAUAGCCAUAGAGGUGCUAAAACAUGCAAAGCUAAUGAAGGAGCAUAAAUCUUGUCAACAUAAAUCUAACACUUAUGACAUCUUUUGGUAUAAUCAAUACAAUCACAAUAUAGCCAACCCUCAUAAUUUGUCUAGCCAUUAUGUGACAAUUCACAUGUGCCCUCACAAACCCCAUCAUGUAUUUUUUCAGUAAUUUUUUUUUACUUCAAUUGCAUCUACACAUCUUAGAAGUACCUAAUCUCGACUUCUUUUGUAAAAAACAUCUCCAUCAAGAAAGAAACUCAUAGCCAACCUUUUGAUGAUCCUUUUAUCAUUUUCUAUUGCAUGCUCCAAGUAUUGUUGACUUUUGAUAUAUUAAAGAAUAUUAUGAUACCAUAGCUUCCCAUCCACUUCUUUUUUGAUACCUGAGCAAUGUGUUGGUACAUCUUUCACGUCUAACUUGAUGGGUUGGAUCUUAGUAUUUGCAUCUAUUUUGAUCAUUACAGCCUAAGUAGAUAGUGCAUCAACAAUCUGGUUCUCCUCUUUAAGCAAAUGCUCGAAUUAAACUUCUUUAAAUUACUUGACUAACUCAAGAUGUAUUUAUGGUAUCAGAUCAAUUUUGAAUCUCUUAUUUCUUAUUCACCUCGUAACUAAUAGAUGACUAGUGCUGAAUCUCCAAACACAUCCAACUCUUUGAUUUUUUUUCAAUUGCUGCUUGCAAACCCAUAACACAAGCCUCGUAUUUAGCCAUAUUAUUUGUGCAGUUGAAAUUCAAUCUAGCUGUGAUGGGAUAAUAGUGUUCAUUGGAGAUGUUAAAAUUGCUCCAAUACCAUGACCCAAAGCAUUAAUAGCUCCAUUAAAAUACAUCCUCCAAGACUUCUUGACAAGUUCAUUUUCUUCAAUGACUAUCACAUAUUCAUCAGAAAAAUCAAGCUUUAUUGGUUCAUAAUCUUCAGCCACACGAUCAGUAAAGAACUCGACUAUUGUACUCCUUUUAAUAACCUUUUGAGUUAUAUAGACAAUAUCAUACUCUGAAAGCAUAACUUGCUAUCAUGCUAUUCUCCUAUUAAUGAAGGCUUUUUAAAGAUAUACUUGAUAGGAUCUAACUUUGCUAUAAGCUAUAUAGUGUGAUAAAGUAUAUAUUGCUUGAGCCUUUGAGCUAUCCAAGCUAGUGUAUAACAUAGCUUCUCUAAUGGCAAAUACUUAGACUCAUAAUCAGUGAACAUUUUGCUCAAGUAGUAGAUUGCUCAUUCUUUCUUGUUGGUUUCAUCUAUUUGCCUCAAUACACAUCCUAUUGAAUUUUCAUGCAUGGUUAAGUAUAAAAUCAAAGGUUUUUCUAAAACUAAUGGCACUAACACGAGUGGAUUUGACAAGUAUUCCUUGACUUUGUCAAAAGCUUUUUGGCAUUCAUCAUUCCAUUCUCUUGGAUCAUGUUUUCUAAGAAGCUUGAAAAUGAGAUCACUUGUCGAUGAGUUGAAAGAUGAAACAAGCAAUAUAGUUCAAUCUUCCCAUAAAGCCUCACAUUUCUUUUAAGUUAAGAGGAGGGGAUAAGUUUUGAAUAGCAUAUAUUUUACUUGAUCCACUUGUAUUCCCCUUUCACUAACUACAAAGCCCAACAAUUUUUUUGAUUUAGCAUCGAAUGUAGAUUUUACAAGAUUUAACUUUAGUUGGAAUCUCCUCAAUCUAUCAAACAACUUUUUGAGAUUGACUACAUGAUCUUCUCCUUUAUGAAAUUUUGCAAUCAUAUCAUCCACAUACACUUCUAUCACUUUAUGCAUCAUGUCAUAAAAGAGAGUCACCAUCACUUUUUGAUAAGUAGCACUAAUAUUUUUCAAUCCAAAAGGCAUGACUUUGUAACAGAAUGUCCCUCACAUGGUCAUAAAUGUUGUUUUCCCCAUAUCCUCUUGAACCAGCUUAAUCUGAUUGUAGCUUGAGAAGCCAUCCAUAAAGGAAAAUAUAGAAUGCCCAACAGUGUUAUCCACUAGGGUAUCGAUAUAGGGUAGAGAAAAUUAUCCUUAGGACUUGCCCUAUUUAGAUCAUGAUAAUCGACACACAUUCUCACCUUUUCAUACUUCUUGGGAACAGGCACUAUAUCAGCUACCCAUUCAGGAUAUUUUUUUACCUCUAAAAAUCUAGCAUCAUAGUGCUUUUUCACUUUUUUUUUAAUCUUCAGUAGUAUCUCUGGCUUCAUGCAUCUUAGCUUUUGCUAUAUUGGCUUACAAUCUAAUUUCAAAGGCAAUUUGUGCUAUACAAUAUCAGUACUGAAUCCUAGCAUAUCCUGGUAAGACCAUGUGAACACAUCUACGUAUUCUCAGAGUAGUUCUUCUAGCCUUUGCUUAUCAGUUGGUGAAAAAGACAUACCAAUUUUAACCUCUCUUCUAUUUUAUCAUCCCCUAAAUUCACUAAUUCGAUAAUUUUUUGGUAAGGCUCAAUUGGCUUAUCUUCAUGUUCUAUUAAUUUCAACAAAUCAAGAGGCAAUGUGUAAUUAUCUUAUUUUUUUUCAUUAUCAAGUUCAUCAACAUGAAUUGUGCUUUCAAAAUCGAAUUUGAGAUUAUUACCAUGGUUAUUUUCAUGUUCAUUAUUUGAGACACUGCAAGGGGUGAAUGAAGAGAAUAUUGGCAUACAAAAGUGGAAUGGCAAGAAAAUGAUUAAGGUAGAAUGAAAAGAGAAAUGGAUCAAAUAAAUGAAAAUAAAAACAAAUAAAAAAAUGCAAAUGCAUCUUCUAAGUCUUUUAUUAAAACGACAAACAUAAAUACACCACAAAAGAUCUCAUAAUGCUCAUAGAGAGCAAUUAGGGAUUUAAAGUUUCAUAGUAAAUUACUUUUUAAAAGUUUUAAAGAUAAUAGGCAACUCCAUGACUUUCCAAUUAUCUAGUUCAAAAUUUGAAGGGCAAAGAUGCACAAAUAGCUCUUCAUCCUAACUCUUCUUUUUUUCCCCAUCUACCAUCUAAAUGGCCAGCUUAGUAAAAGUUUCAAUCAACUCCACAUUUGGGGUUUCAACUGAAUCUAGGUAAAUACAACCUCCUAAAUGAAAAGAAUCAUAGAGAUAAAGAAUGAUCAUCGACUUCGACUUUGGCUCAUAUCCCCCAAGAUUAGCCAUUGUUUUUUCUUUUUUCUCAUUCAUGAUUUUCAUUGUGUUUUUUUUUUUGUCAGUUUAUAACCCAAGUUAAGUCUAUCUUUCUUAUCAUGUAUUGUUGGAGGCUUCGUGAUUUCUUGCAGAUUCUUCCUAAGUUUGGCUCCAAGUUGCCAUUCCAUCUUGAUAAACUACUUAACAAUUAUUUUAGUAGUCAUAGAUAGGUGCGAUAAAUAUAAUUUAGAUCUUUUAGCUACAUAUGUUGUAUUGGCAAUCUCUAAAUAUCUAUAAAAGUACUUUGAGGCUCCAUCUACUGCUUCUACAUAAAGAGUAUUUACUGAUUAGGUUAUCAAUAAAUCUUUUUUUUGCCACACAUGUAAGCUUUUCAUCAAUAAUGAAUAUGACUUUUAAUGCAAUGAAGAUGGAACAACACCUGCCAUAUGAAUCCAUAGCCUACCCAACAAGUAACUGUAUGAGGGAGAGAUAUCCAUAACUUAGAAUUUCAUAUUGAAAAUGCAAAGGCCAAUUUGCAGCAACAUUUUUAUAUCUCUUAACACCUCUCUUCGAGUCCUAUCAAAGGCUAAAAUUACUAUAUAACUAGGUUUAUGUAAGAUCCAUCAACAAGUAAUUUUGUCAAAGUAGUCAUGGGCAUAACAUUGAUUGAUGUGCCAUUGUUGAUCAAAACCUUAGCCAUUAUGUGACUCUUGCAUUUUACAGUAAUGUAGAGAGCUUGGUACUUUUUUGACCUUCAAGAGGAAUCUCCUCAUCACUGAAAGAGAUGUAGUUUGAAAUUGCUAGAUUACCAACAAGCUAUUCCAUAUACUCAAUAGAUACAUUAUAGGACACAUAUACUUGAUUGAACAUCUUCAAUAGAGAGUUAAAGUGCGACUUUGAGCUUAGUAACAAUGACAAUAGCAAAAUUCUAACUAGCAACUUGUUCAACUAUUCUACCAUGCUAUACUCACUAUGUUUUAUUAGUUUUAAAAAUUCACAAGCUUCAUUUUCAAAGAUUGGCUUCUGACAAUCUUUAUCAGGAUUGUCACAAGAUUACUUUUAUUUCCCUUUUCUUCCCAACCUUUGCUUUUUCUUUCCUAGCUUUUUCUAACGUUUCUAGGGUAUAACAUCACCCAUUCUAGGUCAUACCUCCUAUACCUGUUAUGUUUGCAGCAUCUAGAUUGACUACAAUGUCAUAAUUGUACUUUUAUGGUACUACUUUGUCAUUUUGGUAUGAAAAAAGGCCAAAAAUUUUAAUUGUCACUACUGGUCGAGAGAUGAGCUUUUUGGCUUUGAGAUUGGCUUCUCAUCAUAAUAGAUAGUUAUUGAUAUACAUAUAAACUUAUUCUUCAAAUCAAUAGUAAACACUUCAACUUUUUUUUCUUCGUAAAACCUAUAUCUAUCAACUUCUGCACCUCUUGACAAAACUGGUCAAAAUUCUCGAAAGAAUGCCCCAAAGCACCUUUGUGAUAGUCAUAGCUCUUGGUUGAGUUAAUCACUCUAGAGCAAUUUUAAGACUUUAUUGACUUCAACAUAUCAGCCUUAACUAAAGCUUUAAACACCUUAGUCAUCAAAGUUUUAACUUCAUCUAUCCCCUUAUUCAUGUAACUCGUUUGUCCAUUAAUCAAAGCAUUUAUUGAUGGUCUAGUAUGGUUCGAUAGAGGGUUCUAAUUAACAUUUGGAGUCCCCGUUGGCUGGUAUCAAAGUUUAACACCGUUUCAUUGAUUAACGCUUGCACUUUAUGCUUCAAAGUAGUGCAAUUUUUUAUAGAAUGGCUUGGGUUUCCCUAAUGAUAAUCACAAAGCACAUUGGGAUCAUACCAUUUGAAAAAUGGAGGUUUCAAAGGUUUAACAAUAACAAAGGCUAGUAAAUGUUUUUCAAUAAGUUGAGGGUACAAAUUUGUAUAUGUCAUGGGAUAGGGUUGAAAGUGAUUUUUUUCUUAGGUAUUUCUUGGGGCUCUCAAACCACUACUUGGAUUGGGUCUCCAUUCUGGUUUAGUAGUAUAGCAAGACGAUUGUGAAAAUAGAUGGGUGUUUGAAAGAUGGCUAAAAGUGGGGGAGAUAAGUUGGUUGUUGUAGCAACUGAAACAAUUGAUACGGAUGAGGGAUGGAUGUAACAUUGUUAAUGGAGGGUAAUGGAUUUGGUACACUAGUGUGGGGUAUGGCAUGAAACUUCUGAACUAUUGCCCCACAUAGUUCACUAUUUAGACUUCAUUUUCUUUCUUCUUGAGAGCUCCACAUUUUUUGCUUCGCUUGUCUCUUUUACAUUGAGCUUGCUAUUUUUUAUGACGUUUUCAAUAAUCUCACUUGAUAUCACCAUAUUUGCAAAGUUCUUAGUUGCAUUGCCUAUUAGUCUUUUAUAAUAAGGUGCUUUCCAGGUGUUUACAAAUAGGAUAAUUGUCUCUUUCUCAGUGAAGGAAGGUUAUACUUGUACGACCACAUCUCUCCAUCUCUAUGCGUACUCUUUAAAGUUUUUUGUUGCCUUUUUUUUCAUGCUCUGUAGAGAUAGAUGAUUUCAUGCUAGAUCUAUAACAUGUCGAUAUUGUGUAAAGAAUGCUUUCAUGAGUUUUUGCCAGAAAUGAAUAUGAGUCCUGUCUAGUUGAACAUACCAGCUGGUUGCAAAUCCAUAAGGUUAUCUUGAAAUACAUGCAUCAAUAGCUUCUCAUGAGGAACAUGUGCCAUCAUCUUAUAAAAAUACAUGGUGACAUGAGUCAUUGGGUAUUUUGUACCAUCAUAUUUUUCAAAUUUAGGGACCUUAAAUUUAGGUGGAAUGACCACGUCUGGAACUAAACAAAGCUUGACUUCAUCUGUGGAGCCAUAAAAAUCAAUUCCCUUACAGCCCUAAGUCUUUCUUCUAAUAAUUUCAUCUUCUACUGGCACUAGUAUCUUUCACUUUCUUAAAUGUCUCAUCCCUAGCUUUUCUCUCUCUUUGGGAUCAUCCAAGUUACGAAUCAAGAUUGGCUCAAGUGGUUUUUCUACCAUGAUGAGAUUAGCAAAUUUUAAAACUAUCUUAGAAUAGGUAUAGAUGUCAUUCCUGGAUAAGGAUAGAAAUAUCCUCCAGGAGUAAGGAUUUGCACUCUAGCUCCUUGAUAAGGUUAGGUUAGUCGUGGAUCAAAUCUUAAGGGUACAGGAUCCACCAUGUCUGGCAUUUGCUCUUGAAAGCUGGAUUUUCUUCAUCACUUUUCCUUUGUCAAGAUUCUUGAGCAUGUCUAUUAUUUUACUAAGAUCCUCUUUUAGUUCCUUUUAAACCUUCUCAAUCCUCUCAAAUCAACUGGCCGUUCUUGUUCUAUGAUUCUUGUUUAAGCCCUAGUGUUAUAUGAAUGAUGAGUAGGUUGAGUCAAAAUUUUUAUGUACGAGCUAUUCUUGAACAUUUUUUAUCACAAAUUUUCAAAAAUUAGAAUGUCGUGUGUUGAAAAUUUUAUUUUUCACUUCUUUUUGUGAUUUUUAAAAAAUAUGGUAAUUAAAACAAAAACAAUGCACAUGAUACAUGAAUGCAAGUGAUAGAUAUUUGCUCUUGGACGAAUUUCAACACUAGAAAUUUUUAUUGAUUCCAUACAACUUUUGUUACAUGAGAUUUAUCAUCCUAGAAUUAUACUCAUAAAAGCAUUUGACUUGCUCAUAAUGAUCCUUGGCUUCAUCUAGAAAGUUCACUAGGCUAUCUAUAUUCUCCUACUAGAUUGACUUCUCUUCUUAAUGCAUCUACCUUUUAAACCAUCUCUCAUGCCUUUUUCACUGCCUUGCAAACUUGACUGGUCAGGUGCUAUAUUUACUGUUGCCUCUUAAGUUUUUGCUCUCCAUCUCAUGCAAACAACUCUUUCCAAAUCACAUGUGCAGAUCUAAUCUUUUUCCUUCUCUACCAUUCAUUUAUUAUUGCUAAAAUAUGGUUCUUAUGGUCUUGCAAUUGUAGCUCCAACCCUUAGAUCACCUAGUAAAGUGAUUUUUUUUCAUUUAGUAUUUCAAAGUGCUUUUUACUCUCUUUGGCAAGCAUAGCCUUCAACCUUUUCUUUUUGGCAUUCAACCAAUCUUGUUGAAACUAUAGAGUAUAAUCUUUCCCAAUUCUGACAUUCUUAAGAAAUUCUAGUGACCUCUUCUUGCUUUUCUUGAGCUUUGCCUUUUUAUUGGUUUAUUUCCUCUCAGAGCUUAUCCAUUUCAUGUUGCUAACUAAGAUAAGACUUGAUGACUUUUUCAGUCUUGAAUUGGACUUGUAAUCUCUUAUUUUCUUGGUAUAGAUCUUUCAAAUCAUUGUUGGCCACAUGCUGUUCUUUUAUGACCUUAUCCAAUCUAUUCCCUUGUACUUUUAUUUUGUAUUUCAAUUGUCCCAUCUUCUCACAAAAUUUCAAAUUUUCUCCUUUUAUUUCCUCUGUUUUAGCUUCUAAUUCUUUCCUGACAAGCUCAACUUCUGAUAAUUGCAUUUUUGUCAAAAUGUUAGCCGAUUGAUGUGAGUCAUCAUUAGGAAUGAGCACUAUGUCUUUGAGUCUUCUUUCCAAAUCUGGUAAUCAAAGUGAGUUUGUUGAUUAAAGGCCCUAAUCUCAUUCUUCACAUUUUCUUCCAUGCUUGGAUCAACCACCUGAUGUUCUUGGUGGAUUGGACUCCCCAUAUGUGAACUCUACUUGAACCAGGUCAUAAGUGACAAGAACAAACUGCUUUACACUGAAUUACCUCAAUACCGUCAAUGAAGCAUAACUUACCACACCCCAUAGUCCUAACAGUGGUAUCCAUGAUUCAUUUCCUUCUUGAUACAACAUGGGCACAUAGGGCAUCCACGGUGCUAUCCAUUUUAUUUCAUCCCCAAUAAGGCUUCGUAAGAAAAGAACCCAUUCUUCUUUAGUCUUUAAUGUCAACCAUUAGCUUUUAUAGAAUUCUUUGAUUGGUGCCUUGUUUUAAAGAUAUGGCUUUGAGAAUGCAUUCUUUCCACACUUGAAAUGACUUUUAAUCCAUAUAUGUAAUAGUAGUGCAAACCCUAUGAAUCAUCCUUUUUCAUUCUGUCGACAAAAAUUCAAUGACCUGAUGGUUUCAACUAGGACCACUAGUGCAGGAUUAAUUGCUUGGGUUUCAAUUUGCUCAAAAAGUCCACCACCAUUAUCUCAAUGUAGCCCAAGAUCUUUGGAAAGAUCACCAUGCCAUACAAUGCUAAAGCAAACACAGCCAUGCCUUAAUCAUCAUCUAAAUGCUCUUAAAUAAAAUUAUGGAAAAAGUUUCAAUGAAUACCGAGAUGUUCACCUUUAGGCUUUAUAAAAAAAUCUAUUGUUUCUACUUUAACCUCCAUAAGCUUGGCCAACUUGUUAUCAUAACUUCAUUUCAGCUUUCGGGUAAACACUUUUAUCCAGACACUGUAGUUCUAUCCCAAGCAAAAUUGAGUAUUCCUUAAUGGUUAGUGUAAACAUCAAAUUUUAUUCAAGACUUUUUUUCAACAUGAUUGACAUAGGGCUCAUUUACAAACAUGGGCCAAGGCCAUUUAGGAGGAUCAUUUAUGACCCAUAAAGAGCUCACAAAUUCACCUAUUUAGAAACCUAAAGUCAACUUGGAUCAAAUCCGAUCAAACAAAGUCAAAAUUGCACAAAACUUGAUCAAAAUGUAUGAGAGCCUAAAUCAAUUCUAAAAAUUCAAAAUCUAAUUGAAAUCAACAUGGUUUUAAAAAUGAAUUUGAGAUUUUUUUCAAAACACUCAAAUUUUCAUAGUGCCCCAAAAAGGUAAAAUUACCAAAAUAUCCUUAUAGAUGUAAUUUCAUAAUUUGACCUUUUCCAGCUUGAAUUUUUUUGAAACUUCUCAAAUCUUAAUUUUAUAAUAUUUCAUAAAUUUUGGUGCAUUUAAAAUCACGAUGGUACCUCAAAAAGGAUGAAAUUACCAAAAUAUCCUUAUUAGGGUAUUUUCAUAAUUUUACUUUUUUGAACUCGGAUUUUUUUUUAAACUCUUCAAAUUUUAAUUUUAUAAUAUUUCAUGAUUUUUGGUGAGUUCAAAGCCACAAUAGUACUUGAAAAGCGUGAUAUUACCGAAAUGCCCUUAUAGGGUAUUUUCGUAAUUUGGCUUUAUCGAGCUUGGAAUUUCACAAAAACUUUCAAAUCUUAAUUCCAUAAUAUUUUAUGAUUUUUAGUGCUUGAAAAUCCAAAAAAUGACCAUGGAAACAUUGAUUUCUAAGAAAAUGAUCAUAAAUACCAAAAAUUUGUACUAUGGAUGAAAUGGUCUAUUUCAUAGGUUUGGGAGUAUAAAAAUUCAACAUUUGUAGUGUUCGAUGUCGGCCAUUGGAUCUUUUGCUAUCUCUUGAUCCAAAGGCCAAAGGUGGCUCUUUCAAAAAAUAGAAAAGGAGAAACUUUGGCCCUUUGAUAAGUUUCAUCUAAAGGCCCUCAUUGAUCAAGAUUAGGAUCUUAAUCUUAGAGGCUUGGCCGAUUAUAUAUAGGCUAGAGGGAAAUAAUUAGAACGGGGGGAUGGAAAAAGAGGCAUCUAAAAAAAAAGAGAGGAAACAUCUGAAAAAAAUAAAAAAAAAAGAGAGCACAAAAAAAAGAAAAGUUGUAAACAAAAAAAUUCAAGAGGUGAGACAGCCCAUACCAAUGUUUAGUUUUUCCAAUUAUAUCAUGUGUUUUACACUAUUUUUGCACCUGUUAUGAUCUUUUUUGCAAGUGUUUUUAUUUAUUCCUUUCAUGCCUCAUGUUUGGUGUAUUUAUUGAUAAAAUUUCAAGCCUUAUUUAUUCUAUGUUUUUGUUUCAUUUUUUUUCAAACUGGUUGGAACAUCAUUGUCUAUUCUAGUGUUGUCGAAUAACUGCUACUUCUCUUUCUAGUAGUAACUAUUCGGUCCAUGCCAUAAAUCCUCUAACCUUUCUUUUCCAUCAUUCAUAUCUAGCCUAUAACUAGCUUAAGCUAAGACAAAUAAAGAUAAGGAAAUUAGCUUGGAGUAGCCAAACUGUGCUACCUAAUUUUCCAUAGGCAAUCAUAGGUUGGAUUAUUUUUUUUAUAUAAAUAUAGCCCUUCAUUUGACUGGGAAGAAUGCUUCAAUAGAAAAUGAUUUCAAAGUUAAGGAGAUAAGCCAUUAGAAAGGGAAGAAAGGUUUAAAAGUUUUAGUUUCCUUUCACUUUUAAUCCCUAGUUUCAUGUAGUGGGGUCUUAUACACAUUAAAGCUUUAAGUUUUUUUUAUCUUCUGGUCUUUUUCUUUACAUGGGGUCUUGCCUUUAGUCCAUUCUUGUAUUUGACUAUAUGAAAAAUAAAAAGUUGAAAUGGUUAACAUAUAGAGCAAGCUUCACGUGAAUGUUCCCUCUUUAUUUUUGUUUUGCUUGACUUUCUUUGUAUGACUUUGCUUACUCAACCAAUGCAUGAACAAUAAAUUCUAGAUGUAGGAAAACACAAGGAAUGAAAGCUGAAAAUAGGCCAUAAGUAGUGCAUGCUUCACGUGAACUAGGUUGUCCCAUCUCCAAGUUUGUUUUGCUUGGUUAUUUAUAUUUUUAUCUACUUCAUCAGUGCAUGAAUCAGUUUUGGAUGAGGGAAAAUAUUACAGUUACCACAUAGUCCCAUCAUUAUCUUGAUGCUUAGCUCUCUUAUGGUUCUUUUUGGUAUGAUGGUUGUAAGGGUGGGUCAAUCUUUAGCAUAAUGGUUAUUAGAUGUUCUAAAGAAUAUAAUAAAAAAAUGUUUUGAUUAAAGGAUUAGAACCUUUAAGCAGUAAUAUUCAUUUUAGCAUGAUAAUCAUGUUUAUUUUUGGAUUAUGCCAAGGUUUUGAAUGUCGAGUUCCUUUGUGCAUUUAUUAGCUUUUAAACUGAUUUGUUUAUGCUUUUUGAAUACAUUUUAUGUAUCUUAAUUGCUAUUUACAUUUUAAAGAUUUUUACUAAUACUAAUAAUUUUGUGCUAGAAAGUAUAAUUAGUUAUAUAAAGAAUUUUAAUUAAUUUUUGGAAUAACUAUAAAAAAUAAACUUGCUCCAAAAGUCUAUCCAAAAGUCUGCUAGAUAUUAGAGACUUUUAGAGAGGUUCAUAAAUUCUUAAAAUUUGAAUCCAAAUCUACCUAUUCACAACCUCAAACUCUUUUCAAAAUUUGUAUAAAAGCCUUUGAUGGAGUAAUUUGUUCCCAAAUGCCACAUAGAUGUUGGGGUAUUUAGGAAAUUUUAUUUCAUUAAGAAUUUUCAUACAUUUCUGCAACUUAAACAAAUUUUAUUUUUUAUGUAUCUAGUUGUAAUUAUACCCACACAAUUUAUUUAUGAUUGUUUAAAUUUAAUUGCAAGCUUAAUCUUAUGCAUUGUUAAUUUCUUCAUUGUUCGAAUUCCUAAUGCUUGUUUAAAUUUAAUCUUUCAUACCUAAAUCUAUGUUUGAUAUAUUUUAUUCAUUUAAAAAAUAUAUAAAAAAAUGAGCUUGCUCCAAAAGUCUGCUUAGAUAUUAGAGACUUUUAAAGAGGCUCGUAAAUUCUUAAAUUUUAAACCCAGACUUACCUAAAAACUCAAACUCAUUUUAAAUUUAUAAGAAUUUGUAUGAAAACCUUUUGUAAAGUAAUUUGCCCCCGAAUACUGCCUAGACGUUGGGGUAUUUAGGAAAUUUUAUUUCAUUAAGGAUUUUCAUACAUUUCCAUGGCUUAAAAAAAAUAAAUUUAUUUUGCUAAAAUUUUGGUUAUGAAAAUACCUAUUAACUAAUAAUAAUUGGAUGAGAUUUUUAAAUAUUCACAUCCAAACUCUGCCUAGAUGUUGAAGAGUUUAGGUAAUUUCUUUAUAUUUGAAAUCUUGGUUUUUAAAUUCACACUUGAUCAUCAUUUUGCAUAUGUUUUGCUUUAAAUUAAUGUCUUUAUCUACGAUGCAUACAUAUAUGUUUGCUUUAGUUAUGGUUGUUAACAUUCCAUUUUUUUUACCAUAUAAAAAAUUUUCUUAAAAUUUUGCUUUUAUAAUGGGGAAUUCAAGGGUAUUUCUUUAAUUUGAAGAUUUUCUCAAUAUUCAUCAAUAAAAGAUUUUUAAAAAAAACUAAUUUUUAUUUCUUAUAAAAAAAGGAAUUAUAAUUAAAUUUCAUAUUGAAAACCAUUUUUAUCUAAAAUUACAAAUAACGCAUAAUUAAUUGGUACCAAUUUUAUUAGCAUUGUAGGGGUGCUAAUCAUUUCCUACAUGUAAUCGUUCCUGAACUUGAUCUUAUUUUUGUAGACCAAAAUCAUCUUUUUAAGGAAGUUUUCAACCCGAUUUUUUGUUUUAUUAAAAAGAUAAAAUUUUUGGAUGACCAAUCACACCCUUAAAAAAUGAUUAGUGGUGACUCCUCGUGUUUUUCACGGUAACUUUUAAAUUGUUACAUCUAGCAAUUAAGUCUUCAGACUGAUACAUUACAAUAGUUUGGUAACUCUGCUAGGGACUUUUGAGAGUCAGGCCAAAAGUUUUAAUUAUAUGCUAUCAAUAAUUGUUGGAUUUAAUUGAUUUUAUUUGAUAUUUAAUUUAAUUUCUUUUAUUUUAAUUUUUCAAAAUAAAUAUAUAUACAUAUAUAUAUACAUAAGUUAAUAAAUAAAAUAAAUUGCAUAUUAGUUAUUUUGUUUUGAUUUUGUGCUUAUGAUUUAUUUAUGAUAUUGAUUUAUUUAUGAUAUUUUGAUUAAUAUGUCUUUUUGCACACACUCUGCAUAUGCACUUAUAUGUAUGCACUCUAGACCCAGACUCUAUCCUUUUAGAAGAAAGUGAAGUAGUUACACUCUCUUGAGGUGAUAACUUCUACAUUUACUAGCGAAACACUUCCAUUCAAAUUGAACCCUUUCCAUUAGUAGCUUGUAAUGGGUAAGGAUCGGGGAGCCUUACUAGUCUAUAAUAGAUAAUGAUGUAAGAAAAUAGUCUAGGAACCUUUAGAUAUGUGAAUCCUAACCCAGCAUAUCAUGAACCCUAAAGAUCCAACCUAGGAUAGAGCCGUGCCAUCCUUCUCGAGAAAAUUAUCAAAACUUAGGACACUAUAUACAUUUUAUUGUUUUGUUGUAGGGUUGUUAUAUUGUUUGUUUGUUUUGAAUUAUUGAAUCAUUUUAUUUUCUUUGAUUUUGUUGCUUGCAUCAUAUAGGCAUUAUAUGGUAGUCAUCAAUAAAAAAGGAGGAAAAAAAAAGAAUUUUAAAUUUGAAUCUUUCAUUUUUUUCGUUUGAUUUUUUACAUAUAUUUUUAACAUGUCAAAAAAAAAAAGAAAUAAUGAGAUAAUAUAUACACCCCAUCCUAUACAUCCUCAUAGAUAGUACAUGCACCCUAUCUAAUACACAUUAUACUAAGAUAAUACAUGCAUUGCAUCCUAUUCUCAUCAGUAAAUAGUACAUGCAUUUCAUUUCAUGCACAUGCCUCAUAUGCGUAUCUUAAUAGGUAGUGCACACACUUAAUUUCAUUCCAUAUUUUAAGGUAGUGUCAGUUUCAUUUGGUUGAUAUAACACAAGUAUUGCAUUUCAUGUAGAAAUAUCACAUGCAUUUGAUAGUCUAGCACAAUUUAUCCUUUGUCAUAGGAUUGUUCUUAAUGUAUAAACUUGAAACUUUUGGGAAUGAAGGAAAACUUUUAAAUUUUCUAUGAAUGGACGUCUUUUAUUUACAUUGUGUGCCUAAAAGAGUUUGUGAGAAAGAAUUAUGGUUGUAAAUAAUAUUUUCACCAUACUUUUAAGGUGGAAGAAAUGUCUUUAAAUAACCCGACUUGAAUAUAAUAGGGAAUUUGAGCUUAUCCUCAAUAAUAAUAAAUUUUGACUUGUAUAUCAUACAUCAUUUGUUUGAAUUCAUUAUUUUUCAUACUAGCUAAGGACAAAGAAUGAUGAUUGUGUAAAUAUUUUUGUUAAACCUUUAAAGCAAAAAAAAAUUAUUCGUAAUAAAGUCCCAUAUAAAUAGUUUUCAAUAUCAAAAAAUAAAAAAUAGGUCUUUUCAAAAGAAAAUAUACAAUUUUUCUAGUGAGAAUCUCAAAGUAAUUAGUGAUUACUAUAAAAAAAAAUCCUCAUCCAAUACCACUAAACUUUUCCUUGACCACUCUUAUGUUGCAAUAUUUUUGAAUAAUUUUACUCACCAAUCAUAAUUCUUUAAGCGAUAUGAAUUUUCACUUGUGAACCUUGUUGUCAUUUGAUAUAUUGAAACCAUAGUCUUUUCUUGGGCAAUGAACAAAAGAAAAGUCAUUUUGAAUUUUGAAAACCAAGCAAGAUACUUUUUCAAAUUUUUAAUUGGUAAUUCAAUGUGUAUCAAAUCUUGCCAAUAUGAUUCAAAAAAUGCCUGAACUUUCUUUCUCAAGUAACCAUUAUUUCAUAUCUUAAGGUACAUUAACUAAAAGAAACAAACUUCUUUCUUGCCUAAGACAAUUUGUUCCAUGCUUUAUUACCUUUUUCCUCAUUUUACCAAAAUGAUAGACAAUUUGGAACCAAAAUGAGUCUUUUUGUGAAUUGUGCAACCAAAUUUAGGACAUCCCAUAUAACCUCAUAAAAACCUUGAGUAGAAAGACAAGAUGGGACAUCUAUCUAUUUCUUCAAAUACAUUGCUCUUUUAAUCAAGUGAUCAUGUUUGAAAUGAUGAACAGCCAUCUUUCUCUAUCUUUCACUUAUAAAAAAAUUAUCCACUUAUUACCUUUUUGAGCUUAUUAAAUUUAUUGUUCUCAAAAUGAACCCUAGUCAAAGAUCACUUUGGAGGGCACAAUGAGGAUAUCUUCAAAAGUCCAACUUUAAGGAAAGUGUCUGAUAUUGAGAAUAUCUAAUAAGCACUUUGAAAAUAAGGGUUUGAAGUAAAAAAAAAAAAGUGAAUGACAUUUUAGGAAAAUAGAAUUCAAAAAGUUUAUUGCUAAAAUAAAGUCAAAUGUCACAAAAAAAAAAAGAGAUAGAGACAAAAAAAAAAGAAUGAAAAGAAAAAUGGUUAUGACAUCAUGCAUUUAGGAAAUUUAAACAAAUCUUGACAAAUUCAAAGCUUUGGAAAAGGGACGAAAAAGCCUAAAAUAAAAAAAUAACAAACAAAAAAAACUGUUGAAAUGAAAAUAUUUUUUUGAGAUCAUUUUUCUAAAGAGAACUACUCUUGAAUUUAAAUUUUAAUACCUGAAAUGAUAAAUGACCGUCUUUCAUUAUCCUUUCACAAAUAUAUAAAUUUAUCCAUUGUUACCCAUUUGAGCCUGAUUGAAUUUUUUCAAAAUAAACCCUAAUUUACCCUUCACACUAGGUGACAAAAAAGAAACACAUUUAAGGUUUAAGAAUGGGGAUGUUCGAAUGGAAUCUCAUGUGAUAAGGGAAAAAGCCCAAUAUAAAAGUUCACAAAAGUUCUAAAUUCAUUCAAUGAAAGAAUGCAAAAUAUAUAUAUGAUAGAAAAAAGGAAAAAAAAAGAAGAAAUGAAUGGGUAAAAGGCAAAAAAAGGAAUAGAGCUCAAAGUGCUUCUUUUGAAUGGAAAAAUGAUCCUUUGUUUUUAAUACCCUUAAAUACUUUUUUUUAGGCCCUUAUAUCCUUUUCUUUGACAACCAUGAACCUUAACCUACGUUAUAACCUUUAAAAAGUCUAUAUUGGAUCAAGUAUGAAGGCUUAAAAUUGAAGAGUUUCUCUUAGAAAAAUGAUCAUGAAUCUUUUGAGUUCCCAUUUAUUACACAAUUUCUUGCUUGGACUGUUAACCCCAUUUGAAAAAUUAUUUUCCUUUUUUGGAUUAGUUUUGAAUUUUUUAAAUGCAUGGUGUGUUAAUCGAAAAAGAAAAAGUAAAAAAAAAAGAAGAGUAAAGAAAGAUAGAUACAUGGCUUUUCAUUUAAAGAAUUCUUCGAUUGAUGCCUUGUUUCAAAGAUACAGCUAUGAGAAUGCAUUCUUUCCACACUUGAAUUGACUUUUAAUCCACACAUGUAACGGUAGUGUACACCCUAUAAAUCAUCUUUUUUUAUUCUAUCGAUAGAAAUUCAAUGACCUAAUGGUUUCAACUAAGACUACUGGCACAGGAUUAAUUACUUGGGUUUUACUUUGCUCAAAAAAGUUUGCCACCAUUAUCUCGAUAUAGCUUAAGAUCUUUUGGAAGAUCACCAUGCCAUACAAUGCCAAAGUAAACAUAACCAUGCCUUGAUCAUCAUCUAGAUGCUCUUAAACAAAAUUACAGAUGAAGUUUCAAUGAAUAUUGAGAUGUUCACUUUUAGGCUUUAGAAAGAAUCUAUGGUUUCCACUUUAACCCCCAUAAGCUUGGCCAACUUUUUGUGAUAACCUGAUUUCAACUUUCUAGUAAACACUUUUAUCCAGACCUUAUAGUUUUAUCCCAAGCAAAAUCUAGUAUUCUCCAAUGGUUAGCACUAAAUUUUCCUAAUUAAAAAUGAAGCAUCAUAAUGGGGGUUCCAAAACUGUAUAUUUGUCUGGACCAACUAUUCCUUGAUUAAAACCAAAAUGAAGGGAUGUAAUCUACCCAUACUUCUUGUAAAAGCUUUCUUUUCUUUCUUCACUUAACUGAUCCUAGAUGACAGCUAAGUCUUCUAAAUUGCUCUAUGUAAGAUCCAAAUGCAUCUUUUUGAGUAACUCAUACACAUAACUAGUAGGCAAACAAUCUCUAUUCUGUUACUAGGCUUCCUUUAACCAAACAUGUACUUCAUUAUAUGAUUCACAUGGGAUAUUGAUGAAGAAUGAGCAAAUCUGUAGUUUUAUAGGAUCCUUGAAGAACUUCUCAGGAGAAAGAUAUCCUUGAGCAAAUAUCUCAAUGCAGAACUAUAUGAUAUGUUUUAAAUUUCAAAUUUUCUUAAAAGAAAAAUGUCAUAGGAAUCCUAGAUUUUUUUAGCUUUAAAUUUCAAAUUUUCAAUCGAUCUGGUAGACUUUAGUGGCUGAAAUCCACAUUGCCAAGUUAAACAAAGGUGUUAGGCGACUGUGACGAUGGUGUUUUUGGUGUAUUUAAUGCACAAUGACUUUUGGUCAAAAUGACCUAAAAAGGGAAAAAAAGAAAAAUAAUAACAAUAAUGAUAAUAAAUAAGAAAAAUUGGACGUUUAUAGGCCAUGGCAUGGAGAAGCUUAGCCAAACCUCCUAAGAUUACAUCAAUGGUGGAUUUUGUUAUGGCUUGAUCUCUAUUGCUUCAAAACACAACUAUUGAUUAGUUGGUUGAUUUUUGGAUCAAGCUUGGUGUUAAGGAGGCAAACAUCUUUGGAGGAAGCUAUUUUCUCUUGAAAAAUAUUACUUAAACCAAAACAAUAAGGAAACAUGGCAAGAAAAUUCAUGGAAAUGAUCAUAGAAAUGUAUGGAGGAUAGGGUAGAAAUAUACCUCCCAAAAGCUUCCUAAAAUCUUUUUUUUCCCUCCCUUUACUUCUCUUUUUCAUGCUACUUCUUUGGCUACCUCCCCUUUUUUUCUUAGCCUAAAAUGAUGAAUAUAAAGGCUAUGCAAAUGCAUGAUAGCCUUUGAUAAAAAAUACAUCCAAAGGCCACUAGCUCUCCUCCAAGUUUCCAAACAAUCACCUUUCACCUUUAGAUCAAGGUCUUUGAAAGAUUAAUGGUUCAUGAUGAAUCCAGCACAAAAUGAGGUUUAUGGUAUAGCUAGAAUAACGUAAAAGUUCAUUUUACCCUUUUUUUUUAAAAUUUUCUCCUUUUUAUGAGAUUUUCUUGAAAAGACAUGAUCCUUUCUUUAUUUUUGUGAUUUCAAUGUGCCAAAAAGUCAUCAAAUAAUAUGAAAACAUUAUCUGAAAGUUUUCGUGAAAAAAUCAACCUCAAGAAAGUUAAAUUAUGAAAAUAAUCCUAAAGAGAAUUUUAAUAAUUUCACACCUUUUGAGAUAUGAUAUAGGUUUUUAAUGUAUCAAAAAUCAUAAAAUAAUUUCAAAACAUAAUCUAAAGUGUUUCAUGAAAAACCAACCUCUGAAGGUCAAAUGACAAAAAUAUUCCUAUAGGGCAUUUUAAUAAUUUUAAAGCUUUCGAGGUGUGAUCAAGGCCUUUAAUAUAUCAAAAAUCAUAAAAUGAUAUCAAAUUAUAAUCUAGAGCAUUUCGUAAAAAACCAACCUCAAAAAGGUAAAAUUAUGAAAAUACCUCUAAAGGGCAUUGUAGUAAUUUCACAUCCCUUGAGGUACGAACAAAGUUUUUAAUGUACCAAUAAUCAUCAAAUAAUGUUUAAAUAUAAUCUAAAAGUUUUCACUAAAAAUUAACUUCAAGAAGAUCAAAUUACAAAAAUAUCCUUAAAAGGCAUUUUGGUCAUUUUACCUUUCUUGAAGCGUGAUCAGAGUUUUUAGUGCAUUAAAAUCACAAAUUCCAACCAAAAGCCUUGUUAAUCCCAUUAGUUAUAAAUUUUGAAGAAUGACCCAAGUUUGAUCUUGUUCAAUGGAUUUUGAUCGAGUUUGAUCAAAUUUGACAAAAUUUGAUUAAAUUUGACCAAGUUUGACCCUAAGGCAUUUGGGUCAAAUUGGUUUUAAAUUUGACUUUGAAAACUGUCAGUAUUAAAAAAUGUUGGAUUUGAAUUGAGUUAAAUUUUAAAAGCCUCACAACUAGCUAGAUUUUGAUAAAAUAAAACUAAAUGUCUACAAAAGUCAAAAGGAUACUUGUUUUUUGGCAACAGACAAGAUGGCUUUAUCAUCCAUUUCAUCAUAAAGCACAUUUUGAUGAAUGAAAUUAAAUUAUGGAGCCACUGUUCGUGUAAUGUGAAAAGUAAUGUAUUCAUGAAUGAACAUUUUAUACUCUUUUAUAACAAAAUUGAAUACUAUAUUAAAUGAUAUAAUUUAAAUACCUUAAUUUAUAAGUGGUUUAAGACUUUCAAAUUUAUAUUUCAUGCAAUUGUGAUACUUGCUAAGUGUGAUAUUAUUUAAACAUUAAAAAAUGAUAAUUUCAUCUAAUAUUAUUAUUAUUAUAUAUAUAUUUGAACGAGUUUAGAUGCUUAUUAAUGUAAUUAAUUAAUUAAUUUCUAGAAUUCUUUGCGACCAAAUAUAUUAUUGUUGUGUACUUAAUUGAAUAUGAAUAUUCUAGUAAUUACCAAUGCUUAUUAAUUAUCUUUGGGACUCGUAUUUGUGAAUAAUUCAAAUAUUAGUAAGUUUACUAUAAUGCAUCUAUCUACCUUUUUCUUAAUGUAUUUUUAUCAUAAUUAUAUCUUGUAUGUCAAUGAAACAUUGGUUUAGUGGCAAGCAAGAGAUUUUACAUCCUUGAAGUUCUAAAUUCAAGUGUCACUGUAUGCAUUUGAUUCAAUUUUAUAUUCUAAUUUAUUUUAGUUAUAUUAUAAUUUUUUUAUUGAUUAUUCAAUAUUUCUUAUUUAUGACUAUUGAACUUGAUUAUGAUUGUAAUUUUAAUUUCUUAAAAAAAAAGUCUUAUAUAUUCAUUUGAUUGAUUUUUAAAUUUUUUUUAAGGAGAUAGUUUGAAAAUGAAAAUUAUGUUUCAUUUUUAAUUUGUUUAAAAUAAAUAGACUAUUUUACCAUGAACUAGAAAUUUUUGGGUUAAAUCAAUUCUAAAUAACUAAACUAAAACCAUGGGAAAAUGGGGGGGUUUAUUUAAUUCUAAGGACAAAUAUUGUUCAACCUUAAACACCAAAAUAUAGUCCAACAUUUACAAAUUACAAUUGGAAUUCAUCAUGAAUACAAGUAUUCAAUUAAUUAAGACUCUAGCUAAUUACGAAGCAUUAAAAUUGAUUGUAAAAAGAUUCAAAAAUAUAUGUCAAAGUGAAAUGAAAUGAUUAUUUUAGUUUAGAAAGAGCCUAAUAAUAAUAACUAAAAUUCGACCCCUCUUCGUUGGGGUUCAUUAAACAUUUUUUAUUAUUCUUUUUUAUAUUUAUGAUGCUUUUUAACAUAAAAUUAAUAAUAAAAUUUUUAAUCUAUGUGUUAAAUAUUAUAAAUAUAUUGAAAUUAAAAAAAUUUAAUAUAAUGUUGUUGUAUUUUUGUUUUAGGCUUUUUGUGCUAUUUUGUGAAAGUUUAGGCUUUAUUAUAUUUUUAAUAUUUUGUUAUUUUAUAUUUAAUAAUAAAUAUAUCCAAAUAAAAAUAAAUUUCAAAUCCGCCCAACACUUUUCAUAAGAAUCUAUAGUUAUUUUUAUUUAAGAAAAUUUAGAAAAAAAUUAAAAUGUUAACUUUUGAAAAAAAUUUAUUUUUAGGAAAUAUUUUCUAAAUAAUUAUUGUUUCAUUAUGUUUAUUUUAGGCUUUAUUAGAUUUUGCAUUUGAUUUAAUUAUAUAUAUAUAUAUAUAUAUUACUUUUUUAGUUUAGGAUUUAUUAUAUUUUCUAUUUAGCUUUAUUAUAUUUUCUAUUUGACUUUAAGGUUAGAAGCUUAAUGUGCCAAAUAAAAAAAUAUUUACUCAGUCUUUUAAUUUAAGCAAAUACAAAAUGAAUUUAUUUGUUUGGAGAAAGAGAGAGAAUUUUAAAAUUCAGGUGAAUUUUUAAUAAAAAAUUUAAGGUGCUUGAAAUUCCAACUAAAUAAAUAGUUUUUUAAAAUUCCUUCUAACCCUCUCUCUCUUUACUACAAAUGAUCCAUCAUAAAAUACAAAAUUAAGAAAAUAAAUAUAAUUUUAUUUAACUCUAAUAUACAUUUUUAGUUUUUUAUACUAUUAAUGAUAUAUAUAUUUUUACAAAUAUAAAGAUUUCCGUAUUGCAUAUUUUAUUUUGCAUAUAUAUUUUUUAUCUUUAAUAUCAUUAUUAUUCUUUUAUAAUUAUUUUUUAUCUUAUCUAAUUGCAAUAGAUUUUUUUUUUAAGAAAUACUUGUUCAAACAAAAUAAUUGCAAAUGCUAGCAUUUUAAAAUGCAUUCAUUCCAAAUUUCUUCAAAAUUUCAAAAUUCUCCAUCUAAAUGCACUAUUAAUAAUUUUGCAAAAUCUUUUUAUUUUUUUGCAAAAUACCCAAAACAAUUCAAAAUAUGCAAAUUAUUAUUUUAGAACAUUGUAAAUCUACAAUAAUUCAAAAUAUCCAAAAUUUUUAUUCUUUAAGGUUUUAAACACAUAACAAUUCAAAAUACCCAUAAUCAAUUUAUGAUCCUUACUCAAUAAUUUUUUUUUUUUUCAAAUUUUGCUAAAAUACUCAAAUCCCAAUAUAGAAAUCCUUAAACCUACUAGGAAAAGUAGUCAAAAAAUAUCAAAAUCAAUGAAAGAAAAUUUUUGAGCAAUUAAAGUAUGACAACUAAGAAAAAAAGAAAAACCAAAACACAAGAAAUAUUGUAAAAAAUAAUCUUAUACAAUUAUCUAAUGUUCAUCUUUCUCCUAUCAAGCCAUCACAAAGAUAAUAAAAAAUAAAUAUAAGGGUUAAUAUGUAAACUAACAUCUUCUAUUAGUUUAGUACUAAAAAUAAAAAUUUUUAUUUUAGUAUUUUAAUUUUCACUUCAUUAAGCACUUUUGAUACAUCACACUGUUAUUAUCAGUUAAAUGACUAACGUUAUAUGAAUAUCUAAUAAAAGCAUACCAUGUAUCAUAAAUGUUUAGUUAUCGUCAUGUUAACUAUUGCCAUGUCAGCAAAAAAUUUUAAAAAUUAAAAAAAUAAUUUUUUAAAAAAAUAAAAAAUAAAAGUAAAAGAUUAGGGAGAGAGAGGGGGAAUGAAAGAAAGGGAAGCAAAAUGAGAAGGGGGAAUGGAUAACGUCAAUGAUUGGCCUAAGGUCAAACUGAGGUCGGUCUACCCCAGGCCUAGUAAAACAACAUUGAUCCAGCGUAAAUGAGUUGUGUCGGUAGAUUCGAAGUGGAUCAUCACCGAUUGGCCCCAAUCUGGCACUAAGCUGCCAACAUUUGUCACCUUUGCCUUCACAUUCCCCUAUUUUCUCCUUUUGUUUCCUUUUUUUUUCUUUCUCCCUGAUUCUUUUCCUUUCAUUUUUUUUAUUUUUUCAUUUUUUUAAUUUCGAAUUAAGACAUAUACUUUUAAAAAAAAUUUUGAAUUUUUAUUUAAAUGCUGAUGAUAUAACUAUAAUUGACAUUUAUGUUAUUUGCAAUGAUUUUGUUGGAUACCAAUAUUAUGUAAGUAACUUAAAUAACGAUAAUAGUUUGAAGUAUUAAAAUACUUGACAAAUGAAAAUUUAAGUAUUAAAGUGAAAGUUUUAUUUCUUUAGAUACCAAAAUGACAAAAAAAAAGUAUAAGAGUCUUUUUUAUUUAACAUUAAAUAUAAAAAUAAAAAUAAAUAAAAGUUAUCCAAUAAAAUCUAGCCUAACGGAAAACACUAAUCUUUUUAAUCCCAAAAUCCUUUUCAUCAUCUUCAAAAUUAGCAUGAAAACUUGCAAAAAAUUCCAAAAGAGAUCAUAUUACUUGUUGCAAUUUUUUGCAUCUAAGAUUGCUAGAGAAUGUUGCUGCCUUAGGUUGCUUUUACUGGGCAUUCUUUGGAGAUUUUGUUUUGUAAUUGUUAAGAGAAACAAAAGAAAAAUGGAGUGGAGUGGCAAGUGGAGAGGGAAGCGUGAAAAAGAUUGAAGGAUUGGAUCGGGUGAUUAGUAAGAGAUUAAAGGAUUAAAGUAUGAAUUGGUGACAAAUAGAGAAGAUGGGAGAAAUUGAAGGAUCAAGUGGGUUAAUAAGAGAAAAUGAAAGAAACGUGAAAAAGGAAAAAAUGGAAAUUAAUGAAUAAUUAAAACUAAAUUAUGAGUUUUACAGGAUUUUGAUAAAACCAACCUAUCUACAAGAUAUGUUUUUUUUUUUGUACAAGUCCUUCAAGGCUUUAGUCGUAAGAAUUAAUGCUUCUCAUGCUAUAGUCUAGUGUCACGGACCUAAGAAAGAGUCAUGAAUCUCACAUCGAACAUAAUAGGAGGGUCACUGGGGUAUAUAAGGGUUCACACUACCUCCGCCUUGUGAGGCACCUUUUGUAAGAUAAAACCGUGAGGCGGGGGGGCCAGAGCGGAUAAUACCUCACAAGGGUGUGAACCGUGGCAAGAAGGCUGAUCUGGGACGUCGAAAGGGUGAAUGCCCGGGUCCUGAGCCGUGCGGGUUCGAAGCUUAAGUCUCGACUCGUGACAAGUGGUAUCAGAGCCAGCCCUAAAUCGUUCGAUCCACGCCAAGCACCUCAAGGGAGGUAGGUAGGCUGGACAGCCUCCGUGACGAGGGCAUCACGAGGUUGGGUGUGGAAGAAUGUCACGGACCUAAGAAAGAGUCCUGAAUCCCACAUCGAACAUAAUAGGAGGGUCACUGGGAUAUAUAAGGGUUCACACUACCUCCGCCUUGUGAAGCACCUUUUGUAGGACAAAACUGUGAGGUCAGGGGGGGCCAGAGUGGACAAUACCUCAUAAGGGUGUGAACCGUGGCAGGAAGGCUGAUCUGGGACUUCGGAAGGGUGAAUGCCUGGGUCCCAGAGUCGCGCGGGUUCGGAGCUUAAGUCUUGACCCGUGACAAGAAAUGUCACGCCCUAGACGGGUACGCCACGCACAUCAGAUAGACCAGCAGGCGAGCCAAAGGUUAAGGUCCGCAGAUCAGGUGUGCUGACAGGUAUCUGUGCGCAAAGCCUAGCAAACGAGUUCAGAACUCCCGUUCGACUUGCAGGCCAGCCCGUGAGACUAAGGCCUAGCAUACAAGCUGCCCGCACCACAUCCAGAAGGGCCCAAGGUGCUAGACACACAAGGGAAGCUUCUGAAAGCAAGCAGGAGCAUCCUGACAGAUUUGGUUGACCCUGAAAAUCAGGAGUUGGCAUCCUGAUUGAUUGUAAUCUGUAUAAUCCCAUGAUUUAGCAUUUAUUCUAGGGAUUUGCCAUUAAGUGUAAGCUGAAGCCUCAACUAUAAAUAGAGGGCUACUCCACCCUCAUUUGUAUAUCAUCAAACAUUUCUACUUCAGUGAAUACAAAAGCAUUUCCAAAAUUUUACCUUCUUAUCAUGUUUCUCUUUAACUUGCGUAAGUCAGUCUAAAACACAAGCGUACGGGCACUAAAACAAUGGGAAGGGCUGCCUCGAGGGAGGUAGGCAGGGUGGCUAGCCUCUGUGACGAGGGCGUCACGAGGUUGUGUAGGAGAGAAUGUCACGGACCUAAGGAAGAGUCAUGAAUCCCACAUCGAACAUAAUAGGAGGGUCACUAGGGUAUAUAAGGGUUCACACCACCUCUGCCUUGUGAGGCGCCUUUUGUAGGAUAAAAUCGUGAGGCCAAGGGGGGUCAGAGCGGACAAUACCCCACAAGGGUAUGAACCGUGGUGGUCAAGCUGAUCCGGGAUGCCAGAAGAAUGAAUGCCCGGGUCCCAGAGCCUCGCGGGUUUGGAGCUUAAGUCUCGACCCGUGACACUAGCACUUGCUUCUUUAAGUUUAAGUUCAAUUAAACUAAGGAGAUAUAUAGCAAGCCUUUUUCAUUUAAGGUUUCACAGUUGCAAAAACUCUAAUAUAUAUUUAUAUAUAUUUAUAUAUAUACAAGAAAUUAUUAAAUAUAUUAACAAUAUAAAUUUUUAACUUUACAAGUGAGAUUAAGAUGAUAAUACAUAUCAUUUAUACAUUUAAAAAAAUUAAUUUAAAAAAAUAAAAUAUGUAUAAUUAUCUUAAUCUCGUUUGUGAAAUUAAAAAAUUUUCACUAUUAGAAUAUCAAAUAAUUAUAUAUAUAGAGUAAAACGAGAAAUAGGUUUAAUGAAAAAUAAGUUUUAGUAAAACUCAAUAUUUUAAUAAAAAUAAUAAAAAAAGUGAUGUGGACUAAUUUUAACCAUUGGAUAGUGUUUUUAAAAUCAAUGGAGAUAGUGUUUUCAAUAUUGGAUAGGAUCAUUUUUUUUUUAUUUUAUGGUUUUUGCUUGUUGAAAGAUGAUUUUGUACUUCGCCUUAUUGUUGUUCUAUAGGUUUUUUUUUCUGGGGAUACUUUUUUUUAUUUAAUCAAAAAAAUUUUGGGGUUUCAUCGAAACAAAAUAUUUGAAAAUUGGAUCCAAUUUUGAUUUUGAUUUUCCUUUUUAUUUUCUUUGCUGUCAAGCCUUUCCAAAGUUGAUUAUUUUUCUUGAUUCCAAAUUCACGAACUUUUUAAAAUGUUCAAAAUUUUUGGCACAUUUUCAAAGGCUUUUUUUCCUUUUUUUUUAAAUUUUUCAUAUUGAUAUUAAAAAUUAAUCAUAAGAAUAAUGAAACAAAAAUUAAAAGAAAUUAAAAAAAAAUGGGGUAAUCCAAUUUUUCUUGGGCUUAAAGCUAAAUUUGAUAUUGAAACUUAAUUACCAACAAGUAGUUGGUUCAAUCGAUUAGAUUCGUUCACCUUAAUAAAAAAAUUCUGGGUUUGAGUUUUGUUGGUGAUCACUUGUUAGGAUCAUUUCGAAUGCAUGAUUUGCAAUCACAUAUCUUAAGUUAUCAAGUACAACACAUCUUAUCUUUACCUGAGAGAUUGAACAACUUAUCCACCUCCAAAUUUUUUUUACCAAAAAAAAAAGAGAUUAAAACUUAAUUUGCCAAUUUCAAAUCCAACUAAUAAUUUUUAAACCCAAAAUAAAUUCCAAGCGUGAAAGUAAACCUUGAGGUACCAUAAAAAAAAAUUUGAAAACAAAUCUUGAGAACCAAUUGGUCUUGCAAGACCUAAAACCAAAUAUCGACUCUAACUCAACUUGAUUAAGGUUCAAUCAUGAAUAUGAAAAUAAACGCAUCUAGCUUUAAGUCCUUAAAAGAAUUAUUCAAUUCAAAUUUUUUUAAAACACUUUUAAAAAUCUCGAAGAAAAAAAGAAUGUUUGUACUUAUUCUUUUUAUUGUUUUAAAUUCAAACAAUGUUAACUUAAAACAUGUAUUAAUAUCAUUAUUUUUUAAUUUGAAAUUUUUUUAAUAUAUUAUCAACGAAUCAAAUUAUGAUAACUGAUUAAAAAAUAAAUAUAAUUCUUACAAAACUCUUAAAACAAAUACACAAAAAUUUUAUUUUUUAAUUUUUUACUAAUAUAGUAUCAUAAUUUGAUUUGCUACGAAUGUUAAAUAUUUGAUAAUUGACAUACAUCAAAUACAAAUUUAAAAGAAAAAUUAUAGGAAACAAUUAUAUCACAGUAAUAUAUAUUCUUUCCAUUCACAUCAUAUUAUAUAAUUAUAUUAUUAAAUAAAAAUAUUAAUUUAUUAUAAAUUAAUAAAUUAAUCUAUUAAAAUAAAUAUUUAACAUUUAAUUAUCACAAAUAAUAUAUAAUAAAUGAUUAAUUUUUAAUAAUAUAAUUAUGUGAUAUAAUUUAAAUAAAAAAUAUAUACUAACCUGAAAUAUAUCUUUUAAAAAAUAUAUAAACUCUUUUUUGUUUUUACGUUAGACGAAAAAAAAAAAAAAUGGCGAGCCGCGCACCCUAGGGCACGAUAGCGAAGCUGAUCUUGGAAAUAAAUGAAUUUUGGUAAAAUAGCCUGCUAGACAUGAUAGUUGUAGCGAUGUUAGCAUAGAUGGAAUCCUUUAUUAUAAAGAAAGUUUUACUUCGUCUGAUUGAAGAUUAGCAUUCAAAAUUUGAUCGAUCACUUCUCCGAAAUUCGAUUCAUUGAUCCCUUUCUCCUUCGAAUCAAGUGCUCUCUUUCCUUAAUUUUAUCAAUUUAUUAUUAAUUGAUGCUAUGAACUGAAAUUAAUUUUAAUUCCAUUUUCAAUGAUUUCAAUACGAUCAUAUAGUUGUUAAGUUACAAUUUUUUUUAGAUUAAUUAUUGUUAUUUACUAAUUUAUUUUUUGAUGAUAAGAAAAAGGGAAACAAUUUUCUUUCACUUUAGAAACAAAAAAUCUUUUAAAUGUUGAAAGAUAGAAUAUUGCAGUUUUAAAGAAUGUUAGACUCGGUGAUUAUUCCUGGUGAGCUAAAUGAGCUAAUGUUGAAUUUUUUUAUACAACUAAUAAGAUUCAUAAUUUUAAUGAUUGAUUUUUAUCUGCAAAUCCAAGACUAACCAUUUGUAACAACUAAAAAUUGAUUAAACUAUGACAUAACAAUAGAAAUUAACUAUAUUGCAAUUUUUUUUUUUUUUUUUGUUUUUCCUAGAGCAAUAUGUAUUUGGAGAAGAGAUGCAGGAACAUAGCGAAUAUGAGGAAACCUCCUUCACUGGUAGACCUUUGUGUUAGGACGGCGAUAGAUAACGUAAGAUACCUUGGGGAUGUCGGUGAGACAGAUUCACAUCUUCUUGAGCGUAUUCUACCCCAUUGUACAGUGGAUCAAUU
rnacentral:lncRNA from 1 species